rnacentral:lncRNA from 1 species
UUUCUGCUACAACUCAGACAAAACAUCCUCAAUUCCCACCAUCAACGUCGCUGUUAGCCAAGAUGAGGACUGCCCUAAUGUGCGUGACUCUAAUGUUGCUCAUGCUACCAUCAUCAUCAGGUACUCGUUUGUUCCUAAAGUACCACAUGCUUUAACAACUAAUCCGACGAGAAACUAGACAUGUGAUUAUCUAUUAAUACUCAUUUAGUGAAAAAUUUCAGAUGCUAGAACCUUUGAAACUUGUAUUCAUACCUAUUCUGGGUCGGGUGAAACAUGCAAUUCCACCAACUGUGAUGAAGUAUGCCGUUAUGAUAACGUCCAUAAUCCUCUUUGUUAUGGGUGGUGCUCCUAUAGGUCCAAAUGCAAUAAAGACGGGUGCAUAUGCAAGUUGUGUAAGAACAUUUGAUGCACAUAGAUGUAAGAUAGAAGGGCAUGUUUACAUUGAAUAACGUCGCAUCAACUCUAGUAGCUGGAAGAUUGCUAAGAACUUGUAUUCUUCCCAAAGUUAUAUUAAAUUACUAAGUGAUUGCGCAUGUGUUGGUCUUGCAAGUGUGUUUACAAGUAAUCGUACCAAAAAAACAUGUGGUGUUUGGUUCAACGAGUGGUAGAUGUUAAGAGAAUGAUAUUACGAUGCAAUCACACAUUGCUGCACGGUGGAGGAUGAGUCACGAGAAGAGAAAGGUUGCACAUCUUGACACCAGAUUUUGACAUGGAACAAAACAAUAUUAAGAUCGAUUGAAAUGAAGAAGUGCUCUGCAUAAAAAUAAUAUCUGUAGUGCUGACAUGAACAUAUUUGAAGUUUGGGCCAUCGCUGUCCGAUCUCAUCUCGAACGCCAAAAUUAUGCUCAAAGUACUGAGAUUUCAUAUUCACAGUAUUGUUCAGCCGAUUAAGUCCUAGGACGACCUUGUAUGAGAACAUGUUCGGCAAGGGUUGUCUUUGUCUCAUCAAAACAAUAGAGUUUGAUAUAAACAUCCUCUCAAACAGAUGUCGUAUGCAAAAGUUCUAGCCAUUAGAGUCCGACCCUACCACGAGGCAAAAUGUGACGUGAGGGAUCAGACAAGCACCUAUGUGAUGUCUGAUGGGUGGCGCGAGCUGUUCGGCCCUCAACACGGCCUAGAAUGGAAUAACUGACGACACAAAAACAUUUUUUGUCUCAUCAAGCCGAUUGACUUUGAUAUAUAAAACAUCUCAAUCUGAGGUCAUAUGCAACCUGAAGAUGGAAAACAAGAUCAGGCUAAAGUUUGAGUCGAAAAAUCCAAAUAAAAAGACUUGCGGGCAAAGUGGUUGCCGGUCAUGGGAAAAGCUUGCUGGGGAAGAGCCUUCCGGCAAAGAGCAUGAUAGGUGAAAAGCUUGUCGGGUGAAAAGUUUGCCGUGUGAAAGCUUGCUGGACCAGUGAAAAAUAUAAAUUUUGGGCAAUUCGAGUAGAAGCUAAAGACGGACUCAAGUGAUUAUAUAGAUGGCCUCGUAUGGAAAAGAGUUCUAUAUGAUAGUUUUGCAUAUAGUUUGAAACAGACAGAUUUUCUUUUGGAGUCAUCAUCAUUUGAGAUAAUAUACGGCCUACGAAAUCUCUAUAAAACUCGGACAACCUUGUCAGCCACAAGACCAAAUAUGACUGAAAAUUAAAGUUGACCUCUUAGAGUAUUCAAGAUGGCCUUAUUUGGAAAAGUGGUCAACAGAAGACACUAAUAGGGAAAUGGCUAGCCACAACUUAUGUUGGUGGCGCGUAAAUUUGGCACGACGCCAGCACUAUUUUUUUCAAAUAACAUAGAGUUGGAUGAAAUAGUAUGGUAGCUUUGUGUAGUUAGUGCUGGCGUGGAUUUAAAGUGGAACACCAUCAAAAUGUGGGCCCUGCCGAGCUGACUAGUCAGAGUAUAUUGCUGGCGUGAGAUGUCCUGUGGCGCCACAAAUAUAUUAUGUAGUAUUGUCGGCCAUUAUUCGUGUACGCCGGUACUAAGUUUGGCCUACAUAACCUAGUGUUAGGUAGCCCCUUUGUUUCUCAAAAUAAAUGCACUUUCAAUUCUUCUCCCUAACUAGUUAUAGGUCCUCUUAGUUAUGGACUCAAGUCGGAGAAGCGUGUCAAAGUUUGGGAUUUCGCCGCCCUGGCCGAGCUCCUGUCUAGCCCUCUUGGCUAUGCCAUGAGCUCCCCGAAUUAUCCUGCCGCAACAGCGCCACUUCCGUUCAUUCUGGCAGCUACGCCACCAGCAUCGAAGAUAUCGUCCCUAUGCUCCUUUGCGGUUGUCGACGCCCUAUUGAUAAGCAUAUGGCACACAUAGAAUGUAGUCCAUAGCGAGAGUUCUACAUCCACACCAACCGUGGAAAGAUACAUAUAUGACAAAAAAAUACCUCUUAUUAUAUUUUUAUAUAAUUUGCACAAUUCAACUCCUCUAGUGUGGCUCGCAUCAAUAUGUGAUCUAUAUAUAUUGUGAUCCAUAGAAAACAGAGGAAAAAUAUUGCUUCACAUGGAUAUGACUUGCUCUCGUUCAGAAGUACGUAAGCGGGUUGCUCAACUAUUCCAUUAGACCACUCAGACGACAAAUAUAUGAGAUGAAACUCGAGAACAAUGUGAUGCAAGGCCAAAUCAAAAAAAUUAAUAUGCUUCGAUAUGCACUUUGAGCCGGUUGCAUGCUUGGCCUAUUUCUCCCAGCAGGAUCGAUGACAACAUUUUUUUCAUGGUCGUCAUCACACUUAAUUCUGAUGUUCUUAGUCUUGAUUUAGUAGUAAAUUAUAAUUUCUAUUGUUAAUUAUCCUUAUGUAUUGUAUAUAUGUAAGCACACCACAUUAACUAAUGAAAUCUAUGUUGUUCUCAUCUUUAUGUAUUAUCUUUUAAACUUUUAUUUUAAUUCUGUAUAUAUACUCACAAAAAAUGAAAUAAAUCAUACUUAAUGAAAUAAAAAUGUAACAAAUAAUAAAGUAAAACCAAAUACAUAGGAAAUGAAGUAGGCCACGUGGGCCAAUGCUACCAAACACACCAUCGUGUGUCAAAUCCAACCACCCAUAUACACCCGAUAUAUUCCCCACCCAAACACUCCAAAUAAUUUUCCAACCACCCGACUCUGCAGCCGCAGGCAACAACCAAGCCCUCGGUCGCGGUUGCCAUCUCCGACUCCACACCACCGCCGUAUCAACCACGCCAUUUUCGUCUCCACCUCCACUGUCGUCGUCGCUGUCUCCGUGCCUCCACCGCCGCGGGAUAAAGGACCUGCCAGCCCCGUCGCCUCCACAUCGUUGCCGUCAUCUCCGUUGCCAUCUUCUCUGAUGUGGUCUUCAUUGUCAUCUUCUCCACCACUUCCGUCAAGGACUCACCAAUCCCGUAGUCUCCAUCGCCGGUGAGUAAUUGUAGUGUCGAAUUUAGUGUAGUUGUAUAGUGUAAGAACAUAGUGUAAAAUUUUAGGUAGUUGUGCAUUGCAAAUUUUAGUGUAGUUGUGUACUGUAGAUUUUAGUGUAUAGUUUUGUAGUGCAAAUUUUUAGGGUAAUUGUAGUUCCAUAUUGUAUUGUAGUUCUGUAGUGCAGAUUUGUAGUGUAGUUGUGUAGUGCAGUUUUUAGGGCAAUUGUAGUUGCAGAUUGUAGUGUAGUUGUGUAGUGCAUAUUUGUGGUGUAAUUAUAGUUUUAGAUUUUAGUUAUAAUUGUAGUGUAGUUACUAUAGAAACUUUUAUUUUACACAUACAUAUAUUCUCUAGUUACAUUCUCUAGAUUGUAUAUAUGUGUGUGUGUGUGUGUGUUGUGCAGGUACAGUCAAAUGGAUAACAAAAGGGGACUAAGUACUAUACAACCAUCACAAAGGACAAUGUUGUCCACUAGCUUGGACAGUGGGACACCCGAGAGUUAGGGGCACGCACCUAUGAUGCAAAGACGGUUGAGUGUCAUAAGGAAAAAAUGAUUCUGAACUUCCCUGGUUGACAUGACUAUGUGUCAUUCCUUGUGCCGGAGAACAUAAGCAUAUGCACUAUGGCUGAGGAGAAGGAGAAACUUCAUGUCGUGCAAUAGUUGUUCGACCCAUUUUGUGACCGAGCUUGCGUGAGAUGAGAAAAUCUUAGAGACCAACAAAAGGAUGCUCCAUCAGUAUGCCGCGAGGAAGAGCGUAGAGGGGGAUCCCGUAGAUUGGGAUAACCUCGAGGCACGGGAGGAGGAGGAGGAGUUGGUGCAUCCGCUACAGUGUCAUCGCAAGGACGACCACGGGGCCGGCCCCUGUGGCCAGUAGCUUGGUAGAUGGUGGAUGUAGUACUAUAGCUAGUUAUUUCGUAUAUGAAUGACUAUUUAACUUGAUGCAUGUUAUUAUAUGUUUGAAUCGUGCACCAUUUGUAGAAUUUCUUAAUUACUAGUAUAUUGUUCUAUUUUGAUGUGUUGGUUAUUUAGUAUAAUGAUCUAUGCUUGCUUUGAUCAACGAUAUUGAUAACAGUAAAUGGAUGUACCAUGUAAGAAUUGUGGUGCUUUGAGAUGCCACAAGGAUAGUAAGUUCUUCAUCGAUCUUCCGAAAGACUUCAUCACUAAGACGAUAUAUAUAUAUGAUUUAGUGCAAAAUGUUAUAAUUUAGUUUCAUAUGGUACGGUUGUGGCUGAAAUAGUCUAACUAGUUAUUUUUUCAAUUUUACUCAGGUCAUCCCUUGUGGGGCAAGGCAUGACUUCUUCGAGUUCCGCUUGAUACAACCAUCAUAUUCAAAUGCACCCUCAUGAAGAUUGUGAUGACCCAAUGAUUCAAUUGUCUUGUCACCACUGAGCCAACCCGCACAUAUUUUCGUUUCCCUGGUUGGACAACUCUUGCAACUGCUUACGAGAUGGAAGUUGGGAGAGAGCCACGUUCUACCUUGACUACGAUCAUGACGAAAUCAUGGUGUACCUGCUGGCAACGAUGAUGAUGGUCUACUCACUCCACAAUAUGAUCCUGACUCCACACACCGUAAUGUCAUGUUAGCUAGCUAGUAGGCUUACAAUUACCACCUCCUGUUUCUUUGAACUUGUGUACUUCUGUUAUUUGCCUACUUUUGAUAUUUUUUUGAAUAAUGUCAAAUAAAUGGGUAAUUUUGAACAUAGAUUAUGGUAUUUGAAUUGUGUUGUUUAAUUACUAUUCUAAACUUUGAUUAUGUUGUCAUUUUGGUUUGAUCACGCUUAUGUACAGAUUUUGUUUAAAUCGUAAAAUGAAAUUGCUGGCGUCGCACUAACAUGCAAUGCCACUACAGACAUAUAUUAGUGCUAGCGUUGGCCUUGUGGCACGCCAUAAACAUGUCAAAUACUGUUGGCAUCAUCUCCAACACCAGCACUAUUUUUUAAGAGUGUCGCUAUAUUGGUGGCGUCGGGUGUGUACCCCAGCAAGGCCAUCUUUUCCACGCCAUAGCUAGGCUUUUCUACACUAGUGGAAGUUUUUCGUCUUGUCGAAACGAUUGAUUCUGAUAUAAAAAUGUCUCAAUCGGAGAUCAUAUGCAGGUUGUGUAGGCCGUGCAAGGAGCAAGACACAAGUUUGAUCCAGCUUCGGGUUGAAUCCGAGUUAGACAAGAGUUGGGAUUCUAGGACGUGAAUUGAUGUAAUUUUCAAGGAAAGCCUAGAUGCAUCCUUUGCUUGUACAAGAAGUCAAGCCGCCUCUUAUAUAGAGUGAAGGUGAUGGCCAAUUAAAAGAACACACAAUCGAACAAAUCAAUCUAUACUAGCUUUUCAUCUAUGUUUUUUUCUCCAUUGUUUUUUCUCUCGUUCUUCACUGUUCCUCUAGUAUGAGAGGUGCGAAUCCGGAGGCUCUAGGGGAGCAAAUUUACCUAGGGCAGUGCAUAGCCGCCGCACUCCCUCACAAGGUCCCUCUCGGGCAAGUGAGGCUUCUGGUCUACAAAAUCGUCCGUUGAGUGUCUAGCGUAUCAUGCUGUUGGUCGGGUCUCCUUCGAAGUGAGCUGCGGUGCAUCACUCCCGGCGUCGAGGGUAGACGUGACAUAUUCAUGUAUCAACACACCUUUUGAUGACUCCGCUGGGGACUAAAGACCAAUCAUCAUCAUCAGCCAUCAUGUCUGAUCUUCCCAACCCAUCUGAGGUAGACGCCGAUAACAUCAUUAAGCCCAAUCUUGAUGAAAUAUUGGCUGAUCAUCGCCAAGCUUAUGACGAGUACAAGAAGACACGUGAAGAGAAGGAGUUGGGGGAGCUCCUUGGAAACUUCAAGAAGGACCGCCAAGGAAAUAUCACUCUGAUUGAAGAAAUCAAACUGCCUCAUAUUCAUGUUGGGCAGGUUAAACCCCAUGGGAGUAUCACUUUUUCUCCUGAGUAGUAGGCUUAGAUUGAGAGUCGUACUGAUAAUGCUAACAAUCUAGUCUAUCAAUAUUUUUUAGACAACUAGCAGGGUGGCCCUCGCAAAUGUGAGGGCUAGAUCUUUUUGUAUGAAAAUGUUGUUUAGUUAAGUUUAUGUUUUGCACAUAUUUUACGCUCAUAUUUACCACUUUUAUUGUAUAAUACACAAUGUUAUAUACAUUGGUACAUUUUAAGGUUUGAAUUCCAUAUUUAUGCUAUAUGUGAACAUAUGAUUAAUUAGGUUGCUCAUAGAUAAGAAAAAUGAAUUAUGAAAAAAUAUGUAAAGAUAUUGCUUCAUAUCUUUGGAAUAACAUGUUUACACAGUCCUAAAUCGACCUACAAGAACACACACCAAAUUAAUAGACUAUGUGCACAUUCGCUAGUCAGGUGCCCUAUCUUUUCUAGAUUGGGUAUGUAGAUCAAUUGGUGUUCUUCAUAUGGCUAUUUAGAGUAAUCUUACUUUAGUCCUAGUUUGCGUAGUUGCGUAGUUGUGUGAUUCAUGCAUGCAUUAAUAAUUGGAUCUUAUAAGAAGUAAAAGUAUAACAAAUAUAUUGCUAUCACAGCCUAAGGCCUUGGCUUUUGUAAUCAAUGGUGGCCAAUCACACAUCCAAAUCACUUAGUAUUAACUCAACAAAUUUGUUACGUUGCCGAUAGUAGAAAUUAUGUAGAGAGCAUAUAUUUUAAACCGUGAUAGUAUUAAUUUGUAUAUUUUCUCUAAUUAUCUUCAUGCUAUCACGACACAUACUCUUUAACAUAGUCAAUGUAUCCUAUUGCUCAAGUGUAGGUAUUAUUUCAUGUAAUAUUUCCAAAUCACAUAUAAAAAACUUAUCACUUUUUACUAUCUUUUCACCAUGUAUCCUAUUUCUCAUAGGUGAACUUAGCAUGUUUCAUAAUCUACACUACCACCCAUCACACAUUUUUAAGAUUCGUAUGCAUAUAGCAUACCUUCUCGUCCUAGCAUGGGAGGAAAGUUGUGGCAGGGGAGGAAGGUCUAGCUAAUAUUGUGGUUCUUCCAUGAAACGUCCUAGCAUACUUAUCAGUUUCGUUAGAGAUGUAGUUUUAGUUAGUUAGGGUUUGUAAUCCUAUGUAUAGAGGUGGAAAGGGACUGCUCUAGAAAUUUAUUGAAGUAGGACUCUAACAAUCAUAACUUUGUGGUUUGUUUGUCCCACCCAUACGUGCAUGAUCAUCGCAUCUUGUGAAAUGGGAUAAUAUUUAUUCUACACAUCUCAUUAAAUCGUAGCCAUAAUUUAUAGAUCUAUUCGUCCAAAUAAUUUGAAUGACGUAUAUCAAUCUGGUGUCUAGAAAGGAACCCCUAUUGUGCGUGUAAUAUAUGACAUAUUUAUAGGUGUUUAAAAGAAUUAUAUGUAGCAUAUACUUGAAUAAGAAAAAUAAGAAAUACUUUGUUCAUUAGUUUUAUAAUUAUUAUUGAAAUUAAUGAAUAUUUUAUAUUUCUUAUGUCUCCAUUGGAUUUUUAAGGCUGCUACUAUAAAAUGAGAGUACCAUGUGUAGCUUUUUUAUAAAAUUCUCUAGCGAUUUGAGUUCUGAAAUAUUUGUAUUCCUUUUUGUGUUUUGUACCCAACACACAUAUAAAAAUGUAUUGGUAUUGUGUGUUUUUUUGCGUCUCUGUCUGUGUUGCGUUCGAAAGAAAAAUACUACGUACGCAUAUUAAUUAUUUUAUUUCCUAUCAUAUUGAAUAACCAUACACUUUUUCUUCCACUCCAUGUUCCAAGUUCCAUUUUUUGACUAACAAUAGGAAAGAUUCACCGGGAUUUAAAUCUAAACAUUUGUAGUUGAGUAAUUGCUAUUGAAUCUAAAGAUCAAAUUGUGUAACCACCCUUUGUUUGUUGUAUGCUUCGUAUAGUUGUGUCUCAAUAUCCACAUUAGUACAUGCCCUGCCUCCAAAUACUUCAAUUUGUAGCUCAAUUAACUCUCGGUGUAUAUGGCACUUGACCAUCUACCAAAGCACUUGAAUUUUUCACUAUAUAUUAUUUAACGUUGUCAAAACACAUACACUUUCUCUCUAUCACUCACUCUCUCUUUCCUGCUCUCUUUCUCUCUUUGUAUCUCGUGGUGGAUUUGAGCUCUAUGUUAUUUUUGACUCUACCAUAUUUAAUAAUAUAUGGUUUAUCUCUUGCAAUUUUGUUUUCCUUGGUCAUUAAAUUUCCUGUAAAUCAUCUUCGUGUCACUAACAUCAUGUCGUGUUCUCUCUUACUGUGCCCAUAUUUGUUUUCUAUUACUCACUAUAUUUAGCAUGACUGAAUAAAAAAAAAUACUUGAGAUGGCAUGUUGUUUAUAGUCCCUAGUUUCGUAAUCAAAACAUCAUUUUGGUUCACGUUUGAUACAAUGCUCACACUAAUACCACAAUAGAACGAUCCAUAUGUUUCUUUUACUUGAUGACUUGCAUGCAUUGAAGCUGGUUUUCAUACAUGAAUAUAUUUUGAUUGUUCCCAGUGAAGCAUACUUUUUCAGUGACCAUCAAAGCGUAGCUCAACUCAUAUUCGCCUAAGUCAUGUCGACUUGUUUUUCUGUUCUAUGGAAUCCAUUCAUGUAGGUAGACUUAAGGUUGCUAAUAAUAGCCAUUAGUUAGUAUAUGUUGCAUACGAAGAGAAUUCUCACACUGUUCUAGAUUUAGUUCACAUGUAAGAGUAACUACCGAUUUAAAAUAAAUAAAAUUUUUACUUUGCGAGAUGUUUUUUUGCAAGAAUAAUUUCCAUGAUGUACUGAUGGUAAAAAAAAUUGAAUUAAUACUAUAUCAGUCCCAAAUUAAGUGUGGUUGAUCUAGUACAAAAUAUGUACUGGUUUAGUAAUAAAUCUGUGACACUUAUUUCGGGAUGGAGGGAGUAUAAAUUUAGACUUUUAUUGUAUAUGUGCCUUCUACUCAAAAUUAUUUGUAUGUAGUAUACUAUAACUUAAUUUCCAAUUUAGCUUUGUAGCCACACAAUUGGAUAGUUUUGUAUUUUCUUAUAUCAUUCAUGAUGUCAUCUAACAUAUGCUAUCUGGAUAGCUAUUCUAUCUAGUAGAUGUGUUAGGACCUUUUUUUAGCCAUAUGUACUUAGAUGUGAAAAUGGAUGGACUCUAUGUAUAUAUAUAUAUGCGUAAGGGACACAUAUUUUUUCAGUUGACCCAAUCGGUUAAUAAAUUGUACAGCCGAAACAUAAGUUAGUCCUUUUAGACGAAAAAUAUAUUAAUUUAUCACUAGUGGGGACAGGGCCUAUAGUCCCGGCCCGUAAGGGGCUUUAGUCCCGGUUCACCAACCGGGACCAAAGAGGCGGGACUAAAGGCCUAACCUUUAGUCCCGGCUCUGUUCCAAGCCGGGACCAAAGGUGCUCCACGUGGGCGCCUCGAAGGGAGUACCUUUAGUCCCGGUUCUACUUACGAACCGGGACUAAAGGAUCCGUCUGUUUAUUUUGUUUGUUUGACCCGAAAAGUUAGAUUUUUUUUAAUUUUUUUCAAAUUUUAUUUUUGAAUAUUUUUUAUGUUUUAUUCCAAUUUUCAAAUCUUUGAAUUAUUUGACAAUUUAAUAUCUAAUCACCCAUCCUCACUGCUGUAGCAUGGAUCACUCAUUUCAAAUCGUCUAACUUCCCGGCCGAUCACCUGUCCUUUCACUGCUUCAGCCCGAGCACGCUUAACUUUCUCGUUCUAUCGCCCCUAGUUGCCAAGUGUGCACUUGUUGUUUUCUUGACAAUAGUAAGCUAUCAAUCCUAAACAACUUGGGUCUUAAUGUCAUGUCACAUGAUUUAAUUUUUUGAAUUACAAACAAUUAUUAAAAUAAACUUAAUAAGUAACAAUAAUAGUGAAUUUCAAUGAAAAUAACGUAAUAUUUUUAAAUAAAUUAUUUUUUCUUUUUUUUUUUGAAAAAAACUUCUUUUUUGAAAUAACUUUUUUUUCCAUUUGGAAUUUUGAGCAUGUGAGAAAACUUCACCAGGCAAGCCCGGGUGAAAUCGAGUACCAAUUUUUUCUAGUUUUUUUUUAUAUUUUUUUUUGGUACGUCGUAUUCAAAAGUUAUGGCCGUUUAUUUUUUUUGCAAAAACGGUCAAAAUUCAUAUCUCAAAAUUUCUAUACCGAGUAGACACUAAAACCUAAAAACAUCUCAAAGGAUUUUAUUUUUUCAAGAUUUUAUCAUUUUUUUUAUUUUUUGAAGAUUUUAUCAUUUUUGUUUAUUUCUACAAAACUCAAAGUAUCAAGGUUUCAGACGAAAACCCAUCUGCUAUAAAGGCAUUCUUUUUAAAUUAAUUGAACUGUAGAUUUUUUUUGUGCAUUAAAUAUGCACCAUACUACAACAUGUUAAAAUCUACAAAAAUAACUAACUAAAAAUAAUAAAAAAACAACAAUUAAAUGACUAAAUCAACUAUAUAAGAAAAACAAUAUUUCUUUAAUUAAAAUUCUAAUUUAAAUUAUUCUAAAAAUAACCAAAUAAAUCUUACUGUGACAACAAUUAAUCUAACACAUGAGUGGGAGCAAAAAUAAUUAAAUUAAAAACUAUUUGUAAACUCAAGUUAUUCAAAAACUGGGUUUGAAGUAAAUUUAAAUAAAUUCAAAUUUAAACCAUUUAAAUUUGAAAACUAAUUACACAAACAGAAACUAGACAAAAUUUUGAAUCUAAUGCAAAAAGAAUCAAUCAAAAACAUCAAAUAUCCUAAAAGAUAUAAGCAAUUUAAAACAGAAACUACAAACAAGAAUUUAAAAACAGAAAAAAAAAUCUGAACACCUUUAGUCCCGGUUCGUGUCACGAACCGGGACUAAAGGUCUACCCUUUAGUCCCGGUUCAAGACACGAACCGGGACUAAAGCCUCCAAACCUUUUAGUCCCGGUUCGAGUUACGAACCGGGACUAAAGGUCCCAUUUGAACCGGGACUAAUGCCCGGCCGACGCCUUUGCCGCUUGAACCAGGACUAAUACUAACAUUAGUCCCGGUUCGUAAAGGAACCGGGACUAAUGUGUUUUUCGAGCUGGGACGAAAGCCCUUAUUUCUACUAGUGUAUUACACGUGUGCAAAUAUAUACAUGUGACAUGUGCCUUUGUUUUGCAUGGACACGUAAACGGUGCCUGCUAGUGCAAAUCCGAUUGGUUCUCUAUACACACAUGCAUAUCCGAUUCUUGUACGGGACGUCAAAAAAGAAAAGUUUUUUUAGAAAAGGAGGAUGACUCCCGGCCUCUGCAUCUGGGAGAUGCAUGCGGUCAUUUUAUUGAUUCUUUAUUAGGACCUUACAAAGCAGUACAACAAUAUGUCUGAAUCCGUCAUCUUGGCAACAUCUGUCGCUACUCCUAUCCAUAUGAUGAAGGGUGCAAGCUGGAUCAAAUACCCAUACCUCUCACCUAAGCCUAACAUCUAAAGCCGGAGACCCUAACCGAGCCACAUACCGGGUCCGGGGCACAAACCGGUCCGACGCACUCACAUGUGUCGUCGCCGCCAUCUUACACUGGUCCAUCUCCAGAUCAGAUAAAGGUACUGAUACGUCUCUAAUGUAUCUAUAAUUUUUGAUGGUUUCAUGCUAUUAUCUUGUCAAACUUUGGAUGUUUUGCAUGCCUUUUAUUUAUUUUCUGGGACUAACUUAUUAAUCCAGUGCCAAGUGCUAGUUCCUGUUUUUUCCAUGUUUUGACCCCUUUUAGAUGAGGAUUUUGAACGGACUCCAAACAGAAUAAAAUUUCCGAAAAGAUUUUUUUCGGAACGGAAGAAGAUCGGCAGACUUGAGAACCAAGGCAGGGGGUCCUCAGGGACCCCACAAGCCCUCAUGGCACGGGCAGGGGGGGCCGCGCCGUCCAGGCUUGUGGGCUCCCUGGGCCACGUCUGCCCUAGGGUUUGCGCCUAUAUAUCCCCCAAAAUUCCACAAAAAAUCAGGGGAGCAUCGUAAUCACUUUUCCGCCGCCGCAAGCCUCUGUCUCCACAACAUCCCAUCUGGAGCACGUCCUGGUGCCUUGUCGGAGGGGAGAUUCCGACACGGAAGGCUUCUACACCAAUACCAUGACCUCUCCGAUGAUGCGUUAGUAGUUCACCAUAGACCUACGGGUCCAUAGCUAGUAACUAGAUGGCUUCUUUCCUCUCUUAGAUCUUCAAUACAAAGUUCUCCAUGAUCUUCAUGGAGAUCCGAUGAAUUGUGGAUUUAUGAUAAGAUUAUCUAUGAAUCUUAUUUGAGUUUCUUCUGAUCUCUCUUAUACAUGAUUUCAUAUCCUACUAAUUGUCUUCGAGUUGUGAGUUUUGUUUGGCCAACUAGAUCUAUGAUUCUUGCAAUGGGAGAAGUGGUUGGUUUUGGGUUCAUACCGUGCGGUGACCUCACCCAGUGAUAGAAGGGGUAGCGAGGCACGUAUCGAGUUGUUGCCAUCAAGGAUAAAAAUAUGGGGUUUUCAUCAUUGGUUUGAGAUUAUCCGUCUACAUCAUGUCAUCUUGCUUAAAGCGUUACUCUGUUCGUCAUGAACUCAAUACACUAGAUGCAUGCUGGAUAGCGGUCGAUAUUUGGAGUAAUAGUAGUAGAUGCAGAAAGUAUCGGUCUACUUGUCUCGGAGGUGAUGCCUAUAUGCUAGAUCGUUGCCUUAGAUAUCGUCAUGACUUUGCGCGGUUCUAUCAUUUGAUCGACAGUAAUUUGUUCACCCACCGUGAUAUUUGCUAUUAUGAGAUAAGCCUCUAGUGAACACUAUGGUCCCCAGGGUCUAUUCCACACCAUAUAUUCCGCCUUAUACUUUUUACUUCGUUGCACUUUCCGCCUUCAGAUCUCACUUUUGCAAACUAACUUGAAGGGAUUGAUAACCCCUUUGAAGCAUUGGGUGCAAGUUGUUUGUUUUUGCGCAGGUACUUUGGACUUGACGAGGCCCUCCUUCUGGUUCGAUACCUUGGUUCUCAAACUGAGGGAAAUACUUACUGCUCCUGUCCUGCAUCACCCUUUCCUCUUCAAGGGAAAAACCAACGCAAACCAGAGGAGUAACAAGAAGAAUUCCUACGCACCAGGGAAGGACUUUUGUUGCCGUAGCAGAAGAAUUUAUGGCGCCGUUGCCGGGGAGGAAGAUCAAGUCAAGAACUCAUCCAAGUAAGUGUCGCAAACUCAUCUCUUCCACUUACUUUGUUUGCCAGUUGCCUCUCGUUUUCCCCUCCCCCACUUCACCAAUUUUCCUUUUUCGUUUGCCUUUUCGUUCGCCUUUUUCGUUCACCCUUUUUCUCGCCCACUUUUUGUUUGCUCGUGUGCUUGCUUGCUUGAUGGAGUCACCAUGAAUGAAAACACCAAGCUGUGUGACUUCUUGAAUACUAAUAAUAAUGAUUUUAUUAGUACUCCGAUUGCUCCCGCCACUAGUGCGGAGUCAUACGAAAUCAAUGCCGCUUUGCUGAAUCUUGUUAUGAAAGAGCAAUUCUCUGGCCUUCCUAGUGAAGAUGCCACAUCCCAUCUCAAUACCUUCAUUCAGCUUUGCGAUAUGCAAAAGAAAAAAUAUGUGGAUAAUGACGUGAUUAAAUUGAAGCUUCUUCCUUUCUCGUUGCGAGAUCGCGCAAAAACUUGGUUUUCUUCUUUGCCCAAAAAUAGUAUCGAUUCUUGGGAUAAGUGCAAAGAUGCUUAUAUAUCCAAGUAUUUUCCGCCGGCUAAAAUCAUCUCUCUCCGUAAUGAUAUCAUGAAUUUCAAGCAACUUGAUCAUGAACAUGUUGCACAAGCUUGGGAGAGAAUGAAAUUAAUGAUUAGAAAUUGUCCCGCUCAUGGCUUGAGCCUUUGGAUGAUUAUUCAAAUAUUUUACGCUGGCUUGAAUUUCGCUUCUAGAAAUAUCUUGGACUCCGCCUCAGGUGGAACGUUCAUGGAAAUCACGUUAGGAGAAGCCACAAAUGGCAAAUUAGUCUCAAUGGCACACUGAAAGGUCACCUACUAGUAAAAAGGUACACGCUAUAGAAGAAAUUAACUCGUUGAGUGCUAAGAUGGAUGAGUUAAUGAAUUUGGUUGCUAGUAGAAGUGCUCCUUUGGAUCCUAAUGAUUUUCCUUUGUCUUCUUUGAUUGAGAGUAGUAAUGCUAGCUUGGACGUUAAUUUUGUUGGUAGGAAUAACUUUGGCAACAACAAUGCUUUUAGAGGAAACUAUGUUCCUAGGCCUUUUCCUAGUAACUCCUCUAAUAAUUUUGGCAACUCCUACAACAAUACUCAUGGAAAUUACAAUAGAUUACCCUCCGAUCUAGAGAGUAAUAUCAAAGAGUUCAUCAACUCUCAAAAGAUUUUCAAUGCGUCCAUAGAGGAAAAACUACUCAAAAUUAACGAUUUGGCUAAGAGCGUUGAUAGGAUUUCUUGUGAUGUUGAUGCUUUGAAAGUUAGAUGUGCUCCUACCAAAAUCAACAUGGAUAAAACUUUGUAAGCUAUGCGUGUCUCCAUGAUUGAGAGCCAAGAAAGAACCGCCCAAAUUGGUGCUAGACAUGAAUGGCUUAAAAAGGCGUGUUAUCGUGAUGAGAAUCACGAAGAUCUUGCAGUCCUUGGUGUGACUCCCAUUGAAUCUUUGUUUUCUUGUGUCAAACCUAAUGAUUAUGGGGAUGGAUAUGAAUCCACUUUGGUUGAAAAGUGCCCCAAUGAUUCGGAGUCCAUCUAUCUUGAUAUUAAAGCGUUAAAAGUGGAGUAGAAGACGUUAAAACUUUGAGUAGUAAUGAAGUUACUACCAUGGAUUUCAAGGAAUUCAAUUAUGAUAGUUCCUCUGUGAUUGAAUACAUUUCUUUGAUGCAAUCCAUGUUAAACUCUCCACACACUUAUAGCCAAAACAAAGCCUUUGCCGAUCAUAUCGUCAAAGCUAUGAUAAAAGCUCUUAAAGAGAAACUUGAAUUGGAAGUCUCUAUCACUAGAAAGCUUCAUGAUGAGUGGGAAACUACCAUCAAAAUCAAAAUCAAAAACUAUUAGUGCAAUGCUUUGUGUGAUUUGGGUGCUAGUGUUUCUGCGAUUCCAAAGUCUUUAUGUGAUAUUUUGGGUUUUAAUGAGAUUGAAGAGUGUUCUCUUAAUUUGCAUCUUGCUGAUUCUAAUAUCAAGAAACCCAUGGGAAGGAUCAAUGAUGUUCUUAUUAUUGCAAAUAGGAACUAUGUACCCGUGGAUUUCAUUGUGCUUGACAUUGAUUGCAAUCCUACAUGCCCUAUUGUUCUUGGUAGACCUUUCCUAAGGACUAUCGGUGCUAUCAUCGAUAUAAAGGAAGGGAAUAUUAGAUUUAAAUUUCCAUUAAGGAAGGGCAUGGAACACUUUACUAGAAAGAAAAUAAGAUUGCCAUAUGAAUCCAUGAUGAGGGCUACUUAUGGUUUGAGCAACUAAGACGACGAUACGUGAUUCUAUCGCUACUAUGCCUAGCUAAGGGCGUUAAACAAUAGCGCUUGUUGGGAGAUAACCCAAUAAAUUUAUCUUUUUCUUUCUGUUUUUUUUGCGUCCACACUUCCACAAUUCUGUUGUUAUUGCGUUUUUUGUGUUUCUUUUUUGUGUUUGAGCCAAGCAAGACCUUUAUGUUUGGUCUUGGUAAUGGUUGUUUGAUCUUGCUGGAAAAAGACAAAAACUUUUUGCUCACGAGAUGAUUUUUCAUUUUUAUUCGGAAAUAGAUUUUGAGUUGAUUAUUUUUUCCUCUGAUUUAUAUGCUUUUUCCCUAGACCUUCGUAAUUUUUCAGAUUUUUUGUGGUACCAGAAGUAUACGAAGUAUACAGAUUGCUACAGACUGGUAUGUUUUCGACAGAUUCUGUUUUUAUUGAGUUGGUUGCUUGUUUUGAUGAAACUAUGGUUAGUAUCGGAGGGUACUAGCCAUGGAAAAGUUAGAAUACAGUAGCUCAUCAUCAAUAUGGAUGGAAUUCAAGUUUGCUAUAGUACCAAAAGAAGUGGUAGUUUGCAUUCUUGUAGUAAUGUUAUCACAAGUUUCUGUUUAAGUUUUGUGUUGUGAAGUUUUCAUGUUUUGGGUGACGUUCUCAUGGACAAAGAGAUAAGGAGUGGAAAGAUCUCAAGCUUGGGGAUGCCCAAGGCCCCCCAAGCCAAAUUCAAGGACACCAAAAAUCCUAAGCUUGGGGAUGCCCCGGGAAGGCAUCUCCUCUUUCGUCUUCAAUCCAUCGGUAACAUUACUUGAAGCUAUAUUUUUAUUCACCACAUGAUAUGUGUUUUUCUUGGAGCAUCUUGUAUCAUAGGAGUCUUUUCUUUUUGUUGUGUCACAAUCAUCCUUGCUGCACACCUUUUUGAGAGAGAGACACACACACUCAUCGUGAUUUUGCUAGAAUGCUCAUAGUGCUUCACUUAUAUCUUUUGAGCUAGAUACUUUUGCUCUAGUGCUUCACUUAUAUCUUUUGAGCUAGAUACUUUUGCUCUAGUGCUUCACUUAUAUCCUUUGAGCUAGAUACCUUUUGCUCUUGUGCUUCACUUAUAUCUUUAGAGCACGGCGGAGCGUGAUUGGUAGUUGGCUUAUGCUAUGAAAGUAGUCCCAUGUGCUAGGUACCCAAAGAGGAUGCAAAAACUUCCAUCUUCAUGUGCAUUGAGUAGAAAGAAAAGUUUCGAUUCCUCUCCAUUAGUUUUGAGACAUGGAUUCAGGAAAAUAUUAAAAUCUAUGUUAGUAGGGUGUUGUGAAUCUAGAAAUACUUGUGUUGAAGUUAGUGAUUCCCGUAGCAUGCACGUAUGGUGAACCGCUAUGUUAGGAAGUCGGAGCAUAAUUGAUCUAUUGAUUAUCAUGCUUUGCGUUGAGGUCGGGAGCGCGCGAUGGUUUACACCUACCAACCCUUCCCCUCGUGGUAUGCGUUUAGCACUUUGUUUCGAUUACUAAUAAAAACUUUUGCAACAAGUAUGUGAGUUCUUUAUGACUAAUGUUGAGUCCAUGGAUUAGAUGCACUUUCACCUUCCACCAUUUCUAGCCUCUCUAGUGCCGCGCAAUUCUCGCCGGUGCACAAAACCCACCAAACUCCUUCCUCAAAACAGCCACCAUACCUACUUACUAUGGCAUUUUCAUAGCCAUUCCGAGAUAUAUUGCCAUGCAACUACCACCGUUCCGUCUCAUGACGUGUGCCGUCACUCUCAUAUUUCCAUUGCAUGAUCAUACUAGAUCGUUGCACAUCCCGGUACACUGCCGGAAGCAUUUCCUAUGGAGUCGUCAUCAUUCUGAUUUUUGAGCUUUGAGUAACUAAAAGUGUGAUGAUCAUCAUUAUUAGAGCAUUUUCCCAUGUGAGGAAAUAAAAAAAAGAGGCCAAAGAGCCCAAAAACAAAAAAAAAGAAAAAGAGAAAAGAAAAAAAGGCCUAAGAGCCCAAAAAAAAAUGAGAGAGAAAGAGACAAGGGACAAUGCUACUAUCUUUUUCCACACUUGUGCUUCAUAUUAGCACCAUGUUCUUCAUGAUUGAGAGCUUCUUGCUUUGUCACUACCAUAUGCUAGUGGGAACCUUUUAUAUAACUUGGCUUGUAUAUUCCAAUGAUGGGCUUCCUCAAAAUUGCCCUAGGUCUUCAUGAGCAAGCAAGUUGGAUGCACACCCACUAGUUUUCCUUUUGAGCUUUCACAUACUUAUAGCUCUAGUGCAUCUCUUGUAUGGCAAUCGCUACUCAUUCACGUUGCUAUCUAUUAAUGGGCAUCUCCAUAGCCAAUUGAUACACCGAGUCAAUAUGACCAUCUCCUCCUUUUUGUCUCACAACCACCACCACACUCUAUUCCACCUAUAGUGCUAUAUCCAUGGCUCGCGCUCAUGUAUUGCGUGAUAGUUAUAAAAAGUUGAGAAAGUAAGAGUGCRAAAAACAAUUWCUUGGCCAAUMCCGRGGGUUGUGCAUGAUUUACAUUAGUUGUGYGAGGAUGAUGGAGCAUAGCCAGACUAUAUGWWUUUGUAGGGAUAACUUUCYUUGGCCUUGUUAUUUGUAAGUUCAUGAUUACUUUGCUAGUUUGCUUGAAUUAUUAUUGUUUUCAUGUCAAUAGCAAACUAUUGUUUCGAAUUUUACGGAUCUGAACAUUCAUGUCACGUGAAAGAAGUUGCAAAGGACAACUAUGCUAGGUAGCAUUCCACAUCAAAAAUUCAUUCUUUAUCACUUCCCUACUCGAGGACGAGCAGGAGUUAAGCUUGGGGAUGCUUGAUCCGUCUCCAAUGUAUCUAUAAUUUUUGAUGGUUUCAUGCUAUUAUCUUGUCAAACUUUGGAUGUUUUGCAUGCCUUUCAUAUAUUUUUUGGGACUAACUUAUUAACUCAGUGCCAAGUGCGAGUACCUGUUUUUUCCAUGUUUUUGACCCCUUUCAAAGGAGGAUUUUGAACGGAGUCCAAACGGAAUGAAACUGCCAAAAAGAUUUUUUCCGUAACAGAAAAAGAUCGGGAGUCGGAGAAUCAGGGCAGGGCCACCAGGGACCGCACAAGCCCUCAUGGCACGGCCGGGGGGGCCCGCGGCCCCCUGGCUUGUGGGCUCCCUGAGGCUCCGUUGCCCUAGGUUUUGCGCCUAUAUAUUCCCUAGAAUCCAUAAAUAAACAGGAGAUAAUCGAAAGUACUUUUCCGCUGCCGCAAGCUUCUGUCUCCACAAGAUCCCAUCUGGGGCAAGUUCUGGUGCCCUGCCGAAGGGGGGAUUCGGAUACGGAGGGCUUCUACAUCAACACCAUGACCUCUCCGAUGAUGCAUGCGCAAUUCACCAUACACCUACAGGUCCAUAGCUAGUAACUAGAUGGCUUAUUCUCUCUCUUGGAUCUUCAAUACAAAGUUCUCCAUGAUCUUCAUGGAGAUCUAUCCGAUGCAAUCUUAUUUUGCGGUGCGUUUGUCGAGAUCCGAUGAAUUGUGGAUUUAUGAUCAGAUUACCUAUGAAUCUUAUUUGAGUUUCUUCUGAUCUUUCUUUUGCAUGAUUUCAUAUCCUUGUAAUUCUCUUCGAGUUAUGGGUUUUGUUUGGCCAACUAGAUCUAUGAUUCUUGCAAUGGGAGAAGUGCUUGGUUUUGGGUUCAUACCGUGCGGUGACGUCACCGAGUGAUAGAAGCGGUAGCGAGGCAAGCAUCGUGUUGUUGCCAUCAAGGGUAAAAUGAUGGGGUUUUCAUCAUUGGUUUCAGAUUAUCCCUCUACAUCAUGUCAUCUUGCUUAAGGCGUUACUCGAUUCGUCAUGAACUCAAUACACUAGAUGCAUGCUCGAUAGCGGUCGAUGUGUGGAGUAAUAGUAGUAGAUGCAGAAAGUAUCGGUCUACUUGUCUCGGACGUGAUGCUUAUAUGUAUGAUCAUUGCCUUAGAUAUCGUCAUGACUUUGCGCGGUUCUAUCAAUUGCUCGAUAGUAAUUUGUUCACCAACCGUGAUAGUUGCUAUUUUAAGAGAAGCCUCUAGUGAACACUAUGGCCCCCGGGUCUGCUCCACACCAUAUUUUCAGCCUUACACUUUUUACUUCGUUGCACUUUCCGCAUUCAGAUCUCACUUUGCAAUCAAUCUUGAAGGGAUUGACAAUCCCUUUAAAGCGUUGGGUACAAGCUCUUUUCUGUUUGCGCAUGUACUCUGGACUUGACGAGAUUCUCCUACUGGAUUGAUACCUUGGUUCUCAAACUCAGGGAAAUACUUACUACUCAUGUGCUGCAUCACCCUUUCCUCUUCAAGGGAAAAACCAACGCAUGCCCAGGCUCCGUCAACGUGUCAAUUUCUGGCACUGUUGUCUGUUGCCGUAGCAUACGCCGAGUCGAUGUGACCAUCUCUUCCUUUUUGUCUCACAACCUCCACCACACUCUAUUCCACCUAUAGUGCUAUAUCCAUGGCUCACGCUCAUAUAUUGUGUGAGAGUUGAAAAAGGUUUGAGAAAGUAAGAGUGCAAAAACAAUUACUUGGCCAAUACCAGGGUUGUGCAUGAUUUAAAUUAGUUGUGUGGGGAUGAUGGAGCAUAGCCAGACUAUAUGAUUUUGUAGGGAUAACUUUCUUUGGCCUUGUUAUUUCGGAAGUUCAUGAUUACCUUGCUAGUUUGCUUGAACUAUUAUUGUUUUCAUGUCAAUAACAAACUAUUGUUUUGAAUUUUACGGAUCUGAACAUUCAUGUCACAUGAAAGAAGUUACAAAGGACAACUGUGCUAGGUAGCAUUCCACGUCAAAAAUUCAGUCUUUUAUCACUUCCCUACUCGAGGACGAGCAGGAGUUAAGCUUGGGGAUGCUUGAUACGUCUCCAAUGUAUCUAUAAUUUUUUAUGGUUCCAUGCUAUUAUCUUGUCAAACUUUGGAUGUUUUGUAUGCCUUUUAUAUCUUUUUUGGGACUAACUUAUUAACUCAGUGACAAGUGCCAGUUCCUGUUUUUUCCGUGUCUUUGACCCUUUUCAGAGGAGAAUUUUAAACGGUGUACAAACGGAAUAAAACUUCCGAAAAUAUUUUUUCCGGAACAGAAGAUACGCAGGGGACGUGAGAACCAAGGCAGAGGCCACCAGGGGAGGCCACAAGCCCCCUAGGCGCGGCCAGGGGGGCCUGCGCCUAGCAGGCUUGUGGGCCCCCUGUGGCUCGUAUGCCCUACCUCUUCCGCCUAUAAAUUCCCGAAAAAUCCAAAACUGCGAAAGAGAUCCACGAAAAUACUUUUCCGCCGCCGCAAGCUUCUGUCUCCGCAAGAUCCCAUCUGGGGCAUGUUCCGGUGCCCAGCCGGAGGGGGAUUCGGAUACGGAGGGCUUCUUCAUCAACACCAUGGCCUCUCCGAUGAUGCGUCAGUAGUUCACCAUAGACCUUCGGGUCAUAGCUAGUAGCUACAUGGCUUCUUCUCUCUCUUGGAUCAUCAAUAUAAAGUUCUCGAUGAUCUUCAUGGAGAUCUAUCCGAUGUAAUCUUCUUUCGUGGUGUAUUUGUCGAGAUCCGAUGAAUUGUGGAUUUAUGAUCAAAUUAUCUAUGAAUUUUAUUUGAGUUUCUACUGAUCUCUUAUAUGCAUGAUUUCAUAUCCUUGUAAUUCUCUUCGAGUUGUGGGUUUUGUUUGGCCAAGUUGAUCUAUGAUUCUUGCAAUGGGAGAAGUGCUUGGUUUUGGGUUCAUACCAUGCGGUGACCUCACCCAGUGACAGAAGGCGUAGCGAGGCACGUAUCGUGUUGUUGCCAUCAAGGGUAAAAAGAUGGGGUUUUCAUCAUUGGUUUGAGUUUAUCCCUCUACAUCAUGUUAACUUGCUUAAGGCGUUACUCUAUUCGUCAUGAACUCAAUACACUAGAUGCAUGCUGGAUAGUGGUCGACGUGUGGAGUAACAGUAGUAGAUGCCGACAAUAUCGGUCUACUUGUCUCGGACGUGAUGCCUAUAUGUAUGAUCAUUGCCUUAGAUAUCGUCAUGACUUUGCGCGGUUCUAUCAAUUGCUCGAGAGUAAUUUGUUCACCCACCAUAAUAUUUGCUAUUUUGAGAGAAGCCUCUAGUGAACACUAUGGCCCCCGGGUCUACUUCACACCAUAUUUUCAGCCUUACACUUUUACUUCGUUGCACUUUCCGCCUUCAGAUCUCACUUUGCAAUCAAUCUUGAAGGGAUUGACAACCCCUUUAUAGCGUUGGGUGCAAGCUUGUUUGUGUUUGCACAGGUACUCUAGACACUUGGCUUGAUUCUCCUACUGGAUUGAUACUUUGGUUCUCAAAACUGAGGGAAAUACUUACUUCUACUGUGUUGCAUCACCCUUUCCUCUUCAAGGGAAACCCAACGCAAGCUCAAGAGGUAGCACAUGUGCAAUCUUUUUCCAGCCCGUGAAUACACCAGCCAUCUUCUUUAGAACCCACUCCUUGACUUUUUUCUCUAGGGCCUCUUUUCCCCUCUUCAUUUCCUCCUCAUUUGGCUCCUCCUCAUGUGGAUCAACCUCUGGCGCCGGCAGGGUGAAAUGAAGCAUGAGAUUUCUCCAAAGGUUUUCUUUGGCUGUCGUGCCGACAUAUGAGACUCCUUCCUCCCUUGGCUUAAUCCAUUCUCGAGUGGUGAUAGGGAUGUGGUCCCUAACAACAACUCUGCAUGCCUUCACAAACUUCUGCUUUACAUCUGUGGGAGCAAUUGAUUGACCGACAUUUGAGACUGUUUCGAUCCUGUAUCUAUCACCGUCAUCCAGCUUUUUGGUUGGGCCUCAUUUUGUCCGUACUGAUGUUUUGCUCGAUCUGGAGGGCUAAAAGAAAGAGCGUUAAUAUAUGUAUACAGAAGAGGAUUAAUUUAUUAAUAUAUAUAUGCACCUCGACGGAGCGAUCAACUUCUCCCUCGUCGUCUUCUUCCUCAUUGAAGCCGCCAAUUCCUCCCUCGCCACAGGCGUGGGCAUCUACUUCACCGGAGCUUCUACCUCCUGUGUUCAGAGACUCAUCUCCCUCGCCGGACUCGUUCAGAAACUGAUUGGUGAUAUCGGCAUCGCCAACUAAAAUAUCAUCCCCGCGGAUGACACCAUGCAUCACGUCUUCCUGAUAUUCGUCUCUACCGAGUAUUGGAUCCAUAGUAUCUACAAAUUAAUUAAACAUAAAAAACUAAAUUAACUAACUACUAAAACUCCCGCUUAUAUACUUCUAACAAUCCACUUAUCAUCGAAUAAUCCACUUAAUAUUAUUGAAUAUAUAAUCUGGAAUACAUAAAUAAUACAUCUCCCAAAUACAGUAAUACAUCGAAUAAUAUAUAACUGAUCAACCAACAAAGAGCCGUCGUUGUACUGAGGCGCGUGCGGUGGAGACCCAAAGAGUAGGGACAAUCAUCAGAUCAUAGCUCAGGUGAGAUCCCUGAAGAACCUGCCAGGUACUGGAUAACCUGGCAUUCCACGCCUCCAUGUAGGGACGGACGUGCUCGUCCUCCUCCCUGACACGACGACGUACCUCCUCCUCGAGGCCCGGCAACCUAGGCACCGAAAGUGCCCCCCGCGACUGCCACCAAAGAAGUUUUGGGUCGGCGACGGGAGCCCGGCUCCUCACCAAGCCGCGCGCCCCGGAAGGUAACUCCUCCCAGUGCCAGGCCGGUGGAGCCGAGUCCCGCACAUCCUCGCGCCUAUCAAGCACGUGGUCGCCAACGAGUCGACGACGAGGAUGCGGGUCGGGCAUCGUAUGACCUACUAUUUAAAUUCCUACUAUUUAAUAAACUUUUCUAAACUUGUACUCCCUCCGUUCCAAAAUAUAAGACCUUUUAAAGAUUUCAUCAGAAAACAACAUACGAAGCAAAAUGAGUGAAUCUAUACUCUAAAAUAUGUCUAACGGAUUCUCUUAACCUUUAGGGGAUUUAACAAAAUGGCGACAUUCUGGAUGUGUAGAAAAAUGAUCCAUAUUUUUCCUAAUCUCAUCUACCCUUCUAUAUGUCACAUUGUCGAUGCUAUGAAGCUUUACAAAGUUGCUUUCAAACAGAAUCCCGAAUAGGAUAAUUAGCUUUUUGGUACGCAGUUCAAAAAGAGCCAUCCGAAUAUCGCUAUUUGGAAGGACUUUGCUAAACUUCGUACCAAAAAAGAAUUAUUCUAUCACGAACUCCGUUCCAAAAAAAAAUUUCGAGAGCCUGAUAGCGACAUGCGUCUGUUACUACCUGGUAAUGAUGAAGCCAUGGAUUUCUUCAAUACUUUGACAAACAACAACGUGACAUAUAGAAUCUAGCUAGCUAGGUUACAUAGAUGAGACAAAAAAAAUUGAAUCAACUUGUGCAGAUACAUAAUGUAGCAUUCUUGAUAAAUCCAUUAUUAACACUAACAAUGUUGUUUCCUCUAGAUUAAACUACACCUAAAAGAAAAUUCACUUAAACAUGUACAAUCUACAAUCUAGAAUUAUUCUACAAUCUACAAACAUCACUUAAAUCACUACAAAUAUCACUUAAACAUAUGCUUAAGUGAUAUUUGUAGUGAUUUAACUGAUAUUUGUAGAUUGUAGAUUUGUAUAUGCUUAAACGCUAACUGUGGCCUAAACUAAAAGGCCCUAAACUAACUUACUUAAUAUAAAAGAAACCUGCGUACUUAACCCUAAACUAACAAUAACCUAUUAAUUAACACUAACCGUGACCUACAAAUAACACAAAUAACCUAUUUAACACUAACCUACCUAAUCCUAAAUUCACAAAAUAUUCUACAAAUAACACUUAAGCAUAUACAAUAGAAAAAUUAAGUGAUAAUAUACAAAACACUAAGCAACUAUAUACAAAAUAAUUAAGCGUAAGCAUGUCGACGAUCGAUCGAGAGGAGAGGAGAGAGGCUCACCGGUGGCAGGGGAUGUUGUAUCGAGGAGGACGGCAGAGGCGGGAGGAGCGCGGCGUCGUCGACGGGGAGGAGGGCGCGCGAGGAGGUCCGGCGCCCGCGAGCACGACGGCAGGGCGUCGACGACGCGGAGCAGGGUGCGCAAGGAGGUCCGGCGCCGGUGAGGAGGACAGCAGGGCGACAGCGACGGCACGCAGCCUGGCGGCGUCGAGCAGUUCGUCCGAUGCUGCACGCGAGCGAGAGGAAGAAGGGAAUGAAAAGGGCGUUUGGAUUUGGAUUUUCGUCGGGGCUUUAUAUAUAGUAGGAUCUUUAGUCCUGGUUCGGGGCUCGAACCGAGACUAAAGACACCCUUUAGUCAAGGGUGGAGCCACGACCCGGGACUAAAGAUCCUUUUUCGGCAACCCAAAAGGUGGGAAGCACGGGCCUUUAGUCCCGGGUCAUAGCUCCACCCGGUCCUAAAGGGAGUCUUUAGUCCCGGUUCGAGCCCUGACCCGGGACUAAAGACGUGGGUUGGCUCCGGCGCGGCGCAUGGCAAUCUUUAGUCCCACCUUGCCGAGCGAGGAGCAUUGGCAUUGCUUUAUAAGCACUGCCAGCGCCAGCUCAUUUGAGCUUCUCUCUAUUGCAGGCCUAUCGUCCUAACUCUCCUCUCGUUGCCUGUUGUGCCUAUUGGGCCCGCGGGCCUGCAUCCUGGCCCACCUGUCAGGUAGGGUUUCUAGUCGUAUGCAGGCCUUGAUGCCCAAUAGGCGAUAUUUUUUACUUUAAUAAUUUUAGUACCACUUUAUAUUUUAAUUCUCUGCUAUUAAAGAUUUUUUUUCUCUUUUUUUAGUUUUCUAUUUAAAAUUUUAACAAAAAAACUUCAUGAAGAUUCUUUUGAGUUGAUAUUAUUUUUGUUUAUUUUUAGUUAAUGUUUUACUUGAUUCAUUUUAGCAUAUAAAGCACUUUGCUAAUUUUAGUUCAUUUUUUAGUUAAUGUUUUAGUUGAUUCUUUUUAGUUGACAUCAGAAAUUUUCAACAAUUUCUGACUUCGUUUGAUACUUUUCGUGCAUUUACUUAUUUUUUAACUAAUUGACCCUGAAAUUGAAAAGCACGACAAAUGAACUCUAAAAAUGUUGAAAGUUGGCAUGGUAUCAUCAUUUCACCCACAUAGAAUGUGCUAAAAAGUUGAGAGGGUUACGACAAAAACUGGAUGCACUUCGUGUACAAAACGAACAAUCUCUUUCGAAGUAUGAGGGUUUCGAACGAGAACUCAUCUGUUACAAAGGGAUUUCAUUUUUUUGAACUUAUUUGAAUUCCAUACUUUUUGUGUGUUGAAAAUGCACCAUUCAAAGGCACAUCACAAAUUUUCAACAAUUUCUGACUUCAUUUGGUAUUUUUCGUGCAUUUACUUAUUUGUUUUGAGCUAAUUGAUCCUGAAAUUGAAAAGCACUACAAUCGAUCUCUGAAAAAGUUAGAAGUUGGCAUGGUAUCAUCAUUUCACCCACAUAGCAUGUGUUAAGACAUUGAGAGGGUUACGACAAAAACUGGAUGCACUUCGUAUACAAAACGGACAAUCUCUUUCGAAGUUUAAUACAUUAGUACACAUCUCAUAAAGUUUAAUACAUUACAUAGAUUUAUAUUUCGACCCCUUGCCUAUGAUCGCUUUAGCCGUAACCAUGGAGCAUCUUCAUUAUUUUACGGGAUGCUUGGGUCAAUUUUCACUAUGAAGGGAGGAAUUUCAUCAAACUUAUUAUAACCUGCUCACAUGUCUGUCUUGUCCACGAUCCCGAUGAUGUUUCUUUUCCCUGAAAGAACUAUGUGACGCUUUGGCUCAUCGUUCGAUGUAUUCAUUUGCUUAUUUUUUAUUUUUUUAGGUCUGGAGGACAUGUCUUUCACGUAGAAAACCUGAGCCAUAUCAUUGGCUAGCACGAAUGGCUCGUCUCUGUAACCAAGAUUCUUGAGAUCAACUGUUGUCAUUCCAUACAACUGGUCCACCUUUACCCCUUCUCCAUUCAUGUUCACCCAACUACACCAAAACAAAGGGACCUUAAAGUUAGGUCCAUAGUUAAGUUCCCAUAUCUCCUCUAUGUAACCAUAUUAUGUGUCCUUUUUCCCAUUCUCAUCUGCCGCAUCAUAGCAGACACCACUGUUUUGGUUGGUGCUCUUUUUAUCUUGGGCGGUCGUGUAAAAUGUAUUCCCGUUUAUCUCGUACCCUUGGAAAUGUAAUACAGUCGAAGAAGGUGACGCGGCCAACAAGUAGAGUUGAUCUCCAACAGUGUUGUCAUUCAUGAGACGUGCUCGCAACCAACUGCCGAAAGUAUCCAUGUGUUUUUCUUCAAUCCAGGAGAUAGCCUUUCCCGGGAACUCAGAGCAUACAAAAUUCUUGUGUUCAUCGAUAUACGAAGCCAUGAAGACCACAUCCUUCUGUAGCCUUUCCAGACGUUCUCGAUUGAUUACGUUCUGAGAUAUUGCAUUGAGGAAUGCACAUAGAUUCACAAUGGGUAAUCGAACAUUUUCCGAUAGAAGCCCCCUCAAUGCAACCGGAAGCAACUGCGUCAUAAUCACGUGGCAAUCAUGAGACUUCAGGUUAUGAAAUUUUUUCUCUGCCAUAUUUAUUAUUCCCUUUAUAUUAGACGAGAAGCCAGCGGGGACCUUCAUACUGCUCAGGCAUUCAAAAAAGAUUUCCUUCUCUGCUUUGGUAAGAGCAUAAUUGCUUAAGUAUUGAUGCCCUUUAUCAGUUUUCUUGUCGUAUGGGUCUUUCAUACGUUGCUGCUCCUCCCGUGCUUCUGUUGUAUAUUUUAUCUUCCCAUACACGCCCAGGAAGCCUAGCAGGUUCACGCAAAGAUUCUUCGUCGCGUGCAUCACAUCGAUUGAAGACCGGACCUCUAGGUGUUUCCAAUAGGGUAGCUCCCAAAAUAUAGAUUACUUUUUCCACAUGGGCACGUGUCCAGUAACGUCGUCUUUCGGAACAGAUUGACCACCAGGACCCUUUUCAAAGAUUACUAUUUGAUCCAAAUCCUUGACCAUAGCCAAUAACUCAUCACGAGUAGGGAGGUUAGGCUUCUUCCGGUGAUCUGCCUCACUGUUGAAAUGCUUGCCUUUCUUUCUUACAGGAUGAUUGGUCGGAAGAAAUUGACGACACCCCAGGGAGGCAACCUUCUUAGAUUUUUCCAAAUAUGUAACUUUAGUCUUAUCUAAACAAUGCGUGCAUGCAUUGUAUCCCUUGUUUGACUGUCCUGAAAUGUUACUAAGAGCAGGCCAAUCAUUGAUGGUUACGAACAACAAUGCUCGUAGGUCAAAUUUCUGCUGUUUGUGCUCAUCCCACACAUGUACACCUGGUUUGGCCACAACUGCAAAAGUUCAUCAAAUAAUGGCCUUAGGUACACAUCAAUGUCGUUGCCGGGUUGCUUCGGUCCUUGGAUGAGCACUGACAUCAUAAUAAACUUACGCUUCAUGCACAACCAAGGAUGAAGGUUGUAGAUACAUAGAGUCACGGGCCAGGUGUUGUGACUGCAGCUCUACUCCCCAAAAGGAUUCAUGCCGUCUAUACUUAGACCAAGCCAUAAGUUCCUUGGGUCAUCUACAAAGUCCGGGCACUCGCUCUCGAUUUUACUCCACUACGACCCAUCAGCGAGGUGUCUCAACUUUUUCCCACCUUCUUACGCUCGUCUUUGUGCCAUCGCAUCAACUUGGCAUGCUCAUUGUUUCUGAACAUACGUUUCAACCGUGGUAUUAUAGGAGCAUACCACAUAAUCUUAGCAGGAACCUUAUAGGAACAUACGUUUCAGCAGGGUCAUUUGUCUGAUCUUCUACCAACAUGCAGUGCAUACCGGGCAUUUAUCCAUAUUCUCGUACUUCUCACCGCAGUACAGGAUGUAGUCAUUAAUGCAUGCAUGUAUCUUCUGCUCAUCUAAUCCAAGAGGGAAGAUAGCCUUCUUUGCUUCAUACGUAGUCUCGGGCAUUUCGUUAUCCUUUGGAAGCUUAGGCUUCAAUAUUUUCAGUAACUUCUCAAAUCCGUUGUCACAUAAACCAGUUUCUGCCUUCCAUUUCAACAGUUCCAGUGUGGUAUCGAGCUUUGUGCUGCCAUCUUUGCAAUUUGGGUACAACAACUUUUUAUGAUUCUUUAGUAUGGCCUCCAAUUUCAACUUCUCCUUUUCUGUAUCGCAUUCUCUCUUUGCAUCAGAAAUGACCCGACCAAGACCAUCAGCGGGCUCAUCUGAUGCCAGUUGUUCUUCACCUCCUUCUUCUUCAUUGUCUUCAAUUGCACUAUCACCGUAGCAUUCUCUCCGAAGCAUGUGGCCUUGAAUGGUUUUCGAGCUAGAGUACUCCUUCACGUUUUGACAGCCAACACAUGGACAAGGCAUAAAAUUAUCCACUUUUUUUGCCUCAGCCACAUCGAUAAAUUUAUGCAGGCCUGCAAUAAAUACGGAACAACGUCGUUCGCCGUAUAUCCAUCGCUUUCGUGCAUCGAUCUGCAUCAUACAUAAAUAGUGAAAUGACCAUCGUACAUGGACACAUGCAAUAUUUUUGUACCAAUUAUAGAUGAAAAGGAUAAGGUUGCUAACCUCGGUCCAGGAUACCAUUUGGUGUGAACUUAAGUGUGACUCGGGCAUUAAUCUCGGUUCGUAAUGUACUCUGAAGUGCGUCGGUCACCGUACAUCCAUUGGCGAUUCAUCUGUAUUAUGAAAUUAAGUAUAUCAAAAAACCAUUGCAGAACAUCAUGAAUAGAGAAAUGACCAAAUUAAUACAAGUUCAUCAUCACAUUAAAAUCAAAGCACAGUAGUGAUCAAAUGUUAUAUGCAAAAAUAAUUACAUAAAUUUCUCUCAUAAAACAACAUACAACUAUGUAAAACAUUUAAAUGCAACAACAAAUCCGAUCAAAAUCGCAACUAAGGUAACAAUUGGCCCAACAUCAUAAUGAUACCAAGGCUCUUUAUCAAUGGCAUAUUUUCUAAUAUUCCUAAUCUUCAAGCGCAUUUCAUCCAUCUUCAAGCGCAUUGCAUCCAUCUUCAACCGCAUCGCAUCCAUAUUCAUCUUGCGAUCAUCGACGACAUCGGCAACAUGCAACUCCAGUUCCAUAUACUUCUCCUCAAUUAUUUCCAAUUUUUUCUUCAAGUAAUUGUUUUCUUUUUCAACCAAAUUUAACUUCUCGACCUGAAUUUCUAUGUGGGUUGAACUUUUCGGUUCCCAUACCUCUUAGAUUAAAAAAUAUAUGUCACGUUGGUCGUCAUAAUUGUCAUAAACAUUAAAUAAGACAAAUAGUUAUAAAAGAUAAUAUGUACCACAUCCGAAUCGUAGACAUGACGAGGGCCGACGGAAGCGGAUACCAAAACCAUCGCACUAUGUAAUAACAAAAAAUAAUGAAAGUAAGUAAUUUAUACACGUAUCUAUCUAAAUCAUACAAGAAAGAAAUUUUGUUCUUUUAGAAAGAAUACAAGAACAAGAGGCUCACCACGGUGGUGCUCGCGACGAGUUCGGCGCGGGUGAUCGACAACAGUGAGGACGGGCACGGGACGACACCCUACACAUUGCAGACUCUAAGAAGUAAAUUUGAGCUUAUAUUUUGCAUCUAAAACAAAAUAACUCCCACAUACACGCCUACACUAAAACCCACAAACCACUCUACUUUUAAAGCAUUUGAAAUGAGUUAAACUAGCAGUAAGAGAUGAAAGGAUGAAGUAGCUAACUUUUUAAAACACUUGUGUAGUUGGUGCACAGUCAAACCUAGACAAAUAUUGAGGAAAAUGGAGCUUGGAGGUCGAGCUUGAAGAGGAGAAAACUUAAGUAGUGUGGCUCGGGUAUUUCAUCGAACACCUCAUGUGCAUGAACUAGAAGGGUGGCAAGAGCAUGACAUGCACACCUCAACAGCCAAAAAACAGAGGAGAGGGUGGGAGGGGCGAGGGUAUAUAUAGACAGCACUUUAGUCCCGGUUUUUGUCUAAAAACGGGACUAAUAGCCUACCAUUUAGUUCCGGUUCUGGCUACAAACCGGGACUAAUGCUCCGCGGCACGCCACGUGCCACUCGCUGGAUCUUUAGUCCCGGUUUUUGCCCCGAACCGGAACCAAUGCCUGGCAUUGGUCCCAGUUUUACUUCGACCCGGGGCUAAUGGUCUAUUGUGCUCCGGUCGAAAGACCCAUUUUCUACUAACGACUGCUACCGCCGGUGCCUCAUUGGGUCAUGUUUAGCAGUAGCGCUUUUUGCAUACCAAACGCUACUGCUAAAGCCAUUAUCAGUAGCGCUUGACAGAGCCAGCGAUACUACUACUAAAUAGAAGUAGCGCGUGCUAUUUUCCAGUACUAUUACUAGGCUCCUACCUAUAAAGUUUUUUCUACUAGUGUCUUGCUCUAGCCUCUUACUCAAUCUCUACCAAUUUUUCGUCCACCUGCAAAUCAAUUAAUCAGCUUGAUUCGCUAGCUUUGCACUCCGAGCAAUCAAUCUGCUCUGAUGCUUUCCGUGUGCGUUGGUGUUGUGCCCACUAGCUAAGUAGCUAUAGCAUGUUUUGUGUGCAUGUGCAUUAUCUACCGGCGGAAAAUCCAUCAGGUAGCACGGUUAGCUUUGCAAAAUAGAAAAAUUAGCUAGAAAAUCUCACGUUAAUUAAAAAAUGUAUCCAUUGAUUGAUAAUCUUAGAAAAUUGUAACCGUUAACUAAAUAGAUAUUUUGGGUUGAUCAGGUACAGAAAAUAACUCUUUGACACGUUCCUAGAUAUAUAUAUAUAGGACGACAAAUAGGACUAUCCCAUCUACACGAAACAGAACUCUCUCAUACAGAUUCUCAAAAAAAAAAAAACUCUCUCAUACAAGAAAAGAAUGAGUCCCAUAAAAGACCCACGCACGUCUUCCUCCCUCCUCCCAACCCUAGCCGCCUCCCCUCCCCCUCCCUUCCUCGCCGCCGCCUGAGGCAGCCGUCGGGCAAGCCCGGGGCUCCAAGGAUGGUGGCAGCGGGGCCUAGGCUGCCCUGCCUCGGAUCUGGAGCGGCGGCUUCAUUGACGAGGCACGACACGCUAGCAGCCGUGCGGUCGGUGGAUUUGGCGCCUCGGCCGCGUGGGCGGCGGGAUCCGGUGGUCGUUGGCGUCCGGCGGCGGCUUUUACGGUGGCCGGUGCACGCGAUCCGGCGCCUCCCCUCCUCCCGUGUUUGGCGUGCGGGCCAGCCUGGUCAGGCCGCGCUUCCUUGGGUUGUCGGUUUUGUACAGGAGGCGCUCCUGGUGGCGGGAUCUAGUUCGGGCAAAAUCCCUGGUCGGCCAUGGCCGGCCGCGUCGACGGCGAUGCUUGAGGGCGUCGUUCCCCUCCUUGGAGGCGUCGGUAUGGACUGAUCCCCUCACUUCCCCUUCCCCUAGGUCUACCGGGCGAAAGCCUUAACUUUGUUCGGCAGCGGCGGCGCUCAACGCUUUGGGAAGCUUGGGGUUGGGUGGCGCUUGUGGGUGGUGGACGACGACGGUGGUGCGACCCUAUGCUAGCAUGGAUCUCCAUCCGUUGCUUGGAGAUGGAUUAGCGUAGGUGGAGAUCGUCGUUUGGUGUCAUGGUGGCGUCGAGGGCGGAGGCACCUACCAAGGAUGGUACCUGGUGCGGCAACAAAAGUCCUUCCCUGGCGCGUAGGAAUUCUUCUUGUUACUCCUCUUGUUUGCGUCGGUUUUUCCCUUGAAGAGGAAAGGGUGAUGCAGCACAGGAGCAGUAAGUAUUUCCCUCAGUUUGAGAACCAAGGUAUCGAACAAAAAGGAGGGCCUCGUCAAGUCCAAAGUACCUGCGCAAAAACAAACAACUUGCACCCAACGCUUCAAAGGGGUUGCCAAUCCCUUCAAGAUUGUUUGCAAAAGUAAGAUCUAAAGGCGGAAAGUGCAACGAAGUAAAAAGUGUAAGGCUAAAAAUAUGGUGUGGAAUAGACCCUGGGGGCCAUAGUGUUCACUAGAGGCUUCUCUCAUAAUAGCAAAUAUGACGGUGGGUGAACAAAUUACUGUCGAGCAAUUGAUAGAACCGCGCAAAGUCAUGACGAUAUCUAAGGCAAUAAUCUAGCAUAUAGGCAUCACGUCCGAGAUAAGUAGACCGAUACUUACUGCAUCUACUACUAUUACUCCACACAUCGAUCGCUAUCCAACAUGCAUCCAGUGUAUUGAGUUCAUGACGAACAGAGUGACCCUUUAAGCAAGAUGACAUGAUGUAGAGGGAUAAUCUCAAACCAAUGAUGAAAACCCCAUCUUUUUACCCUUGAUGGCAACAACAUGAUACGUGCCUCGCUACCCCUUCUGCCAUUGGAUGAGGUCACCGCACGGUAUAAACCGAAAACCAAGCACUUCUCCCAUUGCAAAAAUCAUAGAUCUAGUUGGCCAAACAAAACCCACAACUCGAACAGAAUUACAAGGAUAUGAAAUCAAGCAUAAGAGAGAUGAGAAGAAACUCAAAUAAGAUUCAUAGAUAAUCUGAUCAUAAAUCCACAAUUCAUUGGAACUUGACAAACACACGCAAAAGAAGAUUACAUCGGAUAUAUCUCCAUGAAGAUCAUGGAGAACUUUAUAUUGAAGAUCCAAGAGAGAGAAUAAGCCAUCUAGUUACUAGCUAUGGACCCGUAGGUCUAUGGUGAACUGCUCAUGCAUCAUCGGAGAGGUCAUGGUGUUGAUGGAGAAGCCUUCCGUGUCCGAAUCUCCCCUCCGGCAGGGCACCAGGACGUGCCCCAGAUGGAGACAGAAGCUUGGGGCGGCGGAAAAGUGAUUACGAUGUUCCCCUAAUUUUUUGUGGAAUUUUUGGGGAUAUAUAGGCGCAAACCCUAGGGCAGACGUGGCCGAGGGAGCCCACAAGCCUGGACGGCACGGGACCCCUGGUCGCGCCAUGAGGGCUUGUGGGGUCCCUGGGACCCCCUGCCUUGGUUCUCAAGUCUCCCGAUCUUCUUCCAUUCCGGAAAAAAAUCUUUGUGGAAGUUUUAUUCCGUUUGGACUCCGUUCAAAAUCCUCCUCUGGAAGGGGUCAAAAACAUGGAAAAAACAGGAACUGGCACUUGGUAUUGGAUUAAUAAGUUAGUCCCAGAAAAUAAAUAAAAGGCAUGCAAAACAUCUAAAGUUUGACCAGAUAAUAGCAUGAAACCAUCAAAAAUUAUAGAUACGUUGGAGACGUAUCAGGCAUCCCCAAGCUUAACUCCUGCUCGUCCUCGAGUAAGGAAGUGAUAAAGAAUGAAUUUUUUAUGUGGAAUGCUACCUAGCAUAGUUGUCCUUUGCAACUUCUUUCACGUGACAUGAACGUUCAAAUCCAUAAGAUUCAAAACAAUAGUUUGCUAUUGACAUGAAAACAGUAAUACUUCAAGCAAACUAAUAAAGUAGUCAUGAGCUUUUAAAGUAACAAGGCCAAAGAAAGUUAUCCCUACAAAAACAUAUAGUCUGGCUAUGCUCCAUCAUCCUCGCACAACUAAUGUAAAUCAUGCACAACCCCGGGAUUGGCCAAGAAAUUGUUUUCGCACUCUUACUUUCUCAAACUUUUUAUAACUAUCACGCAAUACAUGAGCGCGAGCCAUGGAUAUAGCACUAUAGGUGGAAUAGAGUGUGGUGGUGGUUGUGAGACAAAAAGGAGGAGAUGGUCAUAUUGACUCGGUGUAUCAAUUGGCUAUGGAGAUGCCCAUUAAUAGAUAGCAAUGUGAAUGAGUAGCGAUUGCCAUACAAGAGAUGCACUAGAGCUAUAAGUAUGUGAAAGCUCAAAAGGAAAACUAGUGGGUGUGCAUCCAACUUGCUUGCUCAUGAAGACCUAGGGCAAUUUUGAGGAAGCCCAUCAUUGGAAUAUACAAGCCAAGUUAUAUAAAAGGUUCCCACUAGCAUAUGGUAGUGACAAAGCAAGAAGCUCUCAAUCAUGAAGAACAUGGUGCUAAUAUGAAGCACAAGUGUGGAAAAAGAUAGUAGCAUUGUCCCUUCUCUCUUUCUCUCUCAUUUUUUUUAUUUGGGCUCUUAGGCCUUUUUUUGUUUUUGGGCUCUUUGGCCUCUUUUUUUUAUUUCCUCACAUGGGAAAAUGCUCUAAUAAUGAUGAUCAUCACACUUUUAGUUACUCAAAGCUCAAAAAUCAGAAUGAUGACGACUCCAUAGGAAAUGCUUCCGGCAGUGUACCGGGAUGUGCAACGAUCUAGUAUGAUCAUGCAAUGGAAAUAUGAGAGUGACAGCACACGUCAUGAGACGGAACGGUGGUAGUUGCAUGGCAAUAUAUCUCGGAAUGGCUAUGAAAAUGCCAUAGUAGGUAGGUAUGGUGGCUGUUUUGAGGAAGGAGUUUGGUGGGUUUUGUGCACCGGCGAGAAUUGCGCGGCACUAGAGAGGCUAGAAAUGGUGGAAGGUGAAAGUGCAUCUAAUCCAUGGACUCAACAUUAGUCAUAAAGAACUCACAUACUUGUUGCAAAAGUUUUUAUUAGUAAUCGAAACAAAGUGCUAAACGCAUACUACGAGGGGAAGGGUUGGUAGGUGUAAACCAUCGCGCGAUCCGGACCUCAACGCAAAGCAUGAUAAUCAAUAGAUCAAUUAUGCUCCGACUUCCUAACAUAGCGGUUCACCAUACGUGCAUGCUACGGGAAUCACUAACUUCAACACAAGUAUUUCUAGAUUCACAACACCCUACUAACAUAAAUUUUAAUAUUCCUGAAUCCAUGUCUCAAAACGAAUGGAGAGGAAUCGAAACUUUUCUUUCUACUCAAUGCACAUGAAGAUGGAAGUUUUUGCAUCCUCUUUGGGUACCUAGCACAUGGGACUACUUUCAUAGCAUAAGCCAACUACCAAUCACGCUCCGCCGUGCUCUAAAGAUAUAAGUGAAGCACAAGAGCAAAAGGUAUCUAGCUCAAAGGAUAUAAGUGAAGCACUAGAGCAAAAGUAUCUAGCUCAAAAGAUAUAAGUGAAGCACUAGAGCAAAAGUAUCUAGCUCAAAAGAUGUAAGUGAAGCACUAUGAGCAUUCUAGCAAAAUCACGAUGAGUGUGUGUCUCUCUCUCUCAAAAAAGGUGUGCAGCAAGGAUGAUUGUGACACAACAAAAAGAAAAGACUCCUAUGAUACAAGACGCUCCAAGAAAAACACAUAUCAUGUGGUGAAUAAAAAUAUAGCUUCAAGUAAUGUUACCGAUGGAUUGAAGACGAAAGAGGGGAUGCCUUCCCGGGGCAUCCCCAAGCUUAGGAUUUUUGGUGUCCUUGAAUUUGGCUUGGGGGGCCUUGGGCAUCCCCAAGCUUGAGAUCUUUCCACUCCUUAUCUCUUUGUCCAUGAGAACGUCACCCAAAACAUGAAAACUUCACAACACAAAACUUAAACAGAAACUUGUGAUAACAUUACUACAAGAAUGCAAACUACCACUUCUUUUGGUACUAUAGCAAACUUGAAUUCCAUCCAUAUUGAUGAUGAGCUACUGUAUUCUAAAUUUUCCAUGGCUAGUACCCUCCGAUACUAACCAUAGUUUCAUCAAAACUAGCAACCAACUCAAUAAAAACAGAAUCUGUUGAAAACAUACCAGUCUGUAGCAAUCUGUAUACUUCGUAUACUUCUGGUACCACAAAAAAUCUGAAAAAUUGCGAAGGUCUAGGGAAAAAGCAUAUAAAUCAGAGGAAAAAAUAAUCAACUCAAAAUCUAUUUCUGAAUAAAAAUGAAAAAUCAUCUCGUGAGCAAAAAGUUUUUGUCUUUUUCCAGCAAGAUCAAACAACCAUUACCAAGACCAAACAUAAAGGUCUUGCUUGGCUCAAACACAAAAAGAAACACAAAAAACGCAAUAACAACAGAAUUGUGAAAGUGUGGACGCAAAAAAACAGAAAGAAAAAGAUAAAUUUAUUGGGUUAUCUCCCAACAAGCGCUAUUGUUUAACGCCCUUAGCUAGGCAUAGUAGCGAUAGAAUCACGUAUCGUCGUCUUAGUUGCCCAAACCAUAAGUAGCCCUCAUCAUGGAUUCAUAUGGCAAUCUUAUUUUCUUUCUAGUAAAGUGUUCCAUGCCCUUCCUUAAUGGAAAUUGAAAUCUAAUAUUCCCUUCCUUUAUAUCGAUGAUAGCACCGAUAGUCCUUAGGAAAGGUCUACCAAGAACAAUAGGGCAUGUAGGAUUGCAAUCAAUGUCAAGCACAAUGAAAUCCACGGGUAUAUAGUUCCUAUUUGCAAUAAUAAGAACAUCAUUGAUCCUUCCCAUGGGUUUCUUGAUAUUAGAAUCACCAAGAUGCAAAUUAAGAGAACACUCUUCAAUCUCAUUAAAUCCCAAAAUAUCACAUAAAGACUUUGGAAUCGCAGAAACACUAGCACCCAAAUCACACAAAGCAUUGCACUAAUAGUUUUUGAUUUUGAUUUUGAUGGUAGUUUCCCACUCAUCAUGAAGCUUUCUAGUGAUAGAGACUUCCAAUUCAAGUUUCUCUUUAAGAGCUUUUAUCAUAGCUUUGACGAUAUGAUCGGCAAAGGCUUUGUUUUGGCUAUAAGUGUGUGGAGAGUUUAACAUGGAUUGCAUCAAAGAAAUGUAUUCAAUCACGGAGCAACUAUCAUAAUUGAAUUCGUUGAAAUCCAUGGUAGUAACUUCAUUACUACUCAAAGUUUUAACGUCUUCUACUCCACUUUUAACGCUUUAAUAUCAAGAUAGAUGGACUCCGAAUCAUUGGGGCACUUUUCAACCAAAGUGGAUUCAUAUCCAUCCCCAUAAUCAUUAGGUUUGACACAAGAAAACAAAGAUUCAAUGGGAGUCACACCAAGCACUUUAAGAUCUUCGUGAUUCUCAUCACGAUAACACGCCUUUUUUAAGCCAUUCAUGUCUAGCACCAAUUUGGGCGGUUCUUUCUUGGCUCUCAAUCAUGGAGACACGCAUAGCUUACAAAGUUUUAUCCAUGUUGAUUUUGGUAGGAGCACAUCUAACUUUCAAAGCAUCAACAUCACAAGAAAUCCUAUCAACGCUCUUAGCCAAAUCGUCAAUUUUGAGUAGUUUUUCCUCUAUGGACGCAUUGAAAAUCUUUUGAGAGUUGAUGAACUCUUUGAUAUUACUCUCUAGAUCGGAGGGUAAUCUAUUGUAAUUUCCAUGAGUAUUGUUGUACGAGUUGCCAAAAUUAUUAGAGGAGUUACUAGGAAAAGGCCUAGGAACAUAGUUUCCUCUAAAAGCAUUGUUGUUGCCAAAGUUAUUCCUACCAACAAAAUUAACGUCCAAGCUAGCAUUACUACUCUCAAUCAAAGAAGAUAAAGGAAAAUCAUUAGGAUCCAAAGGAGCACUUCUACUAGCAACCAAAUUCAUUAACUCAUCCAUCUUAGCACUCAACGAGUUAAUUUCUUCUAUAGCGUGUACCUUUUUACUAGUAGGUGACCUUUCAGUGUGCCAUUGAGACUAAUUUGCCAUUUGUGGCUUCUCCUAACGUGAUUUCCAUGAACGUUCCACCUGAGGCGGAGUCCAAGAUAUUUCUAGAAGCGAAAUUCAAGCCAGCGUAAAAUAUUUGAAUAAUCAUCCAAAGGCUCAAGCCAUGAGCGGGACAAUUUCUAAUCAUUAAUUUCAUUCUCUCCCAAGCUUGUGCAACAUGUUCAUGAUCAAGUUGCUUGAAAUUCAUGAUAUCAUUACAGAGAGAAAUGAUUUUAGCCGGCGGAAAAUACUUGGAUAUAUAAGCAUCUUUGCACUUAUCCCAAGAAUCGAUACUAUUUUUGGGCAAAGAAGAAAACCAAGUUUUUGCGCGAUCUCACAACGAGAAAGGAAGAAGCUUCAAUUUAAUCACGUCAUUAUCCACAUAUUUUUUCUUUUGCAUAUCGCAAAGCUGAAUGAAAGUAUUGAGAUGGGAUGUGGCAUCUUCACUAGGAAGGCCAGAGGAUUGCUCUUUCAUAACAAGAUUCAGCAAAGCGGCAUUGAUUUCGUAUGACUCCGCACUAGUGGCGGGAGCAAUCGGAGUACUAAUAAAAUCAUUAUUAUUAGUAUUCGAGAAGUCACACAGCUUGGUGUUUUCAUUCAUGGUGACUCCAUCAAGCAAGCAAGCACACGAGCAAACAAAAAGCGGGCGAGAAAAAGGGCGAACGAAAAAGGCGAACGAAAAGGCAAACGAAAAAGGAAAAUUGGUGAAGUGGGGGAGAGGAAAACGAGAGGCAACUGGCAAACAAAGUAAGUGCAAGAGAUGAGUUUGCGACACUUACUUGGAUGAGUCCUAAAGGGAGUCUUUAGUCCCGGUUCGAGCCCCGACCCGGGACUAAAGACCUGGGUUGGCUCCGACGCGGCGCAUGGCAAUCUUUAGUCCCACCUUGCCGAGCGAGGAGCACUGGCAUUGCUUUAUAAGCACUGCCAGCGCCAGCUCAUUUGAGCUUCUCUCUAUUGCAGGCCUAUCGUCCUAACUCUCCUCUCGUUGCCUGUUGUGCCUAUUGGGCCCGCGGGCCUGCAUCCUGGCCCACCUGUCGGGUAGGGUUUCUAGUCGUAUGCAGGCCUUGAUGCCCAAUAGGCGAUAUUUUUUACUUUAAUAAUUUUAGUACCACUUUAUAUUUUAAUUCUUUUCUAUUAAAGAUUUUUUUUCUCUUUUUUUAGUUUUCUAUUUAAAAUUUUAACAAAAAAACUUCAUGAAGAUUCUUUUGAGUUGAUAUUAUUUUUGUUUAUUUUUAGUUAAUGUUUUACUUGAUUCUUUUUAACAAAUAAAGCACUUUGAUAAUUUUAGUUCAUUUUUUAGUUAAUGUUUUAGUUGAUUCUUUUUAGUUGACAUCAGAAAUUUUCAACAAUUACUGACUUCAUUUGAUACUUUUCGUGCAUUUACUUAUUUUUUAACUAAUUGACCCUGAAAUUGAAAAGCACGACAAAUGAACUCUAAAAAUGUUGAAAGUUGGCAUGGUAUCAUCAUUUCACCCACAUAGAAUGUGCUAAAAAGUUGAGAGGGUUACGACAAAAACUGGAUGCACUUCGUGUACAAAACGAACAAUCUCUUUCGAAGUAUGAGGGUUUCGAACGAGAACUCAUCUGUUACAAAGGGAUUUCAUUUUUUUGAACUUAUUUGAAUUCCAUACUUUUUGUGUGUUGAAAAUGCACCAUUCAAAGGCACAUCACAAAUUUUCAACAAUUUCUGACUUCAUUUGGUAUUUUUCGUGCAUUUACUUAUUUGUUUUGAGCUAAUUGAUCCUGAAAUUGAAAAGCACUACAAUCAAACUCUGAAAAAGUUAAAAGUUGGCAUGGUAUCAUCAUUUCACCCACAUAGCAUGUGUUAAAACAUUGAGAGGGUUACGACAAAAACUGGAUGCACUUCGUAUACAAAACGGACAAUCUCUUUCGAAGUUUAAUACAUUAGUACACAUCUCAUAAAGUUUAAUACAUUACAUAGAUUUAUAUUUAGACCCCUUGCCUAUGAUCGCUUUAGCCGUAACCAUGGAGCAUCUUCAUUAUUUUACGGGAUGCUUGGGUCAAUUUUCACUAUGAAGGGAGGAAUUUCAUCAAACUUAUUAUAACCUGCUCACAUGUUUGUGUUGUCCUCGAUCCUGAUGAUGUUUCUUUUCCCUGAAAGAACUAUGUGACGCUUUGGCUCAUCGUUCGAUGUAUUCAUUUGCUUAUUUUUUAUUUUUUUAGGUCUGGAGGACAUGUCUUUCACGUAGAAAACCUGAGCCAUAUCAUUGGCUAGCACGAAUGGCUCGUCUCUGUAACCAAGAUUCUUGAGAUCAACUGUUGUCAUUCCGUACAACUGGUCCACCUUUACCCCUUCUCCAUUCAUGUUCACCCAACUACACCAAACAAAGGGACCUUAAAGUUAGGUCCAUAGUUAAGUUCCCAUAUCUCCUCUAUGUAACCAUAUUAUGUGUCCUUUUUCCCAUUCUCAUCUGCCGCAUCAUAGCAGACACCACURUUUUGGUUGGUGCUCUUUUUAUCUUGGGCGGUCGUGUAAAUGUAUUCCCGUUUAUYUCGUACCCUUGGAAAUGUAAUACAGUCGAAGAAGGUGACGCGGCCAACAAGUAGAGUUGAUCUCCAACAGUGUUGUCAUUCAUGAGACGUGCUCGCAACCAACUGCCGAAAGUAUCCAUGUGUUUUUCUUCAAUCCAGGAGAUAGCCUUUCCCGGGAACUCAGAGCAUACAAAAUUCUUGUGUUCAUCGAUAUACGAAGCCAUGAAGACCACAUCCUUCUGUAGCCUUUCCAGACGUUCUCGAUUGAUUACGUUCUGAGAUAUUGCAUUGAGGAAUGCACAUAGAUUCACAAUGGGUAAUCGAACAUUUUCCGAUAGAAGCCCCCUCAAUGCAACCGGAAGCAACUGCGUCAUAAUCACGUGGCAAUCAUGAGACUUCAGGUUCUGAAAUUUUUUCUCUGCCAUAUUUAUUAUUCCCUUUAUAUUAGACGAGAAGCCAGCGGGGACCUUCAUACUGCUCAGGCAUUCAAAAAAAGAUUUCCUUCUCUGCUUUGGUAAGAGCAUAAUUGCUUAAGUAUUGAUGCCCUUUAUCAGUUUUCUUGUCGUAUGGGUCUUUCAUACGUUGCUGCUCCUCCUGUGCUUCUAUUGUAUAUUUUAUCUUCCCAUACACGCCCAGGAAGCCUAGCAGGUUCACGCAAAGAUUCUUCGUCGUGUGCAUCACAUCGAUUGAAGACCGGACCUCUAGGUGUUUCCAAUAGGGUAGCUCCCAAAAUAUAGAUUACUUUUUCCACAUGGGCACGUGUCCAGUAACGUCGUCUUUCGGAACAGAUUGACCACCAGGACCCUUUUCAAAGAUUACUAUUUGAUCCAAAUCCUUGACCAUAGCCAAUAACUCAUCACCAGUAGGGAGGUUAGGCUUCUUCCGGUGAUCUGCCUCACCGUUGAAAUGCUUGCCUUUCUUUCUUACAGGAUGAUUGGUCGGAAGAAAUUGACGACACCCCAGGGAGACAACCUUCUUAGAUUUUUCCAAAUAUGUAAGUUUAGUCUUAUCUAAACAAUGCGUGCAUGCAUUGUAUCCCUUGUUUGACUGUCCUGAAAUGUUACUAAGAGCAGGCCAAUCAUUGAUGGUUACGAACAACAAUGCUCGUAGGUCAAUUUCUGUUGUUUGUGCUCAUCCCACACAUGUACACCUGGUUUGGCCACAACUGCAAAAGUUCAUCAAAUAAUGGCCUUAGGUACACAUCAAUGUCGUUGCCGGGUUGCUUCGGUCCUUGGAUGAGCACUGACAUCAUAAUAAACUUACGCUUCAUGCACAACCAAGGAUGAAGGUUGUAGAUACAUAUAGUCACGGGCCAGGUGUUGUGACUGCAGCUCUACUCCCCAAAAGGAUUCAUGCCGUCUAUACUUAGACCAAGCCAUAAGUUCCUUGGGUCAUCUGCAAAGUCCGGCCACUCGCUCUCGAUUUUACUCCACUACGACCCAUCAGCGAGGUGUCUCAACUUUUUCCCACCUUCUUACGCUCGUCUUUGUGCCAUCGCAUCAACUUGGCAUGCUCAUUGUUUCUGAACAUACGUUUCAACCGUGGUAUUAUAGGAGCAUACCACAUAAUCUUAGCAGGAACCUUAUAGGAACAUACGUUUCACCAGGGUCAUUUGUCUGAUCUUCUACCAACAUGCAGUGCAUACCGGGCAUUUAUCCAUAUUCUCGUACAUCUCACCGCAGUACAGGAUGCAGUCAUUAAUGCAUGCAUGUAUCUUCUGCUCAUCUAAUCCAAGAGGGAAGAUAGCCUUCUUUGCUUCAUACGUAGUCUCGGGCAUUUCGUUAUCCUUUGGAAGCUUAGGCUUCAAUAUUUUCAGUAACUUCUCAAAUCCGUUGUCACAUAAACCAGUUUCUGCCUUCCAUUUCAACAGUUCCAGUGUGGUAUCGAGCUUUGUGCUGCCAUCUUUGCAAUUUGGGUACAACAACUUUUUAUGAUCCUUUAGUGUGGCCUCCAAUUUCAACUUCUCCUUUUCUGUAUCGCAUUCUCUCUUUGCAUCAGAAAGGACCCGACCAAGACCAUCAGCGGGCUCAUCUGAUGCCGGUUGUUCUUCACCUCCUUCUUCUUCAUUGUCUUCAAUUGCACUAUCACCGUAGCAUUCUCUCCAAAGCAUGUGGCCUUGAAUGGUUUUCGAGCUAGAGUACUCCUUCACGUUUUGACAGCCAACACAUGGACAAGGCAUAAAUUAUCCACUUUUUUUGCCUCAGCCACAUCGAUAAAUUUAUGCAGGCCUGCAAUAAAUACGGAACAACGUCGUUCGCCGUAUAUCCAUCGCUUUCGUGCAUCGAUCUGCAUCAUACAUAAAUAGUGAAAUGACCAUCGUACAUGGACACAUGCAAUAUUUUUGUACCAAUUAUAGAUGAAAAGGAUAAGGUUGCUAACCUCGGUCCAGGAUACCAUUUGGUGUGAACUUAAGUGUGACUCGGGCAUUAGUCUCGGUUCGUAAUGUACUCUGAAGUGCGUCGGUCACCGUACAUCCAUUGGCGAUUCAUCUGUAUUAUGAAAUUAAGUAUAUCAAAAAACCAUUGCAGAACAUCAUGAAUAGAGAAAUGACCAAAUUAAUACAAGUUCAUCAUCACAUUAAAAUCAAAGCACAGUAGUGAUCAAAUGUUAUAUGCAAAAAUAAUUACAUAAAUUUCUCUCAUAAAACAACAUACAACUAUGUAAAACAUUUAAAUGCAACAACAAAUCCGAUCAAAAUCGCAACUAAAGGUAACAAWUUACGGSCCMMCAWMACUAMUGACCUAAUAAAUUAGGAGUUAACCCGUAAAACGGGAACCGUUCCUUUUUUAAAUUCCCUAAAAAUUUAAGGGUCCCGGUUAAUUUUAACUUUUUUUUUUAACCUUUAAAACGUUUUAAAAUUUUUUACCCCUUAAAAAACCGUUUUCCCUUUUUUUUACCUAAAAAACGGACCGGGUUCCUAAACGUUUUUUUUCCCUUAAANNNNNNNNNNNNNNNNNNNNNNNNNNNNNNNNNNNNNNNNNNNNNNNNNNNNNNNNNNNNNNNNNNNNNNNNNNNNNNNNNNNNNNNNNNNNNNNNNNNNUUUUACCGGUUACCGGGGUUUGGGUACCCCCCGGUUUUUACGGGGUCCGUAAACCGGUUACCGUUCCAACGGAAUUUGCAAUAAUAGCGAUGGGCGAACGACGGGAAUUCAACCCGCGCAUGGUAGAUUCACAAUCCACUGCCUUGAUCCACAUGCUGAAUCGAGAUCGAAUGAGCUAAACAUAUUUACAAAAACGGAAAACAAAAAAGUUCGUACCAGUUUCCUUUACCACAAUCACUUCAUCAAAUCAUCCUCAUUAUUGCCUUUCACUUGCACGAUCGAAUGAUAUGAAAAUAUUAAUAGUGCACCAAUGUCGUGGACUAAGUUGGAAUUUGCAAAAUAAUUUAUUCAAAGGAGUAGACAAGGAUAACAUUGGUUUUUUGUUAGAUGUAUACUAUUGCAUCGAAGAGCCGUUUAGCAAUUUUAGCAUAGUCUUCUCCUAGCAACGACUCAAAGAAAAGAAAAUAAAUAGAGAAACACACUGAAAUAGUUUUGGAUUUUUAGUUUUUUCGUAGAAAGCGAAAAUAAAAAAAUAAAAACAAGAACGAGAAAAAGUAUUUACGCGGGAAAACUCCCAACAAGCAAUAGAAGAAUAGGAAAUCUUUUUGGGUUCUUUUUAACACUAAAAAUUAGAAAAGUGAGAAAUAAAAACCAAAAAUAACCAAGAAAUAUUUUUUGGGUUUNNNNNNNNNNNNNNNNNNNNNNNNNNNNNNNNNNNNNNNNNNNNNNNNNNNNNNNNNNNNNNNNNNNNNNNNNNNNNNNNNNNNNNNNNNNNNNNNNNNNUGUGGCGCCACAAAUAUAUUAUGUAGUAUUGUCGGCCAUUAUUCGUGUACGCCGGUACUAAGUUUGGCCUACAUAACCUAGUGUUAGGUAGCCCCUUUGUUUCUCAAAAUAAAUGCACUUUCAAUUCUUCUCCCUAACUAGUUAUAGGUCCUCUUAGUUAUGGACUCAAGUCGGAGAAGCGUGUCAAAGUUUGGGAUUUCGCCGCCCUGGCCGAGCUCCUGUCUAGCCCUCUUGGCUAUGCCAUGAGCUCCCCGAAUUAUCCUGCCGCAACAGCGCCACUUCCGUUCAUUCUGGCAGCUACGCCACCAGCAUCGAAGAUAUCGUCCCUAUGCUCCUUUGCGGUUGUCGACGCCCUAUUGAUAAGCAUAUGGCACACAUAGAAUGUAGUCCAUAGCGAGAGUUCUACAUCCACACCAACCGUGGAAAGAUACAUAUAUGACAAAAAAAUACCUCUUGAUAUAUUUUUAUAUAAUUUGCACAAUUCAACUCCUCUAGUGUGGCUCGCAUCAAUAUGUGAUCUAUAUAUAUUGUGAUCCAUAGAAAACAGAGGAAAAAUAUUGCUUCACAUGGAUAUGACUUGCUCUCGUUCAGAAGUACGUAAGCGGGUUGCUCAACUAUUCCAUUAGACCACUCAGACGACAAAUAUAUGAGAUGAAACUCGAGAACAAUGUGAUGCAAGGCCAAAUCAAAAAAAUUAAUAUGCUUCGAUAUGCACUUUGAGCCGGUUGCAUGCUUGGCCUAUUUCUCCCAGCAGGAUCGAUGACAACAUUUUUUUCAUGGUCGUCAUCACACUUAAUUAUGAUGUUCUUAGUCUUGAUUUAGUAGUAAAUUAUAAUUUCUAUUGUUAAUUAUCCUUAUGUAUUGUAUAUAUGUAAGCACACCACAUUAACUAAUGAAAUCUAUGUUGUUCUCAUCUUUAUGUAUUAUCUUUUAAACUUUUAUUUUAAUUCUGUAUAUAUACUCACAAAAAAUGAAAUAAAUCAUACUUAAUGAAAUAAAAAUGUAACAAAUAAUAAAGUAAAACCAAAUACAUAGGAAAUGAAGUAGGCCACGUGGGCCAAUGCUACCAAACACACCAUGGUGUGUCAAAUCCAACCACCCAUAUACACCCGAUAUAUUCCCCACCCAAACACUCCAAAUAAAUUUCCAACCACCCGACUCUGCAGCCGCAGGCAACAACCAAGCCCUCGGUCGCGGUUGCCAUCUCCGACUCCACACCACCGCCGUAUCAACCACGCCAUUUCCAUCUCCACCUCCACUGUCGUCGUCGAUGUCUCCGUGCCUCCACCGCCGCGGGAUAAAGGACCUACCAGCCCCGUCGCCUCCACAUCGUUGCCGUCAUCUCCGUUGCCAUCUUCUCUGAUGUGGUCUUCAUUGUCAUCUUCUCCACCACUUCCGUCAAGGACUCACCAAUCCCGUAGUCUCCAUCGCCGGUGAGUAAUUGUAGUGUCGAAUUUAGUGUAGUUGUAUAGUGUAAGAACAUAGUGUAAAAUUUUAGGUAGUUGUGCAUUGCAAAUUUUAGUGUAGUUGUGUACUGUAGAUUUUAGUGUAUAGUUUUGUAGUGCAAAUUUUUAGGGUAAUUGUAGUUCCAUAUUGUAUUGUAGUUCUGUAGUGCAGAUUUGUAGUGUAGUUGUGUAGUGCAGUUUUUAGGGCAAUUGUAGUUGCAGAUUGUAGUGUAGUUGUGUAGUGCAUAUUUGUGGUGUAAUUAUAGUUUUAGAUUUCAGUUAUAAUUGUAGUGUAGUUACUAUAGAAACUUUUAUUUUACACAUACAUAUAUUCUCUAGUUACAUUCUCUAGAUUGUAUAUAUAUGUGUGUGUGUGUUGUGCAGGUACAGUCAAAUGGCUACAAAAGGGGACUAAGUACUAUACAACCAUCACAAAGGACAAUGUUGUCCACUAGCUUGGACACUGGGACACCCGAGAGUUAGGGGCACGCACCUAUGAUGCAAAGACGGUUGAGUGUCAUAAGGAAAAAAUGAUUCUGAACUUCCCUGGUUGACAUGACUAUGUGUCAUUCCUUGUGCCGGAGAACAUAAGCAUAUGCACUAUGGCUGAGGAGAAGGAGAAACUUCAUGUCGUGCAAUAGUUGUUCGACCCAUUUUGUGACCGAGCUUGCGUGAGAUGAGAAACUCUUAGAGACCAACAAAAGGAUGCUCCAUCAGUAUGCCGCGAGGAAGAGCGUAGAGGGGGAUCCCGUAGAUUGGGAUAACCUCGAGGCACGGGAGGAGGAGGAGGAGUUGGUGCAUCCGCUACAGUGUCAUCGCAAGGACGACCACGGGGCCGGCCCCUAUGGCCAAUAGCUUGGUAGAUGGUGGAUGUAGUACUAUAGCUAGUUAUUUCGUAUAUGAAUGACUAUUUAACUUGAUGCAUGUUAUUAUAUGUUUGAAUCGUGCACCAUUUGUAGAAUUUCUUAAUUACUAGUAUAUGUUCUAUUUUGAUGUGUUGGUUAUUUAGUAUAAUGAUCUAUGCUUACUUUGAUCAACGAUAUUGAUAACAGUAAAUGGAUGUACCAUGUAAGAAUUGUGGUGCUUUGAGAUGCCACAAGGAUAGUAAGUUCUUCAUCGAUCUUUCGAAAGACAUCAUCACUAAGACGAUAUAUAUAUGAUUUAGUGCAAAAUGUUAUAAUUUAGUUUCAUAUGGUACGGUUGUGGCUGAAAUAGUCUAACUAGUUAUUUUUUCCAAUUUUACUCAGGUCAUCCCUUGUGGGGCAAGGCAUGACUUCUUCGAGUUCCGCUUGAUACAACCAUCAUAUUCAAAUGCACCCUCAUGAAGAUUGUGAUGACCCAAUGAUUCAAUUGUCUUGUCACCACUGAGCCAACCCGCACAUAUUUUCGUUUCCCUGGUUGGACAACUCUUGCAACUGCUUACGAGAUGGAAGUUGGGAGAGAGCCACGUUCUACCUUGACUACGAUCAUGAAGAAAUCAUGGUGUACCUGCUGGCAACGAUGAUGAUGGUCUACUCACUCCACAAUAUGAUCCUGACUCCACACACCGUAAUGUCAUGUUAGCUAGCUAGUAGGCUUACAAUUACCACCUCCUGUUUCUUUGAACUUGUGUACUUCUGUUAUUUGCCUACUUUUGAUAUAUUUUCGAAUAAUGUCAAAUAAAUGGGUAAUUUUGAACAUAGAUUAUGGUAUUUGAAUUGUGUUGUUUAAUUAUUGUUCUAAACUUUGAUUAUGUUGUCAUUUUGGUUUGAUCACGCUGAUGUACAGAUUUUGUUUAAAUCGUAAAAUGAAAUUGCUGGCGUCGCACUAACAUGCAAUGCCACUACAGACAUAUAUUAGUGCUAGCGUUGGCCCUGUGGCACGCCAUAAACAUGUCAAAUACUGUUGGCAUCAUCUCCAAUACCAGCACUAUUUUUUAUGAGUGUCGCUAUAUUGGUGGCGUCGGGUGUGUACCCCAGCAAGGCCAUCUUUUCCACGCCAUAGCUAGGCUUUUCUACACUAGUGGAAGUUUUUCGUCUUGUCGAAACGAUUGAUUCUGAUAUUAAAAUGUCUCAAUCGGAGAUCAUAUGCAGGUUUUGUAGGCCGUGCAGGGAGCAAGACACAAGUUUGAUCCAGCUUCGGGUUGAAUCCGAGUUAGACAAGAGUUGGGAUUCUAGGACGUGAAUUGAUGUAAUUUUCAAGGAAAGCCUAGAUGCAUCCUUUGCUUGUACAAGAAGUCAAGCCGCCUCUUAUAUAGAGUGAAGGUGAUGGCCAAUUAAAAGAACACACAAUCGAACAAAUCAAUCUAUACUAGCUUUUCAUCUAUGUUUUAUUCUCCAUUGUUUUUUCUCUCGUUCUUCACUGUUCCUCCAGUAUGAGAGGUGCGAAUCCGGAGGCUCUAGGGGAGCAAAUUUACCUAGGGCAGUGCAUAGCCGCCGCACUCCCUCACAAGGUCCCUCUCGGGCAAGUGAGGCUUCUGGUCUACAAAAUCGUCCGUUGACUGUCUAGCGUAUCACGCUGUUGGUCGGGUCUCCUUCGAAGUGAGCUGCGGUGCAUCACUCCCGGCGUCGAGGGUAGACGUGACAUAUUCAUGUAUCAACCACACUUUUUUGAUUGACUCCGCUGGGGACUAAAGACCAGUCAUCAUCAUCAGCCAUCCAUGUCUGAUCCUUUCCCCAACCCAUCUGAGGURRCGCCGAUAACAUCAUUAASSCCAAUCUUAGUAUAGAAAUUAUUGGUCURRAUCAUCGCCAAGCUUAAUGAACGAGUAACAAGAAGAANNNNNNNNNNNNNNNNNNNNNNNNNNNNNNNNNNNNNNNNNNNNNNNNNNNNNNNNNNNNNNNNNNNNNNNNNNNNNNNNNNNNNNNNNNNNNNNNNNNNCUAGGUAUUUUUUUAUUUUCUUAGAAAAAUUACUCCGUAAAUUUUCAGUACGUUCCGAGAACUUUCAUUUCUGCACAAAAACAACACCAUGGCAAUUCUGCUGAAAACAGCGUUAGUCCGGGUUAGUUCCAUUCAAAUCAUGCAAAUUAGAGUCCAAAACAAGGGCAAAAGAGUUUGGAAAGUAGAUAUGAUGGAGACGUAUCAGCUGACUAGCUAAUUGAUGCAUUCAUUGUUUUCGUAUGUACACAUAUUAAUUAACUCUCGUCUUUCUUCUUUUUCUAGCCCUCCGGAUCAAGCACAACUUCGGUAAAGGGACGAGACCCGAAGAAAAAGUUGCGCUCGGAUAAAAGGUAUGAGAUCAUAGCAAUCGCGCGCGAUGGCAAGCCGAUUGAACCGUACCAGACAAAGGAAGCAUUUGCUAAUCAGUGCGGGGUUCUUGUUUGGAACAAGAUCCUGAUCAGUAUCCAGCAAUGGUUAAAGCCUAAGAAGGAAGACCCUGAGGUGUCUUAUGUCUCCGAUAUGCAGAAAGAAGAUCUUUGGACAACGCUUAAGGAAAAUUUCACCCUACCGCCAGAGGAGGAUCCGGAGAAGCCAGUUAUAGAGCAAUUGAUCAAGUCUCAUGCUCUUAAGAAGAUGGCAGAACAAUUCAAGAGGUGGAGGAAUGAGCUGAAAACGUUUGUUGACAAAGAAAUUACACCAGAAUUCACCGGUCGGUUUGAGAAGAUCAGAGAUCACUGGCCCGCAUUUGUGGCCCACAAGACAUCGGAAAAGAGUAAGAAGAUGUCAAUGACAAACAAGGAAAAUGCUGCGAAGAAGUAGCAUCACUAUCGCACAGGGUCAGGUGGCUACCUCAAAGCCCGACCUUUGUGGGACAAGGCUGAGAAUGACCUGAUUGCUAAAGGGGUCAAACCAGAGACAUUGAACUGGCCAGACCGUUCCCGAACUUGGUUCUUCGGGGUUGGCGGAACCUUGGACCCUGUAUCAGGUAAGUGCGUUUGGACAGAAGAGCAACUGUGAAUACCCGUCACGAGGCUUGAGGACUAUAUCGAGAAAGCGCAGCAAGGGAUGUUCAUUCCAGACAGAGAGAAGGAUGAGCUCACAAUGUCCCUCGGGAAUCCUGAGCACCCUGGACUGACAUGAGGCAUGCCAGGCUCCGUUCCGUCGAAGGUUGGGUUUCCGGACGCAGGGGGUUACAAAUGCCAGGAGAGGAGGAAGAAAGUGGAGCAUAGCCAACUACACGUGCUGCACGAAAGGGUACAAGGGCUAGAGAAACGAGAAGUAGAUCGCAGCAAACGACCUGCCGAAGCUUCCCUUGAAGCUACCCCGCCAUCUCAGCGGAGAAGCAGCAUGGCUUCCACCGAGAAGACUCAGCAGCUGGAACCUGUCUUCACAGCUCCUGCUAGCUACCCCGUGGAUGCUAUCACGGAGUCUCAACAUUGCCACCUUAUGGCGCGAUGGAUGACAUUGAAAGUCAAGAAGGCUGUUGGAGUUGUUUUACCUACUGAACCUAGCAGAACCUACCACGGCCGGUCGAUUCCAGAAGGAUAGUCUAGGGUGAUGGUGGAUCAAAUAACGGACGGAUUUGAGGACCUUGAGCUUGACCACCCUACGGGUGAAGGGGAGAGUCGGCUGGGUUCUUCUCUGAAGACUUCAUGCCUAUGGCGGAAGGAGCUCAUCAACCUUCCGAACUGGAUGCCUCCGCCUCCUCCUCCUCCUCGCGACGAGCGACGUCCGCCGUCCUCCGUCCGUACCGUACCGUACCGGUACCGUACCGGUACGGUACCGUACCGUACGUACGUCGUCCUCCGUNNNNNNNNNNNNNNNNNNNNNNNNNNNNNNNNNNNNNNNNNNNNNNNNNNNNNNNNNNNNNNNNNNNNNNNNNNNNNNNNNNNNNNNNNNNNNNNNNNNNGUGAUUCCCAUAGCAUGCACGUAUGGUGAACCGCUAUGUUAGGAAGUCGGAGCAUAAUUGAUCUAUUGAUUGUCAUCCUUUGUGUUGAGGUCGGGAUCGCGCGAUGGUUAACACCUACCAACCCUUCCCCUAGGAGUAUGCGUUUAGCACUUUGUUUCGAUUACUAAUAAAAACUUCCACAACAAGUAUGCGAGUUCUUCAUGACUAAUGUCAGGCUAUGGUAUAGAUGCACUUUGACCUUCCACCAUUGCUAGCCUCUCUAGUGCCGAGCAAUUUUCGCCGGUGCACAAACCCACCAUAUGCCUUCCUCAAAACAGCCACCAUACCUACCUACUAUGGCAUUUUCAUAGCCAUUCCGAGAUAUAUUGCCAUGCAACUCCCACCGUUCCGUCUCAUGACUUGUGCUGUCACUCUUAUAUUGCCAUUGCAUGAUCGUAAGAUAGCUAGCGAGAUGUUCCAACGUCAUACGCCAAGCUAGAUCGUUGCACAUCCCGGUACACUGCCGGAGGCAUUUCCUAUAGAGUCAUCAUCGUUCUAAGCUUUGAGUUGUGACUAAAUAAAAGUGUGAUGAUCAUCAUUAUUAGAGCAUUGUCCCAUGUGAGGAAACAAAAGAGGCCAAAGAGCCCAUAGAUAAAAAAAGAGAAAAGAAGAAAAAGAGGCCUAAGAGCCCAAAUAAAAAAAAGAUAAAAAGAGAGAAGGGACAAUGCUACUAUCUUUUUCCACACUUGUGCUUCAUAAUAGCACCAUGUUCUUCAUGAUUGAGUGCUUAUUGCUUUGUCACUAUGAUAUGCUAGUGGUAAUCUUCAUUAUAUAACUUGGCUUGUAUAUUCCAAUGAUGGGCUUCCUCAAAAAUUGCCCUAGGUCUUCGUGAGCAAGCAAGUUGGAUGCACACCCACUAGUUUUCCUUUUGAGCGUUCACAUACUUAUAGCUCUAGUGCAUCCCUUGUAUGGCAAUCCCUACUCAUUCACAUUGAUAACUAUUAAUGGGCAUCUCCAUAGCCCUUUGAUACGCCGAGUCAAUGUGACCAUCUCCUCCUUUUUGUCUCACAACCACCACCACACUCGAUUCCACCUAUAGUGCUAUAUCCAUGGCUCGCGCUCAUGUAUUGCGUGAUAGUUAUAAAAAGUUUGAGAAAGUAAGAGUGCAAAAACAAUUACUUGGCCAAUACCAGGGUUGUGCAUGAUUUACAUUAGUUGUGUGAGGAUGAUGGAGCAUAGCCAGACUAUAUAAUUUUGUAGGGAUAACUUUCCUUGGCCUUGUUAUUUUGAAAGUUCAUGAUUACUUUGCUAGUUUGCUUGAAUUAUUAUUGUUUUCAUGUCAAUAGCAAACUAUUGUUUCGAAUUUUACGGAUCUGAACAUUCAUGUCACGUGAAAGAAGUUGCAAAGGACAACUAUGCUAGGUAGCAUUCCACAUCAAAAAUUCAUUCUUUAUCACUUCCCUACUCGAGGACGAGCAGGAGUUAAGCUUGGGGAUGCUUGGAUCCGUSUCCAAUGUAUCUAUAAUUUUUGAUGGUUUCAUGCUAUUAUCUGUGUACWAACKUUGGUAUGUUKGYWUGUMCUUUCRUWYMUUWYUURKKAMUUUUAGUUUUUACGGUAACUUUAAACUUUAACUUUAAACCUACGGUACGUUACGGACCGUAAGUCGGUAGUACGUUANNNNNNNNNNNNNNNNNNNNNNNNNNNNNNNNNNNNNNNNNNNNNNNNNNNNNNNNNNNNNNNNNNNNNNNNNNNNNNNNNNNNNNNNNNNNNNNNNNNNUAAUAUCAAACUCAAAAAGAAUACUUCAUGAAAGUUUUUUUUGUUAAAAAUUUUUAAAUAAGAAAAACUAAAAAAAAAGAGAAAAAAAAAAAUCUUUAAAUAGAAAAAGAAUUAAAAAUUAAUAAAAGUUAGGUACUAAAAAUUAUUAAGUAAAAAAAUAAUCGCCCUWAUUGGGCAUCAAGGCCUGCAUACGACUAGAAACCCUACCCGACAGGUGGGCCAGGAUGCAGGCCCGCGGGCCCAAUAGGCACAACAGGCAACGAGAGGAGAGUUAGGACGAUAGGCCUGCAAUAGAGAGAAGCUCAAAUGAGCUGGCGCUGGCAGUGCUUAUAAAGCAAUGCCAGUGCUCCUCGCUCGGCAAGGUGGGACUAAAGAUUGCCAUGCGCCGCGUCGGAGCCAACCCAGGUCUUUAGUCCCGGGUCGGGGCUCGAACCGGGACUAAAGACUCCCUUUAGGACCGGGUGGAGCUAUGACCCGGGACUAAAGGCCCGUGCUUCCCACCUUUUGGGUUGCCGAAAAAGGAUCUUUAGUCCCGGGUCGUGGCUCCACCCUUGACUAAAGGGUGCCUUUAGUCUCGGUUCGAGCCCCGAACCAGGACUAAAGAUCCUACUAUAUAUAAAGCCCCGACGAAAAUCCAAAUCCAAACGCCCUUUUCAUUCCCUUCUUCCUCUCGCUCGCGUGCAGCAUCGGAGAACUGCUCGACGCCGCCAGGCUGCGUGCCGUCGCUGUCGCCCUGCUGUCCUCCUCACAGGCGCCGGACCUCCUUGCGCACCCUACUCCCCGUCGUCGACGCCCUGCCGUCGUGCUCGCGGGCGCCGGACCUCCUCACGCGCCCUCCUCCCCGUCGCCGACGCCGCGCUCCUCCCCGCCUCUGCCGUCCUCCUCGAUACAACAUCCCCUGCCACCGGUGAGCCUCUCUCCUCUCCUCUCGAUCGAUCAUCGACAUGCUUACGCUUAAUUAUUUUGUAUAUAGUUGCAUAGUGUUUUGUAUAUUAUCACUUAAUUUUUCUAUUGUAUAUGCUUAAGUGUUAUUUGUAGAAUAUUUUGUGAAUUUAGGGUUAGGUAGGUUAGUGUUAAAUAGGUUAUUUGUGUUAUUUGUAGGUCACGGUUAGUGUUAAUUAAUAGGUUAUUGUUAGUUUAGGGUUAAGUACGCAGGUUUCUUUUAUAUUAAGUAAGUUAGUUUAGGGCCUUUUAGUUUAGGCCACAGUUAGCGUUUAAGCAUAUACAAAUCUACAAUCUACAAAUAUCAGUUAAAUCACUACAAAUAUCACUUAAGCAUAUGUUUAAGGAUAUCCUCGGGACUACUCACACAUCCAGGAGCAAGAGAAGCGAACCAGGCUUUAGCGUCAUCCUUUGGAGAGAAAGGAAACAGCUUAAGGAUAUAGUAGUAGCGGAUCUUCUCCUCACUAGUGAAAAGGGUGGCUAUAUCGUGUAGUUUGGUAAGAUGGGCUACGACCGUCUCAGACUCAUAACCGUGGAAAGGAUCAGAUUUGACUAGAGAGAUUAUCUCAGGAUCGACAAAGAAUUCAUAAUCCUUAUCGGUGAUAAAGAUAGGUUAACUGGCAAACUUCGGGUCGUAUUUGAUCCUAGCUUUCAGAGAUUUUUACUUCCACUUGAGAAGUAAUUUCUCAGCAUCAUAGGCAUCCUUACACGCAAGAAAAUCCUCAGCUAUCUCUCCCUCCAUAACGUAACCCUCAGGUAUAUCAUGCAAUUCAUAUCUAGGAGAGCUAGAUUUUGCAGGAGCAAAAGCAGGUUCUAUCUCAAUAGUAUCGGCAGUUUCAGAAGCAUCACGAGCAUUGACAGUAACUCUAGCAAUAUGAGCAUCAAGGAAUACCCCUAGUGGCACAUCAGGCAAAGUAGUAUCUCUAGUAGUAUCAAGCAUAGCAUCAUCAGGCAAAAUAGCAUCUCUAGCAUCAUCAGGCAAAGCAGUAUCAGGCAUAGCAUCUCUAGCAGUAUCACGCAUAGCAUCUCUAGCAGUAUGAGGCAUAGUAGCAUCAUAAGACAUUARSAMGMAMAYGCGACCRUAAWCMMGAAYKUYUARYRGGACCCGGURAWRYCCCCGUUAAAUUUAAACCGUUACCUUAAAAAAACCGGGNNNNNNNNNNNNNNNNNNNNNNNNNNNNNNNNNNNNNNNNNNNNNNNNNNNNNNNNNNNNNNNNNNNNNNNNNNNNNNNNNNNNNNNNNNNNNNNNNNNNUAUCCUUGUCUACUCCUUUGAAUAAAUUGUUUUGCAAAUUCCAACUUAGWMCMCGASRUUGGUARCMCKRUUAAUAUUUUCAUAUCAUUCGAUCGUGCAAGUGAAAGGCAAUAAUGAGGAUGAUUUGAUGAAGUGAUUGUGGUAAAGGAAACUGGUACGAACUUUUUUGUUUCCGUUUUUGUAAAUAUGUUUAGCUCAUUCGAUCUCGAUUCAGCAUGUGGAUCAAGGCAGUGGAUUGUGAAUCUACCAUGCGCGGGUUGAAUUCCCGUCGUUCGCCCAUCGCAUUAUUGCAAAUUCCAAAAAUGCAAUUUUCCAUAUUCCUAUUUACGGAUUUACUAUUAUGAUAAUUAGAGAUUAUAGUUUCUCGUGACAUGCUUAAAUAUCUAGCAGUGGACAAUUAUUUAUCUUGUGUGUCGGCAUGAAUUAAAAUGGUUCUGAUGUAGUGUGUUAGUACGGAAUGCUCUGAGUAAUUCGAGUAGGUUGAAUUGGCACAUGCGCAGACAUGUAUAUGAUUCAAAACCAAUUCAGCCUUCUUGAUAUUUACAUUCAGAGUGUUCAUAUCCUACUCAUGGUAGCAUUCAGUGUUAAUUAUUCUCAAUGCAUUACUAUGACUAUUUUUCGCUCUCUAGCGGGUCGCUUAUCAAUCUAUUUGCUAUACUUCACCUGUACUAAGCGGGAACACUGCUUGUGUAUCCAAAAUCCUUAAACCAANNNNNNNNNNNNNNNNNNNNNNNNNNNNNNNNNNNNNNNNNNNNNNNNNNNNNNNNNNNNNNNNNNNNNNNNNNNNNNNNNNNNNNNNNNNNNNNNNNNNCCAAAGUUAUUCCUACCAACAAAAUUAACGUCCAAGCUAGCAUUACUACUCUCAAUCAAAGAAGACAAAGGAAAAUCAUUAGGAUCCAAAGGAGCACUUCUACUAGCAACCAAAUUCAUUAACUCAUCCAUCUUAGCACUCAACGAGUUAAUUUCUUCUAUAGCGUGUACCUUUUUUACUAGUAGGUGACCUUUCAGUGUGCCAUUGAGACUAAUUUGCCAUUUGUGGCUUCUCCUUAACGUGAUUUCCAUGAACGUUCCACCUGAGGCGGAGUCCAAGAUAUUUCUAGAAGCGAAAUUCAAGCCAGCGUAAAAUAUUUGAAUAAUCAUCCAAAGGCUCAAGCCAUGAGCGGGACAAUUUCUAAUCAUUAAUUUCAUUCUCUCCCAAGCUUGUGCACAUGUUCAUGAUCAAGUUGCUUGAAAUUCAUGAUAUCAUUACAGAGAGAAAUGWWUUUAGCCGGCGGAAAAUACUUGGAUAUAUAAGCAUCUUUGCACUUAUCCCAAGAAUCGAUACUAUUUUUGGGCAAAGAAGAAAACCAAGUUUUUGCGCGAUCUCACAACGAGAAAGGAAGAAGCUUCUAAAUUUAAUCACGUCAUUAUCCGACAUUAUUUUUUUUCGUUUUGUACUAUAACUUCCGGCAAAAAAGGUCCUUAGGAAAUUACGGAAAAAGUUUAAGUUGUAACGUAGUUUNNNNNNNNNNNNNNNNNNNNNNNNNNNNNNNNNNNNNNNNNNNNNNNNNNNNNNNNNNNNNNNNNNNNNNNNNNNNNNNNNNNNNNNNNNNNNNNNNNNNAUAUCUUUGGAAUAACAUGUUUACACAGUCCUAAAUCGACCUACAAGAACACACACCAAAUUAAUAGACUAUGUGCACAUUCGCUAGUCAGGUGCCCUAUCUUUUCUAGAUUGGUAUGUAGAUCAAUUGGUGUUCUUCAUAUGGCUAUUUAGAGUAAUCUUACUUUAGUCCUAGUUUGCGUAGUUGCGUAGUUGUGUGAUUCAUGCAUGCAUUAAUAAUUGGAUCUUAUAAGAAGUAAAAGUAWWACAAAUAUAUUGCUAUCACAGCCUAAGGCCUUGGCUUUUGUAAUCAAUGGUGGCCAAUCACACAUCCAAAUCACUUAGUAUUAACUCAACAAAUUUGUUACGUUGCCGAUAGUAGAAAUUAUGUAGAGAGCAUAUAUUUUAAACCGUGAUAGUAUUAAUUUGUAUAUUUUCUCUAAUUAUCUUCAUGCUAUCACGACACAUACUCUUUAACACAGUCAAUGUAUCCUAUUGCUCAAGUGUAGGUAUUAUUUCAUGUAAUAUUUCCAAAUCACAUAUAAAAAACUUAUCACUUUUUACUGUCUUUUCACCAUGUAUCCUAUUUCUCAUAGGUGAACUUAGCAUGUUUCAUAAUCUACACUACCACCCAUCACACAUUUUUUAAGAUUCGUAUGCAUAUAGCACACCUUCUCGUCCUAGCAUGGGAGGAAAGUUGUGGCAGGGAAGGAAGGUCUAGCUAUUGUGGUUCUUCCAUGAAACGUCCUAGCAUACUUAUCAGUUUCAUUAGAGAUGUAGUUUUAGUUAGUUAGGGUUUGUAAUCCUAUGUAUAGAGGUGGAAAGGGACUGCUCUAGAAAUUUAUUGAAGUAGGACUCUAACAAUCAUAACUUUGUGGUUUGUUUGUCCCACCCAUACGUGCAUGAUCAUCGCAUCUUGUGAAAUGGGAUAAUAUUUAUUCUACACAUCUCAUUAAAUCGUAGCCAUAAUUUAUAGAUCUAUUCGUCCAAAUAAUUUGAAUGACGUAUAUCAAUCUGGUGUCUAGAAAGGAACCCCUAUUGUGCGUGUAAUAUAUGACAUAUUCAUAGGUGUUUAAAAGAAUUAUAUGUAGCAUAUACUUGAAUAAGAAAAAUAAGAAAUACUUUGUUCAUUAGUUUUAUAAUUAUUAUUGAAAUUAAUGAAUAUUUAAUAUUUCUUAUGUCUCCAUCGGAUUUUUAAGGCUGCUACUAUAAAAUGUGAGUACCACGUGUAGCUUUUUAUAAAAUUCUCUAGCGAUUUGAGUUCUGAAAUAUUUGUAUUCCUUUUUGUGUUUUGUACCCAACACACAUAUAAAAAAUGUAUUGGUAUUGUGUGUGUUUUGCGUCUCUGUCUGUGCUGCGUUCGAAAGAAAAAUACUACGUACGCAUAUUAAUUAUUUUAUUUCCUAUCAUAUUGAAUAACCAUACACUUUUUCUUCCACUCCAUGUUCCAAGUUCCAUUUUUUGACUAACAAUAGGAAAGAUUCACCGGGAUUUAAAUCUAAACAUUUGUAGUUGAGUAAUUGCUAUUGAAUCUAAAGAUCAAAUUGUGUAACCACCCUUUGUUUGUUGUAUGCUUCGUAUAGUUGUGUCUCAAUAUCCACAUUAGUACAUGCCCUGCCUCCAAAUACUUCAAUUUGUAGCUCAAUUAACUCUCGGUGUAUAUGGCACUUGACCAUCUACCAAAGCACUUGAAUUUUCACUAUAUAUUAUUUAACGUUGUCAAAACACAUACACUUCUCUCUAUCACUCACUCUCUCUUCCUNCUNUCUUCUCUCUUNNNNNNNNNNNNNNNNNNNNNNNNNNNNNNNNNNNNNNNNNNNNNNNNNNNNNNNNNNNNNNNNNNNNNNNNNNNNNNNNNNNNNNNNNNNNNNNNNNNNCCUCAAAAUUGCCCUAGGUCUUCAUGAGCAAGCAAGUUGGAUGCACACCCACUAGUUUUCCUUUUGAGCUUUCACAUACUUAUAGCUCUAGUGCAUCUCUUGUAUGGCAAUCGCUACUCAUUCACAUUGCUAUCUAUUAAUGGGCAUCUCCAUAGCCAAUUGAUACACCGAGUCAAUAUGACCAUCUCCUCCUUUUUGUCUCACAACCACCACCACACUCUAUUCCACCUAUAGUGCUAUAUCCAUGGCUCGCGCUCAUGUAUUGCGUGAUAGUUAUAAAAAGUUUGAGAAAGUAAGAGUGCGAAAACAAUUUCUUGGCCAAUCCCGGGGUUGUGCAUGAUUUACAUUAGUUGUGCGAGGAUGAUGGAGCAUAGCCAGACUAUAUGUUUUUGUAGGGAUAACUUUCUUUGGCCUUGUUACUUUAAAAGUUCAUGACUACUUUAUUAGUUUGCUUGAAGUAUUACUGUUUUCAUGUUAAUAGCAAACUAUUGUUUUGAAUCUUAUGGAUUUGAACGUUCAUGUCACGUGAAAGAAGUUGCAAAGGACAACUAUGCUAGGUAGCAUUCCACAUAAAAAAUUCAUUCUUUAUCACUUCCCUACUCGAGGACGAGCAGGAGUUAAGCUUGGGGAUGCCUGAUACGUCUCCAACGUAUCUAUAAUUUUUGAUGGUUUCAUGCUAUUAUCUGGUCAAACUUUAGAUGUUUUGCAUGCCUUUUAUUUAUUUUCUGGGACUAACUUAUUAAUCCAAUACCAAGUGCCAGUUCCUGUUUUUUCCAUGUUUUUGACCCCUUCCAGAGGAGGAUUUUGAACGGAGUCCAAACGGAAUAACACUUCCACAAAGAUUUUUUUCCGGAAUGGAAGAAGAUCGGGAGACUUGAGAACCAAGGCAGUGGGUCCCAGGGACCCCACAAGCCCUCAUGGCGCGACCAGGGGUCCCGUGCCGUCCAGGCUUGUGGACUCCCUGGGCCACGUCUGCCCUAGGGUUUGCGCCUAUAUAUCCCCAAAAAAUUCCACAAAAAAUUAGGGGAACAUCGUAAUCACUUUUCCGCCGCCCCAAGCUUCUGUCUCCAUCUGGGGCACGUCCUGGUGCCCUGCCGGAGGGGAGAUUCGGACACGGAAGGCUUCUCCAUCAACACCAUGACCUCUCCGAUGAUGUGUGAGCAGUUCACCAUAGACCUACGGGUCCAUAGCUAGUAACUAGAUGGCUUAUUCUCUCUCUUGGAUCUUCAAUAUAAAGUUCUCCAUGAUCUUCAUGGAGAUAUAUCCGAUGUAAUCUUCUUUUACGUGUGUUUUUCAAGUUCCGAUGAACUGUGGAUUUAUGAUCAGAUUAUCUAUGAAUCUUAUUUGAGUUUCUUCUCAUCUCUCUUAUGCUUGAUUUCAUAUCCUUGUAAUUCUCUUCGAGUUGUGGGUUUUGUUUGGCCAACUAGAUCUAUGAUUUUUGCAAUGGGAGAAGUGCUUGGUUUCGGUUUAUACCGUGCGGUGACCUCACCCAGUGGCAGAAGGGGUAGCGAGGCACGUAUCCUGUUUUUGCCAUCAAGGGUAAAAAGAUGGGGUUUUCAUCAUUGGUUUGAGAUUAUCCCUCUACAUCAUGUCAUCUUGCUUAAAGGGUCACUCUGUUCGUCAUGAACUCAAUACACUGGAUGCAUGUUGGAUAGCGAUCGAUGUGUGGAGUAAUAGUAGUAGAUGCAGUAAGUAUCGGUCUACUUGUCUCGGACGUGAUGCCUAUAUGCUAGAUUAUUGCCUUAGAUAUCGUCAUGACUUUGCGCGGUUCUAUCAAUUGCUCGACAGUAAUUUGUUCACCCACCGUCAUAUUUGCUAUUAUGAGAGAAGCCUCUAGUGAACACUAUGGCCCCCAGGGUCUAUUCCACACCAUAUUUUUAGCCUUACACUUUUUACUUCGUUGCACUUUCCGCCUUUAGAUCUUACUUUUGCAAACAAUCUUGAAGGGAUUGGCAACCCCUUUGAAGCGUUGGGUGCAAGUUGUUUGUUUUUGCGCAGGUACUUUGGACUUGACGAGGCCCUCCUUUUUGUUCGAUACCUUGGUUCUCAAACUGAGGGAAAUACUUACUGCUCCUGUGCUGCAUCACCCUUUCCUCUUCAAGGGAAAAACCGACGCAAACAAGAGGAGUAACAAGAAGAAUUCCUACGCGCCAGGGAAGGACUUUUGUUGCCGCACCAGGUACCAUCCUUGGUAGGUGCCUCCGCCAUCGACGCCACCAUGACGCCAAACGACGAUCUCCACCUACGCGAAUCCAUCUCCAAGCAACGGAUGGAGAUCCAUGCUAGGAUAGGGCCGCACCACCGUCGUCGUCCACCACCCACAAGCGCCACCCAACCCCAAGCUUCCCAAAGCGUUGAGCGCCGCCGCUGCCAAAUAAAGUUAAGGCUUUCGCCCGGUAGACCUAGGGGAAGGGGAAGUGAGGGGAUCAGUUCAUACCGACGCCUCCAAGGAGGGGAACGACACCCUCAAGCGUCGCCGUCGACGCGGCCGGCCAUGGCCGACCAGGGAUUUUGCCCGAACUAGAUCCCGCCACCAGGAGCGCCUCAUGUACAAAACCGACAACCCAAGGAAGCGCGGCCUGACCAGGCUGGCCCGCUCGCCAAACAGGGGAGGAGGGGAGGCGCCGGAUCGCGUGCACCGGCCACCGUAAAAGCCGCCGCCGGACGCCGACGACCACCGGAUCCCGCCGCCCACGCGGCCGAGGCGCCAAAUCCACCGACCGCACGGCUGCUAGCGUGUCGUGCCUCGUCAAUGAAGCCGCCGCUCCAGAUCCGAGGCAGGGCAGCCUAGGCCCCGUUGCCACCAUCCUUGGAGCCCCGGGCUUGCCCGGCGGCUGCCUCAGGCGGCGGCGAGGAAGGGAGGGGGAGGGGAGGCGGCUAGGGUUGGGAGGAGGGAGGAAGACGUGCGUGGGUCUUUUAUGGGACUCAUUCUUUUCUUGUAUGAGAGAGUUUUUUUUUUUGAGAAUCUGUAUGAGAGAGUUCUGUUUCGUGUAGAUGGGAUAGUCCUGUUUGUCGUCCUAUAUAUAUAUCUAGGAACGUGUCAAAGAGUUAUUUUCUGUACCUGAUCAACCCAAAAUAUCUAUUUAGUUAACGGUUACAAUUUUCUAAGAUUAUCAAUCAAUGGAUACUANNNNNNNNNNNNNNNNNNNNNNNNNNNNNNNNNNNNNNNNNNNNNNNNNNNNNNNNNNNNNNNNNNNNNNNNNNNNNNNNNNNNNNNNNNNNNNNNNNNNCGUCGUCUUAGUUGCUCAAACCAUAAGUAGCCCUCAUCAUGGAUUCAUAUGGCAAUCUUAUUUUCUUUCUAGUAAAGUGUUCCAUGCCCUUCCUUAAUGGAAAUUUAAAUCUAAUAUUCCCUUCCUUUAUAUCGAUGAUAGCACCGAUAGUCCUUAGGAAAGGUCUACCAAGAACAAUAGGGCAUGUAGGAUUGCAAUCAAUGUCAAGCACAAUGAAAUCCACGGGUACAUAGUUCCUAUUUGCAAUAAUAAGAACAUCAUUGAUCCUUCCCAUGGGUUUCUUGAUAUUAGAAUCAGCAAGAUGCAAAUUAAGAGAACACUCUUCAAUCUCAUUAAAACCCAAAAUAUCACAUAAAGACUUUGGAAUCGCAGAAACACUAGCACCCAAAUCACACAAAGCAUUGCACUAAUAGUUUUUGAUUUUGAUUUUGAUGGUAGUUUCCCACUCAUCAUGAAGCUUUCUAGUGAUAGAGACUUCCAAUUCAAGUUUCUCUUUAAGAGCUUUUAUCAUAGCUUUGACGAUAUGAUCGGCAAAGGCUUUGUUUUGGCUAUAAGUGUGUGGAGAGUUUAACAUGGAUUGCAUCAAAGAAAUGUAUUCAAUCACAGAGGAACUAUCAUAAUUGAAUUCCUUGAAAUCCAUGGUAUAACUUCAUUACUACUACUAAAGUUUUACGUCUUCUUACCUACCUUAACUUUAACCGUUACUUUAACUUAAUUACCUAAAGUAAACGUUAAGUUAAAGUUACGGNNNNNNNNNNNNNNNNNNNNNNNNNNNNNNNNNNNNNNNNNNNNNNNNNNNNNNNNNNNNNNNNNNNNNNNNNNNNNNNNNNNNNNNNNNNNNNNNNNNNCCCCCCGUUACCCUUCCCCCCGAAAACCCCCCCUUUAAGGCCCGGCCCUUCCCCCGUCCCCCCCUCCCUUCCUCGCCGCCGCCUGAGGCAGCCCGUCGGGGCAAGCCCCGGGGGCUCCCAAGGAUGGUGGCAGCGGGCCUAGGCUGCCCUGCCUCGGAUCUGGAGCGGCGGCUUCAUUGACGAGGCACGACACGCUAGCAGCCGUGCGGUCGGUGGAUUUGGCGCCUCGGCCGCGUGGGCGGCGGGAUCCGGUGGUCGUUGGCGUCCGGCGGCGGCUUUUACGGUGGCCGGUGCACGCGAUCCGGCGCCUCCCUCCUCCCGUGUUUGGCGUGCGGGCCAGCCUGGUCAGGCCGCGCUUCCUUGGGUUGUCGGUUUUGUACAGGAGGCGCUCCUGGUGGCGGGAUCUAGUUCGGGCAAAAUCCCUGGUCGGCCAUGGCCGGCCGCGUCGACGGCGAUGCUUGAGGGCGUCGUUCCCCUCCUUGGAGGCGUCGGUAUGGACUGAUCCCCUCACUUCCCCUUCCCCUAGGUCUACCGGGCGAAAGCCUUAACUUUGUUCGGCAGCGGCGGCGCUCAACGCUUUGGGAAGCUUGGGGGUUGGGUGCGCUUGUGGGUGUGGACGACGACGGUGGUGCGACCCUAUGCUAGCAUGGAUCUCCAUCCGUUGCUUGGAGNUGGAUUCGCGUAGGUGGAGNNNNNNNNNNNNNNNNNNNNNNNNNNNNNNNNNNNNNNNNNNNNNNNNNNNNNNNNNNNNNNNNNNNNNNNNNNNNNNNNNNNNNNNNNNNNNNNNNNNNCAAAAAGGUGUGCAGCAAGGAUGAUUGUGACACAACAAAAAGAAAGACUCCUAUGAUACAAGACGCUCCAAGAAAAACACAUAUCAUGUGGUGAAUAAAAAAUAUAGCUUCAAGUAAUGUUACCGAUGGAUUGAAGACGAAAGAGGGGAUGCCUUCCCGGGGCAUCCCCAAGCUUAGGAUUUUUGGUGUCCUUGAAUUUGGCUUGGGGGGCCUUGGGCAUCCCCAAGCUUGAGAUCUUUCCACUCCUUAUCUCUUUGUCCAUGAGAACGUCACCCAAAACAUGAAAACUUCACAACACAAAACUUAAACAGAAACUUGUGAUAACAUUACUACAAGAAUGCAAACUACCACUUCUUUGGUACUAUAGCAAACUUGAAUUCCAUCCAUAUUGAUGAUGAGCUACUGUAUUCUAAAUUUUCCAUGGCUAGUACCCUCCGAUACUAACCAUAGUUUCAUCAAAACUAAGCAACCAACUCAAUAAAAACAGAAUCUGUCGWAAACAUACCAGUCUGUAGCAAURWAYAMUUWCCCAAGNNNNNNNNNNNNNNNNNNNNNNNNNNNNNNNNNNNNNNNNNNNNNNNNNNNNNNNNNNNNNNNNNNNNNNNNNNNNNNNNNNNNNNNNNNNNNNNNNNNNAAGGCCUAGGAACAUAGUUUCCUCUAAAAGCAUUGUUGUUGCCAAAGUUAUUCCUACCAACAAAAUUAACGUCCAAGCUAGCAUUACUACUCUCAAUCAAAGAAGAUAAAGGAAAUCAUUAGGAUCCAAAGGAGCACUUCUACUAGCAACCAAAUUCAUUAACUCAUCCAUCUUAGCACUCAACGAGUUAAGUUUUUUACCCGUUUUACCGUUUAACGUUAACGGUACCGGUUAGUACCUUUUUUACUAGUAGGUGACCUUUCAGUGUGCCAUUGAGACUAAUUUGCCAUUUGUGGCUUCUCCUAACGUGAUUUCCAUGAACGUUCCACCUGAGGCGGAGUCCAAGAUAUUUCUAGAAGCGAAAUUCAAGCCAGCGUAAAAAUAAUUUGAAUAAUCAUCCAAAGGCUCAAGCCAUGAGCGGGACAAUUUCUAAUCAUUAAUUUCAUUCUCUCCCAAGCUUGUGCAACAUGUUCAUGAUCAAGUUGCUUGAAAUUCAUGAUAUCAUUACGGAGAGAGAUGAUUUUAGCCGGCGGAAAAUACUUGGAUAUAUAAGCAUCUUUGCACUUAUCCCAAGAAUCGAUACUAUUUUUGGGCAAAGAAGAAAAACCAAGUUUUUGCGCGAUCUCGCAACGAGAAAGGAAGAAGCUUCAAUUUAUCACGUCAUUAUCCACAUAUUUUUCUUUGCAUAUCGNAAAGCUGAAUGAAGGUAUUGAGAUGGGAUGUGGCAUCUUCACUAGGAAGGCCAGNGAAUUGCUCUUUCAUAACAAGAUUCAGCAAAGCGGCAUUGAUUUCGUAUGUACCGUUACCCCGGUACCCGUAAACCCGUUUAAACGGGUUUACGGGGUACCCCGGGGGGGGGUUAAACGACCCGGUAAAAUUUAACCCCGGGGGGGNNNNNNNNNNNNNNNNNNNNNNNNNNNNNNNNNNNNNNNNNNNNNNNNNNNNNNNNNNNNNNNNNNNNNNNNNNNNNNNNNNNNNNNNNNNNNNNNNNNNACGUGUGUAGUCAUACGUGCUUAGGGAAAAGAACUUGCAUGACAUCUAUUGUCCAUCCCUCCCGUGGCAGCGGGGUCCAAAAUGAUACUACAGGAUAUUAAGGUUCUCCUUUUAAUAAAGAACCGGAACAAUGCAUUAGCACUUGGUGAACACAUGAACUCCUCAAACUAUGGUCAUCACCGGGAGUGGUUCCGGUUAUUGUCACUCCGGGGUUGCCGGAUCAUAACACAUAGUAGGUAACUACAACUUGCAAGAUCGGAUCUAAAACACACAUAUAUUGGUGACAACAUAAUAAUUUCAGAUCUGAAAUCAUGGCACUCGGGCCCUAGUGACAAGCAUUAAGCAUGGCAAAGUAGUAGCAACAUCAAUCUCAGAACAUAGUGGAUACUAGGGGUCAAUCCCCGUCAAAACUAACUCGAUUAUAUGAUAGAUCUCAUGCUACUCAUCACCGCCCAGCGAGCCUACGAAUAGAUUACUCACGAACGAUGAAGAGCUUCAUGGAAUUGGAUAGGGAAGAAGGUUGAUGAUGACGAUGGCGACGAUUUCCCCUCUCCGGAGCCCAAAACGGACUCCAGGUGUGCCCUCCAGAUGAAGAACAGGGUGUGGCGGCGCCUCCAUAUCGCAAACGCGAUGAAAUCUGCUCUUCUUAUUUUUUUCUGGUCGAAAGUGAACUUAUAGAGCUGGAGUUGGGGGCGGCACUACCACGUGGGCAGCUGCUAGGGGGGAGGCCGCGGCAACAGGGCUUGUGGCCCACUGGCCCAUCCCUGUCCGGUGGAUCUUUGCGCAGGUUAUUUUUUUUAUUUCGUAGAAAAAUUCUCCGUAAAUUUCAUACGUUCCGAGAACUUCAUUCUGCACAAAAACAACACCAAUGGCAAUUCUGCUUGAAAAACAGCGUUAAGGUUCCGGUUAGUUCCUNNNNNNNNNNNNNNNNNNNNNNNNNNNNNNNNNNNNNNNNNNNNNNNNNNNNNNNNNNNNNNNNNNNNNNNNNNNNNNNNNNNNNNNNNNNNNNNNNNNNUAAAGUUCGUAAAAAAAAAGUAGAAAAUCCCCUUUUCGUAACAGUAUGAGUUCUCGUUCGAAACCCUCAUAACGUUCGAAAGAGAUUGUUCGUUUUCGUACACGAAGUGCAAUCCAGUUUUUUGUCGUAACCCUCUCAACUUUUUUAGCACAUUCUAUGUGGGUGAAAUGAUGAUACCAUGCCAACUUUCAACAUUUUUUAGAGUUCAUUUAGUCGUGACUUUUCAAUUUCAGGGUCAAUUAGUUAAAAAAAUAAGUAAAGUGCACGAAAAGUAUCAAAUGAAGUCAGUAAUUGUUGAAAAUUUCUGAUGUCAACUAAAAAGAUCAACUAAAACAUUAACUAAAAAAUAGAACUAAAAUUAUCAAAGUGCUUUAUUUGUUAAAAAAGAAUCAAGUAAAACAUUAACUAAAAAUAAACAAAAAUAAUAUCAACUCAAAAGAAUACUUCUAUAGAAGUUUUUUUUAGUUAAAUUUUUAAAAUAAGAAAAACUAAAAAAAAGAAGAAAAAAAAAUUAACUUUAAAUUAAGAAAAAAGUAAAUUAAAAAUAAUAAAGUAGGUACUAAAAUUAAUUAAAGUAAAAAAAUUAAUACGUCCCNNNNNNNNNNNNNNNNNNNNNNNNNNNNNNNNNNNNNNNNNNNNNNNNNNNNNNNNNNNNNNNNNNNNNNNNNNNNNNNNNNNNNNNNNNNNNNNNNNNNGGUUGGGCCCCCGUUCGGUCCCCGUUCGGUAACUUACUUCCCGACCGUACCCGUAUCUUUUCUGUUACGGAAAAAAUCUUUUUGGCAGUUCUAUUCCGUUUGGACUCCGUUCAAAAUCCUCCUUUGAAAGGGGGUCAAAAACAUGGAAAAAACAGGUACUCGCACUUGGCACUGAGUUAAUAAGUUAGUCCCAAAAAAUAUAUGAAAGGCAUGCAAAACAUCCAAAGUUUGACAAGAUAAUAGCAUGAAACCAUCAAAAAUUAUAGAUACAUUGGAGACGGAUCAAGCAUCCCCAAGCUUAACUCCUGCUCGUCCUCGAGUAGGGAAGUGAUAAAGAAUGAAUUUUUGAUGUGGAAUGCUACCUAGCAUAGUUGUCCUUUGCAACUUCUUUCACGUGACAUGAAUGUUCAGAUCCGUAAAAUUCGAAACAAUAGUUUGCUAUUGACAUGAAAACAAUAAUAAUUCAAGCAAACUAGCAAAGUAUCAUGAACUUUCAAAAUAACAAGGCCAAAGGAAAGUUNNNNNNNNNNNNNNNNNNNNNNNNNNNNNNNNNNNNNNNNNNNNNNNNNNNNNNNNNNNNNNNNNNNNNNNNNNNNNNNNNNNNNNNNNNNNNNNNNNNNUAWAUAUUUAAAUUUAAUCAUUGAAAGUCCCAUUCCCUACAAGUAUAAAAAUGGGUAGCCAUAUUAUUAUUUCUGCUACAAACUACAGAACAAAAACCAUCCUCCAAAUUUCCCACCCAUCAACGUCGCUGUUAGCCAAGAUGAGGACUGCCCUAAUGUGCGUGACUCUAAUGUUGCUCAUGCUACCAUCAUCAUCAGGUACUCGUUUGUUCCUAAAGUACCCACAUGCUUCAACAACUAAUCCGACGAGAAACUAGACAUGUGAUUAUCUAUUAAUACUCAUUUAGUGAAAAAAUUUCAGAUGCUAGAACCUUUUGAAAACUUGUAUUCAUACCUAUUCUGGGUCGGGUGAAACAUGCAAUUCCACCAACUGUGAUGAAGUAUGCCGUUAUGAUAACGUCCAUAAUCCUUCUUUGUUAUUGGGUGGUGCUCCUNUAGUCCAAUGCAAUAAAGACGGGUGCAUAUGCAACUGAGACUGCCAAAGGGACCGAAACCCGAAACCGGUAAACGGGGGGGGGAAAGGGUUUUAAAACGGGGGGUNNNNNNNNNNNNNNNNNNNNNNNNNNNNNNNNNNNNNNNNNNNNNNNNNNNNNNNNNNNNNNNNNNNNNNNNNNNNNNNNNNNNNNNNNNNNNNNNNNNNAAAACGGUACCCUUUACCCCUUAACCUUUUUUUACCCCGUUUUAACCCUUAAAAGUUUUAAACGUUUUUUACGGUUUACCGUUUAAACGGGGUUUUUACGGUAACCCGGUUAMRMCCUWACCAACYAMAAGSUMRGUUAGUUUUAAAAAGWWASGUCUACUWMRCUMCYUUCAUCCUUUCAUCUCUCACUGCUAGUUUAACUCAUUUCAAAUGCUUUAAAAGUAGAGUGGUUUGUGGGUUUUAGUGUAGGCAUGUAUGUGGGAGUUAUUUUGUUUUAGAUGCAAAAUAUAAGCUCAAAUUUACUUCUUAGAGUCUGCAAUGUGUAGGGUGUCGUCCCGUCCCCGUCCUCACUGUUGUCGAUCACCCGCGCCGAACUCGUCGCGAGCACCACCGUGGUGAGCCUCUUGUUCUUGUAUUCUUUCUAAAAGAACAAAAUUUCUUUCUUGUAUGAUUUAGAUAGAUACGUGUAUAUAUUACUUACUUUCAUUAUUUUUUUGUUAUUACAUAGUGCGAUGGUUUUGGUAUCCGCUUCCGUCGGCCCUCGUCAUGUCUACGAUUCGGAUGUGGUAUAUAUUAUCUUUUAUAACUAUUUGUCUUAUUUAAUGUUUAUGACAAUUAUGACGACCAACGUGACAUAUAUUUUUUAAUCUAAGAGGUAUGGGAACCGAAAAGUUCAACCCACAUAGAAAUUCAGGUCGAGAAGUUAAAUUUGGUUGAAAAAGAAAACAAUUACUUGAAGAAAAAAUUGAAAAUAAUUGAGGAGAAGAAUAUGGAACUGGAGUUGCAUGUUGCCGAUGUCGUCGAUGAUCGCAAGAUGAAUAUGGAUGCGAUGCGGUUGAAGAUGGAUGCAAUGCGCUUGAAGAUGGAUGAAAUGCGCUUGAAGAUUAGGAAUAUUAGAAAAUAUGCCAUUGAUAAAGAGCCUUGGUAUCAUUAUGAUGUUGGGCCAAUUGUUACCUUAGUUGCGAUUUUGAUCGGAUUUGUUGUUGCUAUUUAAAUGUUUUACUAUUAGUUGUAUUGUUUGUUUUAUUGUAGUAGWAAAUUUAUUGUUAAGUUUANNNNNNNNNNNNNNNNNNNNNNNNNNNNNNNNNNNNNNNNNNNNNNNNNNNNNNNNNNNNNNNNNNNNNNNNNNNNNNNNNNNNNNNNNNNNNNNNNNNNGCCCGCNGCCNCCANCUUCGGANCCGGCUGCCGCGCNGCUCAGGCGGCGGGCGAGGAAGGGGAAGGGGGGGAAGGGGGGGGAAGGGGGACGGGCCGUACGGGGGUUGGGGAGGAGGGAGGAAGACGNGCGUGGGUCGUUUUAUGGGACUCAUUCUUUUCUUGUAUNAGAGAGUUUUUUUUUUUUUUGUUUAGAAUCUGUAUGAGAGAGUUCUGUUUCGUGUAGAUGGGAUAGUCCUAUUUGUCGUCCUAUAUAUAUAUAUCUAGGAACGUGUCAAAGAGUUAUUUUCUGUACCUGAUCAACCCAAAAUAUCUAUUUAGUUAACGGUUACAAUUUUCUAAGAUUAUCAAUCAAUGGUCACAUUUUUUAAUUAACGUGAGAUUUUCUAGCUAAUUUUUUCUAAUUUUGCAAAGCUAACCGUGCUAGCUACCUGAUGGAUUUUUCCGCCGGUAGAUAAUGCACAUGCACACAAAACAUGCUAUAGCUACUUAGCUAGUGGGCACAACACCAACGCACACGGAAAGCAUCAGAGCAGAUUGAUUGCUCCGGAGUGCAAAGCUAGCGAAUCAAGCUGAUUAAUUGAUUUUCSCASGWGGRSGWWAMRKKGRWASCGRUUGARWAARAGGSUUUUAAAGGGUUUAGGGAAGGUAAGUUUAGGAGGUUAAAAGUAAGGGACUAGGAGACGAGAACGUNNNNNNNNNNNNNNNNNNNNNNNNNNNNNNNNNNNNNNNNNNNNNNNNNNNNNNNNNNNNNNNNNNNNNNNNNNNNNNNNNNNNNNNNNNNNNNNNNNNNCAAGAAUCUUGGUUACAGAGACGAGCCAUUCGUGCUAGCCAAUGAUAUGGCUCAGGUUUUCUACGUGAAAGACAUGUCCUCCAGACCUAAAAAAAUAAAAAAAUAAGCAAAUGAAUACAUCGAACGAUGAGCCAAAGCGUCACAUAGUUCUUUCAGGGAAAAGAAACAUCAUCGGGAUCGUGGACAAGACAGACAUGUGAGCAGGUUAUAAUAAGUUUGAUGAAAUUCCUCCCUUCAUAGUGAAAAUUGACCCAAGCAUCCCGUAAAAUAAUGAAGAUGCUCCAUGGUUACGGCUAAAGCGAUCAUAGGCAAGGGGUCGAAAUAUAAAUCUAUGUAAUGUAUUAAACUUUAUGAGAUGUGUACUAAUGUAUUAAACUUCGAAAGAGAUUGUCCGUUUUGUAUACGAAGUGCAUCCAGUUUUUGUCGUAACCCUCUCAAUUGUCUAACACUAUGCUAGUGUAGGUGAAAUGAUCGAUACCACUAGUUCCCAAACCUUUCUUUAAACGUUUUCUAGAGUUAUCGUAGUUCGUUUANNNNNNNNNNNNNNNNNNNNNNNNNNNNNNNNNNNNNNNNNNNNNNNNNNNNNNNNNNNNNNNNNNNNNNNNNNNNNNNNNNNNNNNNNNNNNNNNNNNNAGAGGGAAGUAUUGAUUUGCAUAUGUGCGAGAGCUCAAGGUUUAAAACUGAGAUGAAAUUGUAAUUUUGGGUGGUAUGCUUUUCCUGUCAACAUCACAACUAGAGAUUUCAGCGUCUUCCAUGCUAAACACAUUAUUGGAGGUUCCCAAGAAUAAAUGUAAAGUUUACUCUUAUCGACCAUACAUAAAAAGCCAUGGCUAACUGAAUUCAUGCAUGCCCUCCAACAAUCAACUUUCUAGGGGAGUUUGUUUCAUUUAUUUUUGAAUAUGCAGGACUAGGCAUCAUUUUUACCACUCUCUUUCAUGCAAUCAUAUGCGAAUAAAUGCCAAUCUUAAGAAUAACCCGCUUAGCAUGGAAGAUACCAACCGCCCCGUCGCUCCAUGAGCGGUACGAGCACACAAAACACAUGUUUAUUUGAGUGAUUAGAGGUGGCACUUACAAAUUUACUUGGAAUGGUAGGUUAAUACCACAUAUAGGUAGAAAUGUGGACUCAUUUGUAACAACUUGGUUUAAGGAUUUUGGAUACACAAGCAGUCUUCCCGCUUAGUACAGGUGAAGUAUAGCAAAUAGAUUGAUAAGCGACCCGCUAGAGAGCGAAAAUAGUCAUAGUAAUGCAUUGAGAAUAAUUAACACUGAAUGCUACCAUGAGUUAGGAUAUGAACACUCUGAAUGUAAAUAUCAAGAAGGCUGGUAAAUUGGUUUUGAAUCAUAUACAUGUCUGCGCAUGUGCCAAUUCAACCUACGUCGAAUUACUCAAGGCGUNUAACUUUUCCCCGGUAACUUAAAACCACCGUAACCUUAACCUAAUUNNNNNNNNNNNNNNNNNNNNNNNNNNNNNNNNNNNNNNNNNNNNNNNNNNNNNNNNNNNNNNNNNNNNNNNNNNNNNNNNNNNNNNNNNNNNNNNNNNNNACGUGACAUAUUCAUGUAUCAACACACUUUUUUGAUGACUCCGCUGGGGACUAAAGACCAGUCAUCAUCAUCAGCCAUCAUGUCUGAUCUUCCCAACCCAUCUGAGGUAGACGCCGAUAACAUCAUUAAGCCCAAUCUUGAUGAAAUAUUGGCUGAUCAUCGCCAAGCUUAUGACGAGUACAAGAAGACACGUGAAGAGAAGGAGUUGGGGGAGCUCCUUGGAAACUUCAAGAAGGACCGCGAAGGAAAUAUCACUCUGAUUGAAGAAAUCAAACUGCCUCAUCUUCAUGUUGGGCAGGUUAAACCCCAUGGGAGUAUCACUUUUUCUCCUGAGUAGUAGGCUUAGAUUGAGAGUCGUACUGAUAAUGCUAACAAUCUAGUCUAUCAAUAUUUUUUAGACAACUAGCAGGUGGCCUCGCAAAUGUGAGGGCUAGAUCUUUUUGUAUGAAAAUGUUGUUUAGUUAAGUUUAUGUUUUGCACUAUAUUUUACGCUCAUACUUUACCACUUUUAUUGUAUAAUACACAAUGUUAUAUACNNNNNNNNNNNNNNNNNNNNNNNNNNNNNNNNNNNNNNNNNNNNNNNNNNNNNNNNNNNNNNNNNNNNNNNNNNNNNNNNNNNNNNNNNNNNNNNNNNNNACAACAAAAAAGAAAAAGACUCCUAUGAUACAAGAUGCUCCAAGAAAAAACACAUAUCAUGUGGUGAAUAAAAAAUAUAGCUUCAAGUAAUGUUACCGAUGGAUUGAAGACGAAAGAGGAGAUGCCUUCCCGGGGCAUCCCCAAGCUUAGGAUUUUUUGGUGUCCUUGAAUUUGGCUUGGGGGGCCUUGGGCAUCCCCAAGCUUGAGAUCUUUCCACUCCUUAUCUCUUUGUCCAUGAGAACGUCACCCAAAACAUGAAAACUUCACAACACAAAACUUAAACAGAAACUUGUGAUAACAUUACUACAAGAAUGCAAACUACCACUUCUUUUGGUACUAUAGCAAACUUGAAUUCCAUCCAUAUUGAUGAUGAGCUACUGUAUUCUAAAUUUUCCAUGGCUAGUACCCUCCGAUACUAACCAUAGUUUCAUCAAAACUAGCAACCAACUCAAUAAAAACAGAAUCUGUUGAAAACAUACCAGUCUGUAGCAAUCUGUAUACUUCGUAUACUUCUGGUACCAACAAAAAAUCURGAAAAAUUGCGAAGGUCUAGGGAAAAAGCAUAUAAAUCAGAGGAAAAAAUAAUCAACUCAAAAUCUAUUUCUGAAUAAAAAAUAGAAAAAUACAUCUCGUGAGACAAAAAGUUUUUAGUUCUUUUUUCCUAGACAAGAUCAAACAACCAUUACCAAGACCAAACAUAAAGGUCUUGCUUGGCUCAAACAACAAAAAAGAAAAACAAACAAAAAACGAAACAAACUAAAACAAACNNNNNNNNNNNNNNNNNNNNNNNNNNNNNNNNNNNNNNNNNNNNNNNNNNNNNNNNNNNNNNNNNNNNNNNNNNNNNNNNNNNNNNNNNNNNNNNNNNNNAUGCACGAAAAAAUACCAAAUGAAGUCAGAAAUUGUUGAAAAUUUGUGAUGUGCCUUUAGAAUGGUGACAUUUUUACAAACACAACAAAAAAGUAUGGAAAUUCAAAUUAAGUUACAAAAAAAAAUAGAAAAAUCCCUUUAGUAACAAGAAUGAGUUACUACGUUACGAAACCCUCAUACUUCGAAAGAGAUUGUUCGUUUUGUACACGAAGUGCGAUCCAGUUUUUGUCGUAACCCUCUCAACUUUUUUAGCACUAUUCUAUGUGGGUGAAAUGAUGAUACCAUGCCAACUUUCAACUAUUUUUUAGAGUUCAUUUUGUCGUGUCUUUUUCAAUUUUCAGGGUCAAAUUAGUUAAAAAAAUAAGUAAAUGCAACGAAAAGUAUCAAACGAAGUCAGAAAUUGUUGAAAAUUUCUGAUGUCAACUAAAAAGAAUUCAAACCUAAAAACAAUUAAACUAAAAAAAAUAGAAACUAAAAAUUAAGCAAAGUGACUUUAUAUGCUAAAAUGAAUACAAAGUAAAAACAAUUAACUAAAAAAUAAACAAAAAAUAAUAUUCUUGUAGNUAGCUAUAAUUGUUGAAUUUGAUUANNNNNNNNNNNNNNNNNNNNNNNNNNNNNNNNNNNNNNNNNNNNNNNNNNNNNNNNNNNNNNNNNNNNNNNNNNNNNNNNNNNNNNNNNNNNNNNNNNNNCUUCCACACCCGAAGUUCGGGUAGAACAGUAAAUUCAAUAAAAAUAUUUUUUAAAAAUGUUAAAAAAAAAACUUAGAAUUUUAUUUUUACAGAAAAACUUUGACAAAGUGUUUUAAGUAGCUUGCAAAUUUACAAGCUACGAAUUCACAUUUUUUUGAAAGUACAAUGGCAAAAAAAAGAAAAUUAGCGAUCCAAAAUAGCUUUGAAAGUAGCUAUUUUUAAAGUUCGAUUUUUUUUUGCCACGACUUCCAAAGAUUUGAUUCCUGAUGAAAUUUUAUGGGCGCUUAGAACAUUUGUUAAAAGUUUGCUAAAAAAAUCAGAUUUUUUGAACAUUUGUACAAUAUUUUUCGAAUUUACUGUUGACCCAAGCACAUAGGAGCUCGGGUGCAAAAAACAUCACGUCCGUAUAGUACUUCAUACCUCAAGGUUAGACCAAUGGGAAAACAUUUAGGAAAUAAUUAUAUAGAUAUAUGAGCUAAACAAUAUCGUUGAACUGUAGUUGUGUUUUCCCAUAAUAGUAAUGUUUGUCUUCAGUGUCUCUUCCUUGUUUGUUAAAUACAACCAUUGUUAGUUUGAGAUAGUAAUUGGUACUUAAAACCGUAACUUUAAAGGUUUACUUUUAAUUACCCUAAGUUGGUACCCUAANNNNNNNNNNNNNNNNNNNNNNNNNNNNNNNNNNNNNNNNNNNNNNNNNNNNNNNNNNNNNNNNNNNNNNNNNNNNNNNNNNNNNNNNNNNNNNNNNNNNUGGUNAGGAUACCGNACGUANCAAGCAAACAGCACUUNUACCAUUGACUAGAAUUAUGAUAAUUAGGGUCAAAGAACCACAACUCGAANAGAAUUANAAGGAUCGAAAUCAUUGCAUACUAAGAGAAUCAUAGGAGACGUNAAUAAGAUUCAUAGAUAAUACUGUAUCGAUAAAUACCNCAAUUCAUCGAUCUGACAACACACCGCAAAGAAGAUUACAUCGGAUAGCUNUCCAUGAAGAGCAUGGAGAACUUUGUAUUGAAGAUCCAAGAGAGAGAAGAAGCCAUCUAGCUACUAGCUAUGGACCCAAAGGUCUGUGGUGAACUACUCACACAUCAUCGGAGAGGCAAUUGUGUUGAUGAACAAGCCCUCCGUGUCCGAAUCCCCCCUCCGGCAGGGCACCAGAACGUGCCGAGAUGGGAUCUUGCGGAGACAAAGCUUGCGGCGGCCGAAAGUAUUUCGUGGCUCUCUCUGGCAGUUUUUGGAUUUUUUAGAGAAUUUAUAAGCGGAAGAAGUAGGGCAAAGGAGCCACGGGGGGCCCACAAGCCUGCUAGGUGCCCCUAGGUCGCGCUAAGGGCUUGUGACCUCCCUGGGUCCUUGCCUUGGUCUCAAGUCCCUGCGUAUCUUGCGUUAUGGAAAAAUCAUUCCGCAUGUUUAUUCCGUUUGGACUCCUAUUUAAUAUUUACUUCUUCUACCGUAAAAAAAAGGGUUCCAAAUUAAACCGUAACCCAAAGGUAAAAAAAAANNNNNNNNNNNNNNNNNNNNNNNNNNNNNNNNNNNNNNNNNNNNNNNNNNNNNNNNNNNNNNNNNNNNNNNNNNNNNNNNNNNNNNNNNNNNNNNNNNNNUUCCCCCCGUUCCUGUACUUAAAGCUACUUACGAGAACAUUCGUUACAAUAACAAAACGCAAUAAUACAAAGAAUGAUAGUGGUAUUAGAAACUAAGAAUAAAGAGAUGCGGUGGAUGACGGGCUUUGUGGGCCCCCUUGUGGCUCGUCUGCCCUACCUCUUCCGCCUAUAAAUUCCCGAAAAAUACAAAACUGCGAAAGAGAUCCACGAAAGUACUUUUCCGCCGCCGCAAGCUUCUGUCUCCGCAAAAUCCCAUCUGGGGCACGUUCUGGUGCCCUGCCAGAGUGGUGAUUCGGAUACGGAGGGCUUCUUCAUCAACACCAUGACCUCUCCGAUGAUGCGUGAGUAGUUCACCAUAGACCUAUGGGUCCAUAGCUAGUAACUAUAUCGCUUCUUCUCUCUCUUGGAUCUUCAAUANAAAGUUCUCCAUGAUCUUCAUGGAGAUCUAUCGAUGUAAUUCUUCUUUGUCGGUGUGUUUGUCGAGUAUCCUAAUGUAAUUCGUGGUAUUUAUGAUUCGAGAUUUACUUCUUAUAGUUAAUUACUUAUUUGUAGUUUCUUUCGUUGGUUCUUUCUUAUUGCUAUGUAUUUCUAUACUUCCUUUGUAAUUCUUCUUCGUAGUUGUUGGGUUUUGUUUNNNNNNNNNNNNNNNNNNNNNNNNNNNNNNNNNNNNNNNNNNNNNNNNNNNNNNNNNNNNNNNNNNNNNNNNNNNNNNNNNNNNNNNNNNNNNNNNNNNNGAAUUUAUAAGAANAUGUUUUCUAUAUAGUGAUUUAGUCAUUUAAUUGUGUUUUUUACUUAUUUUUACGUUAGUAUUUUUCGUUAGAUUUUUAACAUGUUGUAGUAUGGGUGCCAAUAUUUAAAUGCNCCAAAAAAAAUCUACAGUUCAAUAUUAAAAGAAUGCCUUUAUAGCAGAUGGGUUUUCGUCUGAAACCCUUGAUACUUUGGAGUUUUGUAGAAAAUAAACCAAAAAAGUGAUAAAAAAUCUUCUAAAAAAUAAAAAAAAAUGAUAAAAUCUUGAAAAAAUAAAAUCCUUUGAGAUGUUUUUAGGUUUUAGUGUCUACUCGGUAUAGAAAUUUUGAGAUAUGAAUUUUGACCGUUUUUGCAAAAAAAAAUAAACGGCCAUAACUUUUGAAUUACGACGUCCAAAAAAAAAAUAUAAAAAAAAAACUAGAAAAAAAUUGGUACUCGAUUUCACCCGGGCUUAGCCUGGUGAAGUUUUUCUCACGAUGCUCAAAUUCCAAAUGGAAAAAAAGUUAUUUCGAAAAAAGAAGUUUUUUUUCAAAAAAAAAAAAGAAAAAAUAAUUUAUUUAAAAAUACUUACGUUAAUUUUCAUUGAAAUUUCACUAUUAUUGUUACUUAUUAAAGUUUAUUUUUUAAUAAAUUUGUUUAGUUAAUUUACAAAAAAAAUUUAAAUCNNNNNNNNNNNNNNNNNNNNNNNNNNNNNNNNNNNNNNNNNNNNNNNNNNNNNNNNNNNNNNNNNNNNNNNNNNNNNNNNNNNNNNNNNNNNNNNNNNNNCGAUCAUCGACGACAUCGGCAACAUGCAACUCCAGUUCCAUAUACUUCUCCUCAAUUUAUUUYYAAUUUUUUCUUCAAGUAAUUGUUUUCUUUUUCAACCAAAUUUAACUUCUCGACCUGAAUUUCUAUGUGGGUUGAACUUUUCGGUUCCCAUACCUCUUAGAUUAAAAAAAUAUAUGUCACGUUGGUCGUCAUAAUUGUCAUAAACAUUAAAUAAGACAAAUAGUUAUAAAAGAUAAUAUGUACCACAUCCGAAUCGUAGACAUGACGAGGGCCGACGGAAGCGGAUACCAAAACCAUCGCACUAUGUAAUAACAAAAAAUAAUGAAAGUAAGUAAUUUAUACACGUAUCUAUCUAAAUCAUACAAGAAAGAAAUUUUGUUCUUUUAGAAAGAAUACAAGAACAAGAGGCUCACCACGGUGGUGCUCGCGACGAGUUCGGCGCGGGUGAUCGACAACAGUGAGGACGGGCACGGGACGACACCCUACACAUUGCAGACUCUAAGAAGUAAAUUUGAGCUUAUAUUUUUGCAUCUAAACAAAUAACUCCCACAUACACGCCUACACUAAAACCCACAAACCACUCUACUUUUAAAGCAUUUGAAAUGAGUUAAACUAGCAGUAAGAGAUGAAANNNNNNNNNNNNNNNNNNNNNNNNNNNNNNNNNNNNNNNNNNNNNNNNNNNNNNNNNNNNNNNNNNNNNNNNNNNNNNNNNNNNNNNNNNNNNNNNNNNNAUUUCCAUUAAGGAAGGGCAUGGAACACUUUACUAGAAAGAAAAUAAGAUUGCCAUAUGAAUCCAUGAUGAGGGCUACUUAUGGUUUGGGCAACUAAGACGACGAUACGUGAUUCUAUCGCUACUAUGCCUAGCUAAGGGCGUUAAACAAUAGCGCUUGUUGGGAGAUAACCCAAUAAAUUUAUCUUUUUUCUUUCUGUUUUUUUUGCGUCCACACUUUCACAAUUCUGUUGUUAUUGCGUUUUUUGUGUUUCUUUUUGUGUUUGAGCCAAGCAAGACCUUUAUGUUUGGUCUUGGUAAUGGUUGUUUGAUCUUGCUGGAAAAAGACAGAAACUUUUUUGCUCACGAGAUGAUUUUUCAUUUUUAUUCGGAAAUAGAUUUUGAGUUGAUUAUUUUUUCCUCUGAUUUAUAUGCUUUUUCCCUAGACCUUCGUAAUUUUUCAGUAUUUUUUGUGGUACCAGAAGUAUACGAAGUAUACAGAUUGCUACAGACUGGUAUGUUUCGACAGAUUCUGUUUUUAUUGAGUUGGUUGCUUGUUUUGAUGAAACUAUGGUUAGUAUCGGAGGGUACUAGCCAUGGNNNNNNNNNNNNNNNNNNNNNNNNNNNNNNNNNNNNNNNNNNNNNNNNNNNNNNNNNNNNNNNNNNNNNNNNNNNNNNNNNNNNNNNNNNNNNNNNNNNNGAAAGCUCUGAGGAAUUGGGUUGCUCUUAUGACAAGUGUCAGUUUCUAACGGAGCAGCCAACCAGCUAGUGGUUGUGGGGGGUGGCUAUUUAUAGCCUGGGAGCAUCCCGACAUGAUUUGACACUAAUGCCCUUAAGUAAUAUGACCUUUGGAGUGGAUAAGACCAGUGACUUGGCGUGGCUAUCAAAACGGUCGGAACCCUCAACUGUGAGAGUCCUCAUGUCACUCAUAUUCCUCAGUUGAGGCUUUUGGUAGGAUUAGGCUUAGGUUGAGCAUCAUGAGGAAAUUCAUUCCAUAGUGUAACCUUGACCCCCUUUAACAGUACGGUGUUCCUAUUACUCGAAUGCGAAGAAAGUAAAACAGAAAUUGUAAAUCUUCAUGCUUCAAAUUCUUCAGAGUGAUUUUCUUCAGGAACCACCGGACUUCUCAAUAUCAGUAUAUUUAUGAGGAAUAUCAAUUUCAUCGCAGAUUCCUCGCGAUUCAUUUCUUCAGCUUCAGACCAAUCUCUUCAACUGAAGACAUAUAUUUUUAGGGGUUGAUAUUCUUCAAAUAUCUCAAAUUCCUCAAUGAAUUAUAGAUCCUGUGUACACUGACAAACAUAUUAGAUACUUAACCUAUAAGUCUUGAAACCACCAAAAUCACUAAGGGGCACUAGAUGCAUUUACAAGAUACAUAUCCCCAUUGAGGUAACUUAGUGGCUAUUUGAAAAUUCUCCGUUUUCUUUUGCGAUUCGAGAAAGUUUUGUCAUAAGGAUUUGAUCAACCCCAUUGACGAAUUUCUUUCGAUGACCAUGAAAUGGAUGAAUCAAAGAGUCACAUACCUCUGUUUUAAGCUUUCACUUUCUUUUGCUUAGAAGAAAAAUGAUAGGUUUAGUUUAGUUUUUCCUGUUUUCUGUUUUAGCGUCCCGGAGAAAAAUAACCCGAAAAUAGAAGUUCUCCGAUGGUCUUGAAAAUCUAUUAUGAUUUUUCUGGUAUAUUUGAAAAAUACUGGGACUGAGAGCUGGCCUAGGGGCCACCCCAGUGGGCCACAAGCCCUGUCACCGCGGCCACCCCCUGGCCGCGGCAAGCAAGCUUGUGGGGCCCACAGAGGCCCCCUCCACUCAUUCCAGCUCCCAUCCUCUUCUUCUUCCUCCAGAAAAAAUUAUUUCGCAGCUCAAACCCAUGUUCUUGCUCAUUUGGUUGUGAUUUUCGAUCUCCUUGCUCAAAGCAUCAUUCUCCGAAACGUUGUGGGGAAAUUACUCCUUGGUAAGUGACUCCUCCAUUGGUAAAAUUAGUUUUUGCUCUAGUGCUUUAUCCUUCGCGCAUUCUUGCUACCUUGGUGACCCUGUUCUUGAGCUUGAAAUGUUGAUUUUAGCUGGUCCCAAGUAGUUUUAGCGCGUGAUACGGUCUGUAAGCACUAGUAGGAGUAGUUGCUACGAGUUGGGUUAAUUUUUAUUCACUUUUCUUUCGAAGUCUCUAAAAUUUCAGAAUUUUUCAGAGCUAGAAAAGGAAAAGAUGAGGAGGUUCUUGAGAGGCUCUUCAAGCCAUAACCCCAAGGAGGAUGAGAAGAACCACCCCAAGUACGUGGUUCCUCGAGUCACAGAAGUUCGAGCAUGCGAGUGGCCAAGUGAUGAAUUUUUACGCGCCGCCGAGCUUUAUGAAGACUUUUAUUACUUUGUGGAGAACGCAGGUCUUACCGCGUUCGUAGAUGAUAAGUGCUCACAAUACCUCCUCCUCACCAAUAUUUUCGUUCAAAGCUUCAACUUUUAUCCGAGGAAGAAUCCUCCCAUGGUUGAGUUCAUGUUGUACGAUAUCCCCCAGUGCAUGACACUACAUGAUUUUUCCAAUGCAUGCAAAUUACAUUAUGUUGGGGAUAUUCAUGAUCCUCGUCCACGGGACUUGGAAGAUUUCAUAAGUACUAUUGCUGUUGGAGAGGAGAGAGGAGUGUCUCGCGCUAGAAUCGCUAGCAUACAUUUUCCUGUGCUUCGGUACUUCUCAUUAUUUGUGGGAAAAUGUUUGAUUGGCCGUGGGGAGGCUGGAUCACUUAGCUCUGCAGACCUUGCGGUUUUGCACGAAGGCCUUUAUAGCACUAAGAAUUAUAGCCUAGGUGCUAUACUAGCUCAGCGGUUGAACACAAACCGUUCCAAAGAUGUCGUCUAUGGAGAUAUCUAUGCUACUCGUCUUGCUAGACACUUUGAGAUACCCAUUAGACUUCGCGAGGAAGAAUAGAUGCUUCUUCGUGAGAAAUAUCUGGAUUAUGACAGCAUGGUUCGCCAUGAUUUUCUGGAUAGAGAUGCUAGUAGACGGGUGAUUUAUAACCUGGUAUUUAGUCAGGGUACUCGAGAGACUAAUACUUUGCCUGAUCCUUCUUUGUUCGAUCUUCAUGGAGGCACGUACACUAUUAUGCCCUCGGACAUCUACGCAUAUUGGGGGCUUAGCCAAACCACAGGUGCCCGUGCCCAAGCCGCCAGUCGAGUACCAGACGCCAGUUUAUCAAUUGGAGCCAGAGGAGCUCACACAGCAGUGGCAUCCACAGUCCGCUCCGGAGUAUCCCGAAGCUGGUUAUUUCCCGCCUUGGGAGUAGACCAASYUAGGCCAAAAGCCUAAGCUUGGGGGAGUACGUGUUUCUCACCGACUUUAUAUUCUUGCUUACACUUUCACUUUGUUAGUCGGUGUUCACACUUUGCCACUUUAACAUCCAUGCUAGUUUAUUUUCUUUUCUCGUUUUCUUUUCAUGUGUUUGUCUAGAUUGAGAAAAACCCAAAAAAUAUUUUCUUUUCUUCCUUUUUGCUUGUUGGGAGCUUUUCCCGUGUAAAAUAGUUUACUUUUUCUUUGGGUCAAGGUAGAAGACCAUGGUUACAAUAUUGAGAAAACCCCAAAAAUAUGCAUGCGAGAGCCACUAAACAUUGUAACCAUGGUCUUCUACCUUGACCCAAANNNNNNNNNNNNNNNNNNNNNNNNNNNNNNNNNNNNNNNNNNNNNNNNNNNNNNNNNNNNNNNNNNNNNNNNNNNNNNNNNNNNNNNNNNNNNNNNNNNNAGGAAAUUAGGAUAUUUUCCGAUGCCUGUAGAUUUUAAACCGUGUAUCGGAUCGCGACGUAUUGAAUGCAUAACUUGUGUAGAAUUCCACGUAUAUUUCAAAUUUCUAACUUGCAUAAUUAUUUGAGGUAGUUUGAAGUGCCUAAUGCAUUGUUUUACGUGCUGUUUUAAUAGGACACGUCCCGUAUUAAUUUUUGCGCAAGUCUGGAUUGCUCAUAUGCCGUAGUAGAAAUGCCCAUGUUUUAGGAACUAAGUUUCCAUGUAUUUUAGAGCAGUCAUUGGUAUUUUUACAUGUAGGGAUUCCCGGUAGCUUAUUUUCCCGUGUAUAGGUUAUUUUCUCGCAUUUUCGCGUGGCAUCAUUUUAGUGUUGCAACCCCACAUAUUUUAUAUGUUUUCGGGGUAGAAAAUUCAAGGGAUUUUUCUGUGCAAUUAGUUUUAGCAUUAGAGCAAAUUAGUUCGCGCGAUAUUUUGCCAUGUUGCCYUCUUGUCUUUUUCGUAGGAUUUAUUCCGUGCUUCGUUUGACGGAGUUGUCAACUAGAGAGUUGAUCUUGGGUGUUUAGACUAGCCCCUGUAUUUUUGGUUGCAAUAGAAAUGCAUGUUUAGGUGUGAUUUGCUUGCUCUCAAGUUGCUAGAAAUAGUGCUGAUUUGGAGGAGCUGAAAUAUGUCUAAGUCUGGAAUCUGUUAUAAUUUAUUGCUUGUUUUGUUUUGCUUCUAGCUUUUAAUCUGUAGCUCUUUUGAGGUUGGUCCAAUGGAGUUAGUUGUACCCCUUGUGUUUCUCUAGCAUGCUGUAAAUUUUCAUGCCAUUUGGAGUCCUGUAGCUAUAGGUUUUGCUUCUGUCAAUAUGGCUUCAGAUCGAAAACUGCACUUUCAUUAGGUGUAAUUUUCACUAAGUCUGAAAUAGUGUGUGAGAUGCCAUUUUGUGUCUUCUUUCCCUAGUGAUCAUGAUUCCAUGCUAGUUGUUGUUAGUUGUUUGUAGUAGUGCUUCUUGCCCUCUUCCGUGCCAUGCCUUGCUUGAGCAUAUCGGAGUAGUGUAGCCCGUAGUUGUAGGGCGUAGAAAAUGUUAUGUCGCUGAUUUUGGCAGAUUGUAGUGAUUUCUUGUUUUGCUCGUAGUUUUUGAACCGUAGCUCCGUUUUGAUCGUGUCCUACAURAAACUUGCUUAGGAUMUCGUGUAAUUUCAUUUUCUCUUGCUGGUUCUAUGUUUUGAAGUGCUCGUGACCGCCGUUGCACACAUAUUGCAUUCAUGCCAUCAUAUCUUGCGGUGCUUGUAAUUUCUGACCCGUAGCUCCGUUGGAGAUGUUCUUUAUGUGUAGAUUGCUUGUCUUGACGCGUAGAAUCACGUGAACCUAUUUGUUUUUCUGUUUAACAACCAAUUAAAUGUGUUAGUUCAGAUCUGGACAGAAUUGUAAAUUAACAUGUGAGGUCGUUUCGGAGGUGUUAUAUGACAUUUCCGACCUCAUUUAAAAUGCCUAGAUAAGUAGUUUAAUUACGCUUCACCUCUUGCCAUGUUUAAUCACAUUUAAUAUUGCCGAGUAUCUAAUCGGGAUAGAACUGAAUAAUUAACGUGGAGUUCCGUCAAUAUGCAACUCGUUAUAUAUUGAACUUCACUUAACGUAUUGUGUUUGAUUGUGUGAAUUGUCAUGCCGUGACUUGCAUGUAUUCAUCUGCUCAUGCAUCAUAUGUGUUGUGCAUCAUGUGGUGAAUAUCGUGUGUUGAUUCUUGUUUCCGGGUUCCUUUGUCUCGAUAGAGUUCCGCAAGCGUGUCGGAUUGUGAGGACCCGUUCGACUACGUCGGUUCGUCUGCUUCACGGAGGCAUUCUUCUUCCAAGUGGGAUCUCAGGCAAGAUGACCAUUUCCCCAGAUACCAUUACUAUCAUUGCCAUGCUAGUAUUACUGUUUCUAUCGAUGAUGUCUCGUUGCCUACCACAUGUUAAAUAUCAGCCUCUCAACAAUGCCAUGAAAACCUUCAACAUGUUCAACCUAGCAAACCACUGAUUGGCUAUGUUACCGCUUGCUUAACCCUGUUGAUAGCGUUGUUAGUUGUAGGUGCAGAUGCUUUCCAUGUGAUAACAUGGGUUCCUUGUCUUAUCACCAUAUUAAUGCUAUUUAAUUUAACUGCACCUAUAUACUUGGUAAAAGGUGGAAGGCUCGGCCUUUCUAGCCUGGUGUUUUGUUCCACCUUUGCCCCCUUAGUUUCGGCUACCGGUGUUAUGUUCCAUAAUUGAGCGCUCCUAACACGAUCAGGGUUGUUAUGGGGACCCCCUUGAUAAUUCGUUUUAGAUUAAAGCCGAUAUCACAAGGCCCAACGUUGGUUCUACAUUUGCCCAACAUAAUAAUUUUGAUAAAUUGAAAUGCAUAGGGAGUUAGCGCUACCCGCGCAGUAAUUUUACAUAAACAGGGGGGGCCAGUGUUGAUGGUGUUGGUCCCAAAAGGACAGACUGCGGGGCCACCACGGGGCAACUCGAGGUUUGGCACCUGUAGGAUUUUCCAUCCGUCGUGUCCUAAGAACGAGAUACGCGGCUCCUAUCGGGUUCGUCGACACGUCGGGCGACCUUGCUGGAUUAGUAUUACCUUCGACGAGAUAUCUUCUGCAUCGGGAUUCCGGUGAUGCUUUGGGUAAUCUCGGAGUUGAGGUUUUCCACUAGGGAACCUGACGAGAUCGCGAGCUUCGUGAUUGAGGAUUUCUUUGCGGCUUGUGGUAAUUUGUGAUGGACUAGUUGGAGCACCCCUGCAGGGUUAAAUCUUUUCGAAAAGCCGUGCCCGUGGUUAUGUGGCAACGUGGUAAACUUUUUUAACACUGGUACUAGAUAACUUGAAGUUAACUUAAUUAAAACAUGCCAACUGUGUGUGUAACCGUGACUGUCUCUUUCGUGAGAUCUUACUCCGAUCAAGGACACGGAGGGGUUAUSUCUGACGUWGGUAGGUGUUCAGGAUCAUUCAUUUGAUCAKCAGUAGUUCAYGUCCGUUAUGYGUAGAUCYUCCCCMUCUUAYUUCUUGUACUCGUAAGUUAGCCACCAAAUAUAUGCUUAGUCGCUGCUGCAACCUCACCACUUAAUCAUGCCUCACCCRUUAAGCUUUGCUACUCUUGAUACCUUUGGUAAAUGAGAUUGCCGAGUCCCCUGUGGCUCACAGAUUACUACAACACCAGUUGCAGGUACAGGUAGAGGUUACUUGACGCGAGCGCGUUGAUAUUUCGUUUGGAGUUGCUUCUUCUUCUUCUUCUUCUUCUUCAUCGAUCUAGGAUGGGUUCCAGGCCGGCAGCCUGGGAUAGCAAGGAUGGACGUCGUUCUUCUUUUCUCGUUUGUUUCAUCCGUAGACCGACCCUGCUCUUACUCUUGAUGAUUAUGUAAUAUACUGAUGUGACUCUGAUGUAGCUUGUGGCAAGUGUAAGCCAAUUCUUUAUAUAUAUCUCUUCUUUUCAGUACAUGUACUUGUAACGAUAUCCAUUCUUGCGACACGACGAGAUGCGCUUCUAUCCCUGACGAGGCCUUCGUGCCAAAUUGAGGAUAGGGUCGCAUCUUGGGCGUGACACUUGCCGGGAGCCGUGCUGGUGCCGGCACCGAUAACCAUCACCUCCACGGCAUGGGAGACGGCAGCAACGUGGUAUGGGGUAAAGAACCCCACCGACGGCGGAGGGCCGUUGAAGACGAGGAUGUUGCUGGGAUAUACGUCAUGGACAGGUGUCUCAGUGAUAGAGAGCCUACUGAAGCUGGUGCAGAGCGCGUCAACGUCAAAGUCCUCGCCAAAGUAGCGCAGACCAUCGUUGAGACGUAGGUCGGUGAAGAGAAUGCUGAGGUUCUCCAUAGCAGCAACAAUGACGCUAGGAAGCGCCUCGUCAUCAGAAUCUUCGUCCGAAUCCGUAUGGCGGACGGGCACGUCGAUCAUCAUCGGUGUUGCCUCGUCGAAAGCGGGCUCCCCGGGCAUGUAAACUAGAUCCGGAUGCGAUGCAUCCGGUGGUGUAGGUGCGGGGCCCCGCCCAGCGCGUAAAGCCAACCGAUGCCGCGAUCGGCCCCACGGUGGGCGCCAAAUGUGGGUGAAUACUCACAACAUAUGCCAUAUGUAGGAUAAAGUCAGUGAGAACCGAAGGGACAAAGGUGGGUGCUGGGAAUGAGGUUGGUACACGCAUGGAACGCACGAUGUACCCACGUUCAGGGUUCUCCAUAGAGAUAAUACCCCUAGUCCUGCCGGAGUGUUUGAUGUGUAUGAACAUAGUAAAGAGUUGCUCCUGGAGCUGUGUUGGGAGGAGGAAGAGGGGAUCAACCAGCUCGUCUCUGCCUCUCUCUCUCUGUGGUUGUUGAGUGUGUAGUGUUGUUCGACCGUGGAAUGAUCGGCCCCCUGCAUGGAGGGCGACCAGGGGGUUUUAUAGACAAACCCGCCGGCCUACAAUAUGGAUAAAGGGUACAAGUGUGUCACCCGGCUGGCAGCCUCGCCGGCUGGCUAGGGGCCCACUAGAGUCUUGUCUUGUCGCUUGAGGGGCCCGCCGGCUACAUGGUCUCUAUUGGCAGUGGGACCCUCCGGCUGGCCAAUGAAGCUCUCGCGUAAGGUUGAUGCCGAGCACGCGCUGUACGUCGAGCGUCGUCCAGCGAGAUUCGUCAUGGGCAGGUAGUACGGCCGCCUCCACUGUNNNNNNNNNNNNNNNNNNNNNNNNNNNNNNNNNNNNNNNNNNNNNNNNNNNNNNNNNNNNNNNNNNNNNNNNNNNNNNNNNNNNNNNNNNNNNNNNNNNNAAUGACGCGUAGAAUCACGUGAACAUAUUUGUUUUGCUGUUUAACAACUAAUUAAAUGUGAUAGUUCAGAUCUGGACAGAAUUGUAAAUUAACAGGUGAGGUCGUUUCGGAGCUGCUAUAUGUCAUUUCCGACCUCAUUUAAAAUGCCUAGAUAGUUAGUUAAAUUACGCUUCACCUCUUGCCAUGUGUAACCACAUAUAAUAUUGUAGUGUACCUAAUCGGGAUAGAAGUAAGUAAAUAAACGUGGAGUUUCGUCAAUAUGUAACUCGUUGCAUAUUGAACUUCACUUAAUGUGUAGUGUUUGAUUGUGUGAAUUGUCUUGCCGUGUCUUGCCUGUAUUCAGCUGCUCAUGCAUCAUAUGUGUUGUGCAUCGUGUGGUGAAGUUCUUGUGUUGAUUCUUGUUUCCGGUUUCCUCCGUCUCGAUAGAGUUCCGCAAGCGUGUCGGAAAGUGAGGACCCGUUCGACUACGUCGGUUCGUCUGCUUCACGGAGGCAUUCUUCUUCCAAGCGGGAUCUCAGGCAAGAUGACCAUUUCCCCAGAUACCAUUACUAUCAUUGACAUCCUAGUUUUAUCGCUUCUAUCGAUUAUGUCUCGUUGCCUACCACAUGUUAAAUAUCAGCCUCUCAACAAUGCCAUCAAAACCUUCAACAUGUUCAACCUAGCAAACCACUGAUUGGCUAUGUCACUGCUUGAUUAACCCUGUGUUAGCGUUGCUAGUUGCAGGUGCAGUUGCUUCCAUAUGAUAACAUGGGUCCCUUGUCAUAUCACCAUAUUAAAUUCUAUUUAAUUUAAUGCACCUAUAUACUUGGUAAAAGGUGGAAGGCUCAGCCUUUCUAGCCUGGUGUUUUGUUCCACCUUUGCCCCCUUAGAUUCGGCUACUGGUGUUAUGUUCCAUAAUUGAGCGCUCCUAACGCGAUCGGGGUUGUUAUGGGGACCCCCUUGAUAAUUCGUUUUAGAUUAAAGCUGGUCUGGCAAGGCCCAACAUUGGUUCUACAUUUUCCCUACAGAAUAAUUCUGUUAAUCUCAAAUGCAUAGGGAGUUAGCGCUACCCGAGGAGUAAUUCUACAUAACCAGGGGGGCCAGUGCUGAUGGUGUUGGUCCCAAACGGUCUGCGUGCGGGGCCACCGCAAGGAAACUCGAGGUUUGGCACACGUUGCUAGUUCCAUCCGUCGUGUCCUGAGAACGAGAUACGCGGCUCCUAUCGGGAUUGUCGACACGCCGGGCGGCCUUGCUGGAUUAGUUUUACCUUUGUAGAGAUAUCCUGUGCAUCGGGAUUCCGGUGAUGCUUUGGGUAAUCUUAGAGUUGAGGUUUUCCACUAGGGAAUCCGACGAGAUCGCGAGUUUCGUGAUUGAGGAUUUCUAUGCGGCUUGUGGUAAUUUGUGAUGGACUAGUUGGAGCACCCCUGCAGGGUUAAAUCUUUCGGAAAGCCAUGCCCGCGGUUAUGUGGCAAUGUAGAAACUUUGUUUAACACUAGAUCUAGAUAAUCGAAGUUAACUUAAUUAAAAUAUGCCAACUGUGUGCGUAACCGUGACUGUCUCUUUCGUGAGUUCUUUCUCCGAUCGAGAACAGGGUGGGGCUAUCUCUGACGUWGGUAGGUGUUCAGGAUCAUUCAUUUGAUCAUGAGUAGUACACGUCCGUUAUGCGUAGAUCUUCCCCCUCUUAUUUCUUGUACUCGUAAGUUAGCCACCAAAUAUAUGCUUAGUCGCUGCUGCAACCUCACCACUUAACCAUGCCUCACCCAUUAAGCUUUGCUCCUCUUGAUACCUUUGGAAAUGAGAUUGUUGAGUCCCCGUGUGGCUCACAGAUUACUACAAGACCAGUUGCAGGUACAGGUAGAGGUUACUUGACGCGAGCGCGUUGAUUGUUCAUUUGGAGUUGCUUCUUCUUCUUCUUCUUCUUCAUCGAUCUAGGAUGGGUUCCAGGCCGGCAACCUGGGAUAGCAAGGAUGGACGUCGUUCUUCUUUUCUCGUUUGUUUUCGUCCGUAGUCGGACCCUGCUCUUACUCUUGAUGAUUAUGUAAUGUAGUGAUGUGACUCUGAUGUAGCUUGUGGCGAGUGUAAGCCAAUUCUUUAUAUAUAUCUCUUCUUUUCAGUACAUGUACUUGUAACGAUAUCCAUUCUUGGGACACGACGAGAUGCGCUUCUAUCCCUGACGAGGCCUUCGUGCCAAAUUGAGGAUCGGUUCGCAUCUUGGGCAUGUCAAGUUGGUAUUAGAGCAGUACCGACCUAGGAGCCCCCUUUAUUGAUCGAACUUGGCUGAGUCGAGUCUAGUGAAAAAAACUGCUUUGAGUCAAGUUAUAUAUUGGAGAGUAGGAUUCUUUUUUCUCCUCUUCUAUCCUCUGGUGAGGAAUCUUGAUGUAAUAAUUUAAUUCUACUCCUCUUCUCACUCAAAAAAAAUUUAGGAUCACGCGGAUAUUUUUGGAAUCUAUAUGAUGCAGAUGUGACGGAGUUUGGUCUUGGUGCCUCCUAUCUGCUUGAGUUUCAGGGGAGUUGAGCUCCACGGGAUUCUUGAGCACAUCGUUAUCAUUCAGAUUUCUUAGUAUCGCAGAAUGAAGGAUGUUCAGAAUUGCUUCAAUACUAGUAGUGGCGAGAUAACCCCGAUGUCCCCAGUACUGGUGCAGAUUGUUCGGGAGUUAUGCCAUACUUUGUAUCGUUGAGAUCACGAGGGUCUGUUGUAGAUGAACGUACGAGAUUCUGGUCGUGUGUUGACGGAUGUGAUACAGGUGACGAGUUAGUAUAGGAGUUGUGUGAUUACUACUCCUUGUAUCCGUGUACCAGAUUGCAUGACCAGAUAUUUCGGGAAUUCAUAGGUGGGAAUUCAAGUAGUUGCUUAUAGGACAAUCUUCCAACAAAUGCAUGAUGUUAGGUUGGGGUUCGACAUCUAGUGGAUUCGUUUGUUCACGAUCGACUUACUGCGGUACACGUUGUGUCUUAAAGAGUCCUUGUAGCUUGCUACGACCCGGGGACGCUUCGUAUGUCGGGUGCACUGCCUUGCACUUGAUGGCUACUGUAAAAUCGAGCCCGUGCGAUCCUGUCCACGAAAAUAUCGGACGAAAUCUUUCUCAUGAGUUUGUUCUAGCUAAUUGCAAGCUGCACACUUUGUUUUGUUGAAUGUGGUAAUUCAUGUUGCUUCAAUGUCAGGUGGUGACUUCAGAUCUUUCCUAAGUGGUGUUCUCAUAUUUUUAUGAGAGUACUAAUUCUUUUGCUAAAUCAAAUCGUCUUAUCAAUUCUUGUCAACCGGAGUCGUCAUGUUAAUUCUUUUCCAACCGGUGUGCUUCUCUUCUGGUGAAUUCAUUCCUCUCCAAUUGUUGCAAGAUCAUUCUCUCAUUUUAUUCCGGAGUUCAUUUCAUCUAGCCCAAGUUGUCUUUGUUUUUCCCCACCCUCUCGCCCUUUUUCUCAGUGAUUCAAUUUUCACCCAAGAGUUUUCAUUUCAUUGUUGCUUCAGCUAUCUUUUAUUCCGUGUCCUAUCCGGUGAUUCGUUGUGAAGAUUAUCAGGACCUUCGUGUUCAUCUUUAUUCAAUCGUGUUAUCUUUUCCGGUGAAUUUAAUUCAGUUGUCCGUGUCAUCAUAUCCUUUUCAUCCUUGUAAUUCCUUUCCUAUGUUGGAAAUUUUUAUGAGUCUAUCUUCUUGUUGUCAUUUCUCUCUAUUUUAUCCGGAGCGUUGAAGUUAUCCUCAGAAUUCUUGUUCUCAAUUCUUUAAUUAUUUCAAGGUGCUCAACCUUAUCAAGUUUUCAUUGUACCGGUGAAGUAUCUUUCUUUAUUAGUAAUUGUUUCAACGGUGAUUUCUUUGAGUGGGCCCAUAACCCACAGGUUUUUUCCCAGGAUCUUAAAUGGCUCUUUAAUUUUUCCGGAGAUCUCUAUAUUCUUUUCAACUAUGACAUAAGUAUGAAUUUCAUCAGUCAUAUCCCUUCUUCAAGAUGAAUUUGAAUUAAUUCUUCAUAUUUGGCUCAAUCUUGCAUUCUUCUUUAUUCCGGAGUGUCUCAGUUAUUCUUGGUGGUGUUCUCCUCAUCAUUCUCAGCUUGCAGUCUGAAGGAGUGUUUUCUCGAAUCUUGGUCCGUUCUCUUGAAGAUUUCAUUUCAUCUUGGUGUCGUCAUCUUAUUUGUUCCAAUCAUGAGUAUCCCUUUCUUGCUAUCCGGUGCAUUUCUGAGUUGUUUUUAUUUCUCGUUCCUCCGAAGACCAUCAUUUUAGAAGAUUCUUCGUUCUCGGCUUUCAGCUUUCAUCCUCAAUUCUUCUGAAUUGUUGUCUCUUCGUUCGUCUCUCAAUUAUUCUAGUGUCUUGUUUAAAUUUCUCUCUCAGGUGGAUCAUGAUCUCUUCAUUCUCAUGUAUCCCCAUUAAUUCUUGGUAUUUCCAUUCAAUUGUGAAUUCUUACCGGUGCUUCCUUCAAUUGUGCUUCAAGUGGUGCUUAUCUCUCUGUCUCUUCAAGAUUCUUUCAAGAAGAAUAAGUUGUAUGCUAAAUCCGUUGCUUGUCAUCAAUUUAAUUUGAUGAAGGAUGAGCAUAACAUAAUUCUUAUUCUUGUUCAUAGUAAUCUGAAUUCUUCUUCCAGAGUGGCUCACGGUAUCAAUUCCUUUUUCUCAAGUGUUCUUAUCUUUUCUUUUCCGGAGUUCCAAGUUUUCUCAAGUUUCUCUUUGUGAAGCUUCAUCUAAAUCAUUGCAACGUCAUAAUCUUAUUCUUUUCUACCUUCAUAUCUUUGCAUCAUUCAUUGGUAUACGGAGGUCCAUCAUGGUGGUUCAUCAAGGAUCUCAAUUCAUUCUCAAGUGUUCUUCAAGAUUCUUGUUGGAGAASCUCAASUAUCCUUUCUCUUGCAUUUAUAUGUGCAAUUUUUCUUUCUUUAUCCUUUGAGGUGGUAUUAUAGUAUUCUUGUUAGUGUAGGAGCCUCGAAGAGAUAUCCUUUCAAGAAUGAGAUAAUUAAACCCACCAAUCCUUUGAUCAUGAGACUACUCUUAACCCAUGACUUCUUUAUUGAGCUAUCUUGGUUUGGAUUUCACCUAAAGCUUUUCCUAUGGAUUGUUGCUAUCAUGGUGCUUGUCAUUAAUCCAAGUUCUCAAUGUAUCCUCUUGGUGUAAGAAAUUGUUCAUAUCUUGUUUCUCCCAAUCAAUCCCUGUUUCUGUUAGUGGCUGGUUGUCACUUCAUUAGUUUGAAAAGGUUUCCAUAAGCCCACUACUAUCUUGUUCUUUUCGUUGUUGUUUUUCCAACAACUCCGUUCAAUUCUUCUUGCAAGGAUGCUUGCCAAGUUCAUUGGAGUUAGUAGUUGUCAUUCUUUUCUUCUUUCUCUUCUUCCGUAUGAGCUAGUUCCUAUUCUCUUGUUCCGGGGGCAUUGUGGUGUUGCUCUUUGGGACUAUUAGGUUGUUCUACCAACAUCAUGGUGUUCCCUUGUUCUAUUUACUUGUUUGUUGUGAACAUUGUCUAAUUCUACCUUCUUAUCGAUUUUUUCCAUUUUCCUACCGAAGUGCUGCCGAAAUUUUCCGUGAAUUCUUGCUUCUUUCUCUUUUCAUUCCUCAUCGCCUUGCAACUUUCAAGGAUCAUUGGUUUCACUCGUUUGUCAAAGAAGUGACUAAGUUUUUACCUCUUCUUCUUUCUCAUCCGCUCCCCCUUUUCAUUCUUGGAUCUCAGGGCGAGAUCCUCUUGUAGUGUAGGAGAGUUGCGACAGCCCGAGACCGACGCUCCAGAAGAUUCCCCCUUUAUUCCGUUCUCGUCGUGUGGUUAUUUUAAUUUGUUGCAUCACCAUCGCAUCAUGCGCAUCAUCAACAUUGCAUCGGCAUCCCGUUGCCGCCUGUUUUCAAAAACUUGCGUCCGUUAUUAGUUGCCGGUUCUCUCCGUGUUCGUCGUUGCCCGUUCUGAGUCCUACCACACACGCACGCGACCGCGGCUAUGUUUAAAUCUUGUUUUAAAAAGUGUGCGUAAAACUUUCUCUGUUAGGGGUGAAACUUGGCAUGCGGUCGAGAUUAGGUAUAGGUAGGCUGCCUGUCGAAUUUCGUCGCGAUCGGAGUCCGUSUGGUACCCGAACGGUCGACCGUGACGGCACCGUAUUCGGUCUACCAUCAAACGUUUGUCGGUGUUUUAAAGUACAUUGCCGGGCCGCCUGUUUUCCCUCUCAUCUCCGUGUAGCCCCUCUGCACAGUGCACCGACCUUACGCGCAGCCUAGUCCGAAAACCUCCCGAAACCCGAACCGAGCGGUCGUGACCGUUGGGUCCGGAUCAACCCCGUUUGACCGCAAACCGUCUUCGGUUUGUCUAGUGGACUUCCUAACCUAUUUAUCUCGACCACUCGAUCUAAAUCGGAGGGUCGAGAUGAACCUACAACUAGCAUGCUAUCUAUAUAAUUGGACCCUAGACUAUCCACCCAAAAACCAGUAUCUAGGGAUCCAUCCCCUAGCCCCUCCUUGUUUUCCCCACCAGGCCAACCAGCAGCGAGAGCCCGAGGCAAACGCUGUAGCCAGCUACCCGAGUGCCUCCCCAAGCCAGCCAGCUGCCCGUGCCUUCAGCGCCGCCCCCUGCCGCCAGUCAGCGCCGCGCUUGCCUCCUCCCCGCGAUCUGGAUCAGGGAUCCAGAUCGGGAGCCAUUCACCACGCCGACCGAGGCUGCGUUUGCCUCGCCUUCGCUCGCCAGCUUNNNNNNNNNNNNNNNNNNNNNNNNNNNNNNNNNNNNNNNNNNNNNNNNNNNNNNNNNNNNNNNNNNNNNNNNNNNNNNNNNNNNNNNNNNNNNNNNNNNNAUGACCUUGUCUCAGCAGGGCUCCGCCCGAGCUCCGCAGAAACGCGAUCUAGAGGAAAAACCGUGGAGGUAUGUGGUCGGGCUGCCGUGGAAAAGUCGCCUCAAAAUCAGCCCUAAAACCUCCGUAUAUAUAGCUGGGAGGGAGGGGGACUUGCCUUGGGGUCCAAGGACCCUCAAGGGGGUCGGCCGAGCCAAGGGGGAGGACUCUCCCCCCCAAACCGAGUUGGACUAGGUUUGGUGGGAGGGAGUCCUCCUCCCUUCCCACCUCCUCCCUUUUUUUUUAUUUCCUCUUGAUUUUUCUUCUCUUGGCGCAUAGAGCACUUGUGGGCUGUCCCACCAGCCCACUAAGGGCUGGUGUGUCUCCCCCAAGGCCUAUGGGCUUCCCCGGGGUGGGUUGCCCCCCCCCGGUGAACUCCCGGAACCCAUUCGUCAUUCCCGGUAACUCCGAAAACCUUCCGGUAAUCAAAUGAGGUCAUCCUAUAUAUCAAUCUUCGUUUCCGGACCAUUCCGGAAACCCUCGUGACGUCCGUGAUCUCAUCCGGGACUCCGAACAACAUUCGGUAACCAACCAUAUAACUCAAAUACGCAUAAAACAACGUCGAACCUUAAGUGUGCAGACCCUGCGGGUUCGAGANNNNNNNNNNNNNNNNNNNNNNNNNNNNNNNNNNNNNNNNNNNNNNNNNNNNNNNNNNNNNNNNNNNNNNNNNNNNNNNNNNNNNNNNNNNNNNNNNNNNAAGCCUGGACGGCACGGGACCCCUGGUCGCGCCAUGAGGGCUUGUGGGGUCCCUGGGACCCCCUGCCUUGGUUCUCAAGUCUCCCGAUCUUCUUCCAUUCCGGAAAAAAUCUUUGUGGAAGUUUUAUUCCGUUUGGACUCCGUUCAAAAUCCUCCUCUGGAAGGGGUCAAAAACAUGGAAAAAACAGGAACUGGCACUUGGUAUUGGAUUAAUAAGUUAGUCCCAGAAAAUAAAUAAAAGGCAUGCAAAACAUCUAAAGUUUGACCAGAUAAUAGCAUGAAACCAUCAAAAAUUAUAGAUACGUUGGAGACGUAUCAGGCAUCCCCAAGCUUAACUCCUGCUCGUCCUCGAGUAAGGAAGUGAUAAAGAAUGAAUUUUUUAUGUGGAAUGCUACCUAGCAUAGUUGUCCUUUGCAACUUCUUUCACGUGACAUGAACGUUCAAAUCCAUAAGAUUCAAAACAAUAGUUUGCUAUUGACAUGAAAACAGUAAUACUUCAAGCAAACUAAUAAAGUAGUCAUGAGCUUUUAAAGUAACAAGGCCAAAGAAAGUUAUCCCUACAAAAACAUAUAGUCUGGCUAUGCUCCAUCAUCCUCGCACAACUAAUGUAAAUCAUGCACAACCCCGGGAUUGGCCAAGAAAUUGUUUUCGCACUCUUACUUUCUCAAACUUUUUAUAACUAUCACGCAAUACAUGAGCGCGAGCCAUGGAUAUAGCACUAUAGGUGGAAUAGAGUGUGGUGGUGGUUGUGAGACAAAAAGGAGGAGAUGGUCAUAUUGACUCGGUGUAUCAAUUGGCUAUGGAGAUGCCCAUUAAUAGAUAGCAACGUGAAUGAGUAGCGAUUGCCAUACAAGAGAUGCACUAGAGCUAUAAGUAUGUGAAAGCUCAAAAAGGAAAACUAGUGGGUGUGCAUCCAACUUGCUUGCUCAUGAAGACCUAGGGCAAUUUUGAGGAAGCCCAUCAUUGGAAUAUACAAGCCAAGUUAUAUAAAAGGUUCCCACUAGCAUUAUGGUAGUGACAAAGCAAGAAGCUACUCAAUCUAUGAAGAACAUGGUGCUAAUAUGAAGCACAAGUGUGGAAAAAGAUAGUAGCAUUGUCCCUUGUCUCUUUCUCUCUCAUUUUUUUUGGGCUCUUAGGCCUUUUUUCUUUUCUCUUUUCUUUUUUUGUUUUUGGUCUCUUUUGGCCUUCUUUUUUUUAUUUUCCUUCUACAUGGGAAAAUGCUCUAAUAAUGAUGAUCAUCACACUUUUAGUUACUCAAAAGCUCAAAAUCAGAAUGAUGACGACUCCAUAGGAAAUGCUUCCGGCAGUGUACCGGGAUGUGCAACGAUCUAGUAUGAUCAUGCAAUGGAAAUAUGAGAGUGACGGCACACGUCAUGAGACGGAACGGUGGUAGUUGCAUGGCAAUAUAUCUCGGAAUGGCUAUGAAAAUGCCAUAGUAAGUAGGUAUGGUGGCUGUUUUGAGGAAGGAGUUUGGUGGGUUUUGUGCACCGGCGAGAAUUGCGCGGCACUAGAGAGGCUAGAAAUGGUGGAAGGUGAAAGUGCAUCUAAUCCAUGGACUCAACAUUAGUCAUAAAGAACUCACAUACUUGUUGCAAAAGUUUUUAUUAGUAAUCGAAACAAAGUGCUAAACGCAUACCACGAGGGGAAGGUUGGUAGGUGUAAACCAUCGCGCGCUCCCGACCUCAACGCAAAGCAUGAUAAUCAAUAGAUCAAUUAUGCUCCGACUUCCUAACAUAGCGGUUCACCAUACGUGCAUGCUACGGGGAAUCACUAACUUCAACACAAGUAUUUCUAGAUUACACAACACCCUACUAACAUAGAUUUUAAUAUUUUCCUGAAUCCAUGUCUCAAAACUAAUGGAGAGGAAUCGAAACUUUUCUUUCUACUCAAUGCACAUGAAGAUGGAAGUUUUUGCAUCCUCUUUGGGUACCUAGCACAUGGGACUACUUUCAUAGCAUAAGCCAACUACCAAUCACGCUCCGCCGUGCUCUAAAGAUAUAAGUGAAGCACAAGAGCAAAAAGGUAUCUAGCUCAAAGGAUAUAAGUGAAGCACUAGAGCAAAAGUAUCUAGCUCAAAAGAUAUAAGUGAAGCACUAGAGCAAAAGUAUCUAGCUCAAAAGAUGUAAGUGAAGCACUAUGAGCAUUCUAGCAAAAUCACGAUGAGUGUGUGUCUCUCUCUCUCAAAAAGGUGUGCAGCAAGGAUGAUUGUGACACAACAAAAAGAAAAGACUCCUAUGAUACAAGACGCUCCAAGAAAAACACAUAUCAUGUGGUGAAUAAAAAUAUAGCUUCAAGUAAUGUUACCGAUGGAUUGAAGACGAAAGAGGGGAUGCCUUCCCGGGGCAUCCCCAAGCUUAGGAUUUUUGGUGUCCUUGAAUUUGGCUUGGGGGGCCUUGGGCAUCCCCAAGCUUGAGAUCUUUCCACUCCUUAUCUCUUUGUCCAUGAGAACGUCACCCAAAACAUGAAAAACUUCACAACACAAAACUUAAACAGAAACUUGUGAUAACAUUACUACAAGAAUGCAAACUACCACUUCUUUUGGUACUAUAGCAAACUUGAAUUCCAUCCAUAUUGAUGAUGAGCUACUGUAUUCUAAAUUUUCCAUGGCUAGUACCCUCCGAUACUAACCAUAGUUUCAUCAAAACUAGCAACCAACUCAAUAAAAACAGAAUCUGUUGAAAACAUACCAGUCUGUAGCAAUCUGUAUACUUCGUAUACUUCUGGUACCACAAAAAAUCUGAAAAAUUGCGAAGGUCUAGGGAAAAAGCAUAUAAAUCAGAGGAAAAAAUAAUCAACUCAAAAUCUAUUUCUGAAUAAAAAUGAAAAAUCAUCUCGUGAGCAAAAAGUUUUUGUCUUUUUCCAGCAAGAUCAAACAACCAUUACCAAGACCAAACAUAAAGGUCUUGCUUGGCUCAAACACAAAAAGAAACACAAAAAACGCAAUAACAACAGAAUUGUGGAAGUGUGGAACGCAAAAAAACAGAAAGAAAAAGAUAAAUUUAUUGGGUUAUCUCCCAACAAGCGCUAUUGUUUAACGCCCUUAGCUAGGCAUAGUAGCGAUAGAAUCACGUAUCGUCGUCUUAGUUGCUCAAACCAUAAGUAGCCCUCAUCAUGGAUUCAUAUGGCAAUCUUAUUUUCUUUCUAGUAAAGUGUUCCAUGCCCUUCCUUAAUGGAAAUUUAAAUCUAAUAUUCCCUUCCUUUAUAUCGAUGAUAGCACCGAUAGUCCUUAGGAAAGGUCUACCAAGAACAAUAGGGCAUGUAGGAUUGCAAUCAAUGUCAAGCACAAUGAAAUCCACGGGUACAUAGUUCCUAUUUGCAAUAAUAAGAACAUCAUUGAUCCUUCCCAUGGGUUUCUUGAUAUUAGAAUCAGCAAGAUGCAAAUUAAGAGAACACUCUUCAAUCUCAUUAAAACCCAAAAUAUCACAUAAAGACUUUGGAAUCGCAGAAACACUAGCACCCAAAUCACACAAAGCAUUGCACUAAUAGUUUUUGAUUUUGAUUUUGAUGGUAGUUUCCCACUCAUCAUGAAGCUUUCUAGUGAUAGAGACUUCCAAUUCAAGUUUCUCUUUAAGUAGCUUUUUAUCAUAGCUUUUGACGAUAUGAUCGGCAAAGGCUUUGUUUUGGCUAUAAGUGUGUGGAGAGUUUAACAUGGAUUGCAUCAAAGAAAUGUAUUCAAUCACAGAGGAACUAUCAUAAUUGAAUUCCUUGAAAUCCAUGGUAGUAACUUCAUUACUACUCAAAGUUUUAACGUCUUCUACUCCACUUUUAACGCUUUAAUAUCAAGAUAGAUGGACUCCGAAUCAUUGGGGCACUUUUCAACCAAAGUGGAUUCAUAUCCAUCCCCCAUAAUCAUUAGGUUUGACACAAGAAAACAAAGAUUCAAUGGGAGUCACACCAAGGACUGCAAGAUCUUCGUGAUUCUCAUCACGAUAACACGCCUUUUUAAGCCAUUCAUGUCUAGCACCAAUUUGGGCGGUUCUUUCUUGGCUCUCAAUCAUGGAGACACGCAUAGCUUACAAAGUUUUAUCCAUGUUGAUUUUGGUAGGAGCACAUCUAACUUUCAAAGCAUCAACAUCACAAGAAAUCCUAUCAACGCUCUUAGCCAAAUCGUUAAUUUUGAGUAGUUUUUCCUCUAUGGACGCAUUGAAAAUCUUUUGAGAGUUGAUGAACUCUUUGAUAUUACUCUCUAGAUCGGAGGGUAAUCUAUUGUAAUUUCCAUGAGUAUUGUUGUAGGAGUUGCCAAAAUUAUUAGAGGAGUUACUAGGAAAAGGCCUAGGAACAUAGUUUCCUCUAAAAGCAUUGUUGUUGCCAAAGUUAUUCCUACCAACAAAAUUAACGUCCAAGCUAGCAUUACUACUCUCAAUCAAAGAAGACAAAGGAAAAUCAUUAGGAUCCAAAGGAGCACUUCUACUAGCAACCAAAUUCAUUAACUCAUCCAUCUUAGCACUCAACGAGUUAAUUUCUUCUAUAGCGUGUACCUUUUUACUAGUAGGUGACCUUUCAGUGUGCCAUUGAGACUAAUUUGCCAUUUGUGGCUUCUCCUAACGUGAUUUCCAUGAACGUUCCACCUGAGGCGGAGUCCAAGAUAUUUCUAGAAGCGAAAUUCAAGCCAGCGUAAAAUAUUUGAAUAAUCAUCCAAAGGCUCAAGCCAUGAGCGGGACAAUUUCUAAUCAUUAAUUUCAUUCUCUCCCAAGCUUGUGCAACAUGUUCAUGAUCAAGUUGCUUGAAAUUCAUGAUAUCAUUACAGAGAGAAAUGAUUUUAGCCGGCGGAAAAUACUUGGAUAUAUAAGCAUCUUUGCACUUAUCCCAAGAAUCGAUACUAUUUUUUGGGCAAAGAAGAAAACCAAGUUUUUUGCGCGAUCUCACAACGAGAAAGGAAGAAGCUUCAAUUUAAUCACGUCAUUAUCCACAUAUUUUUUCUUUUGCAUAUCGCAAAGCUGAAUGAAAGUAUUGAGAUGGGAUGUGGCAUCUUCACUAGGAAGGCCAGAGGAUUGCUCUUUCAUAACAAGAUUCAGCAAAGCGGCANNNNNNNNNNNNNNNNNNNNNNNNNNNNNNNNNNNNNNNNNNNNNNNNNNNNNNNNNNNNNNNNNNNNNNNNNNNNNNNNNNNNNNNNNNNNNNNNNNNNGGUACCAAUGCCUCCUUUAGUCCCGGUUGGUGUCACCAACCGGGACUAUGGCCGCGACCAGCUCACCACUAUGGUGGCCCGCCGGAUCCUGCCCUUGCAGAGGCGGCCGCAUCUGGUCUACCAGAUGAGAGGCCGGCAUGAUCCUUGCCUGCUGUCCACCAAGAGGUUCACCCCCGGCGCGGUAGCGCGAAGGGUGAAUCUGAUCUCCACCGCCCGCAUGGACGAGGGCGGGGAAUGGACGUGGGGGAUGACCCCCUUCAACAGGCCCCGUCCACCUCCAAAGGUAGGUGGCCUCUUUAUUCUUUGUCGUUUGCCUUGUAGCCGGUCGUGUUGCUGAGCCGGCGAUCGAAUCCCUUUUCGUAGGUGUACGAGAAUCUGGAGGGGUCCCUCCGUCUGCCCGCUCCCGACGUGGAUGUGUCCGACGCCUCGGAGAUUGAGGACGAGGGCAUGAUCGAAUCCCGCUCGGACUCCUACGCCGGCUCGGAGAAUCCCCUAGAGUCGGAAGGGACAGAGCCGUCUGGUGAGUACCCACGGCCCUCCGUCGCAGACUGGACGGAUGACGACGAGACUCCCUCAUUCUUCUCUGGUACAGCCUUUGAGGAGGACUCCGACGGGGUGGAGGUGGUCACCAGCCCGCCAUUGACGCGUGGCCGGCGUCAAAGGGGGCGGAGCGACCGCCGCUGACGAGGUGGGCGGGAGGAAGGACAAGGGUGCCAGAGCAUCUUGCCGGCUCUUAAGCGGUCGGCGUCGGGUCCACCAACCGGACAACGAACAUGCGGCACCAAGAAAGGCCGUGGUGCUAGCCGGAGGCAGGUGCCUAUGGUAGCGGGGUAAGAUUUGCUCCCCCUUUUUCUUCGUUUUAUCUUGCGAAAAGCCUUGUUCCUUAAGGGACUUUUGCUUGACAGGGGAGGCGGAGGAUGUGGAGGAAGACACCGCCUCCGCAGCCGAGCGGGCUGGUUGGGAAGCAGCCGAUGCUGCCCAGAGGGAGCUUGAGAUGCAGUCCAAGCGCCGNNNNNNNNNNNNNNNNNNNNNNNNNNNNNNNNNNNNNNNNNNNNNNNNNNNNNNNNNNNNNNNNNNNNNNNNNNNNNNNNNNNNNNNNNNNNNNNNNNNNCGAGGCCUCCCCAAACCCUUGAAGCAUUGCCGAGGACACCCCAAACCCUAGAGAAGCAGCGUCGAGGCCACUAAUAUGAUUCCUUAUUGUGAUUAGCUAGCUAGUUCUACGUUUGCCACAAAUAUAUCCAUCUUUCAUGUUUGAAUAAUAAUUUCCAUGUUGUAAAUAUUUGCAGAAACUAUGGAGGACCCCCGAGACGAAGCAACAGAAGAGAUUUUUGGGGGAAAUAAUCGCAAAAGGAAGUGAUGUCGUCUUGUUGUUUCUCAACGACACCGAUGGUCUGGAAGGAUAGGGUGGAGAAGAAGGCUAUGCUUAUGAUGGCUCUGGUGACCCAUUAAUGCCGGUACAAGAAGAAGGCUAUGAUUAUGAUGGCUCCGGUGACCGACCCGAUUCCGACCAAGUAUAUAUAUUAGUUAAGCCUAUGUUGAUGCUAACGGCAGUCCCCGACAACGACACUAGAAGAAUGUUGUUGACGUGUUCCUCACUUGAUGCCUUCGCGACAACAAAACCAGAACUGCUCCGAGUUGCUCAACAAUUAGCAAUUGUCUUGCAAUGGCCCACCAGUGCGUGGGUUCGCGGCAGUUUUUUGAGGGUAGAGUAUUMAACCYGAAUUUGUUGAUUCGCCAGGCAGGAAGUGAGAGAAUACUCUCGAGUAUUAGCAGCUGAAUGUGUCAGAUCCAACCACACCUGAAAGAUUAGUAUCUACAAGCAAAGUAUCGGAAGCAAAGUAGUAUGAACUCAACGGUGCCAGAAACGAUCUGUUGACGGCAGACUAUUCCUAACGGUUGUAUCAAUGGCGCCAGAACUUGCCCGUGGACGGGAAAUAUUCUAUCCAGUCAACGUCAUGCGAACAAGUAUUGUAGCAGGUAGCAGCAGUGUAACGAGUAACAACAGUGGCAAGGAACAGCAGUAGUGACAGCAGUAGCAAGUAGCAACAGUAGGAAGUAACAGCAGUAGCAACUAACAGUGGUACCAGCAGCAGAGCAAAACAAGUAACAGCAGCAGAGCAAAACAAGUAGCAGCGGUAACAGUAGCAGUGGGACAAACUCGUAGGCAAUGGGUCGGUGAUUACUUUGGAUGAUAUUCAUCCUGCAACAGUUAUAACACGAAGAGAUAUGUGGCUAGCUCCCGUUCACUAAUGUGAUUUAGGCAUGCAUUCCGUGUGUAGUCAUACGUGCUUAGGGAAAAGAACUUGCAUGACAUCUAUUGUCCAUCCCUCCCGUGGCAGCGGGGUCCAAAAGGAUACUACAGGAUAUUAUGGUUCUCCUUUUAAUAAGGAACAGGAACAAAGCAUUAGCACUUGGUGAACAUAUGAACUCCUCAAACUAUGGUCAUCACUAGGAGUGGUUCCGGUUAUUGUCACUCCGGGGUUGCCGGGUCAUAACACAGAGUAGGUAACUACAACUUGCAAGAUCGGAUCUAAAACACACAUAUAUUGGUGACAACAUAAUAAUUUCAGAUCUGAAAUCAUGGCACUCGGGCCCUAGUGACAAGCAUUAAGCAUGGCAAAGUAGUAGCAACAUCAAUCUCAGAACAUAGUGGAUACUAGGGAUCAAUCCCCGUCAAAACUAAGUUAAUUACAUGAUAGAUCUCAUCCUACUCAUCACCGCCCAGCGAGCCUACGAAUAGAUUACUCAUGAAUGAUGAAGAGUUUCAUGGAAUUGGGGAGGGAAGAAGGUUGAUGAUGACGAUGGCGACGAUUUCCCCUCUCCGGAGCCCAAAACGGACUCCAGAUCUGCCCUCCAGAUGAAGAACAGGAUGUGGCGGCACCUCCGUAUCGCAAAAGAGCUGAAAUCUUCUCUUCUUAUUUUUUCUGGGCGAAAGUGAAUUUAUAGAGCUGGAGUUGGGGGCGGCAGAGCCACGUGGGCCCUACAAGCUUGGUUGACGCGGCCAGGGGGAGGACGCGGCAACAGGGCUUGUGGCCCAAUGGCCCAUUCCCUCCAGUGGAUCUUUGCGCAGGUAUUUUUGAUAUUUUCCUGAAAAAAUCUCCGUAAUUUUCAGGACGUUCCGAGAACAUUCAUUUAUGCACAAAAACAACACCAUCGCAAUUCUGCUGAAAACAGCGUCAGUCCGGCCGGUUAGUUCCAUUCAAAUCAUGCAAAUUAGAGUCCAAAACAAGGGCAAAAGAGUUUGGAAAAGUAGAUACGAUGGAGAGGUAUCAACUCCCCCCAAAGCUUAAAAACCUUGCUUGUCUUCAAGGAACUCANNNNNNNNNNNNNNNNNNNNNNNNNNNNNNNNNNNNNNNNNNNNNNNNNNNNNNNNNNNNNNNNNNNNNNNNNNNNNNNNNNNNNNNNNNNNNNNNNNNNUUUAUUUUCGGUGUAUUUUUCUACGGGACCCUAAAAGGAGAAAACAGGAAAAACUAAGCUAAAUCUAUGAUUUUUCUUCUAAGCAACCGAAGGAGAAAGCUUGGAACAGAGGUUUGUGACUCGUCGAUUCAUCCAUCUCAUGGUCAUCGAAAGAAAUCCGUCAAUGAGGUUGAUCAAGUCUCCUUGACAAACUUUUUCGAAUCGCAAAAGAAAACAGAGAAUUUUCGAAUAGUCACAAUGUUACCUCAAUGGGGAUGUGCAUAUCCCCCAACAAGCAAAUCAUACUUCAUCUUAAUAGUAGGUAUAGGGCAUUCAAAGCUCCCAAUAAGAAUCGAUGAAGUUUUUUCAAUAGCAUUGAUGCGAUGUACUCGAUAUUGUUUCUUCGAAAGUGCACCGUAUGCUCAUUACCAUUGACAUGGAAAGUGACAUUGCCUUUGUUGCAAUCAAUAACAGCCCCUGAAGUGUUUAAAAAGGGUCUUCCGAGGAUGACAGCCAUGGCAUCAUCCUCGGGAAUAUCCAAGAUAACAAAGUCUGUUAAGAUAGUGGUGUUAGCAACCACAACACGCACAUCCUUGCAAAUGCCAACAGGGAAAACAGUUGAUUUGUCGGCCAUUUGCAGAGAAAUUUCAGUGGGUGUCAACUUAUCCACAUCAAGUCUUCGAUAAAGAGAGAUAGGCAUAACACUAACUCCGGCUCCAAGAUCACAUAAGGCAGUUCUUACGUAGUUUCCUUUAAUGGAGCAAGGUAUAGUGGGCACUCCGGGAUCACCAAGUUUCUUAGGAGUUCCACCUUUGAAAGUGUAAUUGACAAGCAUGGUGGAGAUCUCAAGAUCUGGUAUCUUCAAUUCAUUGGUCACAAUAUCUUUCAUGUACUUGACAUACGGAGACAUUUUGAGCAUAUCAACUAACCGCAUCUGCAGAAAGACGGGUCUUAUCAUUUCAAUAAAGCGCUCAAAAUCCUCAUUAUCUUUUUUCUUGGAUGGCUUAGGAGGAAAGGGCAUAGGUCUCUGAACCCAUGGCUCCCUUUCUUUACCAUGCUUCCAAGCAGUGAAGUCAUUCUUAUCGUAUCUCUUAGGUUGUGGGUUAUCAGGAUUAACCGUAGGUUCAAUCUCCACAUCCUCAUCAUUGCUAGGUUGAGCAUCAUUAUGAACAUCGCUGUCCAUAUUGUCACCAGGUUCAUGUUCAUCACCAGAUUGUGUUUUUUUCAUCACACGCAGAAAUAUCAUUUGGUUCUUCAGGUGUGACAGUAUUAGGUGAACUAACAUGCAGGUUUCUAUCAUCCUUCUUCUUCUCCUUAGGAUGACUGGGUACAUCUGCAUUAAUUCCUUGAGAAUAUUGAUCAAUUCUCUUAGAUGACCUUCGGGAUACAAAGGUUCCUGAGUCAUUUGGUCUCCUCUAGUAAUGACUCUGACAGAGUUAUCAUUUAAUUCAUUGAGAAGGUNNNNNNNNNNNNNNNNNNNNNNNNNNNNNNNNNNNNNNNNNNNNNNNNNNNNNNNNNNNNNNNNNNNNNNNNNNNNNNNNNNNNNNNNNNNNNNNNNNNNAAAACACAAGAAGAUCGGGGGACUUGAGGGCCAAGGCAGGAGGCCCGCGACUACCAGGAUUGUGGCCCCCUUGGAGCUCCCUGCCCUAGCUCUUUAUCCUAUAUAUUCCCUAAAAAUCCCAGAAAAAAUAAGGGCGUCCACGAAACCACUUUUCCGCCGCCGCAAGCUUCCGUUUCCGCGAGAUCUCAUCUGGAGACCCUUCCCGGUGCCCUGCCGGAGGGUACUUUGGAGCUGGAGGGCUUCUACAUCAACAUCAUUGCCUCUGCAAUGACUCGUGAGUAGUCUACUUCAGAUCUACGGGCCCGUAGUUAGUAGCUAGAUGGUUUCUUCUCUCUCUUGGAUCUUCAAUACAAAGUUCUCCAUGAUCUUCAUGGAGAUCUAUCCGAUGUAAUCCUCUAUGGCGGUGUGUUUGUCGAGAUCUGAUGUAUUGUGGAUUUGUGAUCGGAUUAUCUAUGAAUUAUAUUUGAGUCUUUGCUGAUUUCUUAUAUGCAUGAUUUGAUAUCCUUGUAAGUCUCUCCGAGUCUUGGGUUUUGUUUGGCCAACUAGAUCUAUGAUUCUUGCAAUGGGAGAAGUGCUUGGUUUUGGGUUCAUACCGUGCGGUGACCUUUCCCAGUGACAGAAGGGGUAGCAAGGCACGCAUCAUGUUGUUGCCAUCAAGGGUAACAAGAUGGGCUUUCAUCAUAUAUUUGAGAUUGUCCAUCUACAUCAUGUCAUCUUGCUUAAGGCGUUACUCUGUUCUUAUGAACUCAAUACACUAGAUGCAUGCUGGAUAGCGGUCGACGUGUGGAGUAAUAGUAGUAUAUGCAGAAAGUAUUGGUCUACUUUGUUUUGGAUGUGAUGCCGAUAUGUAUGAUCAUUGCCAUAGAUAACGUCAUGACUUUGCGCGGUUCUAUCAAUUGCUCGACAUUAAUUCGUUCACCCACCAUCUAGUUGCUUUCAUGAGAGAAGCCACUAGUGAACACUACGGCCCCCGGGUCUACUCACAAUUAACAUCUCAGCUUUUACUUUUACUUUGCUUUGUUUACUUUUUGCUUCCAGUUCUCACUUKGCAAACAAUCUAUAGGGGAUUGACAACCCCUUCAUAGCGUUGGGUGCAAGCUCUUUGUGUUUGUGCAGGUACUUGUGACUUGAYGCGAUCCUCCUACUGGAUUGAUACCUUGGUUCUCAAACUGAGGGAAAUAUUUAUCGCCGUUGUGCUACAUCACCCCAUUCCUCUUCAAGGGAACACCAAGGCAAGGCUCCAAGGCCGCGGGGGAGUCCUUGCAUACUUGCCAAGGAAAUCCUUAUAGGCGUAGCCAGCAGCAGAAGGAUUUCUGGCGCCGUUGCUGGGGAGGAAGACUAAGUCAAGAACUCAUCCAAGUAGGUGUCGCAAACUCAUCUCUUGCAUUUACUUUGUUUGCCAGUUGCCUCUAGUUUUCCUCUCCCCCACUUCACCAGUUUUCCUUUUUCGUUUGCCUUUUUUCGUUUGCCUUUUUCAUUCGCCCUUUUCUCUCGCUUGCUUUCUGUUCGUUGUGUGCCAUGUGCCUUCAAUAUGCUUGCAUCUUCGCUUACUAAGAAUCUAGUGAUAUGGAUCCUCAUCCACUUGCUAAUCUCUUUAAGAGUUCCAAUUAUGUUGAUCCAAUUGCUAGUGAGUUGAGUGCACUUGACUAUCUUUAUGGAGUUUUGCUUGAGAUGCGUGAAUCUGAAAAUUGUGAGGAAGAAAUUUAUGAAGUGAUUCACGAGGGCUCCUUGGAUGAAAAGCAUGAUUGCAAUGGUUUCACUAUAAAUUCCAUUAGUGACAAUCAUGCUAAAAAUGUGCAAAACCCUAAGCUUGGGGAUGCUAGUUUUGCUAUGUCCACUACUUGUUGCAAUGAUCAUGAGUGGGGCGAUGAUUUUUCUUAUGAUCUUGAAAAAAAUUUAAGCCUCAUGAUGAAUAUGAUAUUUGCAAUAUUAUUGAAAGUGGGUUUGGAGAAGUCAUGACUUUUGUUGAUGAUAAUCCCACUAUUUUUGAAGAGCAUCAACUUUGCAUGCAUAUGGAUCAUGAAAAGAAUAUCCUUUGUGAUAGGUAUAUUGUUGAAUUUGAUUAUGAUCCCACAUGUAAUUGCUAUGAGAGAGGAAAAUAUUGGGGUAGAAACUUUCAUGUUACCAAAUUACCUCUCAUUAUGCUGAGAUUGCUAUUGUCUCUUUCNNNNNNNNNNNNNNNNNNNNNNNNNNNNNNNNNNNNNNNNNNNNNNNNNNNNNNNNNNNNNNNNNNNNNNNNNNNNNNNNNNNNNNNNNNNNNNNNNNNNUCGGCACCCCGUUGCCGCCAGUUUUCAAAACUUGCAUCCGUUGUUAGUUGCCGGUUCUCGUUGUUGUCCGUUCUGAGCCCGACCUACACGCGCACGCGCCCUACGUCAUUCGUCUAAAUCUUGUUUUCAAAAGUGUGUUUAAAACUUUCUCUGAUUGGGUUGGAACUUGGCGUGCGGUCGUAAUUAGUUGUAGCUAGGCCGCCUGUCAAGUUUUGUCGCAAUCAGAGUCCGUCUGGUACCCGAACGGUCGACCGUAGCGGCACCGUAUUCGGUAUAUCGUCGGACAUUUUUCAGUAUUUUAAAUCUCGUUGCCGGGCUGCCCGUUUUCCCUCUCAUCUCCGCCUAGCCCCUCUGCACAGUGCACCGACCCUACAAAUAACCUAGUCUAAAAACCUCCCGGGACCCGAACCGGGCGGACGUGACCGUUGGAUCCGGAUCAACCCCGUUUUACCUUAAACCAUCACCGGUUUUACAAUUGGAUACUCUAACCUAUAUUUCUCGACCGUCCGAUCGAAUCGGAGGGUCCAGAUCAGCCCUAUCCAAACCCACCUACCUAUUUAAGCAGUCAAACCUAGAUCCUAGGCCGAAUGUCCCAUCCAUCCGUUGUCCGCCGCCACUGUCUUCAUCGGGAUCCGCUCCAGAUCCAAUCCCCCAACCAUUGAGCCCCUCGUGAUCCACUUGCAGCACCCCUGCGCCGGCCUCCCGCGCAUGAGCACGAGCUCGUCCCCGAGCUCGUCCCCGAGUCCCUCCGCUAGCUGCUAGAGCUAGCCACCGUGGAUGCCCGUGCAAGCACCGGACCGUCGCCGGCGAGCACCGCUGCCGAGCUUCGUCGGUCCAGCAGGGGAGCGUCGUGCCCUGCCCUCUCUCUAUCUUUCUUCUUCCCUACCCUCUCUUUCCUUCUUAUCUGAAACCUCCUGUGUGUCUUGUUUGCUUCAGGCAACAUCAACCGCCAGGGACGUCAACUCCGGCAGCCUCCCGUCCGCUCCGCCUCAUGCCAAACCACGCCGGUGAGAUCGAGUUCCCGCGUGUGCUCCUCCCUUGCGACCUCUCCUUCCCUAUCCUUCCUCCUCUAAUCCCACUCCCUCUUGCUCGUUUCUUUUUCUGUCAGAAGCAGAACGGAAACCCUCCGCCGCCUCCCAUGGAGCUCGCCGUCCGCGCCACCCAGAAGACCUUCAUCGUCCGGAAUGGAACCCCCCGGUGUCGGAUCUAUGGAACCCCGCCGUUCCCGCGCCUCCGGGACCUCAUCCCCUGCCCAGACCGCCAUGGCUUCCCCGUCCCUGUUGUGAGCAAAUCCUUCCCGUAACUGAACUUCGUGGUGCUUUCAGAUCUGUUCUGGGAAGUAAGGAUAUUUCGAAGCGCAUGUAUUCUAUAACACGAACAGAUAUCCGGCCGAGUUGGCUAUCUCAGUAGUUCUGCACCUGCGAGAUCCUAGGUUCGAGUCCCAGGCCACCCAAUUUUUGUGUGUGGUAUUCUAAAUUUAUUCCUAUGCACUACACUUCGCCCGCAGCCACACUUAGGCCAGGAUUCAGGCUCUAGCCUAGUGGAUAACGCCACUCUUUCCAACCCAGGCGACCAGGCGAUCGAAUUCCUCGGAGCCCUUUUAUUUUUUUUCGUUGUUUCCAUCUUUUUGAGGGAGAAUAGAUCGCCCUAUGCACAUCAUAGUAACUCUGCAUACUUUGGACCGUGCUCUGUUUCGGCCAUGUAGUUUUUUUUACGCCUCCGAUUUAUUUCCUUUUCACAAAAACAUUGACUUUAAAAACUACCGUAGAUUUUAAAUUGUGCAUCGGAUCGGAGCAAGCUGUAUAUGUAAAACAUGUAGAAUUUUUCGUAUGGUAAUAUUUUCUGACUCUCAUGCAUAAUUAGACUGUUUAGUGUGUUGUUUGCUUCGGUUUGCGUGUCGACGUGUUAAAAAACGGUUUAGGUCAUAACUAUUUGUCGGUAGCUCCCUUGGAGAUGUUCUUUAUGUGUAGAUUGCUUGAAAUGACGCAUAGAAUCACGUGAAGCUAUUUGUUUUUCUGUUUAACAACUAAUUAAUUGUGUUAGUUCAGAUCUGGACAGAAUUGUAAAUUAACAGGUGAGGUCAUUUCGGAGGUGCUAUAUGUCAUUUCCGACCUCAUUUAAAAUGCCUAGAUAGGUAGUUAAAUUACGCUACACCUCUUGCCAUGUGUAACCACAUUUAAUAUUGUCAUGUACCUAAUCGGGAUAGAACUAAAUAAAUAAACUUGGAGUUUCGUCAAUAUGUAACUCGUUGCAUAUUGAACUUCACUUAAUGUGUAGUGUUUGAUUGUGUGAAUUGUCUUGCCGUGUCUUGCAUAUAUUCAGCUGCUCAUGCAUCAUAUGUGUUGUGCAUCAUGUGGUGAAGUUCUUGUGUUGAUUCUUGUUUCCGGUUUCCUCCGUCUCGAUAGAGUUCCGCAAGCGUGUCGGAAAGUGAGGACCCGUUCGACUACGUCGGUUCGUCUGCUUCACGGAGGCAUUCUUCUUCCAAGCGGGAUCUCAGGCAAGAUGACCAUUUCCCUAGAUACCAUUACUAUCAUUGCCAUGCUAGUUUUAUCGCUUCUAUCGAUUAUGUCUCGUUGCCUACCACAUGUUAAAUAUCAGCCUCUCAACAAUGCCAUGAAAACCUUCAACCUGUUCAACCUAGCAAACCACUGAUUGGCUAUGUUACCGCUUGCUUAAACCUUGUUGAUAGCGUUGCUAGUUGCAGGUGCAGAUGCUUCCAUGUGAUAACAUGGGUUCCUUGUCUUAUCACCAUAUUAAUGCUAUUUAAUUUAAUGCACCUAUAUACUUGGUAAAAGGUGGAAGGCUCGGCCUUUCUAGCCUGGUGUUUUGUUCCACCUUUGCCCCCUUAGUUUCGGCUACCGGUGCUAUGUUCCAUAAUUGAGCGCUCCUAACACGAUCGGGGUUGUUAUGGGGACCCCCUUGAUAAUUCGUUUUAGAUUAAAGCUGGUCUGGCAAGGCCCAAUUUUGGUUCUACAUUUGCCCAACAUAAUAAUUUUGAUAAAUUGAAAUGCAUAGGGAGUUAGCGCUACCCGAGGAGUAAUUGUACAUAAACAGGGGGGAAGUGCUGAUGGUGUUGGUCCCAAAAGGACAGACUGUGGGGCCAGCACGGGGGCAACUCGAGGUUUGGCACCUGUAUGCUUAUCCAUCCGUCGUGUCUUGAGAACGAGAUAUGCGGCUCCUAUCGGGUUCGUCGACACGUCGGGCGGCCUUGCUGGAUUAGUUUUACCUUUGACGAGAUAGCUUGUGCAUCGGGAUUCCGGUGAUGCUUUGGGUAAUCUCGGAGUUGAGGUUUUCCACUAGGGAAUCUGACGAGAUCGCGAGCUUCAUGAUUGAUGAUUUGUAUGCGGCUUGUGGUAAUUUGUGAUGGACUAGUUGGAGCACCCCUGCAGGGUUAAAUCUUUUCGGAAAAACGUGGAAACUUUGUUUAACACCGGUACUAGAUAACUUGAAGUUAACUGAAUUAAAACAUGCCAACUGUGUGCGUAACCGUGACUGUCUCUUUCNNNNNNNNNNNNNNNNNNNNNNNNNNNNNNNNNNNNNNNNNNNNNNNNNNNNNNNNNNNNNNNNNNNNNNNNNNNNNNNNNNNNNNNNNNNNNNNNNNNNGCAUGAAGAAUUUUCAUAGCAAUCAGCAGCAAAAAGAAUCAACUCAAAAAGAUCUCAGAGAAUAAAAUGAAAAUUCUUUUCGUGAGCAGAAAGUUUCUAUCUUUUCCAGCAUGAUCAAACGAUCAUCCCCAAGACUAAUCAUAACGGUUUUACUUGGCACAAACGCAAAAUAAACACAAAAACCACAAUCACAAUAGAAUUAUGAAAGUGUGGACGCAAAAAAACAGAAAGAAAAAGAUAAAUUCAUUGGGUUGCCUCCCAACAAGCAUUAUGUUUAACGCCCUUAGGUAGCAUUGAUAAUUCAAUGAUGCUCACAUAAAAGACAAGAAUGGAAGCACAACGAGAAGAUCAUAAAGCAUGUGAAAAUGACACCUAAGUCUAACAUACUUCCUAUGCAUAGGCAUUUUAUAGGAAAACAGAUUGUCAAGACAACCAAUAGUUACCAUAUGCAAGGAGGAAGAAAGAGACAAUAUUAGUCUCAACAUAACGAGAGGUGAUUUGGUAACAUGAAAGCUUGUACUGCAAUAUUUUCCUCUCUCAUAGAAAUUACAUGUGGGAGCAUAAUCAAAUUCAACAAUAUAGCUAUCACAAAGGAUAUUCUUUUCAUGAUCCACAUGCAUGCGAAGUUGACGCUCUUCAGAAAUAGUGGGAUAUCAUAAAAUGAAGUCAUGACUUCUCCAAACCCACUUUCAAUAUUAUUGCAAACAUCAUAAUCAACAUGAGGGUUAACAAAUUUUCAAGAUCAUAAGAAAAAUCGAUGAUACAUGAUUCUAUCGCUCCUUAUAUGUCAAGGUACUUUGGACUUGACGAGGCCCUCCUUUUGGUUCGAUACCUUGGUUCUCAAAUUGAGGGAAAUACUUACUGCUCCUGUUGUGCAUCACCCUUUCCUCUUCAAGGGAAAAACCGACGCAAACCAGAGAAGUAACAAGAAGAAUUCCUACGCGCCAGGGAAGUACUUUUGAUUAUGAUCCCACAUGUAAUUGCUAUGAGAGAGGAAAAUAUUGCGGUAGAAACUUUCAUGUUUCCAAAUCACCUCUCGUUAUGUUGAGAUUGAUAUUGUCUCUUUCUUCUUCCUUGCAUAUGGUAACUAUUGGUUGUCUUGACAAUCUGUUUUCCUGUAAAAAUGCCUAUGCAUAGGAAGUAUGUUAGACUUUAGAUGUGAUUUUCACAUGCUUUAUGAUGCUUUCGUUGUGCUUCCAUUCUUGUCUUUUAUGUGAGCAUCAUUGAAUUAUCAAUGCCUAGCUAAGGGCGUUAAACAAUAGCACUUGUUGGGAGGAAACCCAAUGAAUUUAUCUUUUUCUUUCUGUUUUCUUGCAUCCAGACUUUAAUAAUUCUGUUGUGAUUGUGUGUUUUGUGCUUCUUUUUGUGUUUGAGCCAAGCAAAACCUUUAUGACUAGUCUUGGUAAUGGUUAUUUGAUCCUGCUGGAAAAAGACAGAAACUUUUUGCUCACGAGAUGAUUUUUCAUUUUAUUCAGAAAGAGAUUUUGAGUUGAUUAUUUUUGCUGCUGAUUUAUAUGCUUUUGCCCCAGACCUUCGGAAUUUUUCAGAUUUUUUGAGGUACCAGAAUUAUAUGAAGUAUACAAAUUGCUACAGACUGGUAUGUUUUUGACUGAUUCUGUUUGUUGGUUGCUUGUUUUAAUGAAACUAUGGUUAGUAUCGGGGGGUACUAGCCAUGGGAAAGUGAGAAUACAUUAGCCCAUCAUCAAUAUAGAUAGAAUUCAAGUUUCCUACAGUACCAAAAGAAGUGGUAGUUUGUUUUCUUGUACUAAUGUUAUCACAAGUUUCUGUUUAAGUUUUGUGUUGUGAAGUUUUCAAGUUUUGGGUGAUGUUCUCAUGGACAAAGAGAUAAGGAGUGGAAGGAGAUCAAGAUUGGGGAUGCCCAAGGCAUCCCAAGACAAAUUCAAGGACACCAAAAAGCCUAAGCUUGGGGAUGCAUCGGGAAGGCAUCCCCUCUUUUGUCUUCAAUCCAUCGGUAACAUUACUUGGAGCUAUAUUUUUAUUCACUACAUGAUAUGUGUUUGUCUUGGAGCUUCUUGUAUCUUAGGAGUCUUUUUUUUUGUUGUGUCACAAUCAUCCUUGCUGCACACCUUUUGAGAGAGAGAGGCAUGCACUCAUCGUGAUUUUGCUAGAAUGCUCGUUGUGCUUCACUUAUAUCUUUCACUACAGGAAUCACCUUCUUUGCCGUCUGUCAUCACAAACGGCAAAGACAGUAUCCGUGACGGCAAAGACAAUACCACAGACGGCAAAGAUUGUAACGGCCGGCAAUAUUUCUGCGUCAGCCUACCAUGGCAUAGGUCCUUCUUUGCCGUCUGCCCGCAUAAGGCGGACGACAAAGCUCUUUGCCGUCAGCUUUCCUCAGGAGCUGUCGGCAAAGCUCUUGAGACGGCAGCCGACACGCGUUGCCUCCGUUAGGGGUUAACGGAGCCUAUGUCGUCUGCCUCCCCGUCAAUCUUUAUCGUCUGCCUCCCCGUCAAUCUUUGCCGUCUGCCUUCUCCUCCCCUCCCCUCCCCUCCAUCUUUGUCGUCUGCCUCCAGGACCAUCUUUUGCCGUCUGCCGGGUCCUCCCCUCCCCCCUCUCUCCACUCUUUGUCGUCUGCCUCCUCCUCUUUGCGCUCUUCUUUGCCGUCUGCCCCCCAGGAAGCAGACGACAAAGAGACUAUAUGGCCAGCUGCUACUGCCCAAUUUGCACAGCUAGGCGCCACGUGGCACCUUUGUCGUCGGUCAGCUGACGGCAAAGGCCUUUGCCAUCAGCUGGCAGACGGGAAAGAGCCUAUAUUGUCACAUUUUUAUUAUUUUUCUAUUUCACAGCACAUAUACAUAUAAUUCAUAGCACAUAUAUCAUAAAUAGAUCACAACACAUAUAUGAUAUACAUAUAAAGCUCAUCAAUGCCAUUUGUUCAUCAACGUACAUCCCAUAUAUCAAAAGAACCAACACAUACAAAGUUUCAUCCAUAUAUACAUACAUAUAGUUGCACAUAUAUUAUUCAUCAACACAUUGUUCAUCAACACAUACAAAGAACCAACACAUUGUUCAUCAACUCAAAUAAAAACGGAAACUAAAGCACUCCAACGCCAGCUUCCAUGCAUGUAGUACAUCCAAUGUGCAAAAAUGGGGAAUAAGAAAGUCAGAAGAAGAAGAACAACAACAUAUAUAUGACAAAUAAGCUAAAAUUGAAGAAGAAAGAGAAGAAGCAAGAAGAGAACAAGGAGAAGAAAAACAAGAAGGAGGAGGAGGAGGAGGGAAGGGAAGGAGAAGGAGAAGGAGGAGGAGAAGAAUAAAAAGAAGAGAAGAAGAAGGAGAAGAAGGAGGAGAAGAAGGAGGAGCUCCUCCUUCCCCUUCUUCUUCCUCCUUCUUCCUCCUUCUCCUUCUCCUUCUUCUUCUCCUUCUCCUUCUUCUUUUCUUCUUCUUCUCCUCUUCCUUCUUCUUCUCCUCCUCCUCCUCCUCCUCCUUAYUUUACUUCUUCUUCUCUAUCUCUUCUUCUACGUAGCUUAGACUUAUCCAAGAAAGGCUAAAUUGGCUAAUUAUCCUACGAAAUGACAUAAUUAGCUUAGUUAGCUCCAAAAUGGCCUAUUUAAUAAAAAAUGACCUAUACUUAGCUAAUUAUCCUCGAAAUGACAUAAUUAGCUCCAAAAAGGCAUUCUUAGCCAAUUUAGCCCGAAGAAGGGGACAAGAAGAGAAAAAGAGGAAAAUGAAAAGGAAGGAAGAGGAAAAAGGAGAAGAAGAAGGAGGAGAGGGAGGAGGAGAAGAAGAAGGAGAAGAAGGAGGAGAAGGAGAAGGAGCUCCUCCUUCCCCUUCUUCUUCCUCCUUCUUCCUCCUUCUCCUUCUCCUUCUUCUUCUCCUUCUCCUUCUUCUUUUCUUCUUCUUCUCCUCUUCCUUCUUCUUCUCCUCCUCCUCCUCCUCCUCCUACUUAUUUUACUUCUUCUUCUCUAUCUCUUCUUCUACGUAGCUUUAGACUUAUCCAAGAAAGGCUAAAUUGGCUAAUUAUCCUACGAAAUGACAUAAUUAGCUUAGUUAGCUCCAAAAUGGCCUAUUUAAUAAAAAUGACCUAUACUUAGCUAAUUAUCCUCGAAAUGACAUAAUUAGCUCCAAAAGGCAUUCUUAGCCAAUUUCGCCCGAAGAANNNNNNNNNNNNNNNNNNNNNNNNNNNNNNNNNNNNNNNNNNNNNNNNNNNNNNNNNNNNNNNNNNNNNNNNNNNNNNNNNNNNNNNNNNNNNNNNNNNNUUUGUCACACCGGUGAGUAGGUAAGCUGAUAGUUUUUKKUACACUCUUUUGUCAGGAUAGUAGUAAUAGUUUUUUGAGGUGUUAAACCCAUCAUUCAUGCAUUGCAACUAAGAGAUCCUUUACUCCUUUCUUUAGGUCUAGCAGUUUGAUCAUGUCACAAAAAGGACCCAAAAUGUCUGCCUGCCCCUCUCAUGAAAUUCUGAAAACAGAACACUGCAUACAUACAUAAUCUGAAGGAAUUGCGAAUCUAAGCCUUGAUCAGCUGCUGCUUUUCUAUUACAGUGAUCUAUCCCAGUAUCCAGUGUUCAACUUGCCUGCCACGCAACAAACUCAAGAUAUGAGCGCUUACAUAUGUAUACUUUGUUAACAAAAAAACCAUAAUAAAAUUCGCUCUCAUCAUACGCACAACUUCUUUGAUCAAUUAACCAUUUGAGGGCGGGAUAUUAGUGGAAUAAAUUACUAUAAAAUGCUUGAUUUAUUUUUGGUCAGUAUGACCUGGCUAAUCAUAGUUUGAUAAUGUCUUACUANNNNNNNNNNNNNNNNNNNNNNNNNNNNNNNNNNNNNNNNNNNNNNNNNNNNNNNNNNNNNNNNNNNNNNNNNNNNNNNNNNNNNNNNNNNNNNNNNNNNCCUCAUGUUUCUUUUUAUUGAGAGUUUUCACUCAGUGGACGCCCCUUGCUGGCUUCAAUAAGCUUGGGGUCUACACCGCGUACACCUCUUGCUGGCUUAAUCAAGCUCGGAGGCUACGCAGCGCACGCCCCUUGCUGGCUUUAACAAGCUCGGGGGCUCGCUAGCCGCUCGGACGCCUUCCCUAUUGUAAAAGAACACAUAGUGUAAACUGGCUGAUCCCUGGUCACCUCGUACGAGCUUGCGGACUGGCUCCGGCCGUCUGGCUUGCGAGGUGACGCCAGGUCAGGCCGGAUGGAUGCAAAGUUCGGCUACAAAGGGUCGCCGGCUCGGGCUGGCUCGAUCAUAUUUACGAUCUCAUUAAAGCCGGCCUCUGUUGGCUGGCUUCGAAAAAUCUAAGUCUCGUAUUCUAAGGUCAGAAACCUCGACCCAGCCACAGACCGGCUCCCGGCUGUCGGGCUGGCGGGGCGGAAGAUCGGGAAUACGAGGAUUGGAGAAAAAGGAGUCAACCAGGAAUCAAAAGACAAAGAUAUAAAACAACACGCAUGGCAAUACGAAUAUAAUGUUGAAUACAUACAUUCAAAAAAGCAUCGGCCCACGGCCCACGUUCAUUACAUGCCUCACGGGGUGGAACAAACAAAAAGGACACCAGCUACGGGGCUGCGGCCUAAUCGGUCGCCCCGGCCGCUGCUCCUGAACGUGGUGGCUUCGACCAUCCCCCGGUUGCUCCUGAGGCGGUUGCGCCAUCUGAUUCGCGAGGGCUCCCNNNNNNNNNNNNNNNNNNNNNNNNNNNNNNNNNNNNNNNNNNNNNNNNNNNNNNNNNNNNNNNNNNNNNNNNNNNNNNNNNNNNNNNNNNNNNNNNNNNNAAAAGAUUUUAUCCACCUCUCGUGAAAAAGACAAAUUUAUGUCGAUUCAGAUGGAAGCGGGUCAAAUUUGAACUGCAGCUGCAUUAUAGUUUGCUAUUUAUUUUUCCCAAAAAUCAUUUGUAGGUAUAUAAGUAUCAUUUAAUCAGAAAUACAUGGUGUGGUGCCUUGACGUCGAGGUUUGCAUGGUGGUCGAGGGCCUCAACUCCAAAGUGCGUGAACUUGCAUGCCAGUCGCAUGGUCACCGCCUAACCGUUGCAUUGCCACGCGUUCUAGGUGGAAUAGUCAUGUCUGGUGGGUUGGACAAUCCCUCGAUAGGUGUUAGCAAGAAUAAUACAAUAGAAUAAUCUCAUGAGGAGACUUAACUAAGCACAAACAUGAAUUAGCAGCCAAGUGUUUGAUUAGCGGUGCGGGUAAUUCACAUAGACAAUGGGCCUAAAUUUUGGCUGAGGAUGAUCAUCUACUAAGGAGACUCUCUUGGCAAAUUUUUAUCUCAAAUGGAUGAAUCUAGGUGGCACUUGCUUUGCAAAGUAACACAUUGUGCAGAAAUAUGGAUGUUGAAGAUAGGAUCAAAUGAAUGAAUGGAUUGACCUGAAAUUUGGUGUAUGAUGUUAAUUUGGGCAUAUGAAGGCACUGUAUAAAAAUUAUACCAUUUGGACAUGCCAAAGUGACACUUCCUUCACAAUGUGCCAAUCUGGACAGAAAAUGGUAGUUAAAACUGGGCUCACAUAGAUGAUUGGAUUGAGCUUAAAUUUGGAGGAGGAUGAUAAUUUGGGCACAUUAAGGUACUGUAAAAAUUCAUAAAUUUUGGAUAAAAAAUUAGUACUUCCUUCACAAUGCUCUCUACUGAAUAGAAUACUGAGAAAAAUAUUGAGAGAAACUGGCUGAAUUAAAUGAGCUCAAAUUUGGUGCAGUGAGGUUAUAUGGUCAGUAUCGUCCCGUGGUAAAUUUUUCAUCAACUAUAAAGCAAUAUAAAACAUAGUUGCUUCACAAAAUGAAAAUAUUACCAAAAACAAAGAUUGGAUGAUGAGCUCACAUGAAUUGUUAAACGUGGCUAAAAUUUUAUGGAGAGCUACGUUUUUGGGCACAUAGAUCAUGUGGAAAAAACUCAACUCAUGAGGAUAUUCCUAUCUAGUACUUCCUUCACAAAGCUGUUAGCUGAACACAAACUUUGGAAAUUUGCUGAGAAAGAUUUAGUAGGCAAAUCGUUACGAAAGUUUUCAUGAGGCAAUGACUUGGAUAGGAAAGAGUGCCCAAACAAUAUGAGGGUAAUCAAAGAAAUAGAAAUAGCAUUUCCUUCACAAAGUGCUAUUCUGAACAGAAUAGGAAAAUGAAUAUUUUUNNNNNNNNNNNNNNNNNNNNNNNNNNNNNNNNNNNNNNNNNNNNNNNNNNNNNNNNNNNNNNNNNNNNNNNNNNNNNNNNNNNNNNNNNNNNNNNNNNNNCUGGACGGCGCGGCCCCCCCUGCCCGUGCCAUGAGGGCUUGUGGGGUCCGUGAGGACCCCCUGCCUUGGUUCUCAAGUCUGCCGAUCUUCUUCCGUUCCGAAAAAAAAUCUUUUCGGAAAUUUUAUUCUGUUUGGAGUCCGUUCAAAAAUCCUCAUCUGAAAAGGGGUCAAAACAUGGAAAAAAACAGGAACUAGCACUUGGCACUGGAUUAAUAAGUUAGUCCCAGAAAAUAAAUAAAAGGCAUGCAAAACAUCCAAAGUUUGACAAGAUAAUAGCAUGAAACCAUCAAAAAAUUAUAGAUACAUUAGAGACGUAUCAGUACCUCUAUCUGAUCUGGAGAUGGACCAGUGGAAGAUGGCGGCGACGACACAUGUGAGUGCGUCGGACCGGUUUGUGCCCCGGACCCGGUAUGUGGCUCGGUUAGGGUCUCCGGCUUUAGAUGUUAGGCUUAGGUGAGAGGUAUGGGUAUUUGAUCCAGCUUGCACCCUUCAUCAUAUGGAUAGGAGUAGCGACAGAUGUUGCCAAGAUGACGGAUUCAGACAUAUUGUUGUACUGCUUUGUAAGGUCCUAAUAAAGAAUCNNNNNNNNNNNNNNNNNNNNNNNNNNNNNNNNNNNNNNNNNNNNNNNNNNNNNNNNNNNNNNNNNNNNNNNNNNNNNNNNNNNNNNNNNNNNNNNNNNNNCUCUUGAAUUGUUCUGCCAUCUUCUUAAGAGCAUGAGACUUGAUCAAUUGCUCUAUAACUGGCUUCUCCGGAUCCUCCUCUGGCGGUAGGGUGAAAUUUUCCUUAAGCGUUGUCCAAAGAUCUUCUUUCUGCAUAUCGGAGACAUAAGACACCUCAGGGUCUUCCUUCUUAGGCUUUAACCAUUGCUGGAUACUGAUCAGGAUCUUGUUCCAAACAAGAACCCCGCACUGAUUAGCAAAUGCUUCCUUUGUCUGGUACGGUUCAAUCGGCUUGCCAUCGCGCGCGAUUGCUAUGAUCUCAUACCUUUUAUCCGAGCGCAACUUUUUUCUUCGGGUCUCGUCCCUUUACCGAAGUUGUGCUUGAUCCGGAGGGCUAGAAAAAGAAGAAAGACGAGAGUUAAUUAAUAUGUGUACAUACGAAAACAAUGAAUGCAUCAAUUAGCUAGUCAGCUGAUACGUCUCCAUCAUAUCUACUUUUCCAAACUCUUUUGCCCUUGUUUUGGACUCUAAUUUGCAUGAUUUGAAUGGAACUAACCCGGACUAACGCUGUUUUCAGCAGAAUUGCCAUGGUGUUGUUUUUGUGCAGAAAUGAAAGUUCUCGGAACGUACUGAAAAUUUACGGAGAAUUUUUCUACUAGAAAAAUAAAAAAAAUAACCUGCGCAAAGAUCCACCGGACAGGAUGGGCCAGUGGGCCACAAGCCCUGUUGCCGCGGCCCUCCCCCCUAGCAGCUGCCCACGUGGUAGUGCCGCCCCCCAACUCCAGCUCUAUAAGUUCACUUUCGACCAGAAAAACAUAAGAAGAGCAGAUUUCAUCGCGUUUGNNNNNNNNNNNNNNNNNNNNNNNNNNNNNNNNNNNNNNNNNNNNNNNNNNNNNNNNNNNNNNNNNNNNNNNNNNNNNNNNNNNNNNNNNNNNNNNNNNNNAAUAUAGAGCAAACUAUAAUGUAGAUGCAGUUUAAAUUUGACCCGCUUUCAGCUGAAUGAACGAAAAUUUGUCUUUUUUAGGAGAGAUCGAUAAAAGCCAUUAACACCCAACCAUUUUGUCAAUUAUACAUUAAAUAUGGCCUAUUAUUUUAGAAAAAUGAUUUGGUCCAAUUUUGAAACAAAUAUAUGGUAGGUCCUUCACAAAAAAACUUCAUUUUUGGACACUUGAAAAAUGGAAAAUGAUGUUUACAUACCAGGAAAAUGAAAACUUCCUUAAUCAAUAUUGUUUGUCAUUCCAAUAUGCAUCCUUGUGUAUAAUAUUAUAUCAUUUCAACAAACUAUGUCAUUAAUGUGGCCAUAAGAUUGAUAAUUUGGCUUGAAAAGCCAUGGAUCUUCACACAUGAUAGCUCAUUUUUAAGAACACUUUUUUUAAAUAAUUGUCGUAUUACAAGUUUAUUAUUUUUCCUGGAUCAGUCUAUGUCGUAUUGUCGUAUUGUCGUUCUAUGUUCCNNNNNNNNNNNNNNNNNNNNNNNNNNNNNNNNNNNNNNNNNNNNNNNNNNNNNNNNNNNNNNNNNNNNNNNNNNNNNNNNNNNNNNNNNNNNNNNNNNNNCCCCCUGGCCGCAGGGUGGGGGCUUGUGGGGACCCUGGGGCUCUUUUUGGCUUGGCUCCCAAGUCCUCCGAUCUUCUUCCCUUCCAGAAAAAAWWCUUUUCGGGGAUUUUCUUCCGUUUGGACUCCGUUUCAAAAUCUCCUCUGAAAGGGGUMAAAAACAUGGAAAAAACAGGAACUCRCACUUGGCACUGAAUUAAUAAGUUAGUCCCAGAAAUAAAUAAAAGGCAUGCAAAACAUCCAAAGUUUGACAAGAUAAUAGCAUGAAACCAUCAAAAAUUAUAGAUACGUUGGAGACGUAUCAAACAUCCCCAAGCUUAACUCCUGCUCGUCCUCGAGUAGGGAAGUGAUAAAGAAUGAAUUUUUGAUGUGGAAUGCUACCUAGCAUUGUAACAUCCCAAAAUUAUAAAUUUUGGAAUGUUAAUAUAAUUAUUAGAUUAAUUGUUUGUUUGUUUGCUGAGUGACUGAAACUUGUGUGAAAUUUUGAAACUUUUCGAAACUUUUGAAAGAUAGGGAAUAAAAUGACUUCCCCCUUCUACGGUGAAUUCAAAUUCAAGCUUUUAAAAGCCAAGAGAGAAGAUGACGUGACUUCUUCAAUUAUAAAGAAUUUGAACGGAGAUAUUUUGCAUUGAAUUCUUUUUGCAUUUCCAAUUCUUUUUCCCUGCACGAGUAAUGCCCGGAGAAAAAAACUCUCUUGCACGCGAGAGAGAGAGAGCGGUGGAGAAUGACCCUCCAAAUUGCGGGCAAAUUUCUGAAAUAUUUAAGUCAAGAAAACCCAAAGUUCUUUUGCAAUAAUAAUUAGUAAAAAGAAAUAAAGCAAAAUUUUGGGAAUUUUCUGARAAAAAACAUUWUUUUUCUAAGUUUUUUAUUUUUGACUUUAAAAAAAUGUUAUUUGGGUAGAGAUUCUUUUUCUGAUWUUUUUGAUAUAUAAUACCAUAUAUAGAUAUUUUGAUUUACUUNNNNNNNNNNNNNNNNNNNNNNNNNNNNNNNNNNNNNNNNNNNNNNNNNNNNNNNNNNNNNNNNNNNNNNNNNNNNNNNNNNNNNNNNNNNNNNNNNNNNCCCUUUGCCAUGUGUUGGCAGACGGCAAAAGAGGGGAACCUAGCCCCUUUUUUUAUUUAUUUUUUGUUAUAUCCAGCAUUUUUAACAAUAAUCAGGAUAUAUAUAUAUAUUUGACAUAAAUAAAUUUCUUUCCGUACUCAUAACCAUAUUAAAAUAACUCUCAUCCAUAGUGCAUACAUAUUAUGGAAGUUACAUCCGUACCAAACCAUAUAUUACACCAGUUUCAUCCACGUGCAUACAAAGUUUCAUAUAUUCAUAUACUACAAUAGUUUCAAUACAACCCAUGGUACAAGAAAUAAUCUUCAAGCAUUCCAUCAACCAAGCUUCCCGUGAAGUGAAGGUUAUCUGCAAAAAUGACAAGUAAGAAAGUUAGAAAAAUAAUACUAGAUGAAGUAGUGUAUAUAUAGGUUAUUUCGGAGAGAAAUUAGCUAAGUAUAGACCAUUUAGGAGCUAACUAAGAUAAUUAUGUCAUUUAGGUGGAACCCUAGCUAACUAUAGGAGAAGAGAAAGAGAAGAAGAAGUAAAAGAAGGAGGAGGAGGAGGAGAAGAAGAAGGAAGAGGAGAAGAAGAAGAAAAGNNNNNNNNNNNNNNNNNNNNNNNNNNNNNNNNNNNNNNNNNNNNNNNNNNNNNNNNNNNNNNNNNNNNNNNNNNNNNNNNNNNNNNNNNNNNNNNNNNNNGGGCGUGCUCCCGUGGUAUAAGUUAUCAAAGUCGAGAGGGGGUAUAUAUAUUGACCGCCCCUCAUGUCGAAGUUAUCCCGGAGGGGGUUAUAUCGACAACGACGACAUACAUACAUGGGAAAAUAAUGUUAUCGGGGAGGGGGUAUAUCGACCCCCCCUCAUGUUGAAGUUAUCGGUAGGGGGUAUAUCGACAACGACAUAGCCGAUAAAAAUAAGAAGACAAAAGAAGAAAUAAAAAGAGGAGAAGAAGAAAGGAANNNNNNNNNNNNNNNNNNNNNNNNNNNNNNNNNNNNNNNNNNNNNNNNNNNNNNNNNNNNNNNNNNNNNNNNNNNNNNNNNNNNNNNNNNNNNNNNNNNNNNNNNNNNNNNNNNNNNNNNNNNNNNNNNNNNNNNNNNNNNNNNNNNNNNNNNNNNNNNNNNNNNNNNNNNNNNNNNNNNNNNNNNNNNNNNNNNNNNNNNNNNNNAGGAGAAGAAGAAAGGAAUAGAAGAGAAGCGAUCGAAGAAAAAAAAUAAGAAAAAAGGAGAAGAAGAAAGGAAUAGAGAAGAAGAAAAAAAUAGAAUAUUUUUUCUUCUUCUUCUCCUCUUCUUUUUCUUCUUUUUGCCUCUUCUUAUUUACUUCUCCUCUUCUUCCUCUCCUCUUCUUCUCCUUUCUUCCUCUUCUUAUUUUCCUUUUUCCUCUCAUUCUUUUUCUUCUUCUUCCUUAUCUUCGUAGCUAUAUAUAAUACUUUUCUAAAAAUGUAACUUUUGCAUAUAUAAAACUUUUUCUUCUUCUUCCUUCUUCCUUCUUCCUUCUCUUCCUUCUUUUCCUAAAUAUAUAAAACUUUUCUAAAAAUGAAACUAACCUAAAAUGUACCAAAUCAGAGAACAUAUAUAGAUAAAACUAACCUAAAAUGUACCCAAAUGUACUAAAAAUAUAACGUUUAUAUGCACAUAGAACAUACAUACAUAUAUAAAUUUUUAUAAAAAUGCAAAAAACAAAUCAUCAUAUAUAUGAACAAAAAAUCUAAAAAAAGACAUAUAAUCAGAUAUACACACAUACAUAUACUCACACAUAUACACAUAAUCUGGAAAAAACAUCAUAUAAUCUAAAAAACAGAGGAGAGGACAGGGUGGGCGGCGUCGGCCUGACCAAGGAGAGGUGCGGCAUGGUCGGGGCAAGGGCAAAGGCAUGGUGCCGGCGUCGGUGUAGAGGGCGGCGACGGUGGCGUGGUCUGGGCGGGGCGACGACAGCGUGGUCGGGGCAGGGGCGAUGGCGUCGGCGGGGCAGAUGGCGGCGACGACGUCGACGGGGCGGGUCGGGGCGCGUCAGAGGCAUGGCGAGGGCGUGCGGCGUGGUCGAGGGGCAGGGGCGACGACGGCGUGGUCGGAGCGGGCAACGGCGGCGUGGUCGGGGGUGCGGCAGAGGCACGGCGACCUCGGGCAGCCUGGCGGCGUCGUCUGAGGGAUCAAAAACUGACGAAAUUUUCACAAGUGCUGGCUUAUAUAACAAAGCCAUUGGUACCGGUUGGUGCCACCAACCGGUACCAAUGCCUCCUUUAGUCCCGGUUGGUGUCACCAACCGGGACUAUGGCCGCGACCAGCUCACCACUAUGGUGGCCCGCCGGAUCCUGCCCUUGCAGAGGCGGCCGCAUCUGGUCUACCAGAUGAGAGGCCGGCAUGAUCCUUGCCUGCUGUCCACCAAGAGGUUCACCCCCGGCGCGGUAGCGCGAAGGGUGAAUCUGAUCUCCACCGCCCGCAUGGACGAGGGCGGGGAAUGGACGUGGGGGAUGACCCCCUUCAACAGGCCCCGUCCACCUCCAAAGGUAGGUGGCCUCUUUAUUCUUUGUCGUUUGCCUUGUAGCCGGUCGUGUUGCUGAGCCGGCGAUCGAAUCCCUUUUCGUAGGUGUACGAGAAUCUGGAGGGGUCCCUCCGUCUGCCCGCUCCCGACGUGGAUGUGUCCGACGCCUCGGAGAUUGAGGACGAGGGCAUGAUCGAAUCCCGCUCGGACUCCUACGCCGGCUCGGAGAAUCCCCUAGAGUCGGAAGGGACAGAGCCGUCUGGUGAGUACCCACGGCCCUCCGUCGCAGACUGGACGGAUGACGACGAGACUCCCUCAUUCUUCUCUGGUACAGCCUUUGAGGAGGACUCCGACGGGGUGGAGGUGGUCACCAGCCCGCCAUUGACGCGUGGCCGGCGUCAAAGGGGCGGAGCGACCGCCGCUGACGAGGUGGGCGGGAGGAAGGACAAGGGUGCCAGAGCAUCUUGCCGGCUCUUAAGCGGUCGGCGUCGGGUCCACCAACCGGACAACGAACAUGCGGCACCAAGAAAGGCCGUGGUGCUAGCCGGAGGCAGGUGCCUAUGGUAGCGGGGUAAGAUUUGCUCCCCCUUUUCUUCGUUUAUCUUGCGAAAAGCCUUGUUCCUUAAGGACUUUGCUUGACAGGGAGGCGGAGGAUGUGGAGGAAGACACCGCCUCCGCAGCCGAGCGGGCUGGUUGGGAAGCAGCCGAUGCUGCCCAGAGGGAGCUUGAGAUGCAGUCCAAGCGCCGGUGGGACGUGUCUGCGGCGAAGACGGCCAUGGGCCAGUCUCGCCCCAGCCGGGUCGAGAAGCCGGCGGAGAAGCAUGCGAAGGCUAGACAUGACCCUCCGCACAUGCUCGUGCGGAGCAGCCAGCUAGAGAAGCGGCUUCCAGGCACGCCCCGAGGGCUGAGGAGGUCCAGCCCUCCGAGCCGGAUGCCUCGGCCCCGGUGGAUCUAGAGACGAUCCCCAACUCCCCCAGGGCCGAGGCGGCGCCCAACGCGCUGGAGCUGAUCCUGAACGUGCCGGACGCGGCCCCUGAUGCGCCUGAUGCGGCCCAUCUACCUCCCAUCAGGGAGGCAGCACCGGCCGGGGAGAUGGCAGAGCCGGCCGCUGAGCCGGCACCCGGAGUCGGCGCCAUCGUCGUUCCCCACCACGGACCAGUCGCGCCGGGAGCUGGAGGCCGGGUCGGGAGCCGGCACAUGAAGAUAUAGCGGGCGGCCAACCUGGCGCGCCUGCGACUGCCCGCCGGCAUCACGCUCACCGGCGUCCCAGAGCUGGUGUCGAUGUUUACCAGCAGCUGGUCCAAGGUGGAGCAGUCGGCACGCAUGGUGUGGAGCGACAUGGAGCGCCUGAAGGCCGGCACCCAGGUAGGUGUCCCCUCUUUGGUUUUUGAACUUUUCUUCUUUUGCGUUAGUGGGGUCGCGACAGCGCACCCACUGGGUGUGGCUCCCGAGAAUCGGGCCGGUCGAUCGUCGGCCUGUCCGAAUCUCUUGGAGCUUCUUUUCCUUGUUUUGCUUCUUUAGUGGGGGCGCGCUAGCGCACCCAUUGGGUGUAGCCCCCGAGAAUCGGGCUGGUUAAGUCUCAACCAGGCCGAAUCUUAAUCCUGCUUCUUUUUGCUCUGUUGCCAGGAGCUUUAUGACGCUCAGGCGCAGGAUUACAAUGAGCUGCGGACCCAGCACCUGGGGGCUGAUGGCCGGAUUGCCGAGCUUGAAGUGCGGUUGGGCGAAGUUUCCACGGAGCGGGAGGCCCUGCGUGGUGCCGGCAACCGGCUCCAGGAGCAGCUGGCCCUUCUUCAGACGGAGAAGAAGGAGCUCGAGGCGGCUAGCCGGGUCGAGCUUGAGCGACUGCACGAUACGCUGCAGGAGAAGGAGGCCUCCUACUCCACCGACGUGGAUCACCUCGCGUUGCUUCAUCUCAAGGACAUGAACCUCAAGGACGCCGCCUUGAGGGAGAAGGAGGAGGCCCUUGUCCAGAAGCAAUCGCAGCUGGCCAAGGCCUUGGAGUCUGCAGCGGCUCUCCAGGAGGAGGUUGCUCGCCUUACUCACGCGAGCAAAGUGCGGGAGCUCGAGGUCCUCGAGAGCUCUCAUGAGACCGAUGGCGCCUUCCAUCGUGAGUCUCUCUCCCUUGCUUUGUCUUUGGUUUUUUGGCCGCCUCCUCUUCUUAUUGUGCCCUUGUGCACUGGCUUUUGCUAUUCCAGGUCUCUUCCCUGAGUCCCAGGUCGCAGCCGACACUAUCGUCGAGGUGAGCCGUGAGGAGCGCCGCGCGGCUGGGCAGGAGGUAGACACUACCUCCGGCUGGAGUGUGGAGGAGAUCGGGGUGGGCCUUCGGGGCCGCCUGCGCGCCCUGGGCGAGUAUGUGGCUCAGCUCCAGGUUGCAGGUUCGUCGAUGGUGGCGGCCCUGUGGCCGGAGGGCAUGGAGCCGGCGUCGAUGAGUCGGCUUGACUACUGGCGUGCAGCGGGCGGGGAACGCCUGGAUGCCUGGCGCGCCUCUGCCGAGCGCGCCGGAGCUUACAUGGCCGUGCGCUUGGCCAAGUCCUGGUAUCGGAACCUGGACUAGGGCAAGCUCACCGGCCAACGUGACGGCUCGGAGGCGGAGCUGCAGGGCGUGGAGGAGGCGCUGCGCGUGAGGGCCAGCGGCAUCGCCGAGUACGCUGCUUGGGACGAUUUUGUUUUGGAGCGGGGUGAAGAUGGUCGUGUGAUCGCUGAAGAUCUGCACGGCCUUCAGCCCUAUGACCCCGAUGGCAGCUGCGGCGAGGCGGCCAAUGCUAUGGAAUCUGCUGCCGCCUCCAGCGGUGCGGCAUACGCCGACUCCGGUGAGGAUGGAGCCGGGAGCCCUCGCGAAUCAGAUGGCGCAACCGCCUCAGGAGCAACCGGGGAUGGUGAAGCCACCACUUCAGGAGCAGCGGCCGGGGCGACCGAUUAGGCCGCAGCCCCGUAGCUGGUGUCCUUUUUGUUUUGUUCCACCCCGUGAGGCAUGUAAUGAACGUGGGCCGUGGGCCGAUGCUUUUUUGAAUGUAUGUAUUCAACAUUAUAUUCGUAUUGCCAUGCGUGUUGUUUUAUAUCUUUGUCUUUUGAUUCCUGGUUGACUCCUUUUUCUCCAAUCCUCGUAUUCCCGAUCUUCCGCCCCGCCAGCCCGACAGCCGGGAGCCGGUCUGUGGCUGGGUCGAGGUUUCUGACCUUAGAAUACGAGACUUAGAUUUUUCGAAGCCAGCCAACAGAGGCCGGCUUUAAUGAGAUCGUAAAUAUGAUCGAGCCAGCCCGAGCCGGCGACCCUUUGUAGCCGAACUUUGCAUCCAUCCGGCCUGACCUGGCGUCACCUCGCAAGCCAGACGGCCGGAGCCAGUCCGCAAGCUCGUACGAGGUGACCAGGGAUCAGCCAGUUUACACUAUGUGUUCUUUUACAAUAGGGAAGGCGUCCGAGCGGCUAGCGAGCCCCCGAGCUUGUUAAAGCCAGCAAGGGGCGUGCGCUGCGUAGCCUCCGAGCUUGAUUAAGCCAGCAAGAGGUGUACGCGGUGUAGACCCCAAGCUUAUUGAAGCCAGCAAGGGGCGUCCACUGAGUGAAAACUCUCAAUAAAAAGAAACAUGAGGCAUGUUCUUUUUAUUGCAUUUGUUGAGGGUCCAUGAAGAGGGAGAAAGAUACAUAUGCAUGCUCUUUCCAUUGUUUGAUUCUUGCCUUCUAGCAAUUGAACGGGCGGAGCAGCGCCGCAUUCCAUGGACGUUCCGUCUCCUGGCCGGAGUCGUCCCUCUUGCGCUUCCUUGGCUUUUGGGCAUCAAUCAAGUAGUAAGCGUUGUUGUGCAAUCCCUACUGAUGAUGAAGGGUCCCUCCCAUGGGGAUGAGAGCUUGUGUUGGCCGGCAGUGCGCUGGAUUCUUCUGAGAACCAAGUCUCCCUCCCUGAAAGAGAGAGGCUUGAUCUUUUUGCUGUGGUAGUAUCUCAGCUUCUGUUGAUAGAUGGCCGUCCGGCUCAAGGCCAAGUCCCUCGCUUCUUCGAGGAGGUGCACACCGUCUUCUCUUGCCUCCUUCGCCUCCGUUUCUCUGUAUAGGGAGACCCGAGGCGAGUCGAACUCGAUAUCCGUGGGAAUGAUAGCCUCGGACCCGUAUACAAGAAAGAACGGAGUGAAGCCGAUCGACCGGUUGGGCAUGGUGCGGAGGCUCCAUAACACAGCCGACAGUUCUUCAAUCCAGCAGCCGGACGAUCUGACCAGAGGUGCCACCAGUCUUGGCUGGAUACCGGCCAGAAUCAGGCCGUUGGCCUUCUCCACUUGGCCAUUCGACUGGGGAUGUGCUACUGAUGCCAAAUCAAGCCGGAUGCCUACCUUUGAACAGUAGAGCGCCACAGCGCCUUUGGCGAAGUUGGUGCCGUUGUCGGUGAUGAUGCUGUGGGGAACGCCAUAUCGGACAGAGAUGUGUGUGAUGAACUUGAUAGCGGUGGAGCCAUCAAGCUUCUUGAUAGGUCUGGCUUCAAUCCACUUGGUGAACUUGUCGACGGCUACCAAGAGAUGUGUCAUCCCACCACGAGCCGUCUUUAAGGGCCCUACCAUGUCCAGUCCCCAGACGGCGAACGACCAUGACAGGGGGAUGGUUUUGAGGGCCGAAGGCGGCAUAUGGCUCUUCACGCUGAAGAAUUGGCAGCCUUCGCACUUGUCAACCAGAUCCACGGCCUCCUCGAGAGCCGUGGGCUAGUAGAAUCCGUGGCAGAACGCCUUGGCCACCAGGGUUCUGGAUGCGGCGUGAUGCCCACACUCCCCGUGGUGAAUAUCUAUGAGGAUCUCCUAUCCCUUUUCUGAUUCGACACAGCAUUGGAACACGUCGGUCACGCUGCCCGUACCAGCUCGCGAUUGAUAAUGGCGUAGGCUGCAGACCUGCGCUGGAUCUGCCUCGCCUCCGCCUCAUUCGGAGGAAGUUCGCCGUGAAGAAGAAAGGCCAGGAUAGUUUCAGCGCAUGACAGAGCCGACACAAGGGUUGCCUCCACCUCGACUUGACUGUUGGGAGCUUCUCCAGCCCCCGAGCUUGAUGGAGCCGCGGUCGUGGACUCGAGACAAGGUGUCUCUAGCGCUGCUGCGGCAGCUGGCUCGCCGUCUAUCUCCAUGACGUCCACCCACUUGGUGUCGAGACGACAGGAUUCGAGGCCAGCCGGAGCCGUGGUUGUUGUUGUAGCCGGUGCCGCCAUUGGAGUCGGCGUGGCCAACGUAGCCGGCACGAGAACUGUAGCCGGCGUAGUUGAUGGAGCCGACGACGCUUGCACCAUGGACUCAACCGAUGCCGCUAUUGGAGUCGGCAUAGUCAUCGUAGCCAGCCUAGGAGCUGCGGCCGGCGUAGCUGGUGGAGCCGACGGCGCUUGCACCAUAGAGUCAGCUGACACAAAGAUCGAUGCCGACGCGGGAGACGGCUUGAUAGACGAUUCAUGGAGUUGCUCGAGGGAGACGCCGGCUGGAAUAGCCUGUCUCGUGGAGCUGAUCUUCGCCAGUGUAUCAGCCGCCUCAUUUUCUGCCUUGGAAACGUGGUGGAACUCACAGCCCUCGAAGGCGCCACUGAGCUGCUGGAUGAGGAAGUGGUAGCUUGCCAUGUUGGCGUCCCUAGCAUCCCAUUCGCUAGAGUCCUGCUGUACCACCAAGUCUGAAUCACCGAAGCAUAUGAGCCGCCGGAUGCCGAUCUCCAUGGCAAGCCGGAGGCCGUGAGCAAGUGCUUCGUACUCGGCGACGUUGUUGGAGGCAACAAAGUGGAUCUGGAGAGCAGACUUGAGUUGGUCCCCUUUCGGAGACGUCAAGACGAUGCCGGCUCCCAGUCCUGUCCACAUCUUCGAGCCGUCGUAGUGCAUCCGCCAAUGCGUGGAGUCUGGAGGCGGUGGCUCAAACUGGGUCUCGGCCCAGUCGACUAAGAAGUCGGCCACCACCUGAGAUUUGAUGGCGGUGUAGGGCUCGUACCGGAUAUCGUGGUCCGCCAUAGCGAUGGACCAUUUGGCAAUCCUGCUCGUGGCAUCACGGUUGCCCAUCAUCUCUGAAAGUGGAGCAGUGCUUACCAGAGUGAUGGCAUGCUCUUGGAAAUAUUGCUUCAACUUCUUUGCGGCAAGGUAAACACCAUAACACAUUUUUUGAUAAUGCGGAUAGUUCUGCUUGGAGGCGGACAAGACCUCACUGAGGUAAUAGACCGGGCGCUGCACUGGCAGUGCCUUGCCCUCCUCCUUGCGCUGAACUACCAACACUAUGCUAACCACGCGAGUGGUCGCUGCAAUGUAUAUGAGUAUGGGUUCCCUUUCAGAUGGCGCUGCCAAGAUUGGCAGGCUCGAGAUGACCCGCUUGAGGUCGCGGAAGGCUUCGUCCGCCUGGUCCUUCCACUCGAACUUUCUUGUCUUCUUCAUGAGAAGGUAGAGUGGAAGGGCCUCCUUGCCAAGCCGGCUGACCAACCGGCUAAGGGACGCCAGGCAGCCGGCGAACUUCUAGACGUCGAGGAUUCGAGUCGGCCACACCAUCCGCUCGAUGGUGCCGAUCUUCUCGGCGUUCGCCUCGAUGCCGCGGGCAGACACGAAGAACCCCAAGAGUUUUACACCUGGAACCCCAAAGACGCAUAUCUCCGGGUUGAGCCGGAUCUUGUACUCGCGCAGGUUGGCGAGCGUCUCCCGCAAGUCGUCGAGGAGGCUGAAGUGCUGCUUCGUCUUGACGACGAUGUCAUCCACAUAGAUGUGGAUGUUUCUGCCGAUUUGUGGUAGUAGGCACUGCUACAUGCAGCGUUGGAACGUCGCACCUCCGUUCUUCAGACCAAACGUCAUGGUGGUGUAGCAGUAGCCCCCGAAGGGCGUGAUGAAGGAGGUCCUCAGGCGAUCAGGUGGAUCCAGCUUGAUUUGAUGGUAGCCUAAAUAAGCAUGCAGAAACGACAGCAGUUCACAGCCUGUAGUGGAGUCGAUCACUUGAUCUAUCCUAGGCAACGCGAAAGGGUCUUUCGGACAGGCCUUAUUCAGGCUAGUGUAGUCAAUACACAUUCGCCAGGUGUUGUUCUUCUUCAGCACCAGGACUGGAUUAGCAAGCCAGUCCGGGUGGAAAACCUCCAUGAUGAAGCCGGCUGCAAGGAGCCGGGUGAUCUCUUCUCCGAUCGUGCGUCGCUUCCCCUCGGCGAAGCGGCGCAAGGGUUCUUUCACCGGCUUUGCAUCCGGUCACACGUGAAAUUUGUGCUCGGCGUACUUCCUCGGAACACCCGGCAUGUCCUUUGGGGACCAUGCAAAGAUGUCCCGAUUCUCACGGAGGAAGUCAACGAGCUCGCCUUCCUAUUUGGGGCUGAGGCCAGCCUCGAUGGUGAGGCACUGCUUUGGGUUGGCAGGUUCGAGUGGGACCUACUUGAUCUCUUUAGCUGGCUUGAAAGAGCCCUCGCCGGCCGACUGGGACGGAGGAGAAGGAAUCUCCGGCUCCUCCGUAGCCUGGGCCACGAGCCGGCCGAUCUGUCGCUUCUCCUCACCAAUCACCAGGGCGUCGGCGAGGCGGCUGCUAUCUUGGGCACACUCGAGCGACUUCUUGUAGUCGCCAACAACAGUGAUGAUGCCCUUGGGACACGACAUCUUCAUCUUCAGGUAGGCAUAGUGCAGAAUAGCCAUAAAUUUGGCCAGAGCCGGCCUUCCCAGUAGCGCGUGAUACGGGCUGCUGAGGUCCACUACCUCGAACCAUAUGGACUCUCGGCGGAAGUGGGCUUUGUCGCCGAAGAGGAUGUCCAGCUGGAUCUUACCAAUGGGCGAGCAGGACUGCCCAAGCACGAUGCCAUGGAAGAUAGUACUGGUCGGUAGGACGUCCGUCUCCUUGAGUCCGAGCUUGAGGAGAGUCUCGAGGUAGAGGAUGUUGAUGCUGCUGCCAUCGUCGACCAGCACCCGGGAGAAUCGGCAGGUGAGCCUCUUGGAGGCGAAGGUGGGGUCGAGGACGAGCGCGUAUGACCCCGGGUUGGGCAUCACCACAGGAUGGUCCACCCGGUUCCAUGUGAUUUGUUUGUCCGACCAAUGCAUGUACUGGGGAACCGGUGGAACCAUGGCAUUCACAUCGCGCUGCCUCUGGCACAGGCUGUGCUUGUCGUCGCCUUCACUGGUCGUUGUCUUGACGAGGGUAGUCAUCAUGGAGGUGGCCGUCGUCGCGAGGCGGCGGCGGCGGAGCCGGAGCAGGACCAGGAGCCGGUGCACGAGGGGCCGCCUGCGCACCUGGGGGAGCCGGCAGACCAUCCCCUUGCGACAACCGGCGUGCAAAGCUGCACUGUCGAAGGGUAUGGGUGGACGGCUGCGCCCCAGAAUGUAUUUUGCAAGGGGCGUCGAGCGAGACUGCCUGGGCAGCCAGUUGGUGUUAUUCCUGUUGGCACGCUUUCGCGGAGGGCCAAUUGAGGAGCCGAUGUCUCGCCCUCCAUGCUGGCUACCAACUUGUUGUUGGAGCGCGAAUCCAUCUGAUCAUCCUUGCGCUUGUUGUUGUUUUGCCCGCCUUGGUUGUCCCCAGCCGGCUUGGGAGUAGCCUACGUAGGGACAGCCUUGUCAGAGGCGGUCACCUUGACGCGCAUCGCCGAGUCGGCCGUGGCGUAUUUGUCCGCCUUGGCCAUGAGCACCGCGAGAGAGGUGGGCUCGGAGCACUAAGCUUGUGCUUGAGGAGGGUGCCGUCUCGGCAGCCGUCGAUGAAGUACUAGAUGGCUUCUACCUCAUGCACCCCCUCGCAGGAGUUGCGGAGCUCUGUCCACCGGGUGAUGUAGUCGCGAAGGGGUUCGUCGGGCUUCUAGAUGCACAUGGCCAGCUCGCGGGGCCGACCAGGGCGUUUCUAGGUGCCAGUGAAGUUGUGGACGAUCGCCUCCUCGAAGUCCACCUAGGAGUUGACGCUGCCGGCCGGAAGGCUGUUAAGCCAAGUCCGGGCCGAGCCGAACAACAUGAGUGGCACGUAGCAGACCGCUACGUGCUUGUUGCCCCUGGCAAUGCCGACGACCGUGGUGUAAUCAAUCAGCCAGUCCUCUGGCUUGGCCGUGCCGUUGUAUUUGGGCGUGUCCCGAGGCAAGGUGAAACCCCGGGGGAACGACUCCCCUCGGAUCUGGGGGCCGAAGCAGGCCAGACCGACAGGACCGUCUUCCUCUCGGAGGGCUGACUGGGCCAGGACGAUGAGAUGCCAGCGGGUGUCCCAUUCAUCCUAGGAAGUGUGAGCGCCAGCCCGAGUGGCGAGAGGGGAGGCGCCUCGCGAACCAGAGACGUGAGUUCUUCACGAUGCAACCACAAAGAGUGCUUGCUCUGGCACUGGGAGCACCGGUCUUGGCUUCCCUCGCCCCUCCGGCCGGAGGGGCGAUGCGAGGAAGAUCCUUCUGCAUGGUGCUGACCGCUAGGGUUGCGACGUGCUCCGGGGUUGGGUCCUGGAGACUCUGACUAGGCCUGACCGGGGUCAAACCGAGCGUGUUACUGGUUGGCGGCGUCAAGGAGGUCCUUGACACGCUUCUCCUGGAAAGCGCGCUCGUCGCCUUCCAAGCUCGCCAUCUCCUUCAUGGCUGCCUAAGUCGCUCGCAUGUUGGCUGCACGGGUCUCGUAGGUGGGCAGAUCGCCACCUAGGACUUCGGCGAUGAACCAGCCGCGGCUGCGGACCGUUCCAAGCCGGCUAGGGCCCUCGGAAACAGGAGUAAGGCUGUAUGCGGAGUUAUACUCACGCGGUGUGGCCUCCAUCCGACGCUUUGCCGAAGCGACGGUGAUGCCCUCCUCCAAGAUACGCUUGCAAGCCUCCUCCAGUGAGGCCCGGGCGUCAGCAGGGUUUGCGGUAGCAGCGACGGGUGUCUUCAGGCCGGCGAUGGCGUCCCGAAGAGUAUCGGCGGUGGCAGCAACAGGCUCACCAGCAUCUGCUAAUGCCUUUCUGUGGCAGCCCGAGACCGACGUUCCAGAAGAUUCCCCUUCUAUUCUGUUUUCGUCGUGUGUUUAUUUUUAUUUGUCGCAUCAUCAUCGCAUCAUGCGCAUUAUCUGCAUUGCAUCGGCACCCGUUGCCGCCAGUUUUCAAAACUUGCAUCCGUUGUUAGUUGCCGGUUCUCGUCGUUGUCCGUUCUGAGCCCGACCACACAGCACGCGCCCGCGGCAUCGUCUAAAUCUUGUUUUCAAAAGUGUGUUUAAAACUUUCACUGAUUGGGUUGGAACUUGGCGUGUGGUCGUAAUUAGUUGUAGCUAGGCCGCCUGUCAAGUUUCGUCGCAAUCAGAGUCCGUCUGGUACCCGAACGGUCGACCGUAGCGGCACCGUAUUCGGUCUAUCGUCGGACAUUUUCCGGUAUUUUAUAUCUCGUUGCCGGGCUGCCCGUUUUCCCUCUCAUCUCCGCCUAGCCCCUCUGCAAAGUGCACCGACCCUACAUGCAACCUAGUCUGAAAACCUCCCAGGACCCGAACCGGGCGGACGUGGCCGUUGGAUCCGGAUCAACCCCGUUUUACCCUAAACCAUCACCGGUUUUAGAAUUGGAUACUCUAACCUAUAUUUCUCGACCGUUCGAUCGAAUCGGAGGUUCCAGAUCAGCCCUAUCCAAACCCACCUACCUAUUUAAGAAGUCAACCCUAGAUCCUAGGCCGAAUGUCCCAUCCAUCCGUUGUCCGCCGCCACUGUCUUCAUCGGGAUCUGCUCCAGAUCCAAUCCCCCAAGCAUUGAGCCCCUCCUGAUCCACUUGUAGCAAUCCUGCGCCGGCCUCCCGCGCAUGAGCACGAGUUCGUCCCCGAGCUCCUUCCUAACUCCCUCCCCUAGCUGCUGGAGCUAGCCGCCGUGGAUGCACGUGCAAGCGCCGGACCGUCGCCAGCGAGCACCGCUGCCGAGCCUCGUCGGUCCAGCAGGGGAGCGUCGUGCCCUGCCCUCUCUCUCUCUUUCUUCUUCCCUACCCUCUCUUUCCUUCUUAUCUGAAACCUCCUCUAUGUCUUGUUUGCUUCAAGCAACAGCAACCGCCAGGGACGUCAACUUCGGCAGCCUCCCGUCCGCUCCGCCUCAUGCCGAACCACGCAGGUGAGAUCGAGUUCCCGCGCGUGCUCCUCCCUUGCGACCUCUCCUUCCCUCUCCUUCCUCCUCUAAUCCCUCUCCCUCCUGCUCGUUUCUUUUUUUGUCAGAAGCAGAAUGGAAACCCUCCGCUGCCUCCCAUGGAGCUCGCCGUCCGCGCCACCCAGAAGACCCUCGUCGUCGGGAAUGGAACCCCCGAUGUCGGAUCUAUGGAACCCCGCCAUUCCCGCGCCUCCGGGACCUCAUCCCCUGCCCAGACCUCCAUGGCUACCCCGUCCCUCCUGUGAGCAAAUCCUUCCUAUAACUGAACUUCGUGGUGCUUUCAGAUCUGUUUUGGGAAGUAAGGAUAUUUGGAAGCGCAUGUAUUUUAUAACACGAACAGAUAUCCAGCCGAGUUGGCUAUCCUGCGUUCGAGUCCCAGGCCACCCAAUUUUUGCGUGUGGUAUUCUAAAUUUAUUCCUACGCACUACACUUCGCCCGCAGCCACACUUAGGCGAGGAUUCAGGCUCUAGCCUAGUGGACAACGCCACUCUUUGCAACCCAGGCGACCAGGGGAUCGAAUCCCUGGGAGCCCUUUUAUUUUUUUUCUUUGUUUCCAUCUUUUUGAGGGAGAAUAGAUCGCCCUAUGCACAUCAUAGUAACUCUUGACACUUUGGACCGUGCUCUGUUUCGGCCAUGUAGGUUUUUUUUGCGCCUCCGAUUUAUUUCCUUUUCACAAAAACGUUGAUUUUAAAAAGUACCGUAGAUUUUAAAUUGUGCAUCGGAUCGGAGCAAGCUGUAUAUGUAAAACAUGUAGAAUUUUUCGUAUGGUAAUAUUUUCUGACUCUCAUGCAUAAUUAGACUGUUUAGUGUGUUGUUUGCUUCGGUUUGCGUGUCGACGUGUUAAAAAACGGUUUAGGUCAUAACUAUUUGUCGGUAGCUCCCUUGGAGAUGUUCUUUAUGUGUAGAUUGCUUGAAAUGACGCAUAGAAUCACGUGAAGCUAUUUGUUUUUCUGUUUAACAACUAAUUAAUUGUGUUAGUUCAGAUCUGGACAGAAUUGUAAAUUAACAGGUGAGGUCAUUUCGGAGGUGCUAUAUGUCAUUUCCGACCUCAUUUAAAAUGCCUAGAUAGGUAGUUAAAUUACGCUACACCUCUUGCCAUGUGUAACCACAUUUAAUAUUGUCAUGUACCUAAUCGGGAUAGAACUAAAUAAAUAAACUUGGAGUUUCGUCAAUAUGUAACUCGUUGCAUAUUGAACUUCACUUAAUGUGUAGUGUUUGAUUGUGUGAAUUGUCUUGCCGUGUCUUGCAUAUAUUCAGCUGCUCAUGCAUCAUAUGUGUUGUGCAUCAUGUGGUGAAGUUCUUGUGUUGAUUCUUGUUUCCGGUUUCCUCCGUCUCGAUAGAGUUCCGCAAGCGUGUCGGAAAGUGAGGACCCGUUCGACUACGUCGGUUCGUCUGCUUCACGGAGGCAUUCUUCUUCCAAGCGGGAUCUCAGGCAAGAUGACCAUUUCCCUAGAUACCAUUACUAUCAUUGCCAUGCUAGUUUUAUCGCUUCUAUCGAUUAUGUCUCGUUGCCUACCACAUGUUAAAUAUCAGCCUCUCAACAAUGCCAUGAAAACCUUCAACCUGUUCAACCUAGCAAACCACGGAUUGGCUAUGUCACUGCUUGCUUAACCCUGUGUUAGCGUUGCUAGUUGCUAGUUGCAGGUGCAGUUGCUUCCAUGUGAUAACAUGGGUCCCUUGUCAUAUCACCAUAUUAAAUGCUAUUUAAUUUAAUGCACCUAUAUACUUGGUAAAAGGUGGAAGGCUCGGCCUUUCUAGCCUGGUGUUUUGUUCGACCUUUGCCCCCUUAGAUUCGGCUACCGGUGUUAUGUUCCAUAAUUGAGCGAUCCAAACACGAUCGGGGUUGUUAUGGGGACCCCCUUGAUAAUUCGUUUUAGAUUAAAGCUGGUCUGGCAAGGCCCAACAUUGGUGCUAUAUUUGCCCAACAUAAUAAUUCUGUUAAUCUGAAAUGCAUAUGGAGUUAGCGCUACCCGAGGAGUAAUUCUACAUAAACAGGGGGGCCAGUGCUGAUGGUGUUGGUCCCAAACGGACUGCCUGCGGGGCCACCGCGAGGAAACUCAAGGUUUGGCACCCGUAGCUAGUUCCAUCCGUCGUGUCCUGAGAACGAGAUACGCGACUCCUAUCGGGAUCGUCGACACGCCGGGCGGCCAUGCUGGAUUAGUUUUACCUUUGACGAGAUAUCUUGUGCAUCGGGAUUCCGGUGAUGCUUUGGGUAAUCUCAGAGUUGAGGUUUUCCACUAGGGAAUCCGACGAGAUCGCGAGCUUCGUGAUUGCGGAUUUCUAUGCGGCUUGUGGUAAUUUUUGAUGCACUAGUUGGAGCACCCCUGCAGGGUUAAAUCUUUCGGAAAGCCAUGCCCGCCGUUAUGUGGCAACAUGGAAACUUUGUUUAACACUGGAUCUAGAUAACUCGAAGUUAACUUAAUUAAAAUAUGCCAACUGUGUGCGUAACCGUGACUGUCUCUUUCGUGAGUUCUUUCUCCAAACGAGAACACGGUGGGGUUAUGUCUGACGUAGGUAGGUGUUCAGGAUCAUUCAUUUGAUCAUGAGUAGUACACGUCCGUUAUGCGUAGAUCUUCCCCCUCUUAUUUCUUGUACUCGUAAGUUAGCCACCAAAUAUAUGCUUAGUCGCUGCUGCAACCUCACCACUUAACCAUGCCUCACCCAUUAAGCUUUGCUCCUCUUGAUACCUUUGGAAAUGAGAUUGUUGAGUCCCGUGUGGCUCACAGAUUACUACAAGACCAGUUGCAGGUACAGGUAGAGGUUACUUGACGCGAGCGCGUUGAUUGUUCAUUUGGAGUUGCUUCUUCUUCUUCUUCUUCUUCAUCGAUCUAGGAUGGGUUCCAGGCCGGCAACCUGGGAUAGCAAGGAUGGACGUCGUUCUUCUUUUCUCGUUUGUUUUCGUCCGUAGUCGGACCCUGCUCUUACUCUUGAUGAUUAUGUAAUGUAGUGAUGUGACUCUGAUGUAGCUUGUGGCGAGUGUAAGCCAAUUCUUUAUAUAUAUCUCUUCUUUUCAGUACAUGUACUUGUAACGAUAUCCAUUCUUGGGACACGACGAGAUGCGCUUCUAUCCCUGACGAGGCCUUCGUGCCAAAUUGAGGAUCGGUUCGCAUCUUGGGCAUGUCAAGUUGGUAUUAGAGCAGUACCGACCUAGGAGCCCCCUUUAUUGAUCGAACUUGGCUGAGUCGAGUCUAGUGAAAAAAACUGCUUUGAGUCAAGUUAUAUAUUGGAGAGUAGGAUUCUUUUUUCUCCUCUUCUAUCCUCUGGUGAGGAAUCUUGAUGUAAUAAUUUAAUUCUACUCCUCUUCUCACUCAAAAAAAAUUUAGGAUCACGCGGAUAUUUUUGGAAUCUAUAUGAUGCAGAUGUGACGGAGUUUGGUCUUGGUGCCUCCUAUCUGCUUGAGUUUCAGGGGAGUUGAGCUCCACGGGAUUCUUGAGCACAUCGUUAUCAUUCAGAUUUCUUAGUAUCGCAGAAUGAAGGAUGUUCAGAAUUGCUUCAAUACUAGUAGUGGCGAGAUAACCCCGAUGUCCCCAGUACUGGUGCAGAUUGUUCGGGAGUUAUGCCAUACUUUGUAUCGUUGAGAUCACGAGGGUCUGUUGUAGAUGAACGUACGAGAUUCUGGUCGUGUGUUGACGGAUGUGAUACAGGUGACGAGUUAGUAUAGGAGUUGUGUGAUUACUACUCCUUGUAUCCGUGUACCAGAUUGCAUGACCAGAUAUUUCGGGAAUUCAUAGGUGGGAAUUCAAGUAGUUGCUUAUAGGACAAUCUUCCAACAAAUGCAUGAUGUUAGGUUGGGGUUCGACAUCUAGUGGAUUCGUUUGUUCACGAUCGACUUACUGCGGUACACGUUGUGUCUUAAAGAGUCCUUGUAGCUUGCUACGACCCGGGGACGCUUCGUAUGUCGGGUGCACUGCCUUGCACUUGAUGGCUACUGUAAAAUCGAGCCCGUGCGAUCCUGUCCACGAAAAUAUCGGACGAAAUCUUUCUCAUGAGUUUGUUCUAGCUAAUUGCAAGCUGCACACUUUGUUUUGUUGAAUGUGGUAAUUCAUGUUGCUUCAAUGUCAGGUGGUGACUUCAGAUCUUUCCUAAGUGGUGUUCUCAUAUUUUUAUGAGAGUACUAAUUCUUUUGCUAAAUCAAAUCGUCUUAUCAAUUCUUGUCAACCGGAGUCGUCAUGUUAAUUCUUUUCCAACCGGUGUGCUUCUCUUCUGGUGAAUUCAUUCCUCUCCAAUUGUUGCAAGAUCAUUCUCUCAUUUUAUUCCGGAGUUCAUUUCAUCUAGCCCAAGUUGUCUUUGUUUUUCCCCACCCUCUCGCCCUUUUUCUCAGUGAUUCAAUUUUCACCCAAGAGUUUUCAUUUCAUUGUUGCUUCAGCUAUCUUUUAUUCCGUGUCCUAUCCGGUGAUUCGUUGUGAAGAUUAUCAGGACCUUCGUGUUCAUCUUUAUUCAAUCGUGUUAUCUUUUCCGGUGAAUUUAAUUCAGUUGUCCGUGUCAUCAUAUCCUUUUCAUCCUUGUAAUUCUUUCCUAUGUUGGAAAUUUUUAUGAGUCUAUCUUCUUGUUGUCAUUUCUCUCUAUUUUAUCCGGAGCGUUGAAGUUAUCUCAGAAUUCUUGUUCUCAAUUCUUUAAUUAUUUCAAGGUGCUCAACCUUAUCAAGUUUUCAUUGUACCGGUGAAGUAUCUUUCUUUAUUAGUAAUUGUUUCAACGGUGAUUUCUUUGAGUGGGCCCAUAACCCACAGGUUUUUCCCAGGAUCUUAAAUGGCUCUUUAAUUUUUCCGGAGAUCUCUAUAUUCUUUUCAACUAUGACAUAAGUAUGAAUUUCAUCAGUCAUAUCCCUUCUUCAAGAUGAAUUUGAAUUAAUUCUCAUAUUUGGCUCAAUCUUGCAUUCUUCUUUAUUCCGGAGUGUCUCAGUUAUUCUUGGUGGUGUUCUCCUCAUCAUUCUCAGCUUGCAGUCUGAAGGAGUGUUUUCUCGAAUCUUGGUCCGUUCUCUUGAAGAUUUCAUUUCAUCUUGGUGUCGUCAUCUUAUUUGUUCCAAUCAUGAGUAUCCCUUUCUUGCUAUCCGGUGCAUUUCUGAGUUGUUUUUAUUUCUCGUUCCUCCGAAGACCAUCAUUUUAGAAGAUUCUUCGUUCUCGGCUUUCAGCUUUCAUCCUCAAUUCUUCUGAAUUGUUGUCUCUUCGUUCGUCUCUCAAUUAUUCUAGUGUCUUGUUUAAAUUUCUCUCUCAGGUGGAUCAUGAUCUCUUCAUUCUCAUGUAUCCCCAUUAAUUCUUGGUAUUUCCAUUCAAUUGUGAAUUCUUACCGGUGCUUCCUUCAAUUGUGCUUCAAGUGGUGCUUAUCUCUCUGUCUCUUCAAGAUUCUUUCAAGAAGAAUAAGUUGUAUGCUAAAUCCGUUGCUUGUCAUCAAUUUAAUUUGAUGAAGGAUGAGCAUAACAUAAUUCUUAUUCUUGUUCAUAGUAAUCUGAAUUCUUCUUCCAGAGUGGCUCACGGUAUCAAUUCCUUUUUCUCAAGUGUUCUUAUCUUUUCUUUUCCGGAGUUCCAAGUUUUCUCAAGUUUCUCUUUGUGAAGCUUCAUCUAAAUCAUUGCAACGUCAUAAUCUUAUUCUUUUCUACCUUCAUAUCUUUGCAUCAUUCAUUGGUAUACGGAGGUCCAUCAUGGUGGUUCAUCAAGGUCUCAAUUCAUUCUCAAGUGUUCUUCAAGAUUCUUGUUGGAGAACCUCAAGUAUCCUUUCUCUUGCAUUUAUAUGUGCAAUUGUUCUUCCUUUAUCCUUUGAGGUGGUAUUAUAGCGUUCUUGUUAGUGUAGGAGCCUCGAAGAGUUAUUCCUUCAAGAAUGAGAUAAUUAAACCCACCAAUUCUAUGAUCAUGAGAUAUUUUCAACCCCUGAUUUCUUCAUUGAGCUAUCUUGGUUCGGAUUUCACCUAAAGCUUUCCUAUGGAUUGUUGCUAUCAUGGUGCUUGUCAUUAAUCCAAGUUCUCAUUGUAUCCUCUUGGUGUAAGUAAUUGUUCAUAUCUUGCUUUCUCCCAAUCAAUCCUAGUUCUGUUAGUGCUGGUUGUCACUUCGUUAGUUUCAAAAGGUUUCCAUAAGCCCACUUUUAUCUUCUUAUUUUUGUUGUUGUUUGUCCAACAACUCCGUACAAUUCUUCUCGCAAGGAUGCUUGCCAAGUUCAUUGGAGUUAGUAGUUGUCAUUAUGUUCUUUGUUCUCUUCUUCCGUAUGAGCUAGUUCAUAUUCUAUUGUUCCGGAGGCUUUGUGAUAUUGCUCUUUUGGGUCAAUCUUGUUGUUAUAUCAAGAUCAUGGUGUUCCCUUGUUCUAUUUAGUUGUUUGAUAUGAAUAUUGUCUAUUUCUUCCAUCUUAUCAAAAAUUUUGUCUCAUUUUUCCUACUGAAGUGUUGCCGAAAUUUUCCGUGAAUUCUUGCUUCUUUCUCAUAUCAUUCCUCAUCUCCUUGCAACCUUCAAGGAUCGUUGGUUUCACUCGUUUGUCAAAGAAGCGACUAAGUUUUUACCUCUUGUUCUUUCUCAUCCUCUCCCCCUUUCAUUCUUGGAUCUCGGGGCGAGAUCCUCUUGUAGUGUAGGAGAGUUGUGACAGUCCAAGACCGACAUUCCAGAAGAUUCCCCUUCUAUUCCGUUUUCGUCGUGUGUUUAUUUUUAUUUGUCGCAUCAUCAUUGCAUCAUGCGCAUCAUCUGCAUUGCAUCGGCACCCCGUUGCCGCCAGUUUUCAAAACUUGCAUCCGUUGUUAGUUGCCGGUUCUCGUUGUUGUCCGUUCUGAGCCCGACCACACGCGCACGCGCCCACGUCAUCGUCUAAAUCUUGUUUUCAAAAGUGUGUUUAAAACUUUCUCUGAUUGGGUUGGAACUUGGCGUGCGGUCGUAAUUAGUUGUAGCUAGGCCGCCUGUCAAGUUUUGUCGCAAUCAGAGUCCGUCUGGUACCCGAACGGUCGACCGUAGCGGCACCGUAUUCGGUAUAUCGUCGGACAUUUUUCAGUAUUUUAAAUCUCGUUGCCGGGCUGCCCGUUUUCCCUCUCAUCUCCGCCUAGCCCCUCUGCACAGUGCACCGACCCUACAAAUAACCUAGUCUAAAAACCUCCCGGGACCCGAACCGGGCGGACGUGACCGUUGGAUCCGGAUCAACCCCGUUUUACCUUAAACCAUCACCGGUUUUACAAUUGGAUACUCUAACCUAUAUUUCUCGACCGUCCGAUCGAAUCGGAGGGUCCAGAUCAGCCCUAUCCAAACCCACCUACCUAUUUAAGCAGUCAAACCUAGAUCCUAGGCCGAAUGUCCCAUCCAUCCGUUGUCCGCCGCCACUGUCUUCAUCGGGAUCCGCUCCAGAUCCAAUCCCCCAACCAUUGAGCCCCUCGUGAUCCACUUGCAGCACCCCUGCGCCGGCCUCCCGCGCAUGAGCACGAGCUCGUCCCCGAGCUCGUCCCCGAGUCCCUCCGCUAGCUGCUAGAGCUAGCCACCGUGGAUGCCCGUGCAAGCACCGGACCGUCGCCGGCGAGCACCGCUGCCGAGCUUCGUCGGUCCAGCAGGGGAGCGUCGUGCCCUGCCCUCUCUCUAUCUUUCUUCUUCCCUACCCUCUCUUUCCUUCUUAUCUGAAACCUCCUGUGUGUCUUGUUUGCUUCAGGCAACAUCAACCGCCAGGGACGUCAACUCCGGCAGCCUCCCGUCCGCUCCGCCUCAUGCCAAACCACGCCGGUGAGAUCGAGUUCCCGCGUGUGCUCCUCCCUUGCGACCUCUCCUUCCCUAUCCUUCCUCCUCUAAUCCCACUCCCUCUUGCUCGUUUCUUUUUCUGUCAGAAGCAGAACGGAAACCCUCCGCCGCCUCCCAUGGAGCUCGCCGUCCGCGCCACCCAGAAGACCUUCAUCGUCCGGAAUGGAACCCCCGGUGUCGGAUCUAUGGAACCCCGCCGUUCCCGCGCCUCCGGGACCUCAUCCCCUGCCCAGACCGCCAUGGCUUCCCCGUCCCUGUUGUGAGCAAAUCCUUCCCGUAACUGAACUUCGUGGUGCUUUCAGAUCUGUUCUGGGAAGUAAGGAUAUUUCGAAGCGCAUGUAUUCUAUAACACGAACAGAUAUCCGGCCGAGUUGGCUAUCUCAGUAGUUCUGCACCUGCGAGAUCCUAGGUUCGAGUCCCAGGCCACCCAAUUUUUGUGUGUGGUAUUCUAAAUUUAUUCCUAUGCACUACACUUCGCCCGCAGCCACACUUAGGCCAGGAUUCAGGCUCUAGCCUAGUGGAUAACGCCACUCUUUCCAACCCAGGCGACCAGGCGAUCGAAUUCCUCGGAGCCCUUUUAUUUUUUUUCGUUGUUUCCAUCUUUUUGAGGGAGAAUAGAUCGCCCUAUGCACAUCAUAGUAACUCUGCAUACUUUGGACCGUGCUCUGUUUCGGCCAUGUAGUUUUUUUUACGCCUCCGAUUUAUUUCCUUUUCACAAAAACAUUGACUUUAAAAACUACCGUAGAUUUUAAAUUGGGCAUCAGAUCGGAGCAAGCUGUAUAUGUAAAACAUGUAGAAUUUUGCGUAUGGUAAUAUUUUCCAACUCUCAUGCAUAAUUAGACUGUUUAGUGUGUUGUUUGCAUCGGUUUGUGUGUCGACGUGUUAAAAAACGGUUUAGGUCGUAACUAUUUGUCCGUAGCUCCGUUGGAGAUGUUCUUUACGUGUAGAUUGCUUGAAAUGACGCGUAGAAUCACGUGAACAUAUUUGUUUUGCUGUUUAACAACUAAUUAAAUGUGAUAGUUCAGAUCUGGACAGAAUUGUAAAUUAACAGGUGAGGUCGUUUCGGAGCUGCUAUAUGUCAUUUCCGACCUCAUUUAAAAUGCCUAGAUAGUUAGUUAAAUUACGCUUCACCUCUUGCCAUGUGUAACCACAUAUAAUAUUGUAGUGUACCUAAUCGGGAUAGAAGUAAGUAAAUAAACGUGGAGUUUCGUCAAUAUGUAACUCGUUGCAUAUUGAACUUCACUUAAUGUGUAGUGUUUGAUUGUGUGAAUUGUCUUGCCGUGUCUUGCCUGUAUUCAGCUGCUCAUGCAUCAUAUGUGUUGUGCAUCGUGUGGUGAAGUUCUUGUGUUGAUUCUUGUUUCCGGUUUCCUCCGUCUCGAUAGAGUUCCGCAAGCGUGUCGGAAAGUGAGGACCCGUUCGACUACGUCGGUUCGUCUGCUUCACGGAGGCAUUCUUCUUCCAAGCGGGAUCUCAGGCAAGAUGACCAUUUCCCCAGAUACCAUUACUAUCAUUGACAUCCUAGUUUUAUCGCUUCUAUCGAUUAUGUCUCGUUGCCUACCACAUGUUAAAUAUCAGCCUCUCAACAAUGCCAUCAAAACCUUCAACAUGUUCAACCUAGCAAACCACUGAUUGGCUAUGUCACUGCUUGAUUAACCCUGUGUUAGCGUUGCUAGUUGCAGGUGCAGUUGCUUCCAUAUGAUAACAUGGGUCCCUUGUCAUAUCACCAUAUUAAAUUCUAUUUAAUUUAAUGCACCUAUAUACUUGGUAAAAGGUGGAAGGCUCAGCCUUUCUAGCCUGGUGUUUUGUUCCACCUUUGCCCCCUUAGAUUCGGCUACUGGUGUUAUGUUCCAUAAUUGAGCGCUCCUAACGCGAUCGGGGUUGUUAUGGGGACCCCCUUGAUAAUUCGUUUUAGAUUAAAGCUGGUCUGGCAAGGCCCAACAUUGGUUCUACAUUUUCCCUACAGAAUAAUUCUGUUAAUCUCAAAUGCAUAGGGAGUUAGCGCUACCCGAGGAGUAAUUCUACAUAACCAGGGGGGCCAGUGCUGAUGGUGUUGGUCCCAAACGGUCUGCGUGCGGGGCCACCGCAAGGAAACUCGAGGUUUGGCACACGUUGCUAGUUCCAUCCGUCGUGUCCUGAGAACGAGAUACGCGGCUCCUAUCGGGAUUGUCGACACGCCGGGCGGCCUUGCUGGAUUAGUUUUACCUUUGUAGAGAUAUCCUGUGCAUCGGGAUUCCGGUGAUGCUUUGGGUAAUCUUAGAGUUGAGGUUUUCCACUAGGGAAUCCGACGAGAUCGCGAGUUUCGUGAUUGAGGAUUUCUAUGCGGCUUGUGGUAAUUUGUGAUGGACUAGUUGGAGCACCCCUGCAGGGUUAAAUCUUUCGGAAAGCCAUGCCCGCGGUUAUGUGGCAAUGUAGAAACUUUGUUUAACACUAGAUCUAGAUAAUCGAAGUUAACUUAAUUAAAAUAUGCCAACUGUGUGCGUAACCGUGACUGUCUCUUUCGUGAGUUCUUUCUCCGAUCGAGAACAGGGUGGGGCUAUCUCUGACGUUGGUAGGUGUUCAGGAUCAUUCAUUUGAUCAUCAGUAGUUCACGUCCGUUAUGCGUAGAUCUUCCCCCUCUUAUUUCUUGUACUCGUAAGUUAGCCACCAAAUAUAUGCUUAGUCGCUGCUGCAACCUCACCACUUAAUCAUGCCUCACCCAUUAAGCUUUGCUACUCUUGAUACCUUUGGAAAUGAGAUUGCCGAGUCCCCUGUGGCUCACAGAUUACUACAACACCAGUUGCAGGUACAGGUAGAGGUUACUUGACGCGAGCGCGUUGAUAUUUCGUUUGGAGUUGCUUCUUCUUCUUCUUCUUCAUCGAUCUAGGAUGGGUUCCAGGCCGGCAGCCUGGGAUAGCAAGGAUGGACGUCGUUCUUCUUUUCUCGUUUGUUUCAUCCGUAGACCGACCCUGCUCUUACUCUUGAUGAUUAUGUAAUAUACUGAUGUGACUCUGAUGUAGCUUGUGGCAAGUGUAAGCCAAUUCUUUAUAUAUAUCUCUUCUUUUCAGUACAUGUACUUGUAACGAUAUCCAUUCUUGCGACACGACGAGAUGCGCUUCUAUCCCUGACGAGGCCUUCGUGCCAAAUUGAGGAUAGGGUCGCAUCUUGGGCGUGACACUUGCCGGGAGCCGUGCUGGUGCCGGCACCGAUAACCAUCACCUCCACGGCAUGGGAGACGGCAGCAACGUGGUAUGGGGUAAAGAACCCCACCGACGGCGGAGGGCCGUUGAAGACGAGGAUGUUGCUGGGAUAUACGUCAUGGACAGGUGUCUCAGUGAUAGAGAGCCUACUGAAGCUGGUGCAGAGCGCGUCAACGUCAAAGUCCUCGCCAAAGUAGCGCAGACCAUCGUUGAGACGUAGGUCGGUGAAGAGAAUGCUGAGGUUCUCCAUAGCAGCAACAAUGACGCUAGGAAGCGCCUCGUCAUCAGAAUCUUCGUCCGAAUCCGUAUGGCGGACGGGCACGUCGAUCAUCAUCGGUGUUGCCUCGUCGAAAGCGGGCUCCCCGGGCAUGUAAACUGAUCCGGAUGCGAUGCAUCCGGUGGUGUAGGUGCGGGGCCCCGCCCAGCGCGUAAAGCCAACCGAUGCCGCGAUCGGCCCCACGGUGGGCGCCAAAUGUGGGUGAAUACUCACAACAUAUGCCAUAUGUAGGAUAAAGUCAGUGAGAACCGAAGGGACAAAGGUGGGUGCUGGGAAUGAGGUUGGUACACGCAUGGAACGCACGAUGUACCCACGUUCAGGGUUCUCCAUAGAGAUAAUACCCCUAGUCCUGCCGGAGUGUUUGAUGUGUAUGAACAUAGUAAAGAGUUGCUCCUGGAGCUGUGUUGGGAGGAGGAAGAGGGGAUCAACCAGCUCGUCUCUGCCUCUCUCUCUCUGUGGUUGUUGAGUGUGUAGUGUUGUUCGACCGUGGAAUGAUCGGCCCCCUGCAUGGAGGGCGACCAGGGGGUUUUAUAGACAAACCCGCCGGCCUACAAUAUGGAUAAAGGGUACAAGUGUGUCACCCGGCUGGCAGCCUCGCCGGCUGGCUAGGGGCCCACUAGAGUCUUGUCUUGUCGCUUGAGGGGCCCGCCGGCUACAUGGUCUCUAUUGGCAGUGGGACCCUCCGGCUGGCCAAUGAAGCUCUCGCGUAAGGUUGAUGCCGAGCACGCGCUGUACGUCGAGCGUCGUCCAGCGAGAUUCGUCAUGGGCAGGUAGUACGGCCGCCUCCACUGUUCCCCACGCCGAGUGUAGUAAUGGAGUGGCAGUGCGACGGUCCGACACUAUGCUAGGUGAUGGAUCAGAGCCGGGGUAGGCCAGCAGCGUGGCCGCCGAUGCUCGUACCUGCCGGACGCCCCGAUCCAAUACCUUUGCUGACGUGUAGCUACCUUUAAUCGUAAGGUCUCGUCCUGACCUACGAUCUGAUGUGACUUGUGAUCCCCGGCCGGCUAGCCUGCUUGGCCAGCCGGCUUGGGUGCGGCCGCCUCAUUCCUAGCCGGCUGGCUGGACUAGGCCGUCUCAGAAGAGGUAACCGCCUUGACUCUAGUCAGCCGGGGUUGACUGGCCGGCCAGAGGGAUGGCCGCCUCGUCCUCUAGCCGGCAGGCGCAACCUAGCCGGCGAGAAUAUUUGGGCCUUUAGGAAACUGUAUAUGUUCAUGUCCUUUGGGCCGAAAAUGAAGGAGCAGGCUUGAUGAGCCUACCCCGGGGUUAUCCCCCCGACAAUACUCUACCCUCAAAAACUGUUGUGAUCCCCUAUACUUGUGGGUUAUCAAGACCUUUUUCGGGCGCCGUUGUCGGGGAGGCAUAGCUCUAUUCUCUGACUCACUUGGGAUUUACGUCUACUGAUCACUAUGAGGAAUCCGAAAGAUCCAAGAACUAAAGUCUUUCCCUCAACUACGAGGACAUGUAAGGAACUGCGAUCUAGCUCUACUCUUGAUUCACCUUCAGUUAUGAGUAAGUUUGCGACACCACCUCCUGCUAGAAAUUUUGAUAUGUCAUCUGUGCUUGAUGAUGCUACUUCUGCUAUCCAUGAUGCUUGUGAUGAUGCUUUGCUUGAUACUGCUUUGCCACUAGGUAAAUUCCUAGAUGCACAAAUUGCUAGAGUUCCUGCUAGAUGUGAUGAUACAUCUGAAACUGUUGAGAUUGUUGAAGUAAAACCUACUAUUUCACCUGUUAGAACUAGCUCUCCUAGAUAUGAAUUGUGUGAUAUGCCUGAGGGUUAUGUUAUGGAGGGAGAGAUAGCUGAGGACUUUCUUGCUUGUAAGGAUAGCUAUGAUGUUGAGAAAUUACUGCGCAAGUGGACAGAAAAAUCUCUGAACGCUAGAAUGAAAUACGACCCGAAGUUUGCUACUUCGCCUUCCUUUGUGACCGAUAAGGAUUAUGAAUUCUCUGCCGACCCUGAGUUAAUCACUUUGGUCGAAUCUGAUCCUUUUCACGGUUAUGAGUCUGAAACGGUUGUAGCCCAUCUUACCAAACUGCACGAUAUAGCCACCCUAUUCACGAGUGAGGAAAAGAUCCACCACUACUAUAUCCUUAAGCUGUUUCCUUUCUCGCUAAAGGAUGAUGCUGAAACUUGGUUCACUUCUCUUGCUCCUGGUUGUCUGCGUAGCCCCCAGGAUAUGAUCUACUACUUCUCUGAGAAAUAUUUUCCUGCCCAUAAGAAGCAAGUUGCCUUGCAAGAAUUAUACAACUUUGUGCAAGUUGAAGAAGAGAGUCUCCCACAAGCUUGGGGGAGGCUCGUCCAGCUACUGAAUGCUUUGCCUGAUCACCCUCUUGAGAAGAAUGAAAUACUUGAUAUCUUCUAUAAUGGACUAACCGAUGCUUCUAGAGACCACCUAGAUAGUUGUGCUCGUUGGGUUUUCAGGGAACGAACCGUAGAACAAGUUGAGAUCCUAUUGAAUAAUAUAUUGUGCAAUGAGAAUGCUUGGACUAUUCCCGAACGACUUCCGAAGCCAACUCUGAAGAAAAGAGGUAUUCUAUUCCUCAGUCCUGAAGAUAUGCAAGAAGCUAAGAAAUCUAUGAAAGAGAAAGGCAUUAAAUCUGAAGAUGUCAAAAAUCUACCACCUAUCGAAGAGAUCCAUGGUUUUGAUAACCCGAUACAGGUAGUAGAGGUAAAUUCUCUUUGUAGAUUCAAUGAGAGUGAUAUUCCUUUUGAUAAACCCGCUAGCUUAUACUGGAUGAAUUUGAUAACUUUGUUUCCAAACAACAAAGUUUCAAUGAUUAUGUUAGCAGACAAUUGGAAUAGAAUGCUCGUAUGCUUAGUCAUUUAAGUGCUUGUGUGGACAGAAACGUCAAUGAUCUUAAGCUCUUGAGUAAACAUGCCUCUAUGGUUACCACUCAAGUAGAACAAGUACUUAAGGCUCAGAAUAACUUGCUCAAUGAGUUGAAUGACAAUUCAGUCAGAGUCGUCACUAGAGGCGGUAGAAUGACCCAGGAACCUUUGUAUCUUGAGGGUCGUCCUAAGAGAAUAGAACAAGAUUCUCAAGGAGUUAGCACUGAUGCACCUAGUCAUCCUAGGAAGAAGAAGAAAGAUGAUAGGAACUUGCACGCUAGCAACCCUAUUGCUGCUACACCCGAGAAUCCAAACGACGUCUCUGUUUCUGAUGCCGAAACACAAUCUGGCGAUGAACAUGAGCCUAAUGAUAAUAUCAAUAGUGAUGUUCAUGAUGAUGCUCAACCUAGCAACGAUAGGGAUGUGGAGAUUGAACCUGUUGAUCUUGAUAACCCACAGCCUAAGAAUAAGAGAUAUGAUAAGAACGACAUCGCUGCUAGGAAGCAUGGUAAAGAAAGGGAACCAUGGGUUCAGAAACCCAUGCCCUUUCCUCCCAAACCAUCCAAGAAAUAAGAUAUUGUGACUAAUAAGAGAAGGAUACCUGAGGUUGAGAUUUCCACCAUGCUUGCUAAUUACACCUUCAAGGGUGGAACUCCUAAGAAACUAGGUGAUCCCGGAGUGCCCACUAUACCUUGCUCCAUUAAAGGAAACUACGUUAGAACUGCUUUAUGCGACCUUGGAGCCGGUGUUAGUGUUAUGCCUCUCUCUAUUUAUCGUAGACUUGAACUGGACAAGUUGACACCCACUGAAAUCUCUCUGCAAAUGGGCGACAAAUCAACUGCUUUGCCUAUCGGCAUUUGCGAGGAUGUAGCUGUUGUGGUUGCUAAUGUCACUAUCUUAACAGACUUUGUUAUUCUGGAUAUUCCCGAGGAUGAUGCCAUGGCAGUCAUCCUUGGAAGACCCUUUUUAAACACUGCAAGGGCUGUUAUUGAUUGCAACAAAGGCAAUGUCACUUUCCAUGUCAAUGGUAAUGAGCAUACGGUGCACUUUCGAAGAAACAAUAUCGAGUACAUCGCAUCAAUGCUAUUGAAAAAACUUCAUCGAUUCUUAUUGGGAGCUUUGAAUGCCCUAUACCUACUAUUAAGAUGAAGUAUGAUUUGCUUGUUGGGGAUAUGCACAUCCCCAUUGAGGUAACAUUGUGACUAUUCGAAAAUUCUCUGUUUUCUUUUGCGAUUCGAAAAAGUUUGUCAAGGAGACUUGAUCAACCUCAUUGACGGAUUUCUUUCGAUGACCAUGAGAUGGAUGAAUCGACGAGUCACAAACCUCUGUUCCAAGCUUUCUCCUUCGGUUGCUUAGAAGAAAAAUCAUAGAUUUAGCUUAGUUUUUCCUGUUUUCUCCUUUUAGGGUCCCGUAGAAAAAUACACCGAAAAUAAAAGUUCUCCGAAUGCCGUGAAAAUCAAGUAUGUUUUUUUCUGGAAUUUUUGAAAAAUUCUGAGACAUAGAGCUAGUUAGGUGGAUGCACCAGUGGGCCACAUGCCCUGGAGGCACGGGCACCCCUCCGGCCGCGCCUACCAGGCUUGUGGGGCCCACGUGUACCCCCUCCACUUAUUCUAGCUCCCAUCUGCUUCUCCUACCUCUAGAAAAAAUCGUUUCGCAGCUCAAACCCGUGUUCUUGCUCUUCUUGCUGCGAUUUUCGAUCUCCUUGUGUAAAGCCCCAUUCACCAAACUGUUUUGGGGAAAUUGCUCCUUGGUAUGUGACUCCUUGAUACGUCUCCAACGUAUCUAUAAUUUUUGAUGGUUCCAUGCUAUUAUCUUGUCAAACUUUGGAUGUUUUGUAUGCCUUUUAUAUCUUUUCUAGGACUAACUUAUUAACUUAGUGCCAAGUGUCAGUUCCUAUUUUUUUCCGUGUUUUUGACCCUUUUCAGAGGAGGAUUUUAAAAGGUGUCCAAACGGCAUAAAACUUCCGAAAAGAUUUUUUUCCGGAACAGAAGAUACAUGCCAGACUUGAGAACCAAGGCAGGGGCCAGCAGGGGACCCCACAAGCCCCCUAGGCGCGGCCAGGGGGCGCGCCUAGCAGGCUUGUGGGCCCCCUGUGGCUCGUCUGCCCUACCUCUUCCGCCUAUAAAUUCAGAAAAAUUGCAAAACUGCGCGAGAGAUCCACGAAUAUACUUUUCCGCCGCCGCAAGCUUCUGUCUCCGCAAGAUCCCAUCUGGGGCAUGUUCUGGUGCCCUACCGUACGGGGGAUUCAUAUACGGAGGGCUUCUUCAUCAACACCAUGACCUCUGCGAUGAUGCAUGAGUAGUUCACCAUAGACCUUCGGGUCCAUAACUAGUAGCUAGAUGGCUUCUUCUCUCUCUUUGAUCUUCAAUACAAAGUUCUCCAUGAUCUUCAUGGAGAUCUAUUCGAUGUAAUCUUCUUUUGCGGUGUGUUUGUCGAGAUCCGAUGAAUUGUGGAUUGAUGAUCAGAUUACCUAUGAAUCUUAUUUGAGUUUCUUCUGAUCUCUUAUAUACAUGAUUUCAUAUCCCUAUAAUUCUCUUCGAGUUGUGGGUUUUGUUUGGCCAACUUGAUCUAUGAUUCUUGCAAUGGCAGAAGUGCUUGGUGUUGGGUUCAUAACGUGCGGUGACCUCACCCAGUGAUAGAAGGGGUAGCGAGGCACGCAUCAUGUUGUUGCCAUCAAGGGUAAAAGACGGGGUUUUCAUCAUUGGUUUGAGUUUAUCGCUCUACAUCAUGUCAUCUUGCUUAAGGCAUUACUCUGUUUGUCAUGAACUCAAUACACUAGAUGCAUGCUGGAUAACGGUCGAUGUGUGGAGUAAUAGUAGUAGAUGCAGAAAGUAUAGUUCUACUUAUCUCGUAUGUGAUGCCUAUAUGUAUGAUCAUUGCCUUAGAUAUCAUCAUGACUUUGCGUGGUUCUAUCAAUUGCUCGACAGUAAUUUGUUCACCCACCGUAUUAUUUGCUAUUUUGAGAGAAGCCUCAGGUGAACACUAUGGCCCCCGGGUCUACUUCAAACCAUAUUUUCAGCCUUACAAUUUUACUUCAUUGCACUUUCCGCCUUCAGAUCUCACUUUGCUAUCAAUCUUGAAGGGGUUGACAAUCCCUUUAUAGCGUUGGGUGCAAGCUCUUUUAUGUUUGCGCAGGUACUCUGGACUUGACAUGAUUCUCCUACUGGAUUGAUACCUUGGUUCUCAAACUAAGGGAAAUACUUACUGCUCCUGUGCUGCAUCGCCCUUUCCUCUUCAAGGGAAAAACCAACGCAAGCUCAAGAGACGACAGAAGGAUUUCUAUCGCCGUAGCACUCCUCCAUUGCUCCAAUUAGUUUUUGCUCUAGUGCCCUAUACGUCGCGUAUUUUUGCUGCCUUGGUGACCAUGUUCUUGAGCUUUGCAUGCUAAUUUUAGCUGGUCCCAAGUAGUUUUAAAGCAUGAUAUGGCCUUUAGGCACUUGUCGGAGUAGUUGCUAUGAGUUUCGUUGAGCCUUGUUCAAUUUUCCUUAGAGUCACUAAAAAUUUUAGAAAUUUUCAGAGAUAGAAAAAGGAAAAGAUGAGGAGGUUCUUAAGAGGUUCUUCAAGGCGUGACCCCAAGGAUGAUGAAAGUGAGAUGAAGAAACCCAAGUAUCCGGUCCCCCGAGUUGCAGAAGUGCGAGCGUGCGAGUGGCCAAGCAAUGUGUUCUUACACGCCGCCGGACUUUAUGAGGACUUUUACUACUUGGUGGAGAACGCAGGCCUUACUGCCUUCGUUGAAGAUAAGUGUCCGCAAUACCACCUCCUCACUAAUAUUUUCAUGCAAAGCUUUAAUUUCUAUCCAAGGAAGAGUCCUCCUAUGGUUGAGUUCAAAUUAUAUGAUAUCCCCCAGCGCAUGUCACUUAAGGAUUUUUGCAAUGUUUGCGAAUUACCUUAUGUUGGGGAUAUUCAUGAACCUCGUCCAUGGGACUUGGAGGCUUUCAUAGACACUAUCGCUGUAGGAGAGGAGAGAGGAGUGUCUUGCUCUAGAGCUGCUAGCAUACAUUUCCCGUGCUUCGGUACUUCUCAUUAUUCGUGGGAAAAUGUUUGAUUAGCCGUGGGAAAGCUGGGGCCCUUAGCUCCCCAGAUCUUGCGGUUUUGCGCGAAGCCCUUUAUAAUGAUAAAACUUAUAGCUUGGGUGCUAUAGUAGCUCAACUUGAACACGAACCGUUCUAAAGGCGUUGUUUAUGGAGGUAUCUAUGAUACUCGUCUUGCUAGACAUUUUGAGAUACCUAUUAGACUGGACGACGAAGAUGAGAUUCUUCUUCCUGAGAGAUAUCUAGAUUAUGAUAGCAUGGUUCGCCAUGACUUUCUUGAUAAAGAUAUAAAUAAGAGGAUGAUUUAUAACCUGGUAUUUAGUCAGGGUACUCGUGAGACUAUUACCUUGCCUGCUCCUUCUUUGUUCAAUCUUCAUCUAGGAAGGUACAUUAUUAUGCCCACGGACAUCUACGCAUAUUGGGGCAUAGCNNNNNNNNNNNNNNNNNNNNNNNNNNNNNNNNNNNNNNNNNNNNNNNNNNNNNNNNNNNNNNNNNNNNNNNNNNNNNNNNNNNNNNNNNNNNNNNNNNNNNNNNNNNNNNNNNNNNNNNNNNNNNNNNNNNNNNNNNNNNNNNNNNNNNNNNNNNNNNNNNNNNNNNNNNNNNNNNNNNNNNNNNNNNNNNNNNNNNNNNNNNNNNNNNNNNNNNNNNNNNGCAUAGCCCAACCACAGGCACCCAUGCCCGAGCUACCAGUGGAGUACCAGACGCCAGUUUAUCAGUGGGAGCCAGAGGAGCUCACACAGCAGUGGCACCCUCGGUCCACUCCGGAGUACCCCGGAGACUGUUACUUCCCACCUUGGGAGUAGACCAACUUAGGCCAAAAGCCUAAGCUUGGGGGAGUACGUGUUUCUCACCGACUUUUUAUUCUUGCUUACACUUUCACUUUGUUAGUCGGUGUUCACACUUUGCCACUGUAUCAUCCAUGCUAGUUUAUUUCUUUUUCUCGCUUUCUUCUCGUAUGUUUGUCUAGUUUGAGAAAACCCAAAAAUAUUUUCCGUUCUUCUUUUGCUUGCUGGGAGCUUUCCCGUGUAAAUAGUUUUCUUUUUCUUUGGGUCAAGNNNNNNNNNNNNNNNNNNNNNNNNNNNNNNNNNNNNNNNNNNNNNNNNNNNNNNNNNNNNNNNNNNNNNNNNNNNNNNNNNNNNNNNNNNNNNNNNNNNNNNNNNNNNNNNNNNNNNNNNNNNNNNNNNNNNNNNNNNNNNNNNNNNNNNNNNNNNNNNNNNNNNNNNNNNNNNNNNNNNNNNNNNNNNNNNNNNNNNNNNNNNNNNNNNNNNNNNNNNNNNNNNNNNNNNNNNNNNNNNNNNNNNNNNNNNNNNNNNNNNNNCUUGACCCAAAGAAAAAGUAAACUAUUUACACGGGAAAGCUCCCAACAAGCAAAAAGGAAGAAAAGAAAAUAUUUUUUGGGUUUUUCUCAAUCUAGACAAACACAUGAAAAGAAAACGAGAAAAGAAAAUAAACUAGCAUGGAUGUUAAAGUGGCAAAGUGUGAACACCGACUAACAAAGUGAAAGUGUAAGCAAGAAUAUAAAGUCGGUGAGAAACACGUACUCCCCCAAGCUUAGGCUUUUGGCCUAAGUUGGUCUACUCCCAAGGAGGGAAAUAACCAGCUUCGGGUUACUCCGGAGUGUACUGAGGGUGCCACUGCUGGGUGAGCUCCUCUGCCUCGCACUGAUAAAAUGGCGUAUGGUACUCGUCUGGCAGCUCGGGCACGAGCACCUGUGGUUGGGCUAUGCNNNNNNNNNNNNNNNNNNNNNNNNNNNNNNNNNNNNNNNNNNNNNNNNNNNNNNNNNNNNNNNNNNNNNNNNNNNNNNNNNNNNNNNNNNNNNNNNNNNNNNNNNNNNNNNNNNNNNNNNNNNNNNNNNNNNNNNNNNNNNNNNNNNNNNNNNNNNNNNNNNNNNNNNNNNNNNNNNNNNNNNNNNNNNNNNNNNNNNNNNNNNNNNNNNNNNNNNNNNNNNNNNNNNNNNNNNNGCUAUGCCCCAAUAUGCGCCAAUAGCACAUGUGGUUGGGCUAUGUCCGAGGGCGUAAUAAUGUACCUGUCAGUAUGAAGAUUGAAGAAAGAAGGAGCACGCAAAGUAAUAGUCUCACGAGUACCCUGACUAAAUACCAGGUUAUAAAUCAUCCUUCUAUUUAUAUGUCUACAACGAAAGUCAUGGCGAACCCUGCUAUCAUAAUCUAGAUCUCUCUCGGGAAGAAGAAUCUCUUCUUCCUCGUCUAGUCUAAUAGGUAUCUCAAAAUGUCUAGCAAGACGAGUAGCAUAGAUACCUCCAUAGACAACGCCUUUAGAACGGUUCGUGUUCAACCGUUGAGCUACUAUAGCGCCCAAGCUAUAAGUUUUAUCAUUAUAAAGGGCUUCGCGCAAGACCGCAAGAUCUGGGGAGCUAAGGGACCCAGCUUUCCCAUGGCCAAUUAAACAUUUGCCCACGAAUAAUGAGAAGUACCGAAGCACGGGAAAAUGUAUGCUAGCAGCUCUAGCGCAAGACACUCCUGUGACAGCCCGAGACCGACGCUCCAGAAGAUUCCCCCUUUAUUUCGUUCUCGUCGUGUGGUUAUUUUAAUUUGUUGCCUCAUCAUUGCAUCAUGCGCAUCAUCAACAUUGCAUCGGCAUCCCGUUGCUGCCUAUUUUCAAAAACUUGCGUCCGUUAUUAGUUGCCGGUUCUCUCCGUGUUCGUCGUUGCCCGUUCUGAGUCCUACCACACACGCACACGACCGCGGCUAUGUUUAAAUCUUGUUUUCAAAAGUGUGCGUAAAACUUUCUCUGUUCGGGGUGAAACUUGGCAUGCGGUCGUGAUUAGUUAUAGGUAGGCUGUCUGUCGAAUUUCGUCGCGAUCGGAGUCCGUCUGGUACCCGAACGGUCGACCAUGGCGGCACCGUAUUCGUUCUACCGUCAAACGUUUGUCGGUGUUUUAAAAUAUGUUGCCGGGCCGCCUAUUUUCCCUCUCAUCUCCGCCUAGCCCCUCUGCACAGUGCACCGACCUUAUGCGCAGCCUAGUCCGAAAACCUCCCGAAACCCGAACCGGGCGGUCGUGACCGUUGGGUCCGGAUCAACCCCGUUUGACCGCAAACCGUCUUCGGUUUGUCUAGUGGACUUCCUAACCUAUUUAUCUCGACCACUCGAUCUAAAUCGGAGGGUCGAGAUGAACCUACAACUAGCAUGCUAUCUAUAUAAUUGGACCCUAGACUAUCCACCCAAAAACCAGUAUCUAGGGAUCCAUCCCCUAGCCCCUCCUUGUUUUCCCCACCAGGCCAACCAGCAGCGAGAGCCCGAGGCAAACGCUGUAGCCAGCUACCCGAGUGCCUCCCCAAGCCAGCCAGCUGCCCGUGCCUUCAGCGCCGCCCCCUGCCACCAGCCAGCGCCGCGCUUGCCUCCUCCCCGCGAUCUGGAUCAGGGAUCCAGAUCGGGAGCCAUUCACCACGCCGACCGAGGCUGCGUUUGCCUCGCCUUCGCUCGCCAGCUUCUACGCAGCGCCGCUAGGCCGGCUCAGAUCCAGCGCCACCUCCUGGCUCGUCUCGUGCGGGAUCGCACGAGGAGACGAGCCCCGCCUCGCCCCGCGUUGACCAGGCCGCAUCGCCAACGCCAGCAGCCGCGUUGGCCAGGUGGGCCGCGCCAGCACGCCUCGGCCUGGUCCGCCUCGUCCGGCCUGCCUCCUCCUGCUCGGCCCAGGCCCAGCUAGCUGCCUCCAGGCCGCCUCCUCUCAUGGGCUAGGCCCAAGGUGAGCGCCCCUCUGCCCCUGUAUCCAGCGCAUGUGCACGUUUUAGUAUCUUGCGCUUAUCAGUUUUGCCCCGAUUAGAAUUUAGGGAUUUUCUGCGACUUAAUAAUUUCACGAAAUUAGGAUAUUUUCCUAUGCCCAUAGAUUUUAAACCGUGUAUCGGAUCGCGACGUAUUGAAUAUGUAACUUGUGUAGAAUUCCGCGUAGAUUUCGAAUUUCUAACUUGCAUAAUUAUUUGAGGCAGUUUAAAGUGCCUAAUGCAUCAUUUUGCGUGUUGUUUUAAUAGGACACGUCCCGUAUUUAAUUUUUGCGCAAGUCCGGAUUGCUCGUAUGCCGUAGUAGAAAUGCCCAUGUUUUAGGAACUAAGUUUCCAUGUAUUUUAGAGCGGUCAUUGGUAUUUUUACGUGUAGGGAUUGCCGGUAGCUUAUUUCCCCGUGUAUAGGUUAUUUUCUCGCAUUUUCGUGUGGCAUUAUUUUGGUGUUGCAACCCCACAUAUUUUAUAUGUUUUUAGAAUUUUUGUGCAAUUCGUUUUAGCAUUAGAGCAAAUUAGUUCGCGCGAUAUUUUUCCAUGUUGCCCUCUUGUCUUUUUGUAGGAUUUAUUCCGUGCUUCGUUUGACGGAGUUGUCAACUAGAGAGUUGAUCUUGGGUGUUUAGACUAGCCCCUGUAUUUUUGGUUGCAAUAGAAAUGCAUGUUUAGGUGUGAUUUGCUUGCUCUCAAGUUGCUAGAAAUAGUGCUGAUUUGGAGGAGCUGAAAUAUGUCUAAGUCUGGAAUCUGUUAUAAUUUAUUGCUGUUUUGUUUUGCUUCUAGCUUUUAAUCUGUAGCUCUUUUGAGGUUGGUCCAAUGGAGUUAGUUGUACCCCUUGUGUUUCUCUAGCAUGCUGUAAAUUUUCAUGCCAUUUGGAGUCCUGUAGCUAUAGGUUUUGCUUCUGUCAAUAUGGCUUCAGAUCGAAAACUGCACUUUCAUUAGGUGUAAUUUUCACUAAGUCUGAAAUAGUGUGUGAGAUGCCAUUUUGUGUCUUCUUUCCCUAGUGAUCAUGAUUCCAUGCUAGUUGUUGUUAGUUGUUUGUAGUAGUGCUUCUUGCCCUCUUCCGUGCCAUGCCUUGCUUGAGCAUAUCGGAGUAGUGUAGCCCGUAGUUGUAGGGCGUAGAAAAUGUUAUGUCGCUGAUUUUGGCAGAUUGUAGUGAUUUCUUGUUUUGCUCGUAGUUUUUGAACCGUAGCUCCGUUUUGAUCGUGUCCUACAUAAAACUUGCUUAGGAUCUCGUGUAAUUUCAUUUUCUCUUGCUGGUUCUAUGUUUUGAAGUGCUCGUGACCGCCGUUGCACACAUAUUGCAUUCAUGCCAUCAUAUCUUGCGGUGCUUGUAAUUUCUGACCCGUAGCUCCGUUGGAGAUGUUCUUUAUGUGUAGAUUGCUUGUCUUGACGCGUAGAAUCACGUGAACCUAUUUGUUUUUCUGUUUAACAACCAAUUAAAUGUGUUAGUUCAGAUCUGGACAGAAUUGUAAAUUAACAUGUGAGGUCGUUUCGGAGGUGUUAUAUGACAUUUCCGACCUCAUUUAAAAUGCCUAGAUAAGUAGUUUAAUUACGCUUCACCUCUUGCCAUGUUUAAUCACAUUUAAUAUUGCCGAGUAUCUAAUCGGGAUAGAACUGAAUAAUUAACGUGGAGUUCCGUCAAUAUGCAACUCGUUAUAUAUUGAACUUCACUUAACGUAUUGUGUUUGAUUGUGUGAAUUGUCAUGCCGUGACUUGCAUGUAUUCAUCUGCUCAUGCAUCAUAUGUGUUGUGCAUCAUGUGGUGAAUAUCGUGUGUUGAUUCUUGUUUCCGGGUUCCUUUGUCUCGAUAGAGUUCCGCAAGCGUGUCGGAUUGUGAGGACCCGUUCGACUACGUCGGUUCGUCUGCUUCACGGAGGCAUUCUUCUUCCAAGUGGGAUCUCAGGCAAGAUGACCAUUUCCCCAGAUACCAUUACUAUCAUUGCCAUGCUAGUAUUACUGUUUCUAUCGAUGAUGUCUCGUUGCCUACCACAUGUUAAAUAUCAGCCUCUCAACAAUGCCAUGAAAACCUUCAACAUGUUCAACCUAGCAAACCACUGAUUGGCUAUGUUACCGCUUGCUUAACCCUGUUGAUAGCGUUGUUAGUUGUAGGUGCAGAUGCUUCCAUGUGAUAACAUGGGUUCCUUGUCUUAUCACCAUAUUAAUGCUAUUUAAUUUAAUGCACCUAUAUACUUGGUAAAAGGUGGAAGGCUCGGCCUUUCUAGCCUGGUGUUUUGUUCCACCUUUGCCCCCUUAGUUUCGGCUACCGGUGUUAUGUUCCAUAAUUGAGCGCUCCUAACACGAUCAGGGUUGUUAUGGGGACCCCCUUGAUAAUUCGUUUUAGAUUAAAGCCGAUAUCACAAGGCCCAACGUUGGUUCUACAUUUGCCCAACAUAAUAAUUUUGAUAAAUUGAAAUGCAUAGGGAGUUAGCGCUACCCGCGCAGUAAUUUUACAUAAACAGGGGGGGCCAGUGUUGAUGGUGUUGGUCCCAAAAGGACAGACUGCGGGGCCACCACGGGGCAACUCGAGGUUUGGCACCUGUAGGAUUUUCCAUCCGUCGUGUCCUAAGAACGAGAUACGCGGCUCCUAUCGGGUUCGUCGACACGUCGGGCGACCUUGCUGGAUUAGUAUUACCUUCGACGAGAUAUCUUCUGCAUCGGGAUUCCGGUGAUGCUUUGGGUAAUCUCGGAGUUGAGGUUUUCCACUAGGGAACCUGACGAGAUCGCGAGCUUCGUGAUUGAGGAUUUCUUUGCGGCUUGUGGUAAUUUGUGAUGGACUAGUUGGAGCACCCCUGCAGGGUUAAAUCUUUUCGAAAAGCCGUGCCCGUGGUUAUGUGGCAACGUGGAAACUUUUUUUAACACUGGUACUAGAUAACUUGAAGUUAACUUAAUUAAAACAUGCCAACUGUGUGUGUAACCGUGACUGUCUCUUUCGUGAGAUCUUACUCCGAUCAAGGACACGGAGGGGUUAUGUCUGACGUAGGUAGGUGUUCAGGAUCAUUCAUUUGAUCAGCAGUAGUUCAUGUCCGUUAUGUGUAGAUCCUCCCCAUCUUACUUCUUGUACUCGUAAGUUAGCCACCAAAUAUAUGCUUAGCUGCUGCUGCAACCUCACCACUUAACCAUGCCUCACCCAUUAAGCUUUGCUAGUCUUGAUACCUUUGGAAAUGAGAUUGUUGAGUCCCCUGUGGCCCACAGAUUACUACAACACCAGUUGCAGGUACAUGUAAAGGUUAUUUGAAGCGAGCGCGUUGAUUGUUCAUUUGGAGUUGCUUCUUCUUCUUCUUCUUCAUCGAUCUAGGAUGGGUUCCAGGCCGGCAGCCUGGGAUAGCAAGGAUGGACGUCGUUCUUCUUUUGUCGUUUGUUUUCGUUCGUAGUCGGACCCUGCUCUUACUCUUGAUGAUUAUGUAAUGUACUGAUGUGACUCUGGUGUAGCUUGUGGCGAGUGUAAGCCAAUUCUAUUAUAUAACUCUUCUUCUCAGUACAUGUACUUGUAACGAUAUACAUUCUUGCUACACGACGAGAUGCGCUUCUAUCCCUGACGAGGCCCCGUGCCAAAUUGAGGAUAGGGUCGCAUCUUGGGCGUCACAAGUUGGUACCAGAGCAGUACCGACCUAGGAGCCCCCUUGAUUGAUCGAACUUGGUCGAGUCGAGUCUAGUAAAAAAAGCUUUGAGUCUAGUUAUAUAUCGGAGAGUAGGAUUCUUUUUUCUCCUCUUCUUUGCUCUGGUGAGGAUUCUUGACGUAAUAUUUUAAUUCUACUUGUCUUCUAACUCAAAAUUUUUUAGGAUCACGCGGAUAUUUUGGGAAUCUAUAUGAUGCCGAUGUCACGGAGUUCUGUCUUGGUGCCUCCUAUCUGCUUUAAGUUUUAGGAGAGUUGAGCUCCAGGGGAUUCUUGAGCACAUCGUUAUCAUUUAGAUUUCUUAGUAUCUCAGAACGAAGGAUGUUCGUAAUUGCUUCAAUACUAGUAGUGGCGAGAUAACCCCGAUGUCCCCAGUACUAGUGCAGAUUGUUCGGGAGUACUGCCAUACUUUGUAUCGUUGUGAUCACGAGGGUCUGUUGUAGAUGAAGGUCCGAGAUUCUGGUCGUGUGUUGACGGAUGUGAUACAGGUGACGGGUUAGUAUUGGAGUUGUGUGUUAUUACUCCUUGUAUCCGUGUACCAGGUUGCAUGACCAGAAAUUUUGGGAAUUCAUAGGUGGGAAUUCAAGUAGUUGCUUAUAGGACAGUCUUCCAACAAAUGCAUGAUGUUAGGUUGGGGUUCGUCAUCUAGUGGAUUCGUUUGUUCACGGUCGACUUACAGCGGUACAUGUUGUGUCUUAAAGAGUCCUUGUAGCUUGCUACGACUCGGGGACGCUUCGUAUGUCGGGUGCACUGCAUUGCACUUGAUGGCUACUGUAAAAUCGAGUCUGUGCGAUCCUGUCCACGAAAAUAUCGAACAAAAUGUUUCUCAUGAGUUUGUUCUGGCUAAUUGCAAGCCGCACCUUUGUUUUUGUUGGAAUAUGGUAAUUUGUGUGCUUCGAUGUCAAGUGGUGAUUUCAGAACUUUUCUAAGAGGUGUUCUCAUAUUUUUUAUGAGAGUAUUAAUUCUUUUGCUCUAUCAAUUGUCUUAUCAAUUCCUUUUAAACCGGAGUCAUCGUAUCAAUUCCAUUCAACCGGUGUGCUUCUCUUCAACUGAAUUCAAUCUUAUCUUAUUUCGUAAGAUCAUUCUCUCAUUUUAUUCCGGAGUUCAUCUCAUCUGUCCCAAAUUCUCUUUGUUUUUCCUCGCCCUCCCGCCCUUUUUCUUCAGUGAUUGGAUUUCAUCCAAGUGCAUUUCAUUCCAGUGAUGCUUCCGCUAUCUCGUCUUCCUUUCUUAGCCGUUGGUUCAUUGUGAAGAUUCUUAGGAGCUUCAUGUUCAUCUUUAUUCAGUCUUGUUAUCUUUUCCGGUGAAAUAAAUGCAGUUAUCCGUGUUCAUCACAUUCUUGUCAUCCUUUAAAUUCUUUCCUGUGUGGGUAAUUCUCAUCAAUCUUCUUAUUGUCAUUUCUCUCUAUUCUAUCCGGAGCGUUGAAAUUGUUUCAGAAUUCUUGUUCUCAAUUCUUUAGUUAUUUCGAGGUGCUCAACCUCAUCUAGUUUUCGUUUGUACCGAUGCAAUAUCUCCCAUUCUAAUAAUCUUUUCAACGGUGGUUUCUUUGAGUGGGCCCAUAACCCACAGGUUAUUUCCCAGGAUCUUUGCUGGCGCUUUUAAUCUUUUCCAGAGAUCUCUAAUUAUUUUCAACUAUGACGUAAGUAUGAAUUUCAUUAGUCAUAUUCCUUAUCCAAGGCCUAUUUGAAUUAAUUCUCAUAUUUGGCUGAACCUUUCAUUCUUCAUGAUUCCGGAGUGUCUCGGUAUUCUUGGUGUUGUUCUCAUCAUAAUUCUCAGCUUGCAAUCCGAAGGAGUGUUUUUCUCGAAUCUUGGUUCAUUCUCUUGCAGAUUCAUCAUUUCAGCUUGGUGGCAUUAUCUGGAAUUGUUUCUAUCGUGAGUAUCCCUUUCGUGCUAUCCGGUGCUUUUCUGAGUUGUUUUUUCAUUCUCGAUCCUCCGAAGGCCAUCAUUUUAGAAGAUUCUUCAUUCUCAGCUUUCAACUUUCAUCCUCGAUUCUUCUCAAUUGUUGUCUCUUCGUUCGUCUCUCGAUUAUUCCGGUGCCUUAUUCAAGUUUUCUGUUAGGUGGCUCAUGAUCUCUUCAUUCUCUUGUAUCUCCACUAAUUCGUGGUGUUCCCAUUUAUUUGUGAAUUCUUACCGGUGUCUCCUUCAAGACUUCUUCUAGUUUGUGCUCAUAUAUCUCCUCAAUCAUUUCUAGAAUAAUAAGUUGUAUGCUAGAUCCGUUGCUUGUCAUCAAUUUAAUUUGAUGAAGGAUGAGCAUAACAUAAUUCUUAUUAUUGACCUUCCUUCUUCCAAGAGAUUUCAAUUCUUCUUCCGAAGUGACUCAUGAUAUCAAUUCUUUUCUCAAGUGCCUAUAUUUCUUUUCCGGAGUUCCAAGUCUUUCAGUAUCUCUUUGUGAGACUUCAUCUAAAUCCUGGCAAGGUCAUAAUCUUAUUCUUUUCUACCUUCAUAUCGUUGCAUCAUCCUUUUGGAUACGGAGGCUCGUCAUGGUGGUUCUUCAAGGAUGUGAUUCAUUCUCAAGUGUUCUUCAAGAUUCUUGUUGGAGAAGCUCAACUAUCCUUUCUCUUGCAUUUAUAUGUGCAAUUUUUCUUUCUUUAUCCUUUGAGGUGGUAUUAUAGUAUUCUUGUUAGUGUAGGAGCCUCGAAGAGAUAUCCUUUCAAGAAUGAGAUAAUUAAACCCACCAAUCCUUUGAUCAUGAGACUACUCUUAACCCAUGACUUCUUUAUUGAGCUAUCUUGGUUUGGAUUUCACCUAAAGCUUUUCCUAUGGAUUGUUGCUAUCAUGGUGCUUGUCAUUAAUCCAAGUUCUCAAUGUAUCCUCUUGGUGUAAGAAAUUGUUCAUAUCUUGUUUCUCCCAAUCAAUCCCUGUUUCUGUUAGUGGCUGGUUGUCACUUCAUUAGUUUGAAAAGGUUUCCAUAAGCCCACUACUAUCUUGUUCUUUUCGUUGUUGUUUUUCCAACAACUCCGUUCAAUUCUUCUUGCAAGGAUGCUUGCCAAGUUCAUUGGAGUUAGUAGUUGUCAUUCUUUUCUUCUUUCUCUUCUUCCGUAUGAGCUAGUUCCUAUUCUCUUGUUCCGGGGGCAUUGUGGUGUUGCUCUUUGGGACUAUUAGGUUGUUCUACCAACAUCAUGGUGUUCCCUUGUUCUAUUUACUUGUUUGUUGUGAACAUUGUCUAAUUCUACCUUCUUAUCGAUUUUUUUCCAUUUUCCUACCGAAGUGCUGCCGAAAUUUUCCGUGAAUUCUUGCUUCUUUCUCUUUUCAUUCCUCAUCGCCUUGCAACUUUCAAGGAUCAUUGGUUUCACUCGUUUGUCAAAGAAGUGACUAAGUUUUUACCUCUUCUUCUUUCUCAUCCGCUCCCCCUUUCAUUCUUGGAUCUCAGGGCGAGAUCCUCUUGUAGUGUAGGAGAGUUGCGACAGCCCGAGACCGACGCUCCAGAAGAUUCCCCCUUUAUUCCGUUCUCGUCGUGUGGUUAUUUUAAUUUGUUGCAUCACCAUCGCAUCAUGCGCAUCAUCAACAUUGCAUCGGCAUCCCGUUGCCGCCUGUUUUCAAAAACUUGCGUCCGUUAUUAGUUGCCGGUUCUCUCCGUGUUCGUCGUUGCCCGUUCUGAGUCCUACCACACACGCACGCGACCGCGGCUAUGUUUAAAUCUUGUUUUAAAAAGUGUGCGUAAAACUUUCUCUGUUAGGGGUGAAACUUGGCAUGCGGUCGAGAUUAGGUAUAGGUAGGCUGCCUGUCGAAUUUCGUCGCGAUCGGAGUCCGUGUGGUACCCGAACGGUCGACCGUGACGGCACCGUAUUCGGUCUACCAUCAAACGUUUGUCGGUGUUUUAAAGUACAUUGCCGGGCCGCCUGUUUUCCCUCUCAUCUCCGUGUAGCCCCUCUGCACAGUGCACCGACCUUACGCGCAGCCUAGUCCGAAAACCUCCCGAAACCCGAACCGAGCGGUCGUGACCGUUGGGUCCGGAUCAACCCCAUUUGACCGCAAACGGUCUUCGGUUUGUCUAGUGGAAUUCCUAACCUAUUUCUCUCGACCACUCGAUCUAAAUCGGAGGGUCGAGAUGAACCUACAAAUAGCAUGCUAGCUAUAUAAUUGGACCAUAGACUAUCCACCCAAAAACCAGUAUCUAGGGAUCCAUCCCCUAGCCCCACCUUGUUUUCCCCACCAGCCAACCAGCAGCUAGAGCCCGAGACGAACCUUGUAGCCAGCUGCCCGAGUGCCUCCCCAAGCCAGCCAGCUGCCCGUGCCUUCAGCGCCGCCCCCUGCCGCCAGUCAGCGCCGCGCUUGCCUCCUCCCCGCGAUCUGGAUCAGGGAUCCAGAUCGGGAGCCAUUCACCGCGCCGCCCGAGGCUGCGCUUGCCUCGCCUCCGCUCCCCAACUUCUGCGCAGCGCCGCUAGGCCGGCUCAGAUCCAGCGGCCCUCCUGGCUCGUCUCGUGCGGGAUCGCACAAGGAGACGAGCCCCGCCUCGCUCCGCGUUGACCAGGCCGCAUCGCCAGGGCUAGCAGACGCGUUGACCAGGUGGGCCGCGCCAGCACGCCUCGGCCUGGUCUGCCUCGUCCGCCUCGUCCGGCCUGCCUCGUCCUGCCUCGGCCCAGGCCUAGCUAGCCGCCUCAAGGCCGCCUCCUCUCAUGGGCUAGGCCCAAGGGGAGCGCCCCUCUACCCCUCUAUCCAGCGCAUGUGCACGUUUUAGUAUCUUGCGCUUAUCAGUUUUGGCCCGAUUAGAAUUUAGGGAUUUUCUGCGACUUAAUAAUUUCAGGAAAUUAGGAUAUUUUCCGAUGCCUGUAGAUUUUAAACCGUGUAUCGGAUCGCGACGUAUUGAAUGCAUAACUUGUGUAGAAUUCCACGUAUAUUUCAAAUUUCUAACUUGCAUAAUUAUUUGAGGUAGUUUGAAGUGCCUAAUGCAUUGUUUUACGUGCUGUUUUAAUAGGACACGUCCCGUAUUAAUUUUUGCGCAAGUCUGGAUUGCUCAUAUGCCGUAGUAGAAAUGCCCAUGUUUUAGGAACUAAGUUUCCAUGUAUUUUAGAGCAGUCAUUGGUAUUUUUACAUGUAGGGAUUCCCGGUAGCUUAUUUUCCCGUGUAUAGGUUAUUUUCUCGCAUUUUCGCGUGGCAUCAUUUUAGUGUUGCAACCCCACAUAUUUUAUAUGUUUUCGGGGUAGAAAAUUCAAGGGAUUUUUCUGUGCAAUUAGUUUUAGCAUUAGAGCAAAUUAGUUCGCGCGAUAUUUUGCCAUGUUGCCUUCUUGUCUUUUUCGUAGGAUUUAUUCCGUGCUUCGUUUGACGGAGUUGUCAACUAGAGAGUUGAUCUUGGGUGUUUAGACUAGCCCCUAGUAUUUUUGGUUGCAAUAGAAAUGCAUGUUUAGGUGUGAGUUGCUUGCUAUCAAGUUGCUAGAAAUAGUGCUGAUUUGGAGGAGCUGAAAUAUUUCCAAGUCUGGAAUCUGUUAUAAUUUGUUGUUGUUCUGUUUUGCUUCUAGCUUUUGAUCUGUAGCUCUUUUGAUGUUGGUCCAAUGGAGGUAGUUGUACCCCUUGUUUUUCUCUAGCAUGCUGUAAAUUUUCAUGCCAUUUGGAGUCCUGUAGCUAUAGGUUUUGCUGCUGUCAAUAUGGCUUCAGAUCAAAAACUGCACUUUCAUUAGGUGUAAUUUUCACUAAGUCUGAAAUAGUGUGUGAGAUGCCAUUUUGUGUCUUCUUUCCCUAGUGAUCCAUGAUGCCAUGCUAGUUGUUGUUAGUUGUUUGUACUAGUGCUUCUUGCCCUCUUCCGUGCCAUGCCUUGCUUGAGCAUAUCGGACUAGUGUAGCCCGUAGUUGUAGGGCGUAGAAAAUGCUAUGUGGCUGAUUUUGGCAGAUUGUAGUGAUUUCUUGUUUUGCUCGUAGUUUUUGAACCGUAGCUCCGUUUUGAUCGUGUCCUACAUGAAACUUGCUUAGGAUAUCGUGUAGUUUCAUUUUCUCUUGCUGAUUGUAUGUUUUGAAGUGCUUGUGACCGCCGUUGCACACAUAUUGCAUUCAUGCCAUCAUAUCUUGCGGUGCUUGUAAUUUCUGACCCGUAGCUCUGUUGGAGAUGUUCUUUAUGUGUAGAUUGCUUGUCUUGACGCGUAGAAUCACGUGAACCUAUUUGUUUUGCUGUUUAACAACCAACUAAAUGUGUUGGUUCAGAUCUGGACAGAAUUGUAAAUUAAUAUGUGAGGUCGUUUCGGAGGUGCUAUAUGACAUUUCCGACCUCAUUUAAAAUACCUAGAUAAGUAGUUUAAUUACGCUUCACCUCUUGCCAUGUUUAAUCACAUUUUCUAUUGCCAAGUAUCUAAUCGGGAUAGAACUGAAUAAUUAACGUGGAGUUCCGUCAAUAUGCAACUCGUUGCAUAUUGAACUUCACUUAACGUAUUGUGUUUGAUUGUGUGAAUUGUCAUGCCGUGAAUUGCAUGUAUUCAUCUGCUCAUGCAUCAUAUGUGUUGUGCAUCAUGUGGUGAAUAUCGUGUGUUGAUUCUUGUUUCCGGGUUCCUUCGUCUCGAUAGAGUUCCGCAAGCGUGUCGGAUUGUGAGGACCUGUUCGACUACGUCGGUUCGUCUGCGUCACGGAGGCAUUCUUCUUCCAAGCGGGAUCUCAGGCAAGAUGACCAUUUCCCCAGAUACCAUUACUAUCAUUGCCAUGCUAGUAUUACCGUUUCUAUCGAUGGUGUCUUGUUGCCUACCACAUGUUAAAUAUCAGCCUCUCAACAAUGCCAUGAAAACCUUCAACCUGUUCAACCUAGCAAACCACUGAUUGGCUAUGUUACCGCUUGCUUAACCUUGUUGAUAGCGUUGCUAGUUGCAGGUGCAGAUGCUUCCAUGUGAUAACAUGGGUUCCUUGUCUUAUCACCAUAUUAAUGCUAUUUAAUUUAAUGCACCUAUAUACUUGGUAAAAGGUGGAAGGCUCGGCCUUUCUAGCCUGGUGUUUUGUUCCACCUUUGCCCCCUUAGUUUCGGCUACCGGUGCUAUGUUCCAUAAUUGAGCGCUCCUAACACGAUCGGGGUUGUUAUGGGGACCCCCUUGAUAAUUCGUUUUAGAUUAAAGCUGGUCUGGCAAGGCCCAAUUUUGGUUCUACAUUUGCCCAACAUAAUAAUUUUGAUAAAUUGAAAUGCAUAGGGAGUUAGCGCUACCCGAGGAGUAAUUGUACAUAAACAGGGGGGAAGUGCUGAUGGUGUUGGUCCCAAAAGGACAGACUGUGGGGCCAGCACGGGGCAACUCGAGGUUUGGCACCUGUAUGCUUAUCCAUCCGUCGUGUCUUGAGAACGAGAUAUGCGGCUCCUAUCGGGUUCGUCGACACGUCGGGCGGCCUUGCUGGAUUAGUUUUACCUUUGACGAGAUAGCUUGUGCAUCGGGAUUCCGGUGAUGCUUUGGGUAAUCUCGGAGUUGAGGUUUUCCACUAGGGAAUCUGACGAGAUCGCGAGCUUCAUGAUUGAUGAUUUGUAUGCGGCUUGUGGUAAUUUGUGAUGGACUAGUUGGAGCACCCCUGCAGGGUUAAAUCUUUUCGGAAAAACGUGGAAACUUUGUUUAACACCGGUACUAGAUAACUUGAAGUUAACUGAAUUAAAACAUGCCAACUGUGUGCGUAACCGUGACUGUCUCUUUCUUGAGUUCUUACUCCGAUCGAGGACAAGGAGGGGUUAUGUCUAACGUAGGUAGGUGUUCAGGAUCAUUCGUUUGAUCAAUAGUAGUUCACGUCCAUUAUGCGUAGAUCCUCCCCCUCUUACUUCUUGUACUCGUAAGUUAGCCACCAAAUAUAUGCUUAGCCGCUGCUGCAACCUCACCACUUAACCAUGCCUCACCCAUUAAGCUUUGCUAGUCUUGAUACCUUUGGAAAUGAGAUUGCUGAGUCCCCUGUGGCCCACAGAUUACUACAACACCAGUUGCAGGUACUGGUAAGGGUUAUUUGACGCGAGCGCGUUGAUUGUUCAUUUGGAGUUGCUUCUUCUUCUUCUUCUUCUUGAUCGAUCUAGGAUGGGUGCCAGGCAGGCAGCCUGGGAUAGCAAGGAUGGACGUCGUUCUUCUUUUGUCGUUUGUUCUCGUCCGUAGUCGGACCCUGCUCUUACUCUUGAUGAUUAUGUAAUGUACUGAUGUGACUCUGAUGUAGCUUGUGGCGAGUGUAAGCCAAUUCUAUUAUAUAACUCUUCUUUUUAGUACAUGUACUUGUAACGAUAUCCAUUCUUGCGACACGACGAGAUGCGCUUCUAUCCCUGACGAGGCCCCGAGCCAAAUUGAGCAUAGGGUCGCAUCUUGGGCGUGACAACUCCUCUCUCCUCUCCAUCAAUAGUAUUGAUGAAAGCCUCCAAGUCCCGUGGACGAGGUUCAUGAAUAUCCCCCACAUUAGGUAAUUUGCAAACAUUGCGAAAAUCCUGGAGUGACAUGCGCUCGGGGAUAUCAUAUAAUUUGAACUCAACCAUAGGAAGAUUCUUCCUCGGAUAGAAAUUAAAGCUUUGCACGAAAAUAUUAGUGAGGAGGAGGUAUUGCGGAAACUUAUCUUCAACAAAGGCUGUAAGGCUUGCGCUCUCCACGAAGUAGUAAAAGUCCUCAUUAAGUCCGGCGGUGCGUCAGAACACAUCGCUUGGCCACUCGCACGCUCGAACUUCUGCAACUCGGCGGAUCGGAUACUUGGGUUUCUUCUUCUCACUUUCAUCGUCCUUGGGGUCACGGCUUGAAGAGCCUCGUAAGAACCUCCUCAUAUUUUCCCUUUUCUAUCUCUGAAAAUUUCUGAAAUUUUUAGUGACUCUAAGAAAAGUGAACAAGGCCCAACGAAACUCGUAGCAACUACUCCCACAAGUGCCUAGAAGACAUAUCACGCAUCCAAACUACUUGGGACCAGCUAAAAUUAGCAUACAAAGCUCAAGGACAGGGUCACCAAGCCAGCAAAAAUACGCGACGAAUAAAGAACUAGAGCAAAAACUAAUUGGACCAAUGGAGGAGUCACAUACCAAGGAGCAAUUUCCCCAAAACAGCUUGGUGAAUGGUGCUUUUCACAAGGAGAUCGAAAAUCACAGCAAGAAGAGCAAGAACACGGGUUUGAGCCGCGAAACGAUUAUUUCUGGAGGUAGGAGAAACAGAUGGGAGCUAGAAUAAGUGGAGGGGGUACACGUGGGCCCCACAAGCCUGGUAGGCGCGGCCAGGGGGGUGCCCGCGCCUCCAGGGCUUGUGGCCCACUGGUGCAGCCCCCUAACUAGCUUUCCGUCUUAGUAUUUUUCAAAAAUUCCAGAAAAAAUCAUACUUGAUUUUCAUGGCAUUCGGAGAACAUUUAUUUUUGGGGUACUUUUCUACGGGACACAAAAACAGAAAACACGGAAAACUAAACUAAAUCUACCAUUCUUCUUCUAAGAAACCGAAGGUGAAAGCUUGGAACAGAGGUUUGUGACACCUCGAUUCAUCCUUCCCAUCGUCAUCGAAAGAAAUCCGUCUAUGAGUUUGAUCAAGUCUCCUUGAUAAACUUUUUUGAAUCCCAUAAAAAGGAACGGAGAAUUUUCGAAUAGUCACAAGGUUACCUCAAUGGGGAUGUGCAUCUCCCCAACAAGCAAAUCAUACUUCAUCUUUACAGUAGGUAUAGGGCAUUCAAAGCUCCCAAUAAGAAUCGAUGAACUUUUUUCGAUAGCAUUGAUGCAGUGUACUCGAUAUUGUUUCUUCGGAAAGUGCACCGUAUGCUCAAGACCGUUAGCAUAGAUAACAAAGUCUGUUAAGAUAGUGACAUUAGCAACCACAACAGGCACAUCCUCGCAAAUGCCAAUAGGGAAAGCAGUUGAUUUGUCGGCCAUUUGCAGAGAGAUUUCAGUGGGUGUCAACUUAUCCAAUUCCAGUCUACAAUAAAGAGAAAGACGCAUAACACUAACAUCGGCUCCAAGGUCGCAUAAAGAAGUUCAAACGUAGUUUCCUUUAAUGAAGCAAGGUAGAGUGGGCACUCCGGGAUCACCUAGUUUCUUAGGAGUUCCACCCUUGAAGGUAUAGUUAGCAAGCAUGUUGGAAAUCUCAACCUCAAGUAUCCUCCUCUUAUUAGUCACAAUAUCCUUCAUAUACUUAUCAUACGGAGACAUUUUGAGCAUAUCUGUCAAACGCAUUUGCAGAAAGAUAGGUCUAAUCAUUUCAACAAAUCACUCAAAAUCCUCAUCAUCCUUUUUCUUGGAUGGUUUCUGAGGAAAGGGCAUGGGUUUCUGAAUCCAUGGUUCCCUUUCUUUACCAUGCUUCCUAGCAGCGAAAUCCUUCUUAUCGUAUCUCUUAUUCUUAGGUUGUGGGCUAUUGCUACUUCUCAAACAACAGCGCCAGAAAUUGACACGUUGACGAAGAUUGGGCUUGCGUUGGUUUUUCCCUUGAAGAGGAAAGGGUGAUGCAGCACAGGAGCAGUAAGUAUUUCCCUCAGUUUGAGAACCAAGGUAUCAAUCCAGAAGGAGGGUCUCGUCAAGUCCAGAGUACCUACACAAACACAAACAAGCUUGCACCAAACGCUUCAAAGGGGUUGUCAAUCCCUUCAAGAUUGUUUGCAAAGUGAGAUCUGAAGGCGGAAAGUGCAACGAAGUAAAAAAAGUGUAAGGCUGAAAAGCUGGUGUGGAGUAGACCCUGGGGGCCAUAGUGUUCACUAGAGGCUUCUCUCAAAAUAGCAAGUAUUACGCUGGGUGAACAAAUUACUGUCGAGCAAUUUAUAGAACCGCCAAAGUCAUGACAAUAUCUAAAGCAAUGAUCUACCCUAUAGGCAUCACGUCCGAGAUAAGUAGACCGAUACUUUAUGCGUCUACUACUAUUACUCCACACAUCGACCGCUAUCCAGCAUGCAUCUAGUGUAUUGAGUUCAUGACAAAUAGAGUUACGCUUUAAGCAAGAUGACAUGAUGUAGAGGGAUAAUCUCAAACCAAUGAUGAAAACCCCAUCUUUUUACCCUGGAUGGCAACAACACGAUACGUGCCUCGCUACCCCUUUUGUCACUGGGUGAGGUCACCGCACGGUAUGAACCCAAAACCAAGCACUUCUCCCAUUGCAAGAAUCAUAGAUCUAGUUGUCCAGACAAAAAUUACAAGGAUAUGAAAUCAUGCAUAAGAGAGAUCAGAAGAAACUCAAAUAAGAUUCAUAGAUAAUCUGAUCAUAAAUCCACAAUUCAUCGGAUCUCGAUAAAAACACCGCAAAAGAAGAUUACAUCCGAUAGAUCUCCAUGAAGAUCAUGGAGAACUUUGUAUUGAAGAUCCAAGAGAGAGAAGAAGCCAUCUAGUUACUAGCUAUGGACCCGUAGGUCUAUGGUGAACUACUCACGCAUCAUCGGAGAGGUCAUGGUGUUGAUGGGAAGCCUUCCGUGUCCGAAUCCCCCUCUGGCAGGGCACCAGGACGUGCCCCAGAUGGGAUCUUGAGGAGAUAGAAGCUUGCGGCGGCGGAAAAGUGAUUAUCAUGCUCCCCUGAUUUUUUUGGGAAUAUUUGGGAAUAUAUAGGCGCAAGAUCUAGGUCAGGGGACCUCCAGGGGGCCCACAAGCCUGCAUGGGUCGGCCCCCCUCGCCGCGGGGUGGGGGCUUGUGGGGCCCCUAGGGCUCUUCUCGCUUGGCUCCCAAGUCCCCCGUUCUUCUUUUGUUCCACAAAAAAUCUUUUCGGGGAUUUUCUUCCGUUUGGACUCCGUUUCAAAAUCUCCUCUGAAAGGGGUCAAAAACAUGGAAAAACAGGAACUCGCACUUGGCACUGAAUUAAUAAGUUAGUCCCAGAAAAUAAAUAAAAGGCAUGCAAAACAUCCAAAGUUUGACAAGAUAAUAGCAUGAAACCAUCAAAAAUUAUAGAUACGUUGGAGACGUAUCAAACAUCCCCAAGCUUAACUCCUGCUCGUCCUCGAGUAGGGAAGUGAUAAAGAAUGAAUUUUUGAUGUGGAAUGCUACCUAGCAUUGUAACAUCCCAAAAUUAUAAAUUUUGGAAUGUUAAUAUAAUUAUUAGAUUAAUUGUUUGUUUGUUUGCUGAGUGACUGAAACUUGUGUGAAAUUUGAAACUUUUCGAAACUUUUGAAAGAUAGGGAAUAAAAUGACUUCCCCCUUCUACGGUGAAUUCAAAUUCAAGCUUUUAAAAGCCAAGAGAGAAGAUGACGUGACUUCUUCAAUUAUAAAGAAUUUGAACGGAGAUAUUUGCAUUGAAUUCUUUUGCAUUUCCAAUUCUUUUUCCCUGCACGAGUAAUGCCCGGAGAAAAAAACUCUCUUGCACGCGAGAGAGAGAGAGCGGUGGAGAAUGACCCUCCAAAUUGCGGGCAAAUUUCUGAAAUAUUUAAGUCAAGAAAACCCAAAGUUCUUUUGCAAUAAUAAUUGUAAAAAGAAAUAAAGCAAAUUUGGGAAUUUCUGAAAAAAACAUUUUUUUUCAAGUUUUUAUUUUUGCUUUAAAAAAAUGUUAUUUGGGUAGAGAUUCUUUUUCUGAUUUUUUUGAUAUAUAAUACCAUAUAUAGAUAUUUUGAUUUACUUUCCUUUUUUGGUUUUGAUUUUCCGUCUCGGAAAAAAAAAAUUAGAAAUAGGAAAGUCUUUUGUUUUUUUAGCAGCCGCCCUCGGAGCCUUAUAGAUCUUGGGCCGAGAUCCUGCCUAGGGAUCCCAAAUCCCUUAAAGCCGGCCACCCUCCCCAAUUUUCCCUCCUCCCUCCCACUUACCUGCGGGUCCCACCUGGCCGAGCCAAAUCUCCACGUCGGCCUCCUUUUUUCCUCCUUUCCUUAUUCCCUGCACGAGCCGAGCCCUCCCAGGAAACUCGGGAUUCCCUACCCCGAGUACUCCCUCUCCCUUCCAUAGCUCCCCUCUCCCUGGCCUAUAUAAGUGCCCGUCCACCGGCCCCGUUCCCAGCCCUCGCCGCCACUCCGCCCCCGAGCCCCAUCUUGCCCCCGAGCGCCUCCCCCCCGAGGAGGAGGAGUACUGCCCCGCCGCCGCCUCCCCAUUUCCGCCCCCCNNNNNNNNNNNNNNNNNNNNNNNNNNNNNNNNNNNNNNNNNNNNNNNNNNNNNNNNNNNNNNNNNNNNNNNNNNNNNNNNNNNNNNNNNNNNNNNNNNNNUCAACCUUCCGAACUGGAUGCCUCCGCCUCCUCCUCCUCCUCCGGCAAGGUAGGGCACUCCGCCUCCUCCUCCGGCGAGUGAUCAGGACACUCAGUCUCCUUCUCCUCCUCCACCUCCUCCUCCGGCGAGUGAUCAGGGCACUCAGUCUCCUUCCCCUCCUUCGCUUCCUCCUCCGGCGAGUGAUCAGGGCACUCAAUCUCCUUCUCCGGUGCGUGGCGCCACUCCGCCUGCGCCGGCGCGCCCGAGCAGCCAACCUCCUCCGUCUCUGCCUCGUCAACAAGGGCGGAAGAGACCCGCCGCCACUUCGGCUACUCCGGCGCGUCGUCCUUCUACUCCGCCUCGUAAGAAAGGAAAGACAGCCCGAGCCACUCCGUCUGCUCUGGCGUCUAGCAGUACAGCCAGAGGCAGGCAAUACAAAUACGGUCCUUCUCUGAAGACUCUAGAGAAGUUACCAUACGAGAGGAGCCAGGAGGAAAACGCGAAGAUCGUGCAAGCCGAAGUGAAAAACUUCUCUAAAGGGGUGAAAGCAAAGAAUCAUCCACCUCUGGAGGAGAAGAUAGAUCCAAUAAAAGUGAAGCGUACUUUGGCUGCCCUGAAGAAACCACCUUAAUCUUCAACAAAAGGCAACUAUGAGCGCAUUAUUGCAAAGUCAUUUAUCAAAGCGGAGCGGUUGGGAAGUACUGUCAGUGGUCAAAGGUUAGCAGAACGACGAGGUGGGAAAAAUGUUGCCCAGCUCGGCGAACAAGCGAACCAAUCGUUCCCUCCGCUCAAGGUGUCUAGCGAUAUCGUCGCUAAUCAUCCGGGGAUCUUGUUGCCCGAUACCAAUCCUGCAGAUUACGUGCCCGAUGAUGCACAUUUUGAUUUAUUGGAGGUGGACGAACACAAAUACGUGUACGGGAAGCCUUUCGUCAAAGAUGAAAGAUCUCUAACAACUAUGAUGCGAAGAUUCCAUGAUUGGUACAUGAAAACCUGCAAAGAGUUUGAGGGGAGUAAUAUUUUGACGCUGAGAGUUAGAGAGGAGCAUGACCUCGUAGGACUUGAACUGUUGAAUGUUCCUUUUGAGGAUUUCUUCCCGUUUUUCAAUCUCCUAGCCCUCGAUAAAUUAAUGAUCGCUUGCUACUGCCUGUAAGUAGUACUACUUCUGUCAUUAAGUCUCUAUAUAUAGGUCAGCUCUUUCAUUGCAUGUAUUUUUAAUUAUCCUCACUAUAUUUUAUGCAGAUUGAAGAUCGUCGAAUUGAAGAAAAGACAAAUCGGUGAUAUUGGGUUCAUUAACACAAAUCUCGUAGAUGCAUUUAUGAUUGAAGUUCAGGCCAAAGAUACCGAGGCCAACCUGCUACAAUCGUUUGAAUGGAAUCAAAACAAAGCUAUAAUACUCUUCCCUUACGAAUUCCAGUGAGUGUUACUGUCUUGUGCAUAUUCGGUUUCCCUUAUUAGUCAAGGUUAUAGUAAUGUAAUUGAUGAGUUAUGCAUGCGUGCGCAGCUUCCACUACAUUCUCCUAGAGAUUAAGCUUGAGCAGGGACUAGUAACCGUCUUAGACUCGAGACGAAAAGAUCCCAACGAGUAUGCGAACAUGACUGAAAUUCUAUAGAAGUAAGUUAAAUCGAUCAUUAUCGCACCAUAUCGAUAACUUUGUUCAUUUCCUGAUAUCAAGUAAUUGUUUUCUUUGUGUGGCAGGGUUUGGAAAAAAUUCACCUCAAAAACUCUGGGACUGCCGAAGAAGCUGCAAUUUAGACACCCCAAAGUAAGUACUAUAGUAGCAUGUUCCACGCAUCUCCUAGUGAUUCAAGCGCUAGUUUCAUCAAUACCAUUUAGCAUGCUUGCUAACUAUCAGUUUGAUUGACCUCUAUUUCUUGUAAAGUGGUUGUGGCAGGAACCAGGGAAUGAUUAUUGUGGAUACUACAUUUGCGAGUCCAUCCGCCACACGACCUGUGAGCGGGGCUACUCUGACAAACAAUAUGACGUGCGUAAAAAAUAAUAUUCACAAUUUUAUUUUAUUACCAUCAUUUGUGUUCAGUUUCAUUUAUUCAUAUAUAUGUAUUGACCCCCUUCUUCAAAUUAGAUAUUUCGGAUGCGGGAUGAACUCCUACCAGCAGAUCGUAUGCGAGGAAUUCAAGAGGAAUUGGUGGCAUUCUUUCUUGACCACGUGAUCGCUAAAGAUGGGGAAUACCAUGUGAACCCUAAUCAGUUGAAUUUUAAUUAGGAGAUUAUUUUGUAAGAGAUAAUUAUAUUGUAUAUAUGUAGCCAGUAGCAUCGGAUAGAUAUACGAGAACUUGUUGUUUGACCAAUCUCUCAGAGAAGGAGGUGGUCAAUAUCACUUCUCUCUGUAUGCAUAUGUUCAUGACGAUGUUCUCUUUCCUUCAUUUGCUUACUAGCUAGCAUGUCUAGUCCUCUCUAUACGUAUAGUAUGCAGCGUCGACCAAGCAUGGAGAUAAGAGAGGACACUUCUAUCUAUUCAUUAGCUAGCUAACACAAUAUAUGAAACACCUAAAUUAACCCCUCGAAACCCCCUAACCCCCCCCCUUUCAAAAAAACGAAAAACCCAGCACCUGAAAUGCUGACGCGUGGAUGCCUUUUGGUCCCGGUUGGUGUCACCAACCGGAAAUAAAGGCCCCCUGCCUCGCCUGGCCGCACAGGCCACGUGGAGGCCCAUCUGUCCCGGUUCAUAUAAGAACCGGGACUAAAGGCCAAGGGCAUUAGUAACGACCUUUUAGUCCCGGUUCCGAAACCGGGACAGAAGGCCCUUACGAACCAGGACAAAAGGCCCUUUUUCUACUAGUGAUGAUUAUGAAGUACUUGUUGUACUAGUAAAUUCUUGCGACUGUAAAGAGGAAAGCGUCAAGGAGCCACAAAGGCUAGAGCCUAGCCUUGGAGGCAUCUAUCAUGCUAAAAGGAGAUCUUGCAACCAUUUCCCGAGUGAAUGGACAUUGCGUCUUGAAAUGUAGAGAUAUCCUUAGCAUCCCAGUGAAUUUCAGACCCUUUCCAAGGGCGAUCAACGUUCAUCCACUCACACCAUUUCGAUUGUCCAUCCUGAAUGUGGAGACGAGGAAUGACAGAAUAGUAGAGAGAAAAAGUCAACAAGCCGAAGGCGAGCAUCGCUUGAAAGUAGCUACCCCUCCAACUUUGCAGUCGCGAAGCCAUAUUUUCCAAGGUUGGUCUUAGACCAACUUUCGUUAUUUUCUUGAUGUGUAAUGCCAAGCCAAGAUACUUGUAGGAAAAUUCCGGUACCAGAAUAGGGAUAUUAAGUAAAGAGCUUGCAGACCAUCUGGUCACAAGCAAUUGGAAAAAAUGACACUCUUCCUAGGUUAGCCAUAAGAGCAUCUCCAACACUAGCCCUAUAAUUGGAACUAAAAACUAAUUUUAGAGAACUCAAAAAAUUUAUGCUCCAACAACAACCCUAUAAUAGGACACCAUGGAUCCAACUGUUUCCCUAAAAUAGGCACCAAAACAUUGAAACUAAACUAAAUCAUUGCAAGUUCGAUCCAAACAUGCUAACACUGUAGUUUUAAACAUGCAAACUUAAGCAUCAUUCAGGGAUAAGCUUAAACAUAGUUCAACUACAAAAUUAGCAAAAUCAACUACUGCAAACUACGAACAAUUACAAAAGCCUACUCAACAUUGAUAUUUUCCCAGCAAUGUCAGAGCAUGACUCAUCAUCAUCCUCCUUCUUUACCUCGUCCUCAAACUCGAGCUCGAUCACCCCGAGGGGUCAACCUCGUCCUCCUUCAUCAUCUUGUUGUGUUGCUCUCUAUACUUGUACUUCUCUUGCAUGUGGUGUGGAUUUACCAUCGCAAAACCUCGCCAUAAUAUCCUCAUUGCUCUGACGGAUGUUGCACAACUCCUGGAACAUCUGAGUAUCACCUUUCCCAUGGUGUUCAUGAUCUUCAUGGGGGAUUGAUGAACUCUGCCAUCUCCCGAGUUUUGAUAACGGGGAAGUUCAAAUUCAUCUUUUCUCGACUGAAGACUCCAACAAGCUACAUUGAAGGCGCAUGCGACAUGCUCCGACGUGUCAAACUUCUCGAGCCAAUGGCGGUGACCACCGCACAUGACCUUAGUCACGUAGCGGCCAUAGCCCCAUGGUAGGAUGGCACAUAAGCCUAUUUUGCUCCUCGCCUUGCUACAGCAUGGUGGAUAUCAAACGGCAGGAGGUGUCAACAAUAGAGAGAUGACGGGCGGCGGUGGAUCUGCAACAGGGAAGUGCAACGGUAGCAGAUUUGGUGGUGUCGAGACGCAAGUAAUCGGAUUUGAUGGCCGCAGAGGUGGCGGACUCCGGGCUUAGUGUCGACGAAGACGUGGACCUAAACACACAACAAAUAACUUUGCUCCCAACGAGUACAGAGAGGUUGUCAAUCUCUCCGGCCUUGUAGUUUGCAAAGGAUCAAAACACAAGCGGGAAAAGUAAUAGUGUUUGCAACGAAAAAGUAAAUGAAAACGGUAAAUGGUGGAGGUGUAAACAAAGAUGGUCAUAUGGACUGGAGUCACAUGAUGUUCACUAGUGAUGUCUCUCUCCCAAAAGACGAUAAACAACUAUGCUUGGGUAAACAAAUCAAAGUUGGGAAAUUGACAGAAUUAUGAACGCACUGCAAUGCUAGAUAUGCUACUUGAUAGUUAGAGGUUCAAUAGUAAUGGGCAGUAUGCCAAGACAAGUAGACCUUUUAUUCAUCAACAUCUACUUACUAAUCAUCCACCUUGAGAUAUCUAUCCAGAACAUCUCGCCGUUAUUAAGUUGCGAGCCCCACCCAACGUGUAAACUCAAAGCAACGGACAACUGCAUUAACGAACUAUGCGUAAGGUAAACAAUCCUUGCAAUCGUGAUCACAAGCACCGUUGUUUUGUCCCUGUUGGCAACAACACAUCCCCUAGUCUCAUGUUUCUGUCACUCAAGCUAGACAUCGAGGGGCAUGAACCCACAAUCAUGCAUAAUGCUCCCUCUUGGAGUUGCAAUCUACUACUCGGCCAAAGCAAUAAUUAGCAACGGAGAACAUGCAUGAAUCACUAAGGAACAUAAUAUAUAAGGAUAAUCAAAUAUAUAACUCAUAACAAUCUGAACAUAAUCUCAUAAUCCAUCGGAUGCCAACAAAUCGAGCAUAGCAAUAGCAAGAGAAUUACAUAGAUGCCUUGAUCAUGUUGGGCAACUCACAAGGACUAACCAUUGAACACAAGAUUGGAGAGAAGACAUCACAUAGCUACUAGUCAUGGACCUAUGAUCCAGGGAGGACUACUCAUGGAACGUCCGGGAAGCGUCCAUGGCGGUGGAGAAGCUCCCAGAGGUCAAUCCUCCCUCCGACAAAGUGCCGAGAAUAGGUCUCGUGGUGCUCCCGAUCUCGGAAAUGCUGCGGCGACGGAACGACGGAGAAAUUCAUGAUUCUGGACGUGAUGGAAGGAUUUUCUCGCGGGGGAGUAAAUAUAGGCCAAAGGAGGACACCGGAGGAGGUGGGACCCACCUAGGCGGCCUCUUAGCGCGGCCUAUGGCCAGGCCGCACCCACAAGUCGCCUGGGAGGCCCAUCUUUGGUGAUCUGGAAGCUUCCAUUACGCUGAUUUUUUAUAUAUUUUUCUUGGAAUUGUUUGGACUUCGGAAAAUUGGGUAAAAGCCCCUCCAAAAUAGACAUCAGCAGAUAGAAACUGGUACUGGGUGCACUGAGUUAGUAGGUUAGUCCAAAUAUGUGUAAAAUGAUAUAAAAGUGUAGCAAAACAUAUAACAAUGUCACCCAAAAGAUCAUGGAACAAGCAGAAAUUAUAGAUACGUUGGGACAUAUCACACCCGUACUGACCGGACCACUCAUUUCCAACCAAAAUGUAGGUCGGAUAUAGGGAGGCCCAGGCAUGACCGGCCGCGUCCGUCUUGUUGGACUGACGGCCAGGUCCCACAGGGAAUUGCCCACUUUGUCUCACUGGCAGGCAUAUCUCUUGUCAGGGUGUGAGCGCCAUGUGGUGCCGCUCUGCCUCGCUGCCCGAGGCCAAUGCUCGCGUCUUCACCCUAGGGAGAACCUCUUCCUCCCUCUUUGUGUCGUCAUCCCAACCAUAUUUCUCUCUGUCUCCACCUCCCUUUCUCCUCGCCAUUCGACAUGGCUUGAAAAAAUAAGACCAUCUACACUAGGCUAACGCCAGACCGUCGAUUCUAGAUCGAGUAGGAGACCCAGGCGAAGCACGUCGCCGGCAUUGCAGUUGGCCUACCUUCGAAGGAGGAAGAGGAGCAGCAGCUGGAGCCAGGGCAAUAGUCGGUUCCAAUGGAGGAUCUGGAUAAUGAGGACGCGAGGGAGCCGGUGAAGGGGCUAGUGAUAACCCGCAAGUAUAGGGGAUCACAACAUUCUUCACGGGUAGUAUUACACCCUAAUUUAUUGAUUUGACACAAGGGGAGCCAAAGAAUAUUUAUUGGUCUUCGCAGUUGAGUUGUCAAUUCAACCACACCUAGAAUUUCUUUGUGUAGCAAAGUUUUAGUACUAAAGUAACAAGAUUAAUAGGAAUACUAAUAGUAGCAAUUAUGAUGGUUGUAAAAACAACAACAAUAGUAGCUUAGCAAAGAUCGAUAUGCGAAAAGCACAAACAUUGGAUCAGCCAUGGAUAGUUAUGUUGGAUGACAUUUAUCAUGUAGGAGUUACAUGCUGGAGCGACACAUAACUAGCUCCAAUUCAUCCAUGUAAUCUAGGCAUCUAUUCUGUAUAUUGGGAUACGUUCUUAUAGUAAAAACUUGCAUGGCAUCUUUUAAACUAUGCUCCCGUGGCAGCAGGGUCCAUAAGUAAAUCUAAGAGAUAUUAAGGCCUAUUUUUAAGAGAGAACUGGAACAAAGCAUUAACACAUGGUGAAUACAUGAACUCCUCGUACUACGAUCAUCGCCGGAGAUGAUCCCAACUAUUGUCACUUUGGGGUCUACGGAUCAUAAUACAUAACAUGUGCAUACAACUUGCAAUAUAGGAUCCAAAGCACCCUCAUAUUCCUGAAAACAUAAUAGGUUUAGAUCUGAAAUCAUGGCACCAGGGACCUAGUGACAACCAUUAAGCAUAUCAAUGUCAUAGCAACAUCAAUCUCAGAACAUAGUGGAUACUAGGGAUCAAGCCCUAUCAAAAAUAACUCGAUUACAUGAAAAAUCUCAUCCAAUACCAUCAUCAUAUACCAAGCAUAUGAAGGAAUUACUCACUCCCGGAGGUGAGCAUCACGAAAUUGUUGAUGGGGAAGGGUUGGUGAUGAAGACGAUGUCGAAUCCUCCUCUGAGUAGAUCCAAAUGUACUCCAGAUCCGCCCUCCCGAGGAAACCAUGAGGGGGGCAGCGGCUCCGUCUUGUAUAAUGUGAUAAAAUCUUCCCUCUGAUUUUUUCCACAAAAUGGAACUUAUAGCGUUGGAGUUAGGUCAGCUGGAGCCACGAGGGCCCCAAAAGCUUAGAGGGCGUACCCUAGGGUGCGCCCUCCAGGCUUGUGAAUCCUGGGUGGCCCCCUCUAGUGGAUUUUUACGCUAGUGUUUUUAUUAAAUCCGAAAUAAUUCUCCAUACAUUUUAGCUCACUCUGAGAACUUUUAUUUCUGGACAAAUACCACACCAUGGUAGUUAUGCAGAAAACAUCAUUAGUUCGGAUUAGUUUCAUUCAAAUCAUGUAAAUUAGAGUCCAAAAUAAGAGCAACGGUGUUUGGAAUAUAGAUACGUUUAGGACGUAUAAAUUCCCACAAGUUUAACUCAUUGCUUGUCCUCAAGCAAUUCAGUUGACAAACUCAAAGUGAUUAAGAAUUUUUUUACAAACUCUUAUGUUCUCCCGGUUCAAAAAAGAUCAUAACUAACCAUGUCGGUGAUAACACUUAUGCAUUAUAUUUAGUCAUGGCAAUAAUAUAACCAACUAGCAAGCAAUAAUAAAAUAUCUGAUAUGCCAAUAAUUUGUCAAAACAACCAUGAUAUAACAUGAUGAUAUGGUAUCUCGCUAGCCCUUUCCGAAACUACAGAACAUAAAUGCAGAGCACCGCUGAGGUUCAGGUAGCGACUAAAUAGUUUAGGCUAGAAAAGACCGAUUCAUGCUCACAUCCAACAUUAACUAGACUCAAUGCAUAAAAAUGACAAUACUGCUCUCAGGUUUGGUGCUCUGAUGAGAAGGUGAUGACUUGAUAAUAAAAUAAAUAGCAUGAAACUAAGUAGAAAGGACCUUCACAGAGGGAAGUAUUGAUUUGCAUAUGUGCGAGAGCUCAAGGUUUAAAACUGAGAUGAAAUUGUAAUUUUGGGUGGUAUGCUUUUCCUGUCAACAUCACAACUAGAGAUUUCAGCGUCUUCCAUGCUAAACACAUUAUUGGAGGUUCCCAAGAAUAAAUGUAAAGUUUACUCUUAUCGACCAUACAUAAAAAGCCAUGGCUAACUGAAUUCAUGCAUGCCCUCCAACAAUCAACUUUCUAGGGGAGUUUGUUUCAUUUAUUUUUGAAUAUGCAGGACUAGGCAUCAUUUUUACCACUCUCUUUCAUGCAAUCAUAUGCGAAUAAAUGCCAAUCUUGAGAAUAACCCGCUUAGCAUGGAAGAUACCAACCGCCCCGUCGCUCCAUGAGCGGUACGAGCACACAAAACACAUGUUUAUUUGAGUGAUUAGAGGUGGCACUUACAAAUUUACUUGGAAUGGUAGGUUAAUACCGCAUAUAGGUAGAAAUGUGGACUCAUUUGGAACAACUUGGUUUAAGGAUUUUGGAUACACAAGCAGUGUUCCCGCUUAGUACAGGUGAAGUAUAGCAAAUAGAUUGAUAAGCGACCCGCUAGAGAGCGAAAAUAGUCAUAGUAAUGCAUUGAGAAUAAUUAACACUGAAUGCUACCAUGAGUAGGAUAUGAACACUCUGAAUGUAAAUAUCAAGAAGGCUGAAUUGGUUUUGAAUCAUAUACAUGUCUGCGCAUGUGCCAAUUCAACCUACUCGAAUUACUCAGAGCAUUCCGUACUAACACACUACAUCAGAACCAUUUUAAUUCAUGCCGACACACAAGAUAAAUAAUUGUCCACUGCUAGAUAUUUAAGCAUGUCACGAGAAACUAUAAUCUCUAAUUAUCAUAAUAGUAAAUCCGUAAAUAGGAAUAUGGAAAAUUGCAUUUUUGGAAUUUGCAAUAAUGCGAUGGGCGAACGACGGGAAUUCAACCCGCGCAUGGUAGAUUCACAAUCCACUGCCUUGAUCCACAUGCUGAAUCGAGAUCGAAUGAGCUAAACAUAUUUACAAAAACGGAAAACAAAAAAGUUCGUACCAGUUUCCUUUACCACAAUCACUUCAUCAAAUCAUCCUCAUUAUUGCCUUUCACUUGCACGAUCGAAUGAUAUGAAAAUAUUAAUAGUGCACCAAUGUCGUGGACUAAGUUGGAAUUUGCAAAACAAUUUAUUCAAAGGAGUAGACAAGGAUAACAUUGGUUUUUUGUUAGAUGUAUACUAUUGCAUCGAAGAGCCGUUUAGCAAUUUUAGCAUAGUCUUCUCCUUGCAACGACUCAAAGAAAAGAAAAUAAAUAGAGAAACACACUGAAAUAGUUUUGGAUUUUUAGUUUUUUCGUAGAAAGCGAAAAGAAAAAAAUAAAAACAAGAACGAGAAAAAGUAUUUACGCGGGAAAACUCCCAACAAGCAAUAGAAGAAUAGGAAAUCUUUUUGGGUUCUUUUUAACACUAAAAAUUAGAAAAGUGAGAAAUAAAAACCAAAAAUAACCAAGAAAUAUUUUUUGGGUUUUUUGAAACGUAUUUUUGUAAACACACAAAAGGAAAGCGGAAAUGGAACUAAACAUGGACAUACAAUAAAAAGGAUGAACAAUGACAACUAGAAUGAAUGUGUGAUUCAUGAAUAUAAUGUCGAUGAUAAAUAUGUACUCCCCCAAGCUUAGAAUUUUGUCUUAACUUGGUCUGUGGUCACGGUUGGCCUGAAUAAAACUCCUAGAAGUAGUUGGGGUUGUAUUCCAUUGCUGCCACGAACGCUUGGUUAGCUGCCGCAUUCCGACGGGCGGACUCCUGUGCGGUCCUGUACCCCACAAGUUCCUCCUCAAGUAUGAAGUACCUUUGUUUUUUCCUAAAAGUUGAAAAAGGAAGGAGCAUGCAAGGUAAUAUGAUAGACAUCGCGCAUGUUAUAUGUAAAUUUGUAUCAGAAUGGUAUAUCUCCUCUCUUGAGCCUCUCUCGAGAAAUGGUGGCGCUCCACAUCAUUAUUGGACAGAGCUAGAUGUCGCCAAAAUGGUCUAAAGAAAAUGAGAAGGAAUUUAAGCUAGCUCGCUAUUGGACAGAGCUAGAUCGCCUUCAGAGGGUUCUCAGAAACAUCAUCAAUCACGAUGUAGCAAGAGAAGAGGGGAUGUUCAACUUGGUAGUUUCAAGUCAAGAAGAAUGAGAAAUGAGAAUGAAACAUCAAAGUAGGGAUAUAUAUGCUCCUUUGUAGUCUAGAAAAACGUCAAAAACAUUUGAAGGGUGUGAUGACACAAUGCCCGUUACCUUGUGAUCUCUAGUUUAUAUGUAUGUGUGUCAUAUGUUUAUAUAUUUAACUUUUGACAUUUUCUAUAUGUAUGUAUUUACUUUGUGAUCUUUUAUAUAUGUAUAUAUUUUGAAUAUUAUCGUGUGCUAAAAAUAACAGAUGGGACCACCAGAAGAAUUGUUCGAGGGGUCUCCAUGGUGGAUAGGGAGAAGUACUAUCUAUGGACGUUGGAAAAGUAUCGUGUAGACCACCUUUGGAAGACGAUGUUAGCUUGGGUUAGAAGCAUUCAGAUGGCUAAGUAUUCUAAUCCAGCGAUUGAGAAGAUAGCUGAGAGGCAGUUCAGUGACCUAGCAGUGUACAUCCUUGCGCAUCUGAUCCCGGAUGAUAUGUCGUGGAUCUAACCGGGUCUGAAUCCAACCACCAUACCCACGCUGGGCCAGGUAGUUCAAUGGGUUCUUCGAGAGGCGAAAUCUUCUAUUCCUGAUCAAGUGACCCAUUGGGCCCCGUUCGUUCCAUCAACUACUAAUUCUUCUAGUAUGUGUGGCUUCUACUAAUGCUCUACGUGUUGAAUAUCGACCAACACUCAUUUCACUCCUAAACAAGUCGUCAAACCAUUAAUUAUGUGAUGAACGACAUAUAUACUCUUAUUAUUGUAACUAGGGUUUGAGAUGAUAUGGUGCUCAUGAAGAUAAUGGUGAAUAUUGUUCUUCCCGCGAAGGAGGAAGCGUUGGUCAUAACGAUGGCUUCGAUCUCCCCCUCCUGGAGGGAAGUUUCCUCACAAUCUCUUUGCCGGAGAUUAAAAGGGCCUCUGCCUUGAUUUAUGCCUCGAGACGGAGGCGCUUCAUCCCAAAAGUAUCCCUAUGAUUUUUUUAGGGUAAAACACACCAUAUAGGAGAUGAGGAGGGCCGGGAGACCUGCUGGGAACCCACAAGCUAACAUGGCGUGCCUAGGGGGUGGGCGCGCCAUGUUGGCUUGUGGCCAGCCGAUGGCCCCCCUCUUGUAUAUUUUUUGCCCAAUAAUUCUUAUAUAUUCCAUUAAAUUAUCCGUGAAGUUUCAGGUCAUUUGGAGUCAUGUGAUUUUAGAGCCUUUUACUUGGUUUUCAAGUCCAAAAUUCCAAUUUCUAGUGAUUUCCCUCUUCAUAGAGAAAAGGAAUAAGAAUUGUAUCGUCAUGAGUAAUUAUGGACAAGUAUUACAUAGAUAUCAUUAAGAAUUCAUGAUGAAAAUUCAUGUCUCAUCGUUCCAUCCAUUUAUAAUAUAGUAAUGGAAAGAAAUGUGAAAUGCAUGGGAUUAUUUACUUGUAAAAAAAUGACAAGUGUGUGGGAUUGGCGAUUUACUGUUGAGAAAUAUCGAGUUUUAUUUUGGUGGAUUAUUGCGGAAAAAAUUGUCUAUCUUUUAGGAAGGUGAUCUCAUAUUUAUUAUGCUAAAUUCUUAAUUUCGUAAUAUCUACAAUAUUGAAUUGAAGAAUAUACAAGUCGGAUCACGCGAAUCAAUUCGGUUUCUAGUGGGAGAGUGACAAAUCAGCAUGUAGAGUGGUGGUGGGAGGUGAGGCAAAAAUUAACCGCUGAGGCAAAAAUAAACCGGAGUAGCGACCUAACAACACCCCCUUUUGGAGUAGAGAAGAGUACACACAUGGUUGAAAAACUUUGUACUAUUAAUUAUAUGUAUCUAUAAUUAAGUGUGAGAGUAACUAAUUAAUUGCAUUAAUAGCUCGAUUUCAUAAUUGAUUGGUCGUGGAAAAAACCCUAGUUAAAUGGAAUCAACUAAUUGCAUGCGUAAUUAAUUGCCUAGCUAAUUAAUUGCAUUUAUAUAUUAAUUUUGCAAAAUAUUUGGUGCUUGGUUUCUGAAUUGUUUUACAUUAAUGAGUGGGUGAGUACCAACCAACGAUGUAUGAACUCCCCAUUUAGAAGUAGAGAGUGUUAAAAAAAUGGCAAGUGUGCCGAAUUGGCGAUUUAUUAUUAAGAAAUAUCCUAUUUUAGUUUAAUAUAUUAUUGCGUAAAAAAUGUCUAUCUUAUAGGAAGGUGAUCUCAUAUAUAUUAUGCAAUUUCUUAAUUCUUAAUUACCAAAUAUCUAAUUGAAUUGAAUCAACAUCCACCAAAAGGGUAUACAAGUAGGCUCGGGCAAAUCGAUUCGGUCUUUAGUGGGAGGGUGAAAAAGCAGCAUGGAUGGAGGUGAUGGGAGGUGAGGCAAAAUUUAACCAGUGAGGCAAAAAUAAGCCGGAAUAUAGUCCUACCAAUUCCCCCUUUAGGAGUUAGAACAUAGAGACACAGCUGAAAAAACAUUCUACCGGUGAUUAUAUAUAUCCACAAUUAAGUGCGUAACUAAUUAAUUACUUGCAUUAGUAUCAAGAUUUCAUAAUUGAUUUGUUGUGGAAAAAUCCUUAGUUAAAUGGACUUAAUUAAUUGCACGCAUAAUUGAUUAUCUCACUAAUUAAUUGCAUUAAUAGAUUGAUUUCAAAUCGAUUCGAUGCUUUGUUUCGAAAUUAUUUUAGAUUUAGGACUGAAUGAGUAGCAACCAACCAUGUACAGACUCUCCCUUUAGAGUAGAAAUCUGUCAAAUCAUAUGUUAUUAAUUAGUAACACGAUACGAUCUCUUGUUAAAUAGGGAAAGGAUCAUGCCGAAAAUUAAUGGGCGGGUAUAAACCAAUCCUUCUCAAUAAUUGUUCAUAUUUUCCCUCUAUUUCCAUCAAUUAAUAGAAAAUAUAUUUAAAUUAUCAUUGAAGUCCAUUCCUCAAUAUAACAUGGUAGCCAUAUUAUUAUUUCUGCUACAACUCAGACAAAACAUCCUCAAUUCCCACCAUCAACGUCGCUGUUAGCCAAGAUGAGGACUGCCCUAAUGUGCGUGACUCUAAUGUUGCUCAUGCUACCAUCAUCAUCAGGUACUCGUUUGUUCCUAAAGUACCACAUGCUUUAACAACUAAUCCGACGAGAAACUAGACAUGUGAUUAUCUAUUAAUACUCAUUUAGUGAAAAAUUUCAGAUGCUAGAACCUUUGAAACUUGUAUUCAUACCUAUUCUGGGUCGGGUGAAACAUGCAAUUCCACCAACUGUGAUGAAGUAUGCCGUUAUGAUAACGUCCAUAAUCCUCUUUGUUAUGGGUGGUGCUCCUAUAGGUCCAAAUGCAAUAAAGACGGGUGCAUAUGCAAGUUGUGUAAGAACAUUUGAUGCACAUAGAUGUAAGAUAGAAGGGCAUGUUUACAUUGAAUAACGUCGCAUCAACUCUAGUAGCUGGAAGAUUGCUAAGAACUUGUAUUCUUCCCAAAGUUAUAUUAAAUUACUAAGUGAUUGCGCAUGUGUUGGUCUUGCAAGUGUGUUUACAAGU